GCAGCAGUUACUGGCGCUGUCGGAGAUUUGUUGGAGUAAAGCGCCAUGAGGCUGCCUGGCCUGGUUGCAGGGAGGAGAGAGCCAUUAUCCAGAUCUGCAUUAAAGCCUGGACACUGGAGAGACAUGGAAGCCAGGAUGCCAGGGUGCGGUGGGAUUAAUUGACCAGCCUUUCAGUACCAGAGCGGAGAAGGCUUAAUAGCAGACUCCAGGGAGUCUACAAAACAACCUUUUUGUAUUCUUUGUGUUUGACUUGUGUUUAAUUUGUUCUGUCUUCAAGCAGUUCUAAGUGCUUUCUGUACCCCACACAGUAUUCAGCUGAUCCCAUUUGAUCCUGCACCUCCAGCUGAGGAUGGGUGUGGCAGAUACCAGACAUUGUGGACCAGGAUGUAAGAACCCCUUUAGUCCCUGUGAAGUCAUCUCUAAUCCAGGUCAGUCCUACAUCUUCUUAAACGAGUAGAAAUGAUUGGCUGCCUCCUCUGAUUGAUAGGCAAGAACACCAGUGGCCAAAGGGACAUUUGCAGAGUGUCUCUCUAGCAGAGACCCUUUCAAAGGAUCUGGGAGAGACCUUGGUAACAUAUUCAUGUGAUUAUACGUUUUGAAUAGAAAAGUUUUUGUUUUUGUUUUGUUUAUGUUUUUAGUGCAGUUGCUUAAGAUUGCUGUCUCUUUCAACUCCAAGUUCCCCUCUGUUUCGCUUCCCUUGUGCAGGGAGAUGUUGCAAUGUCUGUGGGCAUUUUGGAAUUCCGUUAAGGAGAAGCUGCGGCGAGCCAUCUCGUUUGUGUUUAGUGGGUAUGAUAAUAUAGGUUCCACGCAUAGUUAUGUUAUUGCCAGCUGCCCCAGUAUAGGAAUGGCUGCCAGGAAUAUUUUUGCCACCUGCUGUGCCAUCACCAGCCUCCAGAGUUGUAGGCCUGGAAGUCCUAUCAUGAUAUGAAGAUGUGCUGUUUUGCCUGGUACUGGAUGUGUGUAGUUAGUAGAGGAGAAACAAGUUUUGAAAUGGACAGUUAGAAGCUAGUCUAUGGAAAAAUCUUUUAAAUCUUUCAGCUCACAUAUUCACAUAUGAGAGAAACUUGGCAGAAGUUUUCCCAAGUUUUCCAACAAUACUAAAAAUGUACACGGCAUUGCUAAUUACAAGUAUGAAGCUUGAAGAAACUUCUAUAAAUUAUUAAUAAAUGCUCACCAACUAUGUAGAGGAAAGAUUAAAUUGUCUUUCUGUUCUCUCUAUAGAAACUUACAACUGCCAUAUGAAGAGGUGAUUUUGCAUUUAAUAAUGUAUGAAAAGAGAAGCAAUGCAGAGAUUUGUCAAGCAAUUAAUAAUAGUAUUAGUUUACUUUUUAAAAUCUGAAAACUUUUGCUAUUUGUGGUAUUUGUCAGCUUUUAAAAAUAUAUGCUUUAUUGUGAUUUAUUUUCUCAUUCUAAACAGAUAUUUACUUUCACACUUAACUUUGAGUUUGUCAUUUUAUAUUCUUUUCUAAAACAUAAAUUCCCAAAUUUAUAAGCUUUAGGCUCAGUAAAGCCUGAAUCCGCCCCUGGGUAAUUGACUUGUCUUUGGAAAUCCAGGCUCAGGAGUUCUCCUCCUUUCUAGGGCAGGACUCUGUCUACCUCACUGUAAGUCUGGCAUUAAAGCUACAGGCAGACCUAAUGAAUGACCCUUCCAAUCCCUUGUUUUAAACUCAUGUACAGAAUUGAAAUCCCCUGGAGUAUCUUGCCUUUCCUAAAGCUUUCUUCCCCCACCCUAGUCAGAGUUGAAGCUUGUAAGGUUAAAUGGAAAGAUCCCUGGGAUAGUCUGAUUCUAGUUGAAAGUCAGACACUAUCUAAUCGGGUGAAUUUGACCAAGUCAGUAUAUCUUUUUAGACUCCAAUUUCCUCACCUCUCAUCUGAGCAUAAUUAUGAUAGCCUGGUCUUUCUUACAGGAUUAUAGUAGGUGCCACUGAGAUUAAAUGAGAGACUAAAGUUGUCUGAGAAGUACAGAGUGCUUUAGAAACAGAAGGGAUUAUGUUUUAUUUAUCAAGUCAAAGCAACCAUCGUCCAAACCUAAGAUUUUUAGGUGCUUAGAUUGGGAUUCCAUGUGAGUGAAUAUUCUCUACAUUUUUCCUGACAAUCGCAACCACUUUGCAUUUUAUAGAUCUGGUGCAGAAACACAUGGACCUUUAUGGUGGCAUGUGUGAUGGGGCAGGCAACAAUAUCUCUUAGAUGUUGGAGGGUACUGGAGGAUUUGGUGUAUCAGAGGGGGUUUAAUUCACAUUCUCAGGGGCUGCUCCUUUGAGGUAAGCUCCUCCUCUGUGCAUUGAAUAUUCUGAUGCUUCUAAUUGACUUGAAAAUAUCUUGUCCCUCCUUUGAAAUGUCACCUAGUCCUUGUCAAGUGUAUUUCCAGGCAGUCAGGAUCAAUACAUCAUUUGGUUUAAGCAUAUGAGAUCGUGAUUGAUGGCCCAGAUGAGUGUAGGUUUCACUCCCAGCAACAGUCCUGAUAUUAGAUGUUGCUGAAACCCAUUCAUAUCUAUGAGCAGAGAUCAGUGAUCUAGAAGACAAUGUCUUGAGAAGAGAUGUAAUCUAGAGUGGAGUUUAUCACAGCUGGCCUUUAGGUUCAAGCUAGUCAGAGGGUCCAGGAUUCAAAGUCAAUUCCACUUCAACAGUUACUUGCUGGGUCUCUGUUUUGUUCUAGACAUUGUCCUGUAUGUGAUGGGAUGUAAGGAAGAUCAAGCUUGUCCUUCCUCAUAAUAAGCUUACAGUAUAAAGAGGAGUUAACAUACAUAUAUGACAUAGUCGUGUCAAUUGUGUAGGGCUGUAACAGCAGUAGGAAAACAGCUUUCAAGAUCCAAGGAAGUAGAGAUAAUGUCCUCUUUGGCCUUCAUUUUUCUUUAUUUGAACAGUGGGAAAAUCUUGAGUAAAAACAGACUUAGGUAUAGGCAUUGCAAAGUUAACCCUUUUACUCAGCUUAGUCCAGAAAUGAGUCUUUGUUUCUCCUGUUUAAUGAUCAGACACUCAUUUUCUGUGAUGCGUUAGUCAUUGUACCAGGUCCUGCUGAGAUGAAAGAAUAUUUACUCCCCAGCUUCAGGGAGCCCGUGAUCUAAUUUGAUUGUCUUUCAUAUAGGAAGAAAAUACUGCUGGCCCUCAGGGGUAGGACAUACACAGUAUUGGGGAGCACUUGUGCCCAUUUGUGGCCACUUUCCCACUCAAUUCUUCUGUCCCCAGGUAUUCUUGGUUUUAGGACAGUGAAGCGACUUUCAAGGAUGUGUCUGUGGAUGUGGACCACCACAGUCUGAUGCAUGUGAAGACUGACAUACAACCGUGGCUUCCUCAUAUUAUGGCCCUAGUUAUCUGCUCAAUCACAGUCUCCUGCAGCAUCCCGCAGUCCCUGGGGCUUGUAUCCUUACAGGGCUGGUACAUGUAUCUGGAUCUGGACCUGCAGUCUAGUCCCAUCUCAGUCAGAAGGAGCUGUUUGUUUCCUGCCCUUCUUUGACUCUGCCUAAAUACUUGCAAUCAGGGUGGGGUGUGUGUGUAUCUAGAUGUUAUUAUCUUGUAGGUAGAAGGUUGAGCUUUCUUGAGAUGGACUCAGAAGGGUAAGGGAUAGUAAUGGCAGUGGACCUGGAACAGGCUGCCUCUCUAGCAAUCCUUUGCUUGUUCCCAGAGCCUAGCUUCCUCUGUCCUUCCUGUUUGGCCCUGCUCUCACACCCUAGUUCUGGUGACUCUCCCCAUGGCUGCCUGCUUUUCUGGUCACUCUGAAAGCUCUCCCCAUUGCUAUUUGUGUGGACAUUGUGCCUUGCUAGGCUUCUGGCUUCUCUGAUGCCUGGAUUUCCUGCGAGUUUAUACUGUGAGGUGAUUCUUCCCAUAUGAAACAUGGAACAAGGGACAUCCUGAGAUGGGAAAUCCUGCAAUUUACUAAGACAAAGGGACACUAGAAUAGGUAGUAGUUAAAGGAGCUAAUGAACAGAAAGCCCUUAGUGUGGUCCUUUCAAGUAGUACACUCUCAGUAAAUCCUGUUGUUGUUGUUAGUAGCAGUAGUAGUAGUCAUGCUGUGAUUGUUUUUACUAUUAUCAUCAUAAUCAUUUUUUGACACCUGCUAUCCUGUCUUCACUCUGCAAGACAGAGAAACCUAGCAGUGCUCCUUGAAUGUCAGUGUGCAUACAAAUCUCCAGAGGACCUUGUUAAAAUGAGAAUUUUUAUUUAGCAGCUCUGAGCCUCUGAAUUUUUUAAAAUUUAAAUCCACAUUAGUUAACAUAUAGUGUAAUAAUGAUUUCAGGAAUAGAAUCUGGUGAUUCAUUACUUACAUAUAAUGCCCAGUGCUCAUCCCAACAAGUGCCCUUCUUAAUACCAGUCACCCAUUUAGUCCAUCCCCCACCCACCACCCUGCCAGGAACUCUCAGUUUAUUCUCUAUAAUUAAGAGUCUCUUAUAGUUUGUCUCCCUUCUCUGUUUUUAUCUUAUUUUUGCUUCCUUUCCCCUAUGUUCAUCUGUUUUGUUUCUUAAAUUCCACAUAUAGAUGAAAUCAUGAUAUUUGUCUUUCUCUGACAUAUUUCACUUAGCAUAAUACACUCUAGUUCCAUCCACAUUGUUGCAAAUGGCAAGAUUUCUUUCUUUUUGAACCCCGAGUAGUACUCUGUACACAGUUGUGCCUUGCUAGGUUUCUGGCUUCUCUGAUGCCUGGAUUUCCUGCGAGUUUAUACUGUGAGGUGAUUCUUCCCAUAUGAAACAUGGAACAAGGGACAUCCUGAGAUGGGAAAUCCUGCAAUUUACUAAGACAAAGGGACACUAGAAUAGUUCCACUGUGUGUGUGUGUGUGUGUGUGUGUGUGUGUGUGUAGAUAUCUAUAUAUAUCUAUAUCUGUCUAUCUAUAUCUCUAUGUAUUUAUAUAUCUCCACAUCUUCUUUAUCCAUUCAUCAGUCAGUAGACAUUUGGGCUCUUUCCAUACUUUGUGAGGCUCUGAAUCUUUAACAAGCUCUCAGAUAAUGCUGGUGUUCCUGGUCCGUGGACCACAGUUUGAGUAGCAAAGGUCUAAGGGACCCGGAAAAUGGAAGGAGAAAGAGGGUAGGGUGUUGAGCAAAAAGAAUAGGAUUGGGGUUGUUCAGUCCCUGAGUACCUCUGAAGUCAGAAACACAGAUCGGGGACAAUGCUGCUGGAGGCCUUAUAAGUUCCCCAAGUUUAUUAAUUUUUGUAAUUAUUAUUAAAUAACUGAUUUUAUAUGGAAAUAGCAGAAAAACAGAUUAAAUGAAAAGGAUGCAAAGCUUGUUAUCCAUCAUGUUGUAAGAGGAGACUCCAUUCUACUUAGCCAUCAGUGACAGAGAAGAGGAACCUUUGUCUUGUCCUGGGUGGAUUAUGGCAGGUUUCGAGAAGACCUGAAUCUUCAAGUUCAUGGAAAGAGAGAAAGAGGAAGGUUGUGAGAGCCUAGGACAGAGUAGUGAUCCUAUAUAGGUCAUAUUUUGUGUGAUCUGUUUGGUCCUUUUGGACUCUUGCUUCCCCCAAUUUAAUAGAUUAUAAACUUGUUGGAGAAGAUGGACUUCAAUCAGAAAUAAUUUGUUUCCUAUCAGUACUUUGCUAAUGAUAGUGUCUCUUGCAAUAUUAGAGCUUGUUUAGGGCCAGAUAUUAUUUCAUAUAUCUGCAUAGCAAUUCUAAGAAAUAGGUAUUGCUUUAUUCCAAUAUCAUUCUUACCAAACAUAUUUUGUUUUGCCUAUUUAUUUUGUUCAUUGUCUCCCCCAACUAGACUGCAGGCUCUGUGCAACUUUGUUCUUGCUUCCUGGUCACUACCGUAGCACAUCACACUGAGUAGUUGGUAAAUAUGUAUUUGUCAAACAAGUGAUUGGAUGGAUGAGAAAAUCAAACAUUAGGAAGGCUUGCCUUAGGUCACCCAGAUGGUAAAUGCUGUAGUCAAAACCCAAAUCCUGUGCAUCUUGCUCUACAACUCUUUCCCACGCUGUUGUGCGUGCUCCCUGUGAUUUUAGCUACUUUCUAAGGCUCACUGCCAUGAGCUUAGGUAGUGAAUCACACCAUUCUAGUUGAGUCCUUGGCCACUGAGGCCAAAUUGCUGUGGGUACCACCUAGGUAUUUAACAUUAGCUAUCUGUGAUCUCUAUGAGGUCACAGUAGGACUGACUGAUAAGCCAGCCCCAGGUCAUGGGUACUCCCAGAUAAGCUAGGGGAAGAUGCUUCUAGAGAUCACACACCCCAGUAUGCUAGCAGUCAGCUCAGAGUUAGGUGUUCCAUAUAAGGCUCAUAUCAUCUUUUUCUUUAUGAGGUUUGCCACUCACUCAGCCCCAACAGAGGAUUUGCUUAUUCACUGUUGUUUUCAGCUCCCAAGGAAAACAUUAUAAGGUACAUGUUUGAAUUGGAAAAGAAGCAGUCAGGCAAGCCUCCCAAGUGACACAGAGUCCACAGGCAGAGAGUAUCCAGCUUUCCCUAUUAGACACAACAGUUGGAUGCUGACAGUGGUCCUUCUGCUGACUAUUAGGCACUGCUUUAACAUAUUAGAGACUCAGGAUGGCAGCUUUAGCAGAACAUCAGAAAACGAAAUCAACUCAUUUCCUAAAGCUAAAUUCUUAAGUCAAAAUUGGCAUCUAAGAAUCUCCUGACAAAAGUUAUACAGAGCUAGGUGACCUUUAUUGAGCAAGCCAGUCACAUCCUGCCAUACCACAACCCUGGGCCAAGGAUCCAGGAGACUGAUGCUGGGGAUCCCUUCUGAACCAUGCUCAGAGGUAUAAAAACGCAAGUGAUUACACCUGCCGCUUAACACAUUCCAAAAUGCCCUUAACAUAACCAGGCCCAGUAGGCAUGAGGCCAGAAAUGAGAUCCAAAUUGAUAGAAAUAAAAUGUGCUGUGCCUUGAGAUUGUUGUAAUCAGGAAAGGAAGAAAGAAAAGGAUGUUGUUCUGUGCCAGAAAACGGAAACUUUCUAUUUUGGAUAUUUUAAAUAGCUUUUCUGUGAUGGAAGCCACGAUUCAUGAAAAGUCAACAUCAGAGAAUUAUCUAGGCUUUUAUCAUGUAAUCAAGACAGGACAUCUUCUAAUUGGUUCAUUAUGCAGCUACCAUGGCGCCAAAUGAAAUGCUCAAUUUUUAAAUGGCUUUAUCCAAUGAAAGAUAAGAUCUGUUGUUUUUAUUAUGUCCCUUGAAAGAAAAGCCCCUCAAAUUAUCCUUGUGAGAAAUUUUUGUGCAUAACUGGAUUCAUGAAUUUAGAGGGACUCUAAAAUUCCUGUAAUGCAGUCUAAGAGUUUACUGUGGCUUAAUGAUCAGUGAAGGGGUUAAUUUUCAGAACCCUUCUCCAGUAUAUCGUAAAUAUGGAAAUGAGAGCAAGGAAAACAGCUCUCAAAUUUUGGAUGAUCAGUGGCUCAUACCUUACCUGCAGCUCGUGAGUUCAUUUUGUAACAAAGGGUUGAGGAAUUUUCUGCUUGAGGUACAUACAUCACAACAAUCUCCAAACCCAAAUGAGGGCCUAGCUCCAUCAGGAAUAACGAAUGUCCAGGCUGUUUCAGACCAUAAUUUAUUUCUGUGCCCAGAGUUCAUCACAUGAUCCACCACCACUGCUCAUUUUCUGAAAAUAAUUUCUCUAGAUGUCCAUGGGCUUCCAGCUCUCAUCACCCAGAACAGUAAAGAAUAGUCCCAUCACCUCACAUAAUUUAUCCCAGUGUCCACAAAUCUCUCCAGGUCUCCACAAACAAAGCAGAAUGCAAAAUGCAGAGUACAAUUGUUCAUCAGUGCAUGAGCAUGUCUCCAAGUGCAUCACAGAAAAAGCGAAUAAAGGAGAAAAUUAUGGGCAUGGGGCUUUUAACCUGUGGCUCUGGUUUUACCCUUGCCUCACUCUAAAAUGAAUGGAUCUCUGGCUACAGAGAGAUUACCCUUGUUUCUCGUAUGAACUCCCCAUUGUAGAUGGUCUAAUGCAGUUUGGUCUAAAAUCAAACUGGAAUCUUAGUUGUCAUGGGAAAUACAAGAAGAAGUAAACAGCAAGAAUCAUGUUUCAGGCCAGAUAUAGGAAGUUGCAUUUAGACCUUGCAAGAAGAACAUGUCCCACAAACAUCACCGUGUUUGUUUGCUUCAGAUUUCCUGGUAUUUGUGGUCAGAGCAGCGUUACAGGAGAGAUAAAAGGACAGGAAAUCAAGGGUGUCAUGCCUUGAGUCAAGGUGAUUACAUCUUUUUUUGCAAUUUCUUUCAGGUAAAUAUUAUGUUAGGAAAAGCUAGAAGGGGAAAAUUACAGUGAAAAAUUUACCACAAGUAUCAUCAAACUCAAUAAAUCAAUUCCCAUGGAAGAAGUCAUUCUAAUGUCGCUCUUAUGUUUUAGGAAAGUAAAUCAGAUAGUCAAGAAAUACCAAUGAAAUAACUGUAAUCAUUACUUAGGAAUUUGUUCAUCAAGAACCAGUCACUCACUUAGUUUGUGCCUACACAAUUCCUUCUUCGUUUCAAGCCAGUUAUAUGUCAUAACUAAAGAGUGACCAUUGACUUUUUGUGUGCUUCUCCUAUCCUUCCACUAACACUCUAUCUUCCCACUGCACCUUCUCCAUCAACUAGAACAUAUCAUCCCCUUUUGUCAAUCAUGCUGUCUUGUUCUUACCGUCAUGCCCAAACAGCUCAUUAUUUUGAAAUUAUAAGUACCCAUCUCUCUCUCCUAUUUGACUGUGUAUCAGUCAUCAUUGCAACUCUGUGCCUAGCACACUGGUAACUAUAUAGCAGGCAUUCAUGUAAAUUUUUAUUUAUUUAUUUAUUUCUUAAAAGAAUUUAUUUUUUAAUUUACAUUCAAGUUAGCAUAUAGUGCAACAGUGAUUCAGGAGUAGAUUCAUUAAUCCCCUUAUCCAUUUAGCCCAUCUCCCCUUCCAUAACCCCUCCAGCAACCCUCUGUUCUCUAUUUUUAAGAGUCUCUUAUGUUUUAUCCCCCUCCCUGAUUUUAUAUUAUUUUUGCUUCCCUUCCCUUAAGUUCAUCUGUUUUGUAUCUUAAAGUCUAAUAUGAGUGAAGUCAUAUAUUUGUCUUUUUCUAAUUUCAUUUAGCAUAAUACACUCUAGUUCCAUUUACAUAGUUGCAAAUGGCAAGAUUUCAUUCUUUUUGAUUGCUGAGUAGUACUCCAUUGUAUAUGUGUACCACAUCUUUAUCCAUUAAUCCAUCGAUGGACAUUUGGGAUCUUGCCAUACUUUGGCUAUUGUCAAUAGUGUUGCUAUAAACAUUGGGGUUCAUAUGCCUCUUCGAAACAGCAUACCUGUAUCCCUUGGAAAAAUACCUAGUAGUGAAAUUGCUGGGUCGUAGGGUAGUUGUAUUUUUAAUUUUUGAGAAACCUUCACACUGUUUUCCAGAGUGGCUGCACCAGUUUGCAUUCCCACCAGCAGUGGAAAAGAAAUCCUCUUUCUCCGCAUCCUCACCAACAUCUGUUAUUGCCUGAGUUGUUAAUAUUAGCCAUUCUGACAGGUGUGAGCUGGUAGCUCAUCAUGGUUUUCAUUUCUAUUUCCCUGAUGAUGAGUGAUGUUGAGCAUUUUUUCAUGUGUCGAUUGGUCAUCUAGAUGUCUUCUUUGAAGAAGUGUCUAUUCAUGUGUUUUGCCCGUUUCUUCGCUGGAUUGUCUUUUGGGUUUGAGUUUGAUAAGUUCUUUAUAGAUUUUGGAUACUAACCCUUUAUCUGAUGGGUCAUUUACAGCUAUCUUCUCCCAUUCCAUUGGUUGCCUCUUAGUUUUGCUGAUUGUUUCCUUCACUGUGCAGAAGUUUUUUAUUUUGAUGAGGUCCCAAUAGUUCAUUUUUGCUUUGGUUUCCCUUGGCUCCAGAGAUGUGUUCAGUAAGAAGUUGCUGUGGCCAAGGUCAGAGAGGUUUUUGCCUGCUUUCUCCUUGAGGAUUCUGAUGGCUUCCUGUCUUACAUUUAGGUCUUUCAUCUACUUUGAGUUUCUUUUUGUGUAUGGUAUAAGAAAGUGAUCCAGGUUCAUUUUUCUACAUGUCACUGUCCAUUUUUCACAGCACCAUUUGUUGAAGGGACUGUCUUUAUUCCAUUGGAUGUUCUUUCCUGCUUUGUCAAAGAUUAGUUGGUCAUACAUUUGUGGGUCCAUUUCUGGGUUCUCUAUUCUGUUUCAUUGAUCUGAGUGUCUGUUUUUGUGUCAGUACCAUACUGUCUUGAUGAUUACAGCUUUGUAUAUAGCUUGAAAACAAACUAUAUUCAAUAUAGUUUGUAUAUUGAACUAUAUACAAUAUGUAGUUGUAUAUAUUGUACAACUAUAUAUUGUGGAUUGUGAUACCUCCUGCUUUGGUUUUCUUUUUCAAGAUUGCUUUGGCUAUUCAGGGUCUUUUCUGGUUCCAUACAAAUUUUAGGAUUGUUUCUUCUAGGUCUGUGAAGAAUGCUGGUGUUAUUUGAUAGGUAUUGUAUUAAAUAUGUAGAUUGCUUUGGGUAAUAUUGAUAUUUUAACAAUAUGUGCUCUUCCUAUCCAGGAGCAUGGAAUAUUUUUCCAUUUUUUUGUGUCUUAUUCAAUUUCUUUCAUAAGCUUUCUAUAGUUUUCAGUGUGUAGAUUUUUCACCUCUUUGGUUAGAUUCAUUCCUAGGUAUUUUAUAGUUUUUUGUGCAACUGUAAAUGGGAUCGAUUCCUUGAUUUCUCUUUCUGUUGCUUCAUUGUUGGUGUAUAGGAAUGCAACUGAUUUCUGUGGAUUGAUUUUAUAUCCUGUGACUUUGCUGAAUUCAUGGAUCAGUUCUAGCAGUUUCUUGGCAGAAUCUUUUGGGUUUUCCAUAUAGAGGAUCAUGUCAUCUGCGAAAAGUGAAAGUUUGAUCUCCUCCUGGCCAAUUUGGAUGCCUUUUAUUUCUUUGUGUUGUCUGAUUGCUGAGGCUAAGACUUCCAAUACUGUGUUGAAUAACAGUGGUGAGAGUGGACAUCCCCUGUCUUGUUCCUGACCUUAAGGGGAAAGCUCUCAAUUUUUCCCCAUUGAGGAUGAUAUUAGCAUUGGGUCUUUUGUAUAUGGCUUUAAUGAUCUCGAGGUAUGUCCUUCUAUCUCUACUUUCUUGAGGGUUUUUAUCAAGAAAGAAUGCUGUAUUUUGUCAAAUGCUUUCUUGCAUCUAUUGAGAGGAUCAUGUGGUUCUUGUUCUUUCUUUUAUUGAUGUGAUUAAUCACGUUAAUUGUUUUGUGGAUAUUGAACCAGCCCUGCAUCCCAGGUAUAAAUCCUGCUUGGUUGUGGUGAAUAAUUUUUUUAAUGUAUUGUUGGAUCUGGUUGGCUAAUAUCUUGUUAAGGAUUUUUGCAUCCAUGUUCAUCAGGGAAAUUGGUCUGUGGUUCUCGUUUUUAGUGGGGUCUCUGUCUGGUUUUGGAAUCAAGGUAAUGCUGGCUUCAUAGAAAGAGUUUGCAAUUUUUCCUUCCAUUUCUAUUUUUUUGGAACAGCUUCAAGAGAAUAGGUAUUAACUCUUCUUUAAAUGUUCAGUAGAAUUCCCCUGGAAAGCCAUCUGGCGCUGGACUCUUGUUUUUUAGGAAAUUUCUGAUUACUGAUUCAAUUUCUUUACUGGUUAUGGGUCUGUUCAAAUUUUCUAUUUCUUCCUGUUUCAGUUUUGGUAGUGUAUAUGUUUCUAGGAAUUUGUCCAUUUCUUCCAGAUUGCCCAUUUUAUUGGCAUAUAAUUGCUCAUAAUAUUCUCUUAUUAUUGUUUGUAUUUCUGCUGUGUUGGUUGUGAUCUCUCCUCUUUCAUUCUUAAUUUUAUUUCUUUGGGUCCUUUUUCCUUUUGAUCAAACUGGCUAGUGGUUUAUCACUUUUGUUAAUUCUUUCAAAGAACCAGCUUCUGAUUUCAUUGAUCUGUUUUUUUGGUUUUGAUAGCAUUGAUUUCUGCUCUAAUGUUUAUUUCCUGUCUUCUGCUGGUUUUGGGUUGUAUUUGCUCUUCUUUAUCCAGCUCUUUAAGGUGUAAUGUUAUGUUGUGUAUCUAAGACCUUUCUUCCUUCUUUAGGAAGGCCUGGAUUGCUAUAUACUUUCCUCUUAUGACCACCUUUGCUGUGUCCCAGAGGUUUUGGGCUGUGGUGUUACCAUUUUCAUUGGCUUCUAUGUACUUUUAGUUUCCCCUUUUUCUUGGUCAGCCUUUCAUUCUUUAGUAGGAUGGUCUUUAGUCUCCAAGUAUUUGUUAUCUUUCCACUUUUUUUCUCGUGGUUGAUUUUGAGUUUCCUAGCAUUGUUGCCUGAAAAUAUGCACAGUAAGGAACUCAGUCUUUUUGUACUUGUGAGGGCUGAUUUGUGUCCCAGUAUGUGAUCUAUUCUGGAUAAUGUUCCAUGUGCACUGGAGAAGAAUGUGUAUUCUGCUGCUUUAGGAUGAAAUGUUCUGACUAUAUCUGUUAAGUCCAUCCGGUCCACUAUGUCAUUCAGAGUCAUUGUUUCCUUGUUAAUUUUCUGUUCAGAUGAAAUGUCCAUUGCUGUAAGUGGGGUGUUGAAGUUCCUACUACUGUGGUGUUACUAUCAAUGAGUUUCUUUGUCUUUGUGAUUAAUUGAUUUAUAUAUUUCGGUUUUUCCACAUUUGGAGCAUAAAUGUUUACAGUUGUUAGGUCUUGGUGGUAGACCCUUUAAUUAUGAUAUAACGCCCUUCUUCAUCUCUUGUUACAGUCUUUAAAGUCUAUAUUGUCUGAUAUAAGUAUGGCUACUCCAGCUUUCUUUUGGUGACCAUUAGCAUGAUAGAUGGUUCUUCAUCCCCUUACUUUCAAUCUGAAGGUGUCUUUAGGUCUAAAAUGAGUCUCUUAUAAACAGCAUAUUGAUGGAUCUUGUUUUCUUAUCCAUUCUGUUACCCUGUGUCUUUUGAUUGGAGCAUUGAAUCCAUUGACAUUUAGAGUGAGUAUUGAAAGAUACAAAUUUAUUGCCAUUAUGUUGCUUGUAGAGUUGGAGUUUCUGGUGGUGGCCUCUGGUACUUUCUAGUCUUUGGUGCUUUUUUUUGUCUUCUCUCAGAAAGUCCCCCUUAAAAUUUCUUGCAGGGCUGGUUUAGUGGUCACUAACUCCUUUAAUUUUUGUUUGGGAAAAUUAUUAUCUCUCCUUCUAUUUUGAAUGACAGCCUUGCUGGAUAAAGAAUUCUUGGCUGCAUGUUUUUCUGAUUCAGCACAUUGAAUACAUCCUGCCACUCCUUUCUGGCCUGCCAAGUUUCUGUGGAUAGGUCUGUUGCAAACCUGAUCUAUCUUCCCUGGUAGGUUAAGGACUUUUUUACCUUGCUGCUUUCAUGAUUCUUUCCUUGCCUGAGUAUUUUGUGAAUUUGACUAUGAUAUGCCUUAUUGAUGGUCGGUUUUUGCUCAAUCUAAUAGGAGUCCUCUGCGCUUCCUAGAUUUUGAUGACUGUGUCUUUCCCAAGUUAGGAAAGUUUUCCACUAUGAUUUGCUCAUAUAACCCUUCUACCCCUUUUUUUCUUUCUUCCUCUUCUGGGAUCCUUAUGAUUCUGAUGUUGUUCCAUCUUAAUGAGUCACUGAUUUCUCUCGUUCUUAAGUUAUGCUCUUUGCUUUAGUCUCCCUUUUUUUUUUCUGCUUCAUUUUUCUCCAUAAGUUUGUCCUCUACAACACUGAUACACUGCUCUGCUUCAUCCAUCCUUGUCACUGUGGCAUCCAUUUGAGAUUGCAGCUCAGUUUUAGCAUUUUUUAUUUCAUCCUUCCUAGCUUUUAUGUCUGCAGAAAGGGAUUCUAAUCUGUUUUCAACCCCAGCCUAGUAUUAUUAUUUUGAUUCUAAAUUCUGGUUCAGUCAUCUUGAUUGUAUCUGUGUUGAUGAAGUCUCUGGUUGUCAUUUCUUCCUGUUCUUCCUUUUUGGGUAAAUUUUUUGGUUUGUCAUUUUGAAGGAAGAAAAAGAAUCGAUAAGGUAAAAAAAUAAAAUUAAAAAAUUUAAAACAACACAUAAAAAAACCAAAUAAAUGAUGCUAGAUCUUAGGUGUGUUUUGGUCUGGCUAUUGAAAGGAGCUUGAUAGAUUAGAGAAGAACAGGGAAAGAUAAGAAAAGAAAAAGAAGAAAGAAAAAAAGGAAAAUGUUUGAAAAUUUGAAAAAAUUAAUACAAUGAAAUAAAAUAAAAUGAAAUGGAAGUAAAAUAGAGUGUGGGAAAUUUGCAAAAAAGUAAAAAAUAUAGUAAAAAAUUAAAGAAAAAAAAUAUAUAUAUAUAUAUAUAUUUUUUUNNNNUUUUUUUUUUCAACGUUUAUUUAUUUUUGGGACAGAGAGAGACAGAGCAUGAACGGGGGAGGGGCAGAGAGAGAGGGAGACACAGAAUCGGAAACAGGCUCCAGGCUCUGAGCCAUCAGCCCAGAGCCCGACGCGGGGCUCGAACUCACGGACCGCGAGAUCGUGACCUGGCUGAAGUCGGACGCUUAAAUGACUGCGCCACCCAGGCGCCCCAAAGAAAAAUAUAUUUUUAAAAAAAAAAUUUUUUUUUAACAUUUAUUCAUUUUUGAGACAGAGAGAGACAGAGCAUGAAUGGGGGAAGGUCAGAGAGAGAGGGAAACACAGAAUCUGAAACAGGCUCCAGGCUCUGAGCUGUCAGCACAGAGCCCGAUGCGGGGCUCCAACUCACGGACCGCGAGAUCAUGACCUGAGCCGAAGACGGACGCCCAACCGACUGAGCCACCCAGGCGCCCCUAAAGAAAAAUAUUUUUAAUAAAAAUGGGAAGUAAAAAUAAUUUUUUUCUCUUUCUGUAAAAAGAAAAAGAAAAAAAUUAAAUAGAUGGACCAGCGAACAUACUGAAAUACCAUUGAAAUUACAUCAGUUUCUCCUAGAAGUCAAGCUAUGAAGCACUUUAUAGUCCAUAAACUAAGCAGGUGGAGAGACUUGUGGUGUUUCUGAAGAGCGUGGUUGGCCCAGUUGGGCAGGGCUUAGUGUAAUGGCUAAACCAUUGUCUACUAGAUGCUGCUGCUUAGUUUACUGGGGUGGAUUGUUGUGGCACAUGUAGGUUUUUAUGUGCAUGCAUGAAGGGUGAAAAUGGCACCCAGUCCCUGGUAUCAGAACUCUCUUCUCCCUGACCAGCAAUCACGCACCCCUCCUUUGUCUCUGGCUUGAGUCCACUCCCCGCUUUUACACUGUCUGUGACCAAGCCAUCAGGUUGUCAGGCGGCACCUCCCUCCUGAGUUUUACUUCAGAUGUGGCUGUGUUUCCCAACCCAUUAUUUCUGAGGGACUGCGGCUUUGACCCGUUCAGACGCCCUGGGGGAGGGUCUCACUGAGCAAUGGCCGUGUGUCCCCUUGCCCCCAGGAAUGUUCAUGAGACCAUGCUGCUUCUGAUGCGUAGAGACUGUGGCUAGGUCCCAUCCCGCCCCAGAAAAGUUUCACAUGAUCGUUUAGCAGCAUUGUUUCUGGGAUUAUGGUAAAUCACAACACAUAUCUGGCUCUAGGCUUGUUCUUGUCCCAGCACCAGUGAAUGUGGUUAUUCUCCAGGGUCUUCUGGGACCUUUGCCUGUGGGGUGGCUGCACAGCCUCUAUCAAAUGUCCUCCCAGCAGGGGAAUCGCCUCUCCCAUGUGGCCCAAGGACACCUUGGAUCUCGCUGUCUGCUCCUGGGGAUUUUCCAGAGAUUUGCCAGAGCACUGCCAGGUAUUGACCUAUGGAGUUUCAUAGUCUUCACUCCCCCUGUUAAUAGAGUCUCACUGGAAUUUAAAUCCUCUUUCUCCUUUUUCCCUUGUUUUGUUCAGUCCCUCAUGUACUCUUUCUUUUCUCUACAGCUGCUUUCGGGCAGAGGGGUGGAUGAUUUCCCAUACCCCAUCCCACCACCUCCCUCCCCCACCCCCCAUCUCUGUCUUCUCUCUGCAAGCAAAAGCAGCUCCCUGUCCUUUGUGGCUUCUCUCUCCCCCAUUUGACCUCUCUGUGCUGCAUACCUUCUGAGUUCUGUGAUUCAGGUUGUGCCGAUUGUUGUGUUAAUCCUCAAAUCAGUUUUCUAGGUGUGCAGGGUGGUUUAGUGUUGAUCUGGCUGUAUUUCAGGGAUGCAAAAUAAAAAAAAGCCUUCCAUGCUGUUCCUCCAUCUUGACCCCUCAGUAGUUCAUGUAAAUUUAUUGAAUGGAUAGAUUUGGAAACAAGGAGAAAAUCCCAUUUUCAAAUAUUCUGUGCGCAUACAUAUAUGUGAUCUCUAAGUUAUCUUUAAUAGAUUGAAAUUUGUAAGUUAAUCAUCUAUACACUAUACACAGGGCUCUUUGGUUUUUUUCUUAAUUAUAAACUUGUUGCAUUUAGAUACAGUUAAUUGUUUAGCCAUGUAUGAUUUAGCAAUGUAUGAUUUAGCAAUGGAACUUAAGAACAAUCUUCCACCUAUAAAAGUCAAACUCACAUAAACAGAGCAUAGAAUGGUGGUUUCCAGGGACUGCAAAGUGGGGAGCUGUAGGACAAAGGGUGCCAACUUCCUGUUACAAGAUGAAUAAGUUUGGGGGAUCUAAUGUGUAGCAUGGUGACAGUAGUUAACGAUACUAUAUGCUUGAGAGUUUCUAAGAGAGUAGUUCUGAAAUCCUCUUACCACACCCAGGGUAAUUAUGUGACAUGAUGGAGUUGUUAAGUAACCGUAUUGUGGUAAUCAUUUAACAUUAUAUAUGUACACUUAAUUAUCACCGUUGUAUACCUUAGAUUUAUGCAGUGUUAUAUGCUAAUUACAUCAGACCAAAGCUGCAGAGCAUGGGGCAGUGGGUGGAGAAAGAAGAAUCUUCCAUCUGGAAGUAAAUGUUUUUUUUUGUUCUCUGUGAGUUACAUUGUUAGGAAUACUCUGUUAUGUCCAGGAAUGGGCCAUUUACUAAACGAUGCCCUUUGCUGACAAAUCCUAAUUUUUGUUUAGAAAGGCAUUAGAAAAAAUUUUUGUUUUGUAGGGUACUUCUAUAAAAUUCUAAAAGUUUUAAUAAGUGUCAGCAAGUGAGGAACUGUGGAUAUUAUUUGAAUAGUAGUGUUCACAACCAACGGAGGCGAAGGGAUUUGUCUUGUACACAAUUAUCUACCAGUUUGCCCCAGUUCUUUUCUUUUUGCCUGAAGCCCUGUCCUUGGCUGUCUGGAAGUAUGAGGGUCCUAGGCUUAGGAAGACCUCACAUCUUCAAAGAAGGUCAGGAGCCUUUCCAUUAUUUCUGUCUCAUAAGUGUCCUAAGGCCUCUUUUCUCUUUCUUCUUUUACUUCAGGUGCCCUAUUAGAAAUGAAACCAACCUCUCCAUUUUCCUUUUUUUUUUUUUGACAGAGUGGACCUUCUGUCUUCUGCUACAUACUUCUCUGAAAUUAGGGGUUAUAAAUGUACUUCUAAGCGGCUGCUGCUGUGUUUUUAUGAUGGGUGGCAAAUUAAUUUCUUAUCUGUUGAUGUUGGACUAUCCUUUUCCCACAUGCCAGGUGUCAGAAAAAGCCUCUCAUUCUCCAGACUGCUGUGCUCAGUUACCUUUGCCUUUCCUUGCUCCCUUUAUUUAUCUGUCUCCCUGGCUUUGUGAGUGACCUUGAAGAGAAUGCUUUCUUGAGUGUUCUAGGGCUCAUCUUAUGGGUUGCCAGUUGUCAUUGGAUGACUUAAGGUCCCUAGUUCUUAUUCUCUUAUCCCCACUUCUCUCCCACCUCCAAUCUAUAAAAUAUUAUUCUCUUUUUUUUUUUUUCUGGAAGAGGAUGAAGUGCAUUGUGUCUUGAGAAUGGGUGCCAACACCAAUGUUAGCUUUUGGGAGUCUGCUUAUUGUUACUUACAAUACCUGUCCUCCCUGCUCCUGUGUGGAUGUGGGAGACUCCCAGAGCUUACAGCCUUGGGCUGUAAGAGUCUCUGUCCAGCCUCAGGAGGCAGAAGGGUAGAGAAAAGAGGCAAUAAAGCCAUAUCAAGUGUUACUCUUUCUACAUGAUAAUCCAAGGCAAUUUAACCCAAUUAUUAUUUUAACCUUCAGAAUGUAUCCAGAUCCCCUCCCCUGCCCCCCUAGAAAGAAUGCAAUAAUGACUAAUUUUAGCAUAGUACUUUGUGGUUUUCAGUUCACUUCAGGAUAUUCUCUGUCAUACCAUUUUCAAAACAGCCCCAUAAAGUAGGCAAGGCUGGUAAUAUCACUCUGUGCACACUUCCUUCAUCCUGCUUUUGCUUUCUAUAUUUAUACAUCAACAUCAAGUGAACUUUGAGCAGGCCUUUGCCAUUCCACUCCACAGGUAAGAAAACUGAAGCUUAGGGAGGUGAAGUGACAUGCCUAAUGGAUGAAAGUUAAAAAAUUCAGGUCUCAAGCUCAUGCUGUCAAUAUGCUUUAAAAAAAUUAACUUUUUUAUUUUGAAAUAAGUGUAUAUUCACAUUAUUUGUACGAAGUAGUACACAAAGAUUUUUUUUUUCAACGUUUAUUUAUUUUUGGGACAGAGAGAGACAGAGCAUGAACGGGGGGAGGGGCAGAGAGAGAGGGAGAGACAGAAUCGGAAACAGGCUCCAGGCUCUGAGCCAUCAGCCCAGAGCCUGACGCGGGGCUCGAACUCAUGGACCGCGAGACCGUGACCUGGCUGAAGUCGGACGCUUAACCGACUGCGCCACCCAGGCGCCCCUCACAAAGAUUUAUAUUACCUUUCUUUACCCAGUUUUCCUCAGUGGUAACAUCUUCCAAAAGUAUGGUACAGUAUCACAGUCAGGAUAUUGACAGUGAUUUAGUCAAGAUACAGAACAUUUCCAUCACCUCGUGGAUCUCACUUACCUCCUUCCCCUAACCCUUCUUUAACUUCUGACAAUCACUAAUCUGUUCUCCAUUUUUAUAACUUUGUCAUUUCAUAAAUUGUUAUAUAAACAAAACAAUGUGGUAUUCAUCUUUUCAGGAUUGGCUUUUUCCCUUAGCAUAAUACUCUGAAGAUGUGUCCAGGUUGAUGUAUGUAUCAGUAGGUUUUUGUUUUUUUUUUUAAUUGUUGACUAGCAUUCCAUGUUAUGGAGGAACCACCACAGUAUGUGUAACCAUUCAUCCAUUGAAGGACACAUGCGGGUUGUUUUUAGUUUGGAAUAUCAAAAUAAGGCUGCUAUAAACAUUUCUGUAGGUUCUUGCAUGAAUGUAAGUUUUUAUUUCUCUGGGACAAAUGCCCAGGAGUGCAUUUUCUGGCUUCUAUGAUAGUUGCAUGUUUAGUUGUUUCAGGAAGUGCCAAACUGUUUUCCAGAGCUGGGUGUACCAUUUUAUGUUCCCAUCACCAAUGCAUGAGUGAUCCCAUUUUUCCACAUCCUCCCAGCCUUUGGUGUCACUAUUUUUGAUUGUAGUCAUUCUGAUAGAUGUGUAAUGAUCUUAUUGUGAUUUUAAUAUGCAUUUCUUUAAUGACUAAUUAUGUUGAACAUAUUUUUACAUGCUUAUCUGCCAUCUCUAUUUCCACUUUAAUGAAAUGUCCCUUUAUGUCUUCUUCUGCUUAUUAUCUAAUUGCCUUCUCUUUUUUUGUUUGUUUCUUUUUUAUUAUUUAUUUUGACUGUUGAGAAGCUACUUGUAUAUUCUAGAUACUUGUUCUUCAUUACAUAUGUGGUUUGUACGUAUUUUUUCCCCAGCCUGUAGCUUGUGUUUUUAGCCUAUUAGCAAGAUCUUUUGCAGAGCAUCAUUUUUAAAAUUUUGAUGAAGUCCAGUUUAUCAGUUUUUCCUUAUAUGCAUCAUGUUUUGGUAUCAAGUCUAAGAACUCUUUGACUAGCCCUAGAUUCCAAAGAUGUUCUGAUAUUGUUUUCUAAAACAUUAUAGUUUUAUAUUUUACAUUUAGGUCUAUGAUAUAUUUUGAAUUCACUUUUGUGGAAGGGGUAAGACCCAGGUCAAGGUGGGUUUUGUUGUUGUUGUUGUUGUUGUUGUUGAAUUCUGAUUUAAUUUGAUCUAGUAUCAUUUGUUGAAAAAACUCUUCCCUUCAUUGAAUUACUCUUGUACCUUUAUCAGAAAUAAGUUGGGCAUAUUUAUGUGGUCUAUACCUGGGUCUUCUUUUCUGUUCCAGUGAUCCAUCUGCUGAUUGAUCCACCAAUACCACACAGUAUUGACUACUGGGGUUUUAUACUAAGUCACAGAAUCAAGUAGAAUAGUCUUACUAUUCACAGUUGUUUUUAGCUGUUUUAGUUCCUUCACUUUUCCAUAUGAAUUUUACAAUAAUCUCUAUAUCCACAGAUUUUUUAAAAAAAAUUGGUAGAAAAUUCAUUGAACUUACAUAUCCCUUUGGGAAAAAUUGGAAUCUAUACUAUGUUGAUUCUUCCAAUCUGUGAACAUGGUAUGUCUCUCCGUUAAUUAGAUCUUGUUUGAUAUUUCAUUAGAAUUUUACAGUUUUUAGCAUAUAAACUCUGUACAUAUAUUUUGUUAGUUUUUUUGAGUUAUUAUAAAUGGUACUGUGUUUUUAAUUUUGGUGUCUCCAUGUUUAUUGCUGAGAUAUGUAAAUACACUUGCUUUUGUAUGUUUAUUUGUAUUUUCCAACCUUGGUGAGCUCACUUAUUACAUGAAUUAAAACAUUUUUUGAGUUAAAAUAUUAAAAAAGUAUUUAAUAUGGAGUAUUUUCAUAUGAAAAAGAAAUUCAUAUGAAGACAGUCACAUCACCUAAAAAUUAGAGACGGUUCUAUUUCUUCCUUCCAAUAAGUUUAUAAUUAACUUUAUUUUCUUUAUUGCAUUGGCUAGAACUUCUUGAACUGCUUUGAAUAAGAGUAAUGGAAGUCAAAUAUGUAGGACAUAGCUAAAGCAUUGCUGAGAAGGAAAUUUAUAGCACUGAAUGUAUACAUUAGAAAAGAGGAAGAGUCUCAAAUCAGCCAUCAAAACUCUGCUCAAGAAGCUAGAAAAAGAAGAGCAGAUAAACCCAAAGCAAGCAAAAGGAAGGAAAUCAUAAAAAUAAGAGCAGAAAUCAAUGAAAUGGAAAAUAAAAACAAUAGAGGAAAUAGAAGAAACAAAAAUCUGGUUAAAAAGAUCAUUAAAAUUGUAACACUUCUCACAAUAUUGACAAAAAAUAGAGAAGUCAUAAAUUACCAGUAUCAGGAAUGAAACAAUUUUCAACAAGUUCUACCAGAAAAUAGAAAAAGAGGAAAUACUUCCCAAUUCAUUUUUUAAAGCUUGUAUUUCCUUGAUACCAAAAUUAAACAAAGUACAAAAAAUAAAACUUCAAAUAUCCUUCAUGGAAUAUGUUUAAUAAAAUAUUGGCAAAUAUAGUUUAGCAAUAUAUAAAAAGAAUUAUAUUCUAUGACCAAAUGGAGUUUAUUCCAGGGAUACAUAAGAUGGUUUAAUAUUAAAAUAUUAAGUAUUAAUAAAAUGGAGUUUAUGCCAGGGAUCCAUGGAUGGUGUGAUAGUUACACUUAUGGUAAACAUAGCAUAAUGUAUAGAGUUGUCAAGUCACUAUGUUGUACACCAGAAACUAAUGUGACAUUGUGUGUCCACUAUGUAUACUUCAAUAAAAAAAUAGAUAAUCAAUGUGAUACUGUAUUUUGCUUACCUCCCUACCCCUCUCUCUCUCUUUCUUUCUUUCUUUCUUUCUUUCUUUCUUUCUUUCUGUCUGUCUUUCUUUCUUUCUUUCUUUCUUUCUUUCUCCCUUUCUCCCUUUCUCCCUUUCUUCCUUUCUUAUCCGUUCUUUUGUGUUUAGAAAACUUCUUUAGCUGCUGUUUUUAGGAUGGAUAUACUGGUGCCAAAUCGUUAGUUUUUCUUCAUCUGAAAAUGUCAUGAUUUUCUGUUUACUCCUAAAAGAUAUUUUCACUGGAUAUAGGAUUCUGUAUUGACAGUUCUGUUCUUUCAGCACUUGAAAACUAUUGUGCUACUUCCUUUCACCUCCAUCACUUUUGAAGAGAUAUAUGCUGUCGUUCAAAUGUUUUUUCUGUCUGUAGAUGAGGUAUUAUUCUCUGGCUGCUCUUAAGAUUAUUUCUUACUCUUUAGUUUUCAGAAUUUGACUAUGACGUGCCUUGGUGUAGUUUUCUUUAGGUUUAUCCUUUUGGGGAUUUACUUGAAUUCUUUUUUAUUGUAGUGAAACAUAUAUAACAAAGUUUUCCAUUUUAAUAAUUUUCUUUAUUUAAAUUUUAGUUAACAUAUAGUGCAAUAUUGGUGUUAGGAGUAGAAUUCGGUGAUUUGUUACAUACGACACCCAGUGCUCGUCACAAGUGCCGCCCUUAAUACCCAUCAUCCAUCUAGCCUAUCUCCCACCAGUCCCCCUCUAUCAACCCUCAGUUUGUUUUCUGUCAUUAUGAGUCUCUUGUGGUUUGUUUACCUCUCUUCUCUUCCCCCACGUUUCCCAUGUGUUGAUCUGCUUUGUUUCUUAAAUUCCACAUGUGAGUGAAAUCACAUGGUUUUUGUCUUUCUCUGAUUGACUUAUUUUGCUUAGCAUAAUACGUUUUAAUAAUUUUUAAGUAUACAAUUCAGUGGCAUCAAUUACAUUUGCAGUGUUGUAUAACCAUAUUAACUAUGUAUUUCUAAACCCUUUUUAUCACCUCAAACAGAAACUCUGCAUUCAUUAAGCAAGCACCCUCCCUUUCCCCCUCCUCCCAGCCUGUGGUAGCCUCUAAUCUACUUUGGUCUGUAUGAAUUUGUCUGUUCUACAUAUUUCAUGUAAGUGAAAUCAUGCAAUAUUUGUCCUUUUAUGUCUGACUGAGUUCACGGCUCAUCCAUCUUACAGCAUGUAUCAGAACUUCAUUUUUUUUGGCUGAAUGAUAUUCCAUUGGAUGGGUAUUCUACAUUUUUAAAAAUCUAGACUCAAGUUUUUCAUAUGUGAAUGUCUGGUCAUUCCAACUCCAUUUACUGAAAACACUAUCUUUUCUCCAUUAUAUUGCUUUGUCAAAGUUAGUUUGACUAUAUUUAUAUAGGUCUAUUUCUGGGUUCUCUAUUCUUUCUACUUGUCUGUUCUUUAACCAACAUGUUUGGAUUACUUUAGCUUUUUAGUAAAUUUUGAAAUGGAAUGCUGUCAGUCCUUGGCCUUUUUUUUGUUGUUGUUGUUCAAUAUUGUGUUGGCUAUUUGGGGUCUUUUGCCUCUCCAUAUAAACUUUAGAUUGAAUUUGUCAACAUUCAGAAAACAACUUGUUGGGAUUUUGAUUUGGAUUACAUUGAAUCUGUGGAUAAAAUUGGGAAGAACUGACAUUUUGACAUUAUUGAGAUAUUACUACCCAUGAACAUUUAUCUCUAUUUAGUUUGUCUUUGAUUUCUUUCAUAAAGUUUUAUAGUUUUUCUCAUACCGAUCUUGUGUAUAUUUUAUUAGAUUUAUACCUAAGUAUUUCAUUUUUAGGAGUGCAAGUGUAGAUAGUAUUGGGUUUUAAAUUUCGAAUUCCACUUGUUCAUUGUUGAUAUAUAGGAAAGCAAAUAACCUUUGUGUAUUAAUUUUGUAUACAACGUUUGAGGAAUGUUUUAUUGAUCUUUUUGGAUAUUCAACCUAGAUUGUCAUAUCACCUGCAAAGACAGUUUUAUUGCUUCCUCCCCGGUCUGAAUAUCUUUUUUUCUUUUUUUAAUUUUGCUGCAUUUGCUAUGGAUCCCAGUAUGAUAUUGAAAAGCAAUAGUGAGCAGAGACAUCUUUGCCUUGUUGCUGAACUUAGUGGGAAAGCUUAGAGUUUCUAAUGCUUAGGUAUAAUGUUCUGUGUAGAUUUUAUAUAGAUAUUCGGUAUCAAGUUGAGAAGGUUUCUAUUAUUUGUUUACUAAGAUUUUAAAAAAAUCAAUGGAUGUAGGAUUUUGUCAAGUAAUUUUUCUGCGCAUAUUGAGAUGAUCUUGUGAUUUUUCUUCUUCUCUGGCCUUUUGAAAUGGUAGAUUGUAUUAAUUGUUUUUCACAUGUUGAACUAGCUUUACAUACCUGAGGCAAAUCACACCUGCUUGUAGUAUAUAAUUACUUUUUUACAUUGUUGGAUUCAAUUUGUCAACAUUUUGUUGAGAGUUUUUGUAUCUAGGUUUAUGGAAUGUUUUCAUACAAUUUUGAAGUUUUAUUGUAAUUUGUCUGCUUUUAGUCAUAGGGUAAUGCUGUCUGUCCUCAUAAAAUGAGUUAGGAAGUAUUUUCUCUGCUUCUGCCUUCUGAAGGAGAUUAUAGAGAAUUGGAAUAAUUUUUUUCCCUUAAAUGUUUGGUGGAAUUUACCAGUGAACCAACCUGGGCCUGUGCUUUCUAUUUUAGAAAGUUAUUAAUUAUUGAUUCAAUAUCUUUAAUAGCUAUAGGCCUAUUCAGGUAGCCUAUUUCUUCUUGUGUGAAUUUUGGCAGGAUGUGCUUUUUAAGGAAUUGAUCCAUUUCAUCUAGGUUAUCAAAUUUGUGGGCAUAGAGUUAUUCAUAGUAUUUCUUUAUUAUGCUUUUAGUGUCCAUGGUGUCUGUAGUGAUGACCCUUCUUUUGUUUCUGUUAUUAGUGAUUUGUGUCCUCUCUCUUUUUCUCUUAGUUAACCUGGCUAGAGGCUUACUGAUUUUAUUUUAUUUUUUUAAAGAACAAGCUUUAGUUUCAGUUUUUUCCCCAUAUUGAUUUCCCCAUAUUGAUUUCUAUUUUUCCCCAUAUUGAUUUCUAUUUUCAAUUCCAUUGGUUUCUGCUCUGAUUUUUUUUCUACUCUGAUAUUUAUUAUUUUUUUCUUCUGCUGACUUUGGAUUUAAUUCACUAUUUUCCUAGUUUCCUUGGAUGGACAUUUAGAUGAUUAAUUUUAUUUUAUUUUAUUUUAAAAAAAAAUUUUUUUUUUUCAACGUUUAUUUAUUUUUGGGACAGAGAGAGACAGAGCAUGAACGGGCGAGGGGCAGAGAGAGAGGGAGACACAGAAUCGGAAACAGGCUGCAGGCUCUGAGCCAUCAGCCCAGAGCCUGACGCGGGGCUCGAACUCACAGACCGCGAGAUCGUGACCUGGCUGAAGUCGGACGCUUAACCGACUGCGCCACCCAGGCGCCCCUAGAUGAUUAAUUUUAGAUCUUUUGUCUUUUCUAAUGUAUGCAUUCAUUGCUAUAAUUUCCCUCUAAGCACUGCUUUUGUUGCAUUCCACAGUUUGGAUAAGCUGUGUUUUUAUUUUAAUUUACUUCAAAAUAUUUUAAAAUUGUUCUUAAGAUUUCUUCUUUGACCUAUGUGUUAUUUAGAAAUGUGUUCUUUAAUCUCCAGGUAUUUUGGAAUUUUCCAGCCAUCUUUCUGUUACUGAUUUCUAGUUUAAUUCCACUGUAGCCUAAGAGCAGACAUUGUAUGAUUUCUGUUCUUUUAAAUUGGUAAAAUGUAUUUUAUGGCCUAGAAUGGGCUCUAUCUUGGUGAAUGUUCCAUAUGAGCUUAAGAAGAAUGUGUAUUCUGCUGUUUUGAGAUGAAAUAGUCUAUAGAUAUCCAUUAUAUUCAGUUGAUUAAUGGUGCUAUUGAGUUCAACUAUGUCCUUACUGAUUUUCUGGCUGCUGGGUCUGUCCACUUCUGAUAGAGGGGUGCUGAAAUAUCCAACUAUAAUAAUGGAUUCAUCUAUUUCUCCUGGCAGUUCUAUCAGUUUUUGUCUCAUAUAUUUUGACACUCUAUUCUUAGGUCCAUACAUGCUAAGCAUUGUUAUGUCUUCUGGGUGAAUUGACCCCUUGAUCACUAUGUAAUGCCCCCUCUAUCCCUGAUAACUUUCCUUGCUUUGAAAUCUGCUCUGUGUGAAAUUAAAUGUAGCUACUUCUGCUUUCUUUUGAUUAGUGUUAGCAUGGCAUAUACAUUUUCCAUCCAUUUACUUUUAACUAUAUGUCUUUGGAUUUAAAGUGGAUUUCUUGUAGCUAAUAUGUAAUUGAGCCUUAUCUCUGAUGAUUUCUGUCUUUUAAUUGACGCAUCUAGACCAUUGACAUUCGAAGUGACUAUUGAUAUAAUUAUAUUAAUAUUUGCCAUAAUUUUUAAUGUUUCUAUUUGUUGCUCUUGUUCUUUGUUCCUAUUUGUGUCUUCCACUUUUUUUCUGAACUUUGUUGUUUAAUUGAGCAUUUUAAAUAAUUUUCUAACUUUCUUAGCAUAUUAAUUCUUUUUUUUUGUUACUUUUUUUAGUGGUUGCCCUAGAGUUUGAAAUACACAUUUACAACUAAUUCAAGUCUGUUUUCAUAUAACACUUUGUCAUUUCACAGUGUGAGUACCUUAUAGAAACAAAAUAAUCUUGAUUUCUUCCUUCUUAUUUCUUUUGUUUUGCUGUCAUUCAUGUCACUUAUACAUAAGCAUACAUAGCUCUCAUUGUAUAUGUUAAAUUUACCAAUAUUUGAAUAUAUUAAUAUUAAACAUGUAUAUUAAAUAACUAUAAAGCACAAUAAUCAAAAACAUUGUGGCUAUUAAUAUUUUGAACAAAUGUAUCUGUUAUAUCAGUUAAGAAUGAAAAGCUUUUUAAAAAUUUUUUUAAUCAAUGUUUAUUUUUGAGAGAGAAAGAGAGCACAGGUGGGGGAGGGGUAGAGAGAGAGGGAGACACAGAAUCUGAAGCAGGCUCCAGGCUCUGAGCUAGUAGCACCACAUGGGGCUUGAACUCACAAACCGUGAGAUCAUGACCUGAGCUGAAGUCGUACACUUAACCAGCUGAGCCACCCAGGAGCCCAAGAAUAAAAAAGCUUUUAUAACAUAUUUUUAUUUUAUCACUUAUUUCUUCUCUGAUUCUGUUACUUUCUUUGUAGAUCUGAGUUUCUGACUUUUAUCACUUUUCUUCUCUAAAGGACUUCUUUUAGCAUUUCUUGCAAGGCAGGCCUGUCAACAACAAAUUCUGUCAAUUUUUUUUGAGAAAAUAUUUUUCUCACUUUCGAAGGAUAAUUUCGCAGGGCACAGAAUUCUAGGUUGGUAUUUAUUUUUUCUGUCAACAGUUUAAAUAUUUUAUUUCAUUCUCUUCUUGCUUACAUAGUUUCUGAGAAGUCAGAUAUAAUUCUUUUAUAGUCUAAGUGUUCUUUCCCUCUGCUUUAAGGAUUUUAAUUUUCUGUCAUUUGAAAAUGAUCCACAUAGGUGUAGUUUUUCUAUCAUUUAUUGUUCUUGGUGUUCUCUGAGCUUCUAGAUCUGUGGUUUGGUGUCUGACAUUAAUUUGGGAAAAUUAACAGUCCCUAUUGUUCCAAAUAUUUCUUCUGUUCCUUUCUUUUUCUUCUUUUCUAGUAUUUCCAUUGUAUAUAUAUUACACCUAUUUUAGUUAUCCGAAGUUCUUGGACAUUCUGUCCUGGUUUUUUCUGUGUGUUUUUUGUUUUGUUUUGUUUCUGUUUGCAUUUUGGUUUUGGAGGUUUGUAUUGAGAUAUCCUCAAGCACGGCAUGUCUUUCUUCAGCAUAUCCAGUCUGCUAAUAAGCUUAUCAAGGGUGUUCUUCAUUUCUCUUACAGUGUUUUUUAUGUAUAGCGUCUCUUUUUGGUUCUUUCUUAGAAUGCCUGUCUCUCUGCUUCCAUUGCCUGUAUGUCCUUGUAUGCUGUUUUUAUCUGUUGGAGCCCUUAGCAUAUAAAUCAUAGUGUUUUAAAUCCUGGUCUGAUAAUUUCAACAUUCCUGCCAUAUAGGAGUCUGGUUUUGAUGCUUGGCUUAAUUUUUUCAAAAAAAUUUUUUUCUUGAUAUAAGUGACAUGAUGUGCUAGGUAAAAGAGAGUACCACAAAUGGGCUGUUAGUAAUGUGCAGUUGGGGGAGAGUUCUAAGUCCUAUGAUUAGGUCUCAGCCUUUUAGCGAAUCUUAGUUUCUCUAGGCUGUAAACCCCGCAUGUAUUUCUCACUCUUCCUCCCUCCUGCUGCCUUAUACUGAGACAAGAAGAUUAGAAUGUGUUGGGAGUUGGAUACUUCUCUUUUCUCACAGGGAAGGUUAAAGGGGGAUGGUUGAGUAUUUCCCUUCCUCCAUGUGGAAGACUAAAAAUGGCUGGGUUUUUUUCUUGUUUGUUUUGUUUUUUAAUAUUUCUCUUCCCACUGAGUUAGGCUCUGAUAAAACCUCAACAGGUUAGGCUCUGGUUAAAUAACUUCUCUGAGGGCAGACCUUGUUAGGUAGAAUAGAGCCCUCCGGCAUUUUCCAAAAUGGUUCCUUUUCCCUGCCCCUUGCUGGAAGCAUGAGAAGGAUUUUGUCUGCUGCUCACUGUGAAAACGAAGUCAAGCUCAUGGAGGUAAAACUCAGAAAUAUGUGAGGUCUCCUAUGAAUGCAUCUCCUUGGGGUUUUUAACUGUCAAGAGUUGUGCACACUGAACCUCCAGCAGUUGUCAACUACACUUCAGGUUUUCCUUCUGAGCACCUGUUUCUUUGGAGGUUUAAACUCCUGAGUUUCUGCUCAGGUUAAUCAUGAUUCUCUGUAUUCACCCAUCAAUCUCUGCAGUUUUGAGGUCAGUGGUUUGUCCUGUAACCUCACUUCUCUUUUGGAUCCAAGAAGAUUUAUUGAUUUUCUGGUUUGUUCAGCCUUUUUACUUAUUAAGAUGCAGUGGCAACUUACAAGCUUAUUAUAUGGUGGACCAAAAACUGGAAGUCAAAGAUGUUCUUUUUUUAACUUUUUUAAAAUUGUUUUUAAAUUUUAAUUCCAGUAUAGUUAACAUACAGUGUUCUAUUAGUUUCAGUAUACAAUAAAGCGAUUCAGCAAUUCUGUGAAUCUAACACCUCAAUGCUCAUCCUGACAAGUGCACUCCUUAAUCUGCAUCACCUAUUUCCCCCGUGCCCCCACCCACCUCCCCUCUGGUGACCAUCAGUUUGCUCUCUGUAGCUAAGAGUCUGUAUCUUGGUUUUUCUCUCUCUCUCUGUCUUUCCCUCCCUCUCUUUCUCUCUCAUUUUCUCCCUGUGCUCAUUUGUUUUUAAUUUUUUUAAAUUUUUUUUUUUCAACGUUUAUUUAUUUUUGGGACAGAGAGAGACAGAGCAUGAACGGGGGAGGGGCAGAGAGAGAGGGAGACACAGAAUCGGAAACAGGCUCCAGGCUCUGAGCCAUCAGCCCAGAGCCUGUGACGCGGGGCUCGAACUCACGGACCGCGAGAUCGUGACCUGGCUGAAGUCGGACGUUUAACCGACUGCGCCACCCAGGCGCCCCUCAUUUGUUUUUUAAAUUCCACAUAUGGAUGACUUUCUUUUUCUGACUGGCUCAUUUCUGUUCUAUGUUCCAGUUCAUUGAUUCUUUCCAUUGCCUUAUUCAUUCUGCUGUUAAUUUUUUUAAUUUGGUUUUUGUACUUUUCAGUUCUAAAGUUUCCAGUUGGUUCUUCCUUGUAUCUUGUUUAUUUUCUGGGGAUUUCUGUUUCUUUGUCUAGAUUUUAUAUUUUUUCAUCUAUUUCAAGUAUGUCUGUAACCUGUAAUUGAAGCACUUUUUAUGAUGAGUGCUUUAAAAUAUUUGUCAUAUCAUGUAAUUCUAACAUCUCUGUCAUCUCAGUGAGGGUAUGUAUCAUCUUUUUUUAUUAUUCAGUUCAGCAUAUUGCUGUUUCUUGUUAUGAUGAGUGAUUUUCUACUUAGACCUGGACCUUGUGGGUAUUCUGUUAGAAGACUCUAGAACUCAUUAAAACUCUGAGUUUUUUUUUUUUUUUUUAAUUUUUUUUUUUUGACAUUUAUUUAUUUUUGAGACAGAGAGAGAGAGAGCAUGAACAGGGGAGGGUCAGAGGAAGAGGGAGGCAUAGAAUCUGAAACAGGCUCCAGGCUCUGAGCUGUCAGCACAGAGCCCGACGCGGGGCUCGAACCCACAGACCGCGAGAUCAUGACCUGAGCCGAAGUUGGACGCUUAACCAACUGAGCCACCCAGGCGCCCCAAAACUCUGAGUUUUAAUUGAUGUCCUAUGAAACCCCUCUGGAAGGUGAGGGAGGUUCACAAACUCAUUACUGCCAUAUGGAGGUGGAAGUUCAGGUUUCCCACUAACCUUCCACAGACAGCAGAGUGGAGGCUCCUUGUUAAUGCUGGGCAGGGGUGGGAAUUCUGGCUUGAGUCUGAUACCUCUCUGGCUGUGGGAAAUAAAAGUUCCCCAUUAUUGUUCCUCACAUGGUCUGUACUACCUAGUGGGGGUGGCCUUGUUACCACUGGACAGUGGUGAAAGUCUUGACCCUUCACUAGGCUUCUGCUGACACCACCCUCGUGGGAAGGGGAGGUCUGUCUUGGUAUUUCUGGGUGGAGGUUGAAGUCCGGACUCCUCAUGAUAUCUCUGAUGUCACUGUUCACAGGGGUGAGAGUAACUCAUUACCAUCCAAUUGGGAUGGCAGUUGCAGCCCCUACUUAUACUUCUUGGACAUCCCCAGAUUCAGUGGGUUAAGGUGUCCUGUGGGUUAAAGUGAGUUAUAGCCUUGUCUAGGCUUUCCACUUGGCCUUCGCUGAAAUGGGUGGGGAUGGGGCCACAGUUUUACCUGUUGUGUUGGCAUAGAGUGAUUAUUGUCUAAAAGUUUUGUCUUUGUAGUAUUCCCCUUUCUUGGUCCUUUGUUUAGAGAGAGUUGACUUUUGUCUGCGCUUGCUGGCAUUUCCAGACUGCCAGCUUCUUCAGCUCCUACUCUGAGAUAUAUGAGGCCAAAAGGUGACCAGAGAACUCAACAACAGUGUGUCAUUCCUUGGGUCCUCUAGUUCCUAGUCAGUAUCCCUUCUUCCAUCAUUGGGAAUUUUAUGUUUAUUUUAUAUAUAAUUUCUAGAGUUUUUCGUUGUACUUAGGGGAAUAGGUUAAAACAUAUCUUUUCUGUCUUACCAGAACUGUCCAUAUACUUUUAGUAAUACUUAAACUUUCCAUAUACUUCAAAGUAUGGUUUUCAUAUUCUCCUCUUCCAGACUAGUAGUUCCUUAUUAAAUAGCUAAAUAUUAAUAGCUCCUUAUCAGUAUUUCUAAAACUACAAGCUGUGGCCCACUGAUGAGUCAUAAAAUUGAUUUGAUAGGUCAUGACCAGCAUUUUAAAAAAUGAAAUAAAAUAUAAUAGAGUGGAAGAUAAAGUACCCCAUACACAGCAAGGGGAAUAAUUGUGUCAUCAUAUUUUUGAUUGCUCUGUGUGUGUGCACACAUGUAUGUGUGAAUACUGUGUUGCAAAGUAACAUGUAUUUCUUAUCUGUAGGUUAGUCAACAAAGUUUGAAAGCCAGUCACUUACAUGGCAAAGAAUGGUGAGAGGGAGAGGAGAGAAUUAUUUAAGCUACAUUAGAUACAGGCCCACAGGCACUCGUUGGGUUAGGGGAUUGUAUGUUAGCUCGGUACAGAUUGGACAGAAGUGCUCUCUGCCCCAGAAGGACUUGCCUGUAGGUUGAAAGGAGGAGAACACAGUGUCACUGUUGGCCCUGAACCCAGGUUCCUUCCCACAGCCUGAACUUGGCAGCAAGUAGGUUCUUACAGGGAAUGUUUGGAGGAGACUCCUUUGUACUCCAGACAUGGAUUCAUCCAAGCAGAUUUUCUUAGGAAAAGAAAGUAGAUUAGUACCGUCCACUCCAGCCCCAGACACCUGCAUGUCUGAGUUAAAAGCAAAGUCUUGCUGGGUACUUCUUGGGCUCUGCUGACACUUGAGUGAGGCCAGGUCAGUAGGGAGAGACAGGAAACCAGAACACUGGUGGAUAAUCCUCAGGGCUGUUCCUUGGUGGGGAGAGUAAAAAAUAAAUUUCCCAAAACAAAAUAGUAGAACUUCAAGACCUGUGUUACUGAAGGAUAAGCACAAGAGGUUGGAUAUAAAUCUGGUAAAUAUAAAAUGGCCAGAACACCUUAAAUUUCCAUGGAGUGCUCCAUAUUGUUUUCCUUUAGCAGACUCUUUGGAAGCUAUUAACUCAUGUGAUCUCAUACUAGAUGAAUUGUAUGUGUCCUAGAGAUUCUAACAAUGAAUCUUGAUUGCCUGUUUUGGGCCAGGCUCAAUGCUAGGCACUUUUACGUGGGUACUGUUAUGGACUCCUUCGAAUACCCCUGUGAACAAGUGUGAUUAGCCCCAAUUCACAGAUGAGAGUGAUGAGACUUAAAGAAGUUAAGUAAUUUGUCAAAAAUUUUGUAAGUGGCAGAGUCUGGAUUUAGACCAGGUGAACAGAGCUCAGGUCCAGCAUGCCUUUUACUGCACUACAGUUGCUUUUGUGAAAUGAGGCCAUGAGAGACUGCAACCAGUCUCCCUGAGAAUGAAGAGGCCCAAAUAUUUUUUAAAGGUCUACAGGACCUACUGUUGAUAUGUAGGCAGUGAAAAGGCUUCAUGAUAUAGGACUCUUUCUGCAGCUUGACUAUUUAAAGAAAAUGAAUCAUCGUCCCUAAAACAAAUUUUACUGGUUAAAAAGAGAUCACCAUGAAAUCUACCAGACCAUAAAACAAAAUGUGAAAUAUGACAGGAGAUAGAAGCAAUUUCAUCUAAUACUGAAUGGUGUAUUUUCAGAAACAGCUGUAAAUUAAAUAAAGGAGCACAUAUUUGAAACUGUUUAAGCCUUUAACAAAUAUUUGGGACAGUGAAGCUGUUAUGGGAACUUACUGUCGGUGAUAAAAGAACCAGUAGAGAUAAAUUCUGGUUAAUAAAUCCUGUCAUUUUGUCAAUGGAGUAGAAAGUACUUUCAAUAAGAGGUUCAUGAUGCAGGACACAUUCCAGAAACCCUGUCUUCAACAUCUGGAGUAGGUGGCAUGGUCUAAACCCACAUAUCAGCCUGCUGUUACCAUUUCUGUUCUCCUCUAGUGUUAAAACAACCAAAGAAAAUCAAAACAGAUACCUGAACAAUCCCUACCUCAGCAUCAGAAAUAGCAAAGUGGUUCCUGAGCAGAUUAAUAAAGACAGUACUAAGGGCUGAAGUGCAGACUGAGCAAUACAGGUAGAAACCUUAAUAAUUGACUCUAUGUCAGCUCUGAGUGGCUAUAAAGGAUUCUUUGGGGACAGUGUUUUAUAAGGCAACACAAUUGACUGAAUCAGCUAGACCAGCUCUCUUAGCCGAGUUAGGGUGGGGGUGGUGGUUGGGAAGACUUGAACGUCUAAAUCAGGUGCAUUAUUCACUAUGCAGAGGUUUAAUUAAAAAGGGGGGAAAAUCAUAUGCUGUAACCUUCUGUAGGAAAAAUGCCUUUUUUUAAAACCAUCGUUCCAGUGACACCUGGAUCAUUACAGUGAAGAAUUUAAAAUCUAAUCACCCACAGGGUAUUUACACAUGUUAUCACAGGAGCUUGGAGAGCAAAUCAGGAUAGACCUAGGUGCUUUUUAUUUAACCUGCAGUCAGUCUUGUCUUUUCAGUUCCUCAGAUGCAAAUACAAUAUCAUUAUGGAGGUAACUCAAUUUACAUAGAUGUAUUCCUGAAAACCAGAUGUGCUGUGUGAAAGCCAAAUUGUUGUGGAUCAAAUUACGUUUUAUAUCCUAAGGGAACUUGUUAUUUAAGCAUCUGUGAUGCUUGCUAUGACUUAAAGCAUUGGCAUUUAUAGGCCAAAUGGUUGUCUCUGUUCUAAGAUGGUGUGUCUGUGUUACAGUCAGGGUCAUGUUAGGUAGGCUAUGCUGUGGGAAAAAAUAAGUGUCAUUGACUUAAUGCAACAAAGGUUGAUUUCUUAUUUUUAUCAGAAUCUGAUGCAGGUUGAACGUGCCCCCACCCCCCCACCACCCCAUGCUGCUGUCUUCCAGGUACCCAGGGACUCCGGGACUCCCAAUGGUUUCAUUCUUGCAACUCUAACAUUUCAGUGUCAUAUGACCACAAAUAGAUGCACAUAGGCAGAAAAGAUAGCAAGGUGAGUGCCCAGGAAGUCAAAAAUAGUUUGGUGACCACCCUAGCAUUUGCCACUGUGUGAUUGCUUCUGUGGGUUUUGGAAGCAAUGAUGAGACUUUCUGGAAUAGCCAAAUGAUUUUCAGAGCUCUUGGUACAUUACACAUUCAGUAAUACUUUUUGUGUACAAAUAUAACUGUUCAUUAAAAUAAUGAUAAAGGCCAUCUCUUAGAAAAGAUACAUUGGCCAUGAGAUUCAGGAACCAGAGGAAGAAGAUCCAUGGGAAAGGAGUACUGGCCCUCACAAGGAAUGUUGGCACAAAAUGCGCUCUGUGCGGUAUCAUUAGUCAUAAGUGCAUGCUUUCUAGUUUCCUUUGCCUUGACUUUAUAGUCACCUCCUGGAUUAGUCUCAAAUUGCUCUUCUGACUCUGGUCCUCUUGUUUACUUGUGCUUGGCCUGCAUGUUCCUGACUUGGUCCCCAACCUCAACCUACAACCCUGAUCCUUCCCUUCAUUCUACAUCCUUGAUUUGUAAUUGCCUUCCCAGUAUCUGACCAUUGUCCAUAUUCUGCUCAUAUCACUGCUCUCAGAUAGCAUAUGCUGCUGUGUUCCCUAAAGCCUGCUCAAGGACAUCACUCUGGCAAUUCUUCCAUUCUCCUCCAUCACCAAACUUCCCCUCUCCACUGAAUAUCCCCUCUCUACUGCAUUCAUUGUUUCUCCCAUCCUAAAAGAAAACUCCUCUUGACCUCAGUUCCCAUUCUAGUAACUAUUUAAUCUCCUUAUUACUUCAAAGCAUGUUAAGUUUUAAAAAUUAAUUUAUCUCCUCCCACUCUCACCUGAAAGUACCUUAAUCAGGCCUUCACUACUGCUAUUCUCCUGAAACUGUAUUUGUCAAGGUCACCUUUGAUUUCAGUGUUGCUAAAUCCAAUAGUUACAUUCAGUCUUCAUCUUACUUAAAAUCUCAACAGCACUUGACACACAGCUGUUCACUCUCUUCUCUGUGAAACUCUUUCUCUUGGCUUCCAAGAUAAUCACACUUGCUUGGUUUUUCAUCUACUUUUAUAAAUGUUCUUUCUCAGUCUUUUUAUUUUCCUUUUUCCCCUGUUUUACCCCUUAUUUCCUCAUCUAAAGGAACUGAGUACCGCAGUGCUUAGACCUUGGAUCUCUUCAUUUUUUCUAUCCAUUGUCACUUCAUAGGUGAUCUAGUCUAGAUUUAUGGCUUUAAAUAGCAUCUCUGUGUUGAUGUCAUCCAAAUUCUUCAACCCAGUUGUCUUCUCUGAGAUUCAUACAUCCUACUGCCCACUUGACAUCUAUACUUGGAUGUCUAAUAGGGGCUGCAAAUUUAACAUCUCCAAAGCUAAGCUCUGGAUCUUUCUCUAAACCAGGUUUUCUUACUCUCUUCUCCAUUUCAUUUCAUGGAACUUCAUGUUUUUAAAUUGCUAGGAUAAAAAAAAUCUUGAUACUCAGCUUUAACUCUUCCCUUUUUCUCAACAACAGUCAUUGAUCCAUCAGAAAAUCCUGACAAAUUCUUCUAAAAUUUGACCACUUGUCACAAUUCCCAUUAUGUCUCACUUAUGUUAUCACAUAACUCCCUAUCUGAUGUUUUGCCUGUGUCUUUGUUCUCCCUGCCUCCCUCUAAAUCUGUUCGUACCAAAGCAUCCAAAGUGACCCUAUGAAAAUAUAAAUCAAGUCAUAUCAUCCUUCUGCUUAUUACUGUCAUUGGAUUCCAUUGUCAUCAGACUGAAACCCAAAGUCCUCAUGAUCACCUGUGGGGCUCUGUGUGACCUGGCUCCUGGCUCCUGGCUCCUGGCUAUUUCUGUUAUUACUCUUGCUCUUUCCACUUCAGCCACUUUGCAUAUGCCAGGCAGUCUUCCCCUUCUAGGUCUUGACCUUGCUGUUUCCUCUGCCAGGUGUGCUCUUUUCCCAGCUAUUCACAUGGUUCACUCACUUUCCUCAUAUCUUUACUUAAGUGCAGCAUCUCUGAUCACUUCCUGAUCACUUAUUGAAAAAUUUCAAUUAAUUCCCUGAUAUUUUCUGUGCCUCUACCAUGAUUUAUUUUCCCUCUUGCCAUAACAUAUUCUUUUUUUUAAUUUUUUUCUAAUCUUUAUUUAUUUUUGAGAGACAGAGUGUGAGCAGGGAAGGAGCAGAGAGGGAGACAGAGAAUCCAAAGCAGGCUCCAGGCUCUGAGCUGUCAGCACAGAGCCCGACGCAGGGCUGAAUCUCACGAACUGCGAGAUCAUGACCUGGGCCGAAGUUGGACACUCAACUGACUGAGCCACCCAGGCACCCCAACUUUUUUUUAAGUUUAUUUAUUUUGAGAGAGAGAGAGUGUGAGGGGAGCGGAGCAGAGAGAGAAGGAGAGGAAAGAAUCUCAAGCAGGCUCUGCACUGUCAGGAGAGACAAGGCUUGAUCUCAUGAACCAUGAGAUCAUGUCCUGAGCCAAAAUCAAGAGUUGGAUGCUUAACGAACUGAGCCACCCAGGUGCCUCCAGACAUACCAUAUUCUUAAACUAAUUUUAUUUUUAAAUUUUAUCUUCCCCAUUGGAGUAGAAGCUCCAUGAGGGUGAGAUAUUUGGCUGAUUUGCUUGCUCUUGUGACUCAAACAAUGCCUGAGAUAUAGUAAGUGCUCAAGAAACAUUUGUUGAAUGGAAGAGCAAAUCAGUGAUAGAUUGUGUUCCCAAAGGUAAUUUGAAAUUCUCCUAUUGAGAACAUUGUUCAUAUUUUCCCACAGAAGUAAUGAUAUUCAUGGCAAGUCAGUCCUAUGCCAUUGGCUCAAAAUCUAAGUUCUACAGUAUGCCUAAAACGAGGGGCUUUUGUUGAGGUGUCAUACAAUGUCCCCUAGCUAGCUUUUACCACUGAGACAUACUUGGAAGCAACUGAUCACAGUAUAGUGUUGUGAGGGCUAUAAAAGAGGAAUUGCAGAAUCGAAUCCAGUGGGAAGCUCAGAAGAAGGAGGAGUGAUUUUGGAAUUGGAGUUAACUUCACAAAAGAAGUGGGUCUGUAAGAAUGGAUGAAAGUUUGCCUUAGAAAAGGAGGGAUAUUUAUUUAUUUAUUUAUUCAUUCAUUUAUUUAUUUAUUUAUGAAUAUAAUUUACUGUCAAAUUGAUUUACAUACAACACCCAGUGCUCAUCCCAACAAGUGCCUCAAUGCCCAUCACCCAUUUUCCCUCUCCCCCACCCCCCCAUCCACCCUCAGUUUGUUCUCUGUAUUUAAGAGUCUCUUGUGGUUUGCCUCCCUCCCUCUCUGUUUGUAACUAUUUUUUCCCCCUUCCCUUCCCCCCAUGGUCAUCUUCUAAGUUUCUCAAGAUCCACAUAUGAGUGAAAACAUAUGGUAUCUGUCCUUCUCUGACUUAUUUCAUUCAGUAUGAUACCUUCCUUCCAUCCACAUUGCUGCAAAUGGCAUGAUUUCAUUCUUUGUCAUUGCCAAGUAGUAUUCCAUUGUAUAUAUAAACCACAUCUUCUUUAUCCAUUCAUUAGUUGAUGACAUUUAGGCUCUUUCCAUAAUUUGGCUAUUGUUAAAAGCACUGCUGUAAGCAUUGGGAUACAUGUGUCCCUAUGCAUCAGCACUCAAAAAGGAGGGAAAUUUAAGAGGCAGAAGGAAUAGUAUAUCAGAUAUCAUAAGUAUAAAAGUAUAUGGUAUAUUCAUAAAAAGAACAAAUUUUAUGUGACUGGAAUAUUAAGAGAGGCAGGUGAGUUGUAGAAAUGCCAUGAGCCAUGUUAGGGAACUGAGAUAUACUCUAUCAGUGCUAAGAAAGGUUUCUGGAUUGAAUGGAGUUUUGGAGACUGAAAAGAAGCAAAAACUCAUUGCUUCCAUAAGAAAUUAUCUUAACACUUUGUGGCUUAUCAGUUGUUGGGUUCUCAAAUUUCCUUUGGUUUCUAACUAAUUCAAAAAAUUAAUUGAUUGAGCUACUUCAAAGUUUAGGUAAUUACUAGUAUCUAAAAUCUUAUGUACUUCUAAUUCACUGUGAUAAGUAAUAUGCUCACUUUUACCUUAUUUUCAGAAUGUCUGACCUCUGGAAGUCCAAAUAGGAAUUUACUGCGUUUUACCCAAAUAUCAUCUUUAUGAUAUCCACAUACAUUUUGGUUAAAUACUGGCAUGUUAUCUUUAUGAUCAUAGCUACUCAAUAAAGUCAAAUUUGAAAUUUAGAAAGAAACUGGUGACCUGGAUAAAGGCCUAUCAAAAAUGCAGGUGCCAGAAACCUGGGAGAGAUAGCCAAGGGAAAAGACAAAGGAGUCAAGAUUCAAAAUGAUCCUGAGCCUGAAUCCUGAAUGCCGAGUCUACACCAAGAAGAAAAAAUUUAAAUGCAGAAAAGCUUAAUGUCCUGAGUGUAGGUUCAGAAAUUUAAUUAUGUGAGUCAAGAUUGCGGAGGGGGGGCUUGAGCUGGCACCUGAUAGGAAGCUAACUAAGUACCAGGUACCAUUCUGAGAGCUCUCUGUAAGUGAAACCAUUUAAUCCUAACGGCAUCCCUAUGAAUAAGGGAAGUUAUUUUCCCCAUUCCACAGGCACCAGAAUUCUCCCAAUGUCAUAUACCCACAGAAUGGUAGAGGUAGGGUUCAACUGACCUGGUAACUACUGUGCUGUACUCCGUGGUAGCAGUUCACGCGAACAUUUUAGAAUAACAGGGCUUGUAGGAAAUUGAGAGAUCAGGAUAUUCAUGGAUUCUUUGCGCUUUCUGGGCAAUGCCUUUAUAGGUCCCCUCCAAGAGCAGUGGGGUGAGUAACUGGGUGGGCAGAGAUCCAAUGAGGCAAACAAAACCAGCACACUUCCAUUGGUUCUGUUUCCCUGUUGGGGAUACAAAUAUGGUUCCAUUUGAAGUAAGAGUUCACACAACUCUUUUAAAGAAGUGCCUUUGACCUUAUAGCCUAAGCACUUGUAUUGUUCAUGAGGAUGCCAUGGCCAAACUAAUGAGUGUAAUAUGAACUAACAGUGAAAGGGGCCUUCUUGAACAUAAAACCCAUUUUUUUUAGUAUGAUUCCAUUUUUUAGAAAAAAAUUAUUGUGGUAAGAACAUUUAAAGUGAGAUCUAACCUCUUAAAUUAUUAACUGUACAGUGCAUUAUUGUUGGCAAUACGUACAAUGCUAUACAGCAGAUCUUUAGCACUUGUUCCUCUUGCUCAACUGAAUCUUUAUGCCUGUUGAUUUGUAACUCCCUAUGUCUCCCUGCCUGGCUCACUUGGAAACUACCAUUCCACUCCUUGAUUCUGUGACUUUGACUCUUUCACAUAUUUCAUAUAAGUGAAAUUAUGCAGUAUUUGUCUUUCUCUGAUGGGCUUAUUUUACUCAGCAUAAUGUCCUGAAGGUUCAUCUAUGUUGUCACGCAUGGCAGAAUUUCCUUCUUUUUAAAGGUGGAAUAGUAUUCCAUUCUAUGUGUAUCCCAGUUUUCUUUAUCUAUUUAUUUGUCAAUGGACAUUUGGGUUUUCUUCCCACAUCUUGGUGGUUAUAAAUAAUGCUGCAAUGAACAUAGGAUAAAGCUAUUAUCGCUUUGAGAUUCUAAUUUCAAUUCAUUUAGAUAAAUACCCAGAAGUAGGAUUGCUGGAUCACAUAGUUCUAUUUUUAAUUUUACAUACUGUUUACCAAAGAAGCUGCAUCAUUUUUGUUCCAACUAACAGCGCACAAAUAGUCUAAUUUCUCCACAUCCUUGCUAAUGCCUGUUAACUUUUUUUGAUAAUAACCAUCCUGAUAAGAGUGAAGUAACAUCUUACUGUGGUUUUGAUUUGCAUUUCUCCCAAGAUUAGUGACAGCAUUUAAAAAAAAAUGUACCUAUUGGCCAUUUGAAUGUCUUCUUUGGAGAAAUGUCUAUUCAGGGCUUUGGCAACAUUAAAAAGGGCAUUUGUGUUCCACAUACCAGAGAUGACUGUUCUUUCUUGCACCACAUUGGAAUAAUGUACUUAAUUCAGGGGUUGCAUUGUAACUGAGCUACAGAGUGGUCCCCAGAAAGGCAGACAGCAUGCUGUGCGGUCUGGAACAUACAUAGAAAAAGACUGAAGUGGUUAAGGAUGUCUAGCCUGGAAAAGAAGUGAAGGAGAAGGCUGACAGUUGUUUCAAACAUGAAGGGCCAAUUUGUCCGAGAAGGAAAAGUUUGAGGAAUAAAACGCUUUGGUCUCGAGAUAAACAUAAAGAGUGCUUUAAUAGUAGAAUUCCAGAAAUGGAAAAGGCAUCUCAUGAGGUAGUAAGGUCCCUGUCGUGAGAUAUAUUCAAGCCAGGUGGUGAGCACUGUAGAGAUGCUGCUGAAGUGGUUCCUCCAAUGGUUAGGAGGUUUGACAAGUUAGCGUCUGAGAUCACUUUAAACUGUAAGAACAUAUGAGUCUAAGAGGUCCUCAGUCCAAAGGGUAAGCCGUUAAAUCUUUACACUCCAUUUGAUGUUACAAAUACCAUUUUAGAUUAUAUUCUUUAUCCAAGGUCAUUUACCAUAACCCUUUAUAUAAAUCAAUAGAUGAUAUGAUUUUAGCAAUUCCCAGCUGAUCUAACAAUAUAUCAAUUCUAAACAUAGAAUACGCAUUAGAUUUGGUUCACAGAUCAAAGAGUUUUAGAGCUAUGAGCUAUGAAGGCCUUAGAGAUUGUCUGAUUCAAUCCUUUUAUUGCAGGAUGACAGAAUUGAAGCAAAGAGGCAGCGUGUCUUCUCCUGCCUUACCUAGGUCCCUGCAGAGGCAUAAGGAAAUGAACAGACUCAACCCCGUCCAUUUCUAAGCCAGUAUAAACUAGGGCAGGACCCUUAGCAACAGUCUUUGGCUCACAUCUGGGAAGGCCUAGAAUUUGUUGAAUAAUGAUAGUCGUGGUUUAUCAAGUGCCAGUUCUGUAGCAGACACUAUUAUGGGUGUUUUGCAAACACUGUGAAACUUAAUUCUAUGAGAGCAGGAUUAUUAUCUUUAUAUUACAGAUGAGGAAAGUGAGGCUCUGUGAUUUACCCCAGGUCACAGAGCUAGUAAGGUGGCAGACAUCUGAUUCUAAUACGCAAAGGUUUAACCCUAAAGCUUAUGUUCUUACCCACUUCAUGUUGCCAUUCAGGCAUAGCCCAUAUCUGCUCACCUUUCCUGGUGCACUUUCUUUGCUCACCAGAUUGGAUCUUCCUAAUACAGGCAUUCUCCUGGAUCAUGCCUGAUGUAACUACUCCUUAUGGACAUAGGGUAUGGAGCCAUUGACCUGCUCCUCAGGACCAGGUUUGGCAGCCAGGCCAUCACCAUACUUUUGAGGGUGUAAUUUUUCAUAGUUUUCACCUUGUGUUAGGACAGGUGAAGUAGCUUGCUCAAGGACACAAACAGUAUAAAAGAGAUCUGGGACAUGGGCCCCAGAAUUCUAUUACUCAGCAUAGUGCACAUUCUUCUAUCCUUCAUUCUAUCUCCCCAUAAAGCUGUAAAUAAGACAUAUACUUUUCGUUUUUUAAUUUGAGCUUCACAGACUAAUACAAAGUAAAAAGCCAGGAAUUAUGUUCUGUUGUCUUCUGGCACUGACUAUUGGCUGUGAAGCCAUCCAGGAUAAUAUGGGUUUCUAGUAUCCUUGUAGACAACUCAAUAUUUUUCUCCCUUGUAUAGCGUCAGUCUUCAGGCUCAAGCAUUUUCCAAUUAAUUAGAGAGUUUUUAAAGUAUUCUGUACCAUUUGGUGUAUUCUAUUUGUUACAAACAAUUGAUUAUGUGUAUGGUUGAUCUCUUUUGUCUUCCAUAGCUAUCAGCUACUCUUGAAUCAUUUUUAAAAAUUUUUAAUAUUUAUUUAUUUUUGAGAGAGAGCGAGACAGAAUGCAAGCAGGGAAGGGGCAGAGAGAGAGAGACACAACACACACAGAAUCCAAAGCAGGCUCAAGGCUGUGAGCAGUCAGCACAGAGCCUGAUGCGGUGCUUGAACUUGUGAACCAUGAGACCGUGACCUGAGCUGAAGUCGGAUGCUUAACUGACUGAGCCACCCAGGUGCCCCUCUUGAAUCAUUUUACUAAAAGAUUUCUAUUCAUUCCUCUCUUAGUUUCUUUAUUUAUAUUUAGAAACUACUUAAAACACUUGCAGAAUGUUGAAGUUUUAACUCCAAUAGGGGUUAGUCUAUUUCUCCUUUCAGUUCUGUCAGUCAUUGCUUUAUGAAUUUUGAAGCUCUUUUAUUAGAUAUGUGCACAAUUAGGAUUGUUCUCUCUUCUUCAAGUUCUUACCAUUAAAAAAGUCCUUCCUAAUUCAUGAUAAUAGUCCUUGUUCUGAAGUCCCCUUUUCUGAAAUUAAUAUAGCUAUGUUAGAUAUAUAUUUUUUAAUUUUUUAAUGUUUAUUUUUGAGAGAGUGUGUGAAUGGAGGAGGGGCAGAGAGGGGGACACAGAAUCUGAAAUGGGCUCCAGGCUCUGAGCUGUCAGCACAGACUGAGCCACCCAGGUGCCCUAACUAUAUUAGAUAUUUUAUUCUGAUUGAUAGAUAUCUUUUUUCAUUGUUUUACUUUUAACCGAUUCAUCUAGUUUAGUUUUCAGUUAACAUUAGCAUGCUCUUUUUCUGUUCUCUUACUUUUGAGAUACCUGUAUUGUACUUAAAGUGAGGUUGUUGGGGCACCAGGGUGGCUCAGUCAGUUAAGCACCUGACUUCGGCUCAGGUCGUGAUCUAACGAUUUGUGAGUUCGAGCUCCCUAUUGGGCUCUGUGCUGACAGCUUGGAGUUUGGAGCCUGCUUCGGAUUCUGUGUCUCCUUCUCUCUCUGCCCCUCCCCCACUUGUGUUCUGUCUCUCAAAAAUAAAUAAAUGUAAAAAUUUUUUUUUAAAUAAAUAAAGUGAGGUACUUGGGGUGCUUGGGUGGCUCAGUUGGUUAAGUGUCUGACUCUCGAUUUUGGCUCAGGUCGUGACCCCUGCAUCUCGCUCUGUGCUGACAUGACAACAUGGAGCCUGCUUGGGAUUCAUUCUCUUCUCUCUGCCCCUCCUGCUCACAGUCUCUCUCUUUCAAAAUAAAUAAACAUUAAAAAAAAAAAACAAGGUAAGUUUCUUAUAGGCAACAUAUAGUUGGGAAAUUUUUUAAUACACUGUAUUUCUGUCUUGUGAUUAGUGUAUUUGAACUGCUUAUAUUUACAUUAUAUAUUACACUAAGUCUGCUCUGAUAAUCUGCUUGUUUUUUUUUUAAGUUUUAUUUAAAUUCUAGUUAGUUAAUAUACAGUGUAAUAUUUCAGGUAUACAAUAUAGCGAUUCAGCACAUCAUACACCCCCCGUGCUCAUCAUGGCAAGGGUCGUUAAGGAUCAUCCUUAAUCUCCAUCACCUGUUGCAUCUAUUUCCUCACCCAUGCCCUUCUGGUAACCAUCAGUUUGUUCUCUAUACUUAAGAGUCUGUUUCUUGGUUUGCCUCUCUCUUUUUCCCCCCUUUUGCUCAUUUGGUUUUUUUAAUUAAAUCCCACAUAUGAGUGAAGUCAUAUGGUAUUUGUUUCCCUUGUCUCUGUUUCUUCUUGUGAGUUGCAAUGUUCUGUAGAUAUCAGAUCAAGUUGGUUGCUAGUAUAGCUCAAGUCUUCCUUGAUUUUUAUUUUUUCUGUGCUGUCUGAAGUCUCUACUUUUCUGUAUUCUCCUUUGCAUUUCCGUGUGAAUUUUGGAGUCACUUUUGCAUUCCUUGAAAGACUGCUAAUGUUUUAAUUGAGAUUGCAUAAAUCUCUAUAUAUAAUGUAGGACAACUGAUAUUUUCAUGGUAGAGAGUAUCCUUAACUAUGAAUAUGGUACAAAUUUACAUUUAUGUAGUUCUCUUUAUUGUCUUUCACUUUUGGUUUGUACUUUCUCCAUAAAAACAUUGCCCACGUUUUGAUAUAUUUAUGCCCAGGUACUUUAUAUGUUUUUAUGGUACUUCAAAUAUUUAAAACUAUUUUCUGUUUACUGCUGUUACAGAGAAGUAGAAUAUCUGUAUAUGAAUUUUAGUCUAGCUGCUGCCAUAUUUUCUUACUAAUUCUAGGAAUUUGCAAAAUCAUUUGGAUUUUCUGUGUAGAUAAUCAUAUCAUCUGUGAAUAAUGACAGUUUGUUUCUAUGAUUCCAAUCUUUAUAGCUUUUAUUUUCUUUAAUAAUAAUAUAUGGAUUAGGCUCUCCAGUGCUAAAUAGGAGUUAUUUUAUUAGGAAACUUUAUCCUGUUACUGAUUCUACAGAAAAUAAUACUAACAAUUCUCUAUUGAGGUGAUGUUUCUUCCAGGUUUUUGGUAAGAUGUCAUUUACUAGGUUUAGGAAGAUACUGUAUACAUGUACUGUUCAUGUGUGUCUUCAGAAUUAAGUUCAUACUAAUCCCAUAAAAUGAACUAAUGCCAAAAAUUGCUCUGGAGAUUGGGGAUAUAGCACAGAACAAAACAGAUAAAAAUCCUUACCUUUAUUUCCUUAUGUUUUGUUGUUCCUUGAAUAUUUGGCAGAAUUUACCUAUAAAACGUUUUGAGACCAGUGUUUACUUGGUAGAAUAUUUAAAAAUUGCUGGCUCAGUGUCUUGUAUGACCAGUGUUUUUCUAUUCUUUUUGGGCCAUUUUUGAUAAAUGAUUCAGGAAUUUGUGGAUUUUCUCUACAUUUUAACAUACACUGGUAUACGAUUAAUGAUAAUUGAUAUCGUUUAUCUCUUUGCUGUAUUACUGGUUGUAUCCCUCUUUCAAAUAUUAUUACUCUCUUUUUAUAUCUUUAUCUUAAUUUUAUUUUUUGUACUUUUUGCAUAGGUAAUGUAUUUAUGUGGUUAAAAUUCAGGAGGCCAAGAAGGAUAUACAGUGGAAAAUCUCUCUCUCUUUCUUGUUUUUCUGCCAUUAAAUUACCCUCUAAUUACUGUUAUCAAUUUCUUGCAUAUCCUUCUAGAUAAGGAUACAUAUAUGUAAAAAUAAGUAUAUAUAAGUAAAUAGUUCAACACUUUCUUAAUUGGAAAUAUGCUUUUGUUCCUCUAAACUCUUGCACUCAAUAAUAUAUGGAAUAGUAAUUUUCCAUAUCGGGAAAGAUCAAUGCUUUCAUUUUCUUUUGUGGAUACAUAAUAUAAUCCUAUAUGGAUAUAUGUAGUUUAUUUUAUCAGGGUUGUUUUUUUUUUUUUUUUUGGUCAAAGGACCUAAAUUUUAUACUAUCUUAUGCUACUAACUUUGGACAUUUGUCAUUCUACACUUGUGCAGAUGUAUCUUAGGAUAAAUUCCUAGGAGCAAAAUUAUUAGAUCAAAGGGUACAGGAAUAUAUUUUAUUUUACUCAUUUUGGGUAAACCAAACAUGCAUGUGUGUACAAUUCAAAAGAAACAAAGGGGUAAAUGGUGAAAAAUAAAUCUUCCCCAUAUCCCUUUUGCCAAGUUCUUCCCAGAGGCAAUCACGUUUCUUUCCAGAGAUAUUCUAGGUAUAUACAAAUAUAUAUGCAUAUGUAGGAUAACUUCUGUUUCAGAUUGCGUUUCAGUUUGUGGGUAUCUAAAAGGUUUUGCUUAUUAUUUUGGCCAAAAAAGAAUUACCAGGUUUAGUGAAUCUACUUAUUUUAAGAAUCUCCUUGUUGUCUUUCAGAUUCAGCCUUAUACCUUUGGACCUCAUCAGGACAAAUAAUGUCCUCUAUUGACUUUUAUUAUGCCCACUCAUAUAUUUUAGAAGAAAGAGGAGGUAUUUUUAUGCAGUCCUUAAUUUUUGUUGUCCAGAAAUUUCAAACAUGAUACAAUUUGAAUUGUUUCCUAUCUUACACCUCCUCAUCUGAUAUCCUCUUGGGCAUGAUUUCAUCUUUCUUUUGCACCGGGCUUUCAUUUCUUGUGUGUCAUGUAUUUCUCUUUCUUGAUUUACUUCCUAGCUUUGAUGGGAUACAUUCUUUAGUAGUAUUCUGAGAAAGCGUCUGUAGCAGGAAAAAAUUUUAGAUUAUCUAUGUCUGAAAACAUCUGUACUUCUCCCAUCCAUUUAAUUGGUAUUUGGUUGGUAUAGAAAUAGAAUGUAGAAAACAUUUUCCUUUAGAACUUUGAAGUCAUUGUUUAAGUGUCUGUUAGUUUUCCAUAUUGGUAUACAGAUAUCCGAAGCUAUUGUGAUUCUCGAUCCUAUCUAUGUUACCUGUUUUUUCCCUCUAGAAGUUUUAGGAUCUUUUUCUUCUUCUCAGUGGUCUGAAAUUUCACAGCAAUAUGCCUUAGAGUGGGCUUGCUUCCAUCCAUUGUGCUGUACCCUUUUCAGUCUUGAAAAUUGUGUCUUUCAUUCUUGAUAAAUCUCCUUGAAUUAUUUCAUUGAUGAUAUUCUGCUUUAUCUUUUCUCUCUUUUUGGAUGCUGGACAUACUGAAAUGGAUUUCUAAUUAGAUUAUCUUUUUUUUCUACUCGGAAUAAUUUAUUGUCUUUUUACUUUAUGGUAAAAUUUCUUAAAUUUAUUUAGCAGUCCCCCUUCCUGAGUUUUAUUUCUGCUAUUACACAUUCAGUUUUGUUUCCUACAUGUUCCUUUUAUUCUCACAUUCUGCUAUUACUUCAUUAAAACUUUGUCUUUUCUUGUAUCUCUGAAGAUACUAAUGGUAACUUAAAACUUUUUUCCUUCCCUUUCUGAGAAAUCUUUGCUUUAUUUAAGUUGCCCCCCUCCCAUUUGUUCAGUUUUGUUUGCCUUUCAUGUUAGAGGCUUUCUUGUAUAUCUGAUAAUCUUUGGUUGUAUAUUAAUGACUGAGAGCCAGAGACUAAAAAUUUAUUUAGAAGCUCUCAGCAUUUGGUGGGUUUUCAACUUUGAAUAUCACUGUUGGCCAAAGAGUGUGAGAUGUCUUGUGGGGAAAGAAUUUUGUUAAUAACUUUGUUUCUAGUUUCCCAACUUAUCCUUUCUUUAUUAAUUACUUUCUUGUACUUUUUUGGGGUUUAUUCUCUUGUUUUAUUCUCCCUCACUUCCUGGGUUGUUUACCUUACGAGGUUUUACCCCUUCCUCUUUUCUAAGUAUUUAAAUCUAUAAAAAUUUUUUCUAAGCAUCACUUUGCCUAUGACCUACAAAGUUUGAUGACUGGUAGUUUGAUUGUGGGUCUUCGUCCUCUACCCGUGAAUUAUUUAGAAGCUUGUGUGUGUGCACACAUACAUGUGCACACCUUUGUUUUCCAUUCAUAUGUUUCUUUUUUAAAUUGCAUUGUGGUCAGAAAUAUCUGGCCUUUGUGAUAGUAAUUAUUGAGAACAGUUGCAUGUUGGAGCACCUGGGUAGUUCAGUCAGUUCAGCAUCCUACUCUUGACGUCUGCUCUGGCCAACAUCUCAUGGUCCUGAGUUCAGACCCCGACUUUGGCCCCACAUGGGGCUCUGUGCUGACAGCAUGGAGUCUACUUGGGAUUCUGUCUCUCCCUCUCCCUGCCCCUCCCCUGCUCAUUCUCUUUCUCUCUCCCCCCCCUCCCUCCCUCCUUCUCUCUCUCUCUCUUGCUCUCUCAAAUAAACUUAAAAAAAAUUUAAAAAAGGGGGAUGCCUGGGUGGCUCAGUCAAUUGAGCGACUGACUUCAGCUCAGGUCAUGAUCUCAUAGUUCAUGAGUUUGAGCCCUGCGUCGGGCUCUGUGAGGACAGCUUGGAGCCUAGAGCCUGCUUCAGAUUCUGUGUCUCCCUCUCUCUCUUCCCCUCCCCUACUCAUGCUCAGUCGCUCUCUUGCUCUCUCUCUCAAAAAUAAAUAAAUAUGUGCUCAGUUAGUAUGUGCUCAGUUUUCAUAAAUAUCCCCUGUAUGUUUGUAAAAAGAAAAGUUACCAAAUUAUUGGUUGCAUAGCCUGUAUAUAUGUCUUAUAUAACCCAAGUUUGUGUACUGUGUUGUCCAAAUAUUUCAUACUCUAUCAAUUUCUGAGAGAGGUGUGUUAAAAUUUUGCCAUACCAUUAUAGAUGUUCUUUCUCUAGGAAGUUCUUUCAUUUUUUGUUUUAUGCAUUUUAAACUGUUUUAUUCAGUAUAUUCAAAUAUAAAAUUGUAUCUUUUGGGGGAAGCAAAUACUUUUACCAUUAUGAAAUUAUUUUCUUUAUCUCUGGUAAUGCCUUAGCUUUAAAGUCUAUCUUUGCCUGAUAUGAACACAGCUAUAGGAUUUUUCUUUUGGUUUAUGUUUAUAUCAUAUAUAAUUUUUCCAUAUUUUUACUUUCAGUCUUUUGUGCCUUUAUGUUUUAGGUAUAUCUCUUAUAAAGACUUCAUAGUCUUUUUUAAAAGGUCCUUUUUGACAAUCUGUGCCUUUUAACCAGAGUUUAUUUUCUUUAUUGGAAUUACUGAUAUAUUUAGCUUUAUUUUUUCUAUUUUACCUUAUGAUUCCUUUUUGUUUUGCGUUUGCUGUGUUCUUUUUUUCCUUCCUUUCUUGCCUUUAUUUUAAUUGAUGCAAGUAUUUUUUUAUUCUCUACUGCCAUGUGUAUGUAUAUAUAUGUUUUAUUUAUAUUUUGUUUGGUUGGUUAAUAUACAGUUCAAUAUCAGUUUCAGAAGUAUAAUUCAGUGAUUCAUCACUUACAUAAAACAUUCAGUGCUCAUCACAACAAAUGCCCUCCUUAGUACCCAUCACCCAUCUAGCCCAUCUCCCACCCACCUCCCUUCAUCAACCCUCAGUUUGUUCUCUGUCAUUAAGAGUCUCUUGUGGUUUAUUUCCCUUUCUUCUCUUGUAUCCCCUACUUUCCAUAUGUUCAUCUGUUUUGUUUCUUAAAUUCCACAUCUGAAUAAAAUCUGCUUUUGAAGAUUUUUAUUUCUUUUAAGUGGCUACCUUUGAAAUUUUUAAAAUAUAUGCUUAACACAAUAUAAACUUAAUUAAUAUUUUUACCUCCCUCCCCCAAAAUAUAAGGCCUUAGAAUGGUUUAAUUUUAGUCACCUCUUACCAUUGUCUAGAUGUCCACCCUUUUAGCUCUCUUUUUUAUUAGAUCAUAAAUUAGACACUUUUUUUUAUCAUUUUAUAGAGUCAGUUUUUAUAUAAAUAUAAAUACAUAUAUAUUUACUUUUUAUUUCAGUAUAUGUGCUGCCAAAAUGAACACAAUAUGUUUACUUUUUAUUUCAAUCAUAUUCUUUCUUGUAUGUUAGACCUUCUUGCUGUUUCCUUUCUUCUUGAGACACAUGCUUUAAAAUUUUCUUUAGUAAAGAUUUAGUAGUGGUAAAGAGAUUUUUAUAGCUAAAAAUAUCUUUAUUUCAUCUCUGUUCCUGAGAUAUAGCUCAUAUUAGUGUACAACUUUAGCAUGAUGUAUUAAGCAUGAGCCCAAAUAUUCAUUUUUAUAAAAUGCAGGGUCACAUUAUUUUCAGGUUGAGACAAUUUGAUUGAACCAAACUGGCUACGGUUUCCCUAGUUGUAGCUGUAUGAUGCAAAUCUGUGUAGAUCUCAGAAUUACUUAGGCACAGUCUGGUGGCCAGAUGUGUCUAUCAGCUUAAAUAUUGAUGGGACAUUUCUGGGCUCCAUGGUAGGCUGAGAUUUCCAAGAGAGUAACCAUGAUUCUAAGGAUCUCUUAUUUAGUUGGGGAAAUUGAGAAUCAUCUUUUUUCCACUUUCCUUACCUCUUUAACCUUUGAUCUGUACAUGAUAAGAACUGGAGCGAGAGAAGGAGCCUAUCUUCAAUUGUAUUAUAUGUGUAUCUACUUAUGAAGAAAUGCAUUACUGCUUGGAGAUUUUACUGAACUUUUUGUCAUCACAGGAGAAAUUACAAUAUUAUAUUCUGAAUCCACUGCUGCUGUUGGGAUAUUAGCUAUCAAUUUAAUUACUAUGACUAUGCAAGUAAUCUCUGGUUUCUUUUGAGGUCUCUGGUUUAUUUUUGGUGUUCUGAAAUUUUACUGUGGUUAAUGUUGCAAUUGUCAAGAUUCCUAAAGUGAGAUUUCAUGUCUUUCAGCAGUUCUGGAGAAUUCUUGCUCAUUGGCAUUUGAAUAUUGGCUCUUUUUUGCCUUCUAGUUUCAGUGUCCUUCUGAAUGCUGGACUCAUUAAAUCUGUGUUUGGUCUUCUGAGUCUGUAUUCUUGAGUUUAUUGAUUUCUAUUUAAUGUUUGCUAUUUUAAUCAUAUCUCUGAGCGGCGUUUUGCGUAUUUCUUAUUUUCUAACUCUCACUUUGAUGUAUUUAUUCUGUUUAAUCCUUUCAUUGAGAUUUUUUUAAUGGAGGUGUAAUUAACAUACAAUGAGCUGCACAGUUCUUAGAUAUUCAUUUGAUGAGUUUAGACAAUGUAUAUAAUCAUUUAACAACCACCCAUAACAAAAUAGAAAACAUCACAAUUACUGCAAAAAGUUUCUUGGUCUCUUUCCAGUUACUUUUGUUUAACUUCUCAGUUACUUCAUUGUUAAUUUCAAGAAGUUAUAUUGAGUUGUUUUUAAAAUCUGCCUGGUCAUGUUUGAUAGUCUGUUGCUCCUUAUUUAAAAUUUUUUUUUUAACAUUUAUUUAUUUUCAAGAGACAGAGUGUGAGUGGGGGAGGGGCAGAGAGGGAGGGAGACACAGAAUCUGAAGCAGGGUCCAGGCUCUGAGCUGUCAGUGCAGAGCCUGACAUGGGGCUCGAACCCACCGACAGUGAGAUCAUGACCUGAGCUGAAGUUGGACACUCAGCCGACUGAGCCACCCAGGCACCCCAUGUUGCUCCUUAUUUUAUAAAUUCCUUUUCUAAUUCUCUAACGUACUAAAAUAGCUAUUUUAUAAUUCUCUAUCUGAUAAUUCAAAUAUCUAAAGUCUUUUAUUAUUGUCACUAUUAUUCCUAGCUGAUUUUCACAAAUGGUGGCUUUUUUACCCUGAAUUUUGUGACUUUUAUUGUGAACUAUACUUAUUGGAACACAUUUUAUGAGAGGCUUAUGAGGUCUAACUUGGAGGAACUUCACCAACAUACUCCCUACCCCCCAGAACAUUUUGUGUUUGUUGUUUUAUAAUAUUUUCUCAAACUCUUAUUUUUCUCCUUUGAAUGUAUGUUUCAGUUUUUUUAAUUAUUAUUUGGUAAGAGAGAUGUCAGUAGUAUAUAAGUUUUUGAAGGUAAGAAUUAUUUUUUAGGGGUGACCAGUAGCUCAGUCAUUUAAGUGUCCUACUUCAGCUCAGGUCAUGAUCUCAUGAUUCGUGAGUUUGAGCCCCGUGUUGGGCUCUGUGCUGACAGCUCUGAGCCUGGAGCCUGCUUCAAAUUCUGUGUCUCCCUUUCUCUCUGCCCCUCCCCCAUUUGUACUCUGUCUGUCUCUGUCUCUCUCUCUCCUAAAUAAAUAAACAAAUAUUAAAAAUUUUUAAAAAAGGAAUUACUUUUAAAAUGAUAUUCCCUCUCUUUUGGUGAUUCCUUUUCAAAUGUAUAAUGUAAUUUUCAUGUGAUUUUUUUCAUGUCCCUUUACUCAGUUCUUUAUUUUGGUCUGGGGGUCAUGGCUGCCCCCAGUUUUCAGCUUCUAAGAUGUUGGUUCAGCUUAGAGGAAGGUCUCAGAAAUUACAGGCUUUCUGUCUUGUGAUCUGGUGACUACGAUCAUGGUGUCUUCCUCACUGGAUUCAUCUCAGUGAUCUCCCUCGGCUAGGGGUUAGGGUCAGCGACAAUAAAAUGAGAUGUCGGCAUUGUUUUUCCUUAAAUGUCUCCUCCCCUGAGUACCGUAUUGUUCAUCUGCUUCUCCCAAACAUUUUUAUAUCAUUUUAUUUUUUUAUUAAAAAUUUUUAUUUUAAUUCCAGUUAGUUAAUAUACAGUGUUAGUUUUAGGUGUAUAAUGUAGUGAUUCAACAAUUCCGUACACCAUCCAGAGCUCAUCAUGACAAUUGCACUCCUUAAUCCCCAUCACCUAUAUUACCCUUCCCCUAACCCCCUCCUCUCUGGUAACAGUCAGUUUGUUCUCCAUAGUUAAUAGUUUGUUUCUCAAUUUCUCUCUCUCUUUUUUCCCCGUGCUUGUUUGUUUUGUUUCUUUAAAAAAAAAAACAUUUUUUAAUGUUUUUUUAUAUUUGAGAGAGACAGAGUGCAAGCAGGGGAAGGGCAGAGAGAAAGGGAGACAGAAUCUGACGCAGGCUGCAGGCUCUGAGUUGUCAGCACAGAGCCUGACGCAGGGCUUGAAUUUACUAGCCAUGAGAUUAUGAUCUGAGCUGAAGUUGGACGCUUAACCACCUGAGCUGAGCCACCCAGGUGCCCCUUGUUUUCUUAAUUCCACUGAGUGAAAUCAUAUGGUAUUUGUCUUUGUGUGACUGACUUAUUUUGCUUAGCAUUAUACUCUCUAGUUCCAUCCAUGUCAUUGCACAUGGUAAGAUUUUGUUCUUUUUUAUGGCUGAAUAAUAUUCCAUUAUGUAUAUAUACCACAUCUUCUUUAUCCAUUUCAUCAGUAGAUGGACACUUAGGUUUCUUCUAAUCUUAGCUAUUGUAAGUAAUGCUGCCAUAAAUGUAGGGGUGCAUGUAUCCCUUUGAGUUAGUUUUCAUAUUCUUUGGGUAAAUACUCAACUGCUUGAUUGUAGGGUAAUUGUGUUUUGAACUUUUUGAGGAACUCAUACUAUUUUUACAGAAUAGCUGCACUAGUUUGCAUUCCCAUCAACAGUUCAAAAGUGUUCCUUUUUCUCCAUAUAUUUGCUAACACUCUUGUGUGUGUGUGCUUUUGAUUAGCCAUUCUGACAGGUGUGAGGUGAUAUCUUUUGAUUUGCAUUUCCCUGAUGGUGAUGAUGAACAUCCUUACAUAUGUCUGUUGGCCAUGUAGAUACCUGCUUUGAGGAAAUGUCUGGUCAAGUCUUCUGUCCAUUUUUAAUUGGAUUAUUUGGUUUUUGGGUGUUGAGUGUUAUAAGUUAUUUAUGUAUUUUUGAUACUAAACCUUUAUCGGAUAUGUCAUUUGCAAAUAUCUUCUCCCAUUCCAUAGGUUGUCUUUAGUUUUGUUGUUUCCUUUUCUGUGCAGAUGCUUUUUAUCUUGAUGUGGCCCCAAUAGUUUAUUUUUGCUUUUGUUUUCUUCAAGUUCCCCAAACAUUUUGGACCAGUAGUUGGUUAACUAGCCUUUCCUGUAUAAUUACUUUUAAGGGUCUUAUUGAGGAACUGAGGAGCUAGUUAUGCCAGCUCCUAGAAUUCUCCUUCAUCUUGGUCUGGGUUUCUCACUAUUUAGCAUGUAUGCUUCAUUGUUUACAGUUGUUUUCUUACUCCCAGAGUUAACAAUUUUUUGUUGUUGUGGGGCACCAGGGUGGCUCAGUCAGUUCAGUGUCCAACUUUGGUUCAGGUCAUGCUCUCACGGUUUGUGGGUUCAAGCCCCGCAUUGAGCUCUGUACUGACAGCUCAGAGCUCCAAGCUGGAACCUGCUUCAAAUUCUGUGUCUCCCUCUCUCUAUGCCCCUCCCCUGCUCACACUCUGUCUCUUUCUGUCUCUCAAAAAUAAACGUUAAAAAAAUAUUAAAAAUUUUGUUGUUGUUGUUGUUUUCUGGAGUUAAAGAGAUUAUGAGUAAAAAUGUCCUUCCUUACUCUGCCAGCUUUACAUGGAAAUUCCCUUACAAUGUUUACUAGCUUAACAGUUUAUCAAAAUUGAGUAACCAGCUUGGGAAGAAGAAUUGUGGGAAAAGCCAAACGAUUAAAAUAUGUUGGAUUACUUCAGUAUCUGUUUUACCUCUUUCCUGGAGUCACCUCCUUUUCACUAACACAAAAUAACGACACUUGGACCAUUACUCUUCCAGUCUGGCCAAGUCGUAUUAUCGUGGUUUGCUUUGGUAUGUAUUUCUGUGGCAGAGAUGGCAAAAGCUAAACCAAAAUUCCUGCUUGAGCUUCCAUACUGUUGGGUUGUCACUGUAAAGCAGCUCCAUAUUCGAGAGUUACAUGUCCCCAUCUUCUGCAUCUAGGAAGGCCAUGUACUAGUUCUCACCAAUGGAAUACAAACAAAAAUAAUGAUGUCACCUUAAGGCCAAGGAUAUUAAAAAGAGGUGCGGCUUUUCUGCCUUCUAUUUUUCCAUCUGCCAGAGCAGAACAGAUGGUUUCAAGGCUCUAGAGGAAUAACAAAUGCAUAAGAUGUUUCAUGAACUUGGGUCUUUCACCAAGUGGAGAAAAGCAGCUUAUCUACUAGGAACCCCUACAUUGGAUUUGCUAUUUAAGUGAGAAAUGCACUUUUAUUUUGUAAGGGUGCUGAAUUUUUGGAAUUGGUUUGCUAUAAUAAUGCUGUGUGCCUUACCCUAACUUGCAUAAUCUAGAUAUUUAUUUUGAGAGACCUAUUCCCUUUUUUUUUUUGGUGGUCAGAAACAGGACAUCAGGUUAGAUGUUCCAUGCUAUCAAGCAUACCAAGACCUUCCAUCAUCUUUAAUGCUCAUCCAAUUUUGAGUACUUAAUGAAGUUGCCUUUUGACACAUGGCUUUAUAUAAUGACAUAUAUCUCUUUAAGGUUUUAUUUUGUUUUAUUGUUUAGCAUAUCGCUUGGGAGAUGUUUUUCUGAUAUAGUAAUUAAGAAAGUACAUUCUUAGGAAGUCCACAGCAUUAAAAACAUUUUUUAAAUUAUUUUUUUAUUUUAGAGAGGUGAGGGGGGGAGAGGAGCAGAGGGUGAGAGAGAAUCUUAAGCAGGUUCCAUGCUCAGUGCAGAGCCUGAUGCAGCACUUGAUCCCACAACCCUAGGGUCAUGACCUGAGCUGAAAUCAAGAUUCGAACCCUCAACCCGCUGAGCCACUCAGGUGCCCCAGUCUACAACAUUUUAUGGAAGGGCAGAAGUGCAUCUUAUCUCCCUCUUGAGACAUUUUAUAAAAUGCUUUUUUAAAAUCCCAGAAAUUUUACAUAUUUUACGUCUCCUGUAUUUUUCUAUACCAAGAGUUAUUGUUAUUUAAUUUCUUCCUGAGACUUGAUACAUGGUCUAGUACUAUGAUUUUGAACCCUGUAAUAUUCACUUCUAGGGGUUUUGGUGAAAUCUGAUGUCCUUCUCACUUUCUUUCUAGUUCUGAAGUGAGAACACAGUGGAUGCCUGGCAGAGAUUUCCUCUAUCCAUGCAACAGUCACUUAUCGUGAUAAUUUUAGGUGAAUAGUCUAACUAUUGUCAGUUGUGAACUCUUGCUAUAAUUGGAUAUAAACAUGGGGUUUCAUUGAGGUGAUCAGAUUCCAGGCUUACAAGUUAGUGCAAGCAGGAAGGAAGAGGAGUUGGAAAUCUUACUCGCUGUUUUGAGGUGGGAGGGCUGCUGGACUCUGUUUCUCUGACAUUCAGAACUCUUCCUACAGUCACUGUUCACGGCAGGCUGAGUGUCUGGGAAGAUGAACAGGAGAAUGGAUUGGGUGACAGCAGCCAGGAAUUUUCUUAUAUGCCUUUAUGCAGUGACUGAGUAGGCAUGAGUUACUGUUCCUGGCACUGAGACUUAGCAGGUGCAAUAAGACGAAAGGGGGAAAUUUGUCCUGUGAAUGACAGAGGGCACUGACAGCUUGGCACAAACAGACUUAGAAGACUAGUGUUUCUGCUGUGUGCGCUGCCAGUUCGUCUAGUCCUGAUGAGUCUCCCUGGAGUGGCUAACAUGACCCACGUGCUCCCUAGAGCUGGUACAGAGGAAGUUCAUGUUCUAUUCUGCCUCCUUCAGGAUUAUGAAGGGGCCACCCAUUCUUCCCUUUUAAAGUUUCAAGUGUUUAAUUCGUGAAUCUCUCAUCUUAAAGCAUUUCCUACCGGAUUGACAAAGCAUAGGGGUUAAUUAAAGCUGCAGAAAGAGGCAGGCUGUUUGGUUCUUCCUUACAUCGGGCUGGGAGGCUACAGUCUGGCCAGUUUGAGCACAAACUUGGAGAGCCUCCCAGCUGGAAUGGAAUCAAAAACUUCUGUGCCCUCAGGUUUGUUUACUUUUGGCAUUAUCCAAUGUUUUCUGGCCUCUGAUCUUAGGCAGGAGGCUCUGAAUGGCCCUGACCCAGCGUCCAGUUUAGCACUGGGAAGAAUUAAUGCAAGUGAGAUCAGCAACAUCCGGGUUUUUUUUUAAACCCUGAAACACACAGGGGGUGAGGGCUGGGCCAGCUGUCUGAGAUAUCCCCUGAAACCCCCAGUGCAGCUGGAUUUUCCCCUCCCUUGUGCCAAGCAGGCCUAUCAUUAUUAGAUCACACUGCUCUUGGGCCAUGUGACAAGCAUACUAUGGGGCAAAUAAUACAGUAAAGAAGAAUGGAAAAGGAACUGCAUUUUGUUUUCUUUCAUUCUCUUUGCAGAAAGCCUGCAAGUGUUAUGCUAAAAUCUGCCUAUUGAUUUUGGUAUAAAUAGUCCUCUUUUUCUAAUCCAGAUGCAGCCGUGUGCCCCUCUGUUCAGGGUUGGUGAUUCUCUGUUGUGUCUUGGGAGUAAUAAGAAGAUUCCACUGGAAAGAAUGCAGGCAAAUCAGCCCAGCUGAGAUUACAUAAAAGGAGAUGGAAAAUUGGAGAAAGUAUGUAAUAAACCUCAAUAUCUAGUUGAGUGUGAUUUUUAACAAAAGGCUCUUGCAUUUAGCUCAAUGACUUAAGAUCUUUAGAUAGUAGCUAAAUACAUUUUUUCAAACUUUUCCAGCCCUGAGCAGGAGCCAUUUCAGUAGGCAAGGUAAUUCUACUGGAAAGGCAUAAGCCGCUAAAAUCAGAGGCUUAGGGGUAGAUUUUAGCUCCUUGGUGAUUUGUAUUUAGAACUUCAGAGCCUUGGGCCCUGCUAAUGAGCAGCUAGGCAUCUUAUGGGGAAGUUAUAUUUCCCAGAUCUAGGAGAGAGUCCUCUUGUCUUGAAAGAUCUGGUGAAUCUUGGAUUUAUCCAUAUAUUUUUACUAUUCCAUAGCUCCACUAUUCUUGGAUUCCUAUGCAUGCCCCCCUCCCCUUAUUAAUUUAUCUUAGCUUCUGCUUUACUUCUCCAGUGCUACCCAUAGCUCUUUCCCUCCUGCCCUUAGAUUUUGGCCUUGUAGAGGAGCGUUUCCUAAGCGUGUUCUCAUCGGAUCUAUGAGAUACUGCACAAUAAAAGGCUUUAUGGUCAAUUUAGAUUGAGAAAUAAUGCAUACUUCACAACUCUUUUGGAAAUUUGUAAUGCAGUUUUUAAAAGUCACUGAAGGAAAGUUAUUUUCAUUUGUUGAUGUGGAUAUAUGUAUAUUUAUUUAAUACCAAAGUGUCUACUAGCUUUAGUUUUAGAAUUACUAGUUUUAGAAUUUGCUUUGGGCAUUAACACUGUAAUGCCCACAGGCUGAACAAUCUGUCUAGACCAGUAGACAUACAGGUUACUGAGAAAUGGCCAUGGAUCAUCAAACCCUCUGAAAAGGCUUACUUUGAAGGCAAAGGAUGAGCAUCGACUAAUUAUAUAAAUACAAAUGAAAGGAAUCAAAUGUUUAGUAAAGCACAGACUGCCUAAAAUAAGGUGAAUUGGCUGCUGUCCAUUGAGGAGAUGAUGAAACAGGGAUAUUCAUGAUCUUGAUAAAAAUGGAUCCCUGACAGAGCCCUUAAAAAGGAACUACUCAGAGGGGCACCUGCGUGGCUUGGUUGAUAAAGCAUCUGCAAGGUGUGGAGCCUGCUUGGGAUUCUGUCUCUCUCCCUUUCUCUCUGCCUCCACCCCCUGCUUGUUUUUUUUUUUUUUUCUCUCUCUCUCUCUCUCUCUCUCUCUCUCAAAAUAAAUAAAUAAACUUAAUAAAGGAACUACUCAGUGAAUUCUACAUGCUUCAUGGAAUACAUAGAUACAAAACCUAUGUAGCACAAGAGACAACAUGGGGAAGAAGAGGCACAUACUGGAUAGAGAAUCAACAGACAUGGGAAUUGGUCUCACUGCUUCUACUAAUUAGAUAUGUGAGCUGGGACCAACCAUUUCAUUUCCCCAAGCCUUAUUUGUCAAAUAAGAUGAUUAGACAGGAUGCAAGUCCAUUUCUAGUUCUAAAAGUCAUAGUAUAUAUAAUGACUUUUCAAGUUGGUCUGUAUGUGAGCACAGUGGAAAUCAAACUGAUGCAUACUUGCCCCAGCUCCCUAGGCUUCUAUUCCCUUUUAUUUUGGGGAGAUGUUAUGCAUUUGAACCAUAUGUGUUGCACUAAUUGGUAAGAGUAUUCCAUUCUGAGUCAGUAACCACAAGUUUGGGAAAGAAGAGAGUGCCUGAGACAGGAAUGUUGCAAGUAUCUUGCAAAUUUUGGUUACCUUUAUUGAGAAGAACUCCUUCUGCAGUCUGAAAGGAGACAUUUUUUUAAAAAAUGCGUUUAGCAGAUAUUUAAUUAAUAAAUACCUAUUAUGUACCAGGCUCUGUUUUAGACACUUGGGGCAGUGUGUGUGUGUGUGUGUGUGUGUGUGCGCGCACACACACGCAAGAUAAAAGACAAAAUUCCCUACUUUCAAAGAGCUUAUAUCUUAGUGGAGGGAGAAAGGUAAUAAACAAUAUGCCCAAUAACUAACUAAAGUAUAUAGCAAAAAGUAAAUUAUAUACUAUGUUUUAAAAUGCUAAAUUCUUUGGACAAGGGUAAGGGGGAAUGGAGGGUUGUAAUUAGAAAUAGGGUAGUGUGAUAGAGAACCCAGAAAUGGACCCACAAACGUAUGGCCAACUAAUCUUUGACAAAGCAGGAAAGAAUAUCCAAUGGAAUAAAGACAGUCUCUUCAGCAAGUGGUGCUGGGAAAACUGGACAGCGACAUGCAGAAGAAUGAACCUGGACCACUUUCUUACACCAUACACAAAAAUAAACUCAAAAUGGAUGAAAGACCUNNNNNNNNNNNNNNNNNNNNNNNNNNNNNNNNNNNNNNNNNNNNNNNNNNNNNNNNNNNNNNNNNNNNNNNNNNNNNNNNNNNNNNNNNNNNNNNNNNNNNNNNNNNNNNNNNNNNNNNNNNNNNNNNNNNNNNNNNNNNNNNNNNNNNNNNNNNNNNNNNNNNNNNNNNNNNNNNNNNNNNNNNNNNNNNNNNNNNNNNNNNNNNNNNNNNNNNNNNNNNNNNNNNNNNNNNNNNNNNNNNNNNNNNNNNNNNNNNNNNNNNNNNNNNNNNNNNNNNNNNNNNNNNNNNNNNNNNNNNNGAAGGAAACAAUCAGCAAAACUAAAAGGCAACCGACAGAAUGGGAGAAGAUAUUUGCAAAUGACAUAUCAGAUAAAGGGUUAGUAUCCAAAAUCUAUAAAGAACUUAUCAAACUCAACACCCAAAAAACAAAUAAUCCAGUGAAGAAAUGGGCAAAAGACAUGAAUAGACACUUCUCCAAAGAAGACAUCCAGAUGGCCAACCGACACAUGAAAAAAUGCUCAACAUCACUCAUCAUCAGGGAAAUACAAAUCAAAACCACAAUGAGAUACCACCUGACACCUGUCAGAAUGGCUAACAUUAACAACUCAGGCAACAACAGAUGUUGGCUAGGAUGCGGAGAAAGAGGAUCUCUUUUGCAUUGUUGGUGGCAAUGCAAGCUGGUGCAGCCACUCUGGAAAACAGUAUGGAGGUUCCUCAAAAAACUAAAAAUAGAACUACCCUACGACCCAGCAAUUGCACUACUAGGCAUUUAUCCAAGGGAUACAGGUGUGCUGUUUUGAAGGGACACAUGCACCCCCAUGUUUAUAGCAGCACUAUCAACAAUAGCCAAAGUAUGGAAAGAGCCAAAUGUCCAUCGAUGGAUGAAUGGAUAAAGAAGAUGUGGUAUAUAUACACAAUGGAGUAUUACUUGGCAAUUAAAAAGAAUGAAAUCUUGCCAUUUGCAACUACGUGGAUAGAACUAGAGGAUAUUAUGCGAAGUGAAAUUAGUCACAGAAGGACAAAAAUCAUAUGACUUCACUCCUAUGAGGACUUUAAGAGACAAAACAGAUGAACAUAAGGGAAGGGAAACAAAAAUAAUAUAAAAACAGGGAGGGGGCAAAACAGAAGAGACUCAUAAAUAUGGAGAAUAAACUGAGGGUUACUGGAGGGGUUAUGGGAGGGGGGAUGGACUAAAUGGGUAAGGGCACUAAGGAAUCUACUCCUGAAAUCUUUGUUGCACCAUAUGCUAUCUAAUUUGGAUGUAAAUUAAAAAAAAAUAAAAAAUGAAACAAGUUUAAAAAAAAGGAAUAGGGUAGUAUGGGUAAUUCUCAUUGAGAAAGGGAUAUUUGAGCUUAGACCUGAAAGUGAAGGAAGGAUGCUGACAGCAGAAACAGUGCAGAGGCAAGAGUGUGCCUAACAGGUUCUAGGAAUAGCAAAGCAGCCUGUAAAGCUAGAAAGGUGUGAGCAGGCGGGUAUGUUGCAAAGGAGGAAUCUAGGAUGCUUUGGCUGGCUGGAAAAAAUAACCAUUGAGCCUACCUACUAGGGCAGUGUCAAUACCCAACAGCAGCAUAGCCUGGCCUCAGACUUCUCUCCUUGUAGGAAGCCUUGUAGGAUUCUCAGGAAUGGCAUUCCCUGCCUGGCCUGAGUUACCGAGUUAGCGGAAUAUCCAUCCUCUCCCCAGCAAUAAAGCAUCCAGCCUUUGCAUCUGUUAACAGUCUCCCCUGUAAUUUAUGCAUUGUGUGGUUAGUUUAAAUGCUGACUCUAUCAUUAUCUGAGUUUAUUACCAUUGCCAUUUGCGUAUGUUUGAUGGGGGGGCGGGGAGGCAGGAAACCUCUGGACAGAUUCCAAGUUGGAUGUCUGGCUCUCUCUUUGCUCUUCUCCCCCAGUCCUCUGUCUUCCCCAGGGCCUGGGCCGUGGCCAGCUGUACAUUAUGCUAUGAAAUAGGUAAGUGUUCUUAGUAGCCUUGUUGCUCUCUUCUGUAUCUGCUUCCUUUCUUAUCCCUACCAUGCCUCUCCCAACAUUCCUGACUUCUGAGAACCCAGUGAGAUAUAGUGUAUCUGCCUCUCUCUCCAUCCCCAUGAACCAUCAGCACUGACUGUCAACCAGGACCUGAUAAAUUUGCUCACAUUAACAUAAGCCUGGUGAUUACCUCUUGUGGGGUAGGGUUCUGCUUUUUGACAGGGAAUAAAAAAUUUACUCUUGCAUUUUGCCAUUUCAUGUGUUGAGUUAGAAUGAGGAGGGCAUGGGGGUGAUGGGGAAGCUUCUCAGCAUCCUGGAACCCUGAAAAUUAUUACCAAAUGGUAGGCAGCCACCUACCAUUCAGAGAAUCAACCUUGGCCCCUGCUGCCCACUUACCUCCAGCUCGGCUCUACCUGCUUUCCAUAAAUCACCUUUCUCCAGGAUUUCACUGCCUUUUUUUUUCUUGUUUUGGCUAGGAAUCCUUCUGUAGAUAGUAAGAUAUAUAGUGAAAUGUUUGUGAGAGUCUCUGAAUUACUCUUCCUCUUGAGAGUUGGGAAGCGGUUCAAGCCAUAAGGGAGGGGUGGAAGGGAUUGUUGCGCAAUGGCCAGCAACUUGGUUUAUUUCACAAGAUUAUGUUUUCUGUGUUGCUUGCAGUGUGAAAUACUGUGCACAGGUGCCCCCAUUUGAUUCAAUUUCAACCCUCAUCAUGAUUGAUAGUCCCACCUGAUCACCGCCAGAUCACUUUGCUGUUCGCCCUUGUCUGCUGGGCUGCAGUCUAUGAGCAGGGAGCCAGAGCCAGACAUUUUAAGGGCUCAGAAUGAACAAGCAUGUCUGUCUCUCCCUUCUCUCCAAAUGUUCACCCAUCUAGAUUUUUUAUUCAAUCAACAAAAGUCUGAUCCAUAUUUCUUUGAAAAGAAGCACUGCCAGAGCACGGAAAGUGGUAUUAAACUGAAUGGAGGAGUUACAGAUAAUAGAGAUGCAAAACCUUGGAAGAGCUAAAAUGAGUGAGAGGCAUUUUAUGACCCAUUUAUGACCUCGUGUCUCCAUGUUCGUACCAUCAACUUCAGAGUCAUUGUAAGUUAACACAGCAACCAUCAGUUAUUGAAUAUUUAUUAUGUUGUCACUCUUAGAAGUAUUUUAUGAGAAUAGAUUCUUUAAAUGGUCUCAACCACCUUAAAAAGUCAUUUAUUAUUUCCACGUCUCAGAUGACAAAACUGAGGUGUUUGAAAGGUUUGGUAACUUGCCCCAUAUAUAAGCCAAUCAGGGAGGCAGAAGUCUCUAUAGACAAAUAAAGAUAAGUGGUUAAAAUGUGUCUGUAUAAAUAAAGAUAGAAUUUUAGAUAGUAAGACACCUAAGCAAGAAUCUAAAGAGCUUCUUUACAUAGGAACCUUUCCUGGUGCCUUAAGAUAGGAUUCUGUCACAUACUGACUCCUCAGGAACAGACCUCAAAUAAGCCACCUCUGUGUCACCCUUGGCCUGAUGCCUCCUCUCUGUUGGGUCUCUUUCUCUGUUUUUUUCUAUCCCAAUAGUGACAUCUGGCUACUCCUGAGAAGGUGCCUAUAGGCAAAGGAUGCAAAGACUUCUUUGUUAGUGAGUCUAAACACCACCUCCUCCGAGAAACCUUCCUAUCACCCAGGCAUAGAUCUCCUCCCUCUGUGCUUGCAAAGCACAUUGUGUCUAAUUCAGCUAAUAAGACUGUUCCUGUUACUCAUACAGUGCUGUGUACAGCCCAUCCUUGUGAAUGCCAGGCUUUGUGCUAAGACUUUAACAUUUACCGACCCAUCUAAUCCUCCCAAUAACCCUGUGAGGUUGGUACUAUUGCUAGGAUACAGAGGAGGAAUUGAGGCACAGAGAGAUCAGUAACUUGCUAAAGGUCAUCUAGCUAGUAAGUGGCAGAGUCAGGAUUGAGAGCUAGGCAGUUUGCUGUCAGCACCUGGGCCUUCAUCACAUUCCCCUUCCAUGGUGGGUUGUAACCUAUUCCCAAGGCUUUUGUCCUAAUUAGGCUGCAGCCUCAAAGGCAGGGAGUGUAUCUCGAACAUCUCUUUGUCCUCAGCUCUGGGCACACUGCCUGGCACCUAGCAGCAUCCGGGAGUUUAUUUGCUGAGUGAUCAAGUGAAAGAAGAGUGGUUCCUGGAGACGGACUGAGAGGCAGCUGGGGCAAACCACUCAGAUUUGUCUCUGCUUUAAGGCACUAAAUUGCUGCCUGGACCCUUACUUUUAGGACAAAAAAGUGAGAGGGAGGGGAGGUAUUGCAGAAUAAGCCUUGUUUGACUCAGAUCUUCCCUGACACUGUGACUGUGCCUUCCUGCCUCUCUUCUGUUUGCUUCUAAAAACCUACCCUGAUUUUCCCCCACUUGGGCUGCACUUACCUCAUCGUCCUUUGUCCUGUCAGUUAUGUCUCCAUGUGGCACCUGUUACAUCUUGUCAUGACAGUAUGUGUCCCUUGCCCCUUCUCUACCACUCUGACAAUGAACUCCUUGAGGGAAUGACUGUGUCUUCAUCAUCUUGUGCCCAAGUGUCUGGUGCAGAGCCUGGCCCACCACAGGCCUUCAAGGCAUGCUUUCUGAAUGAAAGGAUGCUUACUUACUGCUAGACCUGGUACAGGCGGGCCAAGAAAGUACAAGAGCGAAGGAAUUAUUAUGCAUUUGAAAAAAAUACCUAAUCUCUCGCCCAAAGAACAGAGAAUCAUUUACUUGUUUCUCAUUGUCUUCCCUUUCUUUCCUUCUAGCUCUCAUCAUUUGGUAAGCAAUGCAGACAAAUUCUUUUCUUAGGAUUGGUUAAAAGAGGCUGAAAUGGUGGUUUGAUUGGGUGGGGGUGGGUAGGGAGUUAGAGGAAACAUAAAACAAUAAAGAUGAUUUAAUUUAUACUGAUCACAGCAACCAGCUGGCUAUGCCAUCAAUUAUUACACCCUCGAAGUUAUUAAAGAGCACCUCUGUCAUAGGUACCUUAUUAGCUAGGGAUUUAUGGAGCACAGAGCCACAGCAGGAAAUAUUGAUAUUUCCCUCACAACAUCACCUGUGGAUGUCUGGGUUGUCUGUCUCUCAGCCCUAUCUCUUCUCAUGUAUCCUCAUUCUAAGGCCCUAUCACCUCAGGCUUGAAUCCCAGAAUGUUUUGCUCCUAAAGUAUGCAUGAUGAAAACAACGUCCCUCUCUUGUGCUUCAAUUCAUCUGGUGGGUUUUACACUUGUGACUAUUAUAUUCCUGCUUUCCAAGCAGAAAGUGUUCUGGGCUCAUUCAAAUACUUCUAGAGUAUUCUGUGUCAUAAAUCACCUCCUUUGAUAGGACCUCUGGUUUCAAUCUACUUUUUAAGAGAAAAUUCUAGACAUCAGAUCUCACUAUAUAUGCAUGAAGUAGCAUGAGUCCCAGAACCUGAGACCUUCAUUUCCUUGGCCUAUGCUCUGUCUUCCCUCCUUGAAACCCAGAAGCCCCAAUGCAAAUGAGUCUCAGCCUUCACCUAAGGAAAUUUCCAGGUUCCUUACUUGGGUCUCUGUACUUAAUAUAAAUAAAUAAGCUGCCUUGACAUAAAAGGCAUAUUUCUUUUUAACACAAUUAGGUGCUUUUCUCAUCACUAGAAGCAAUUUAUUCCUAAUUAUAACGAAUUAUUAUGUGUGAUAUUAGAAAAAAAACCCCACAAAUAGCAUUUUAAAAUUUGGAACCUGGGUAGGGAGGAAUAACAAUAUGGAGUCAUUCAUGUCGAUUCAGGUAAGUUGUAUAAUUUUUCCUUUGAAGAUAACAUUUUUAAGAACUAAAAGAGUUUCCACAUUUUGAUCUUUUGAAGUACCAAAGUGACAACACAGGCAGAAAGAGAUGACACAAGAAAAGUAGCAAUUUAGUUACUUACCCAGAAAUGCAGAGUUAGGUGUUAUUAAUGAGUGGCUAGAUCACACUUGACAUUUUACAAAGUGACUUACAUUCACACCUGUGCAUGUGGGUGCGUGCGUGCGUGUACACACACACACACACACACACACACACACACAUGUACACACACACACACCACAUGUAGAGUAGAAAAAGAGGACAGAACUAGGUCUUCGUCCUGAGAGGCAGAAUCAAUUGUGAAUAGUGCCCGUCUUGGCAGGAUGGAAUAAGUAAUGUAAAUGCAUGAAAUGGAGAGAUCAGGAAUUAAAUCUAUGAAUGAUGAGCGUUAGCUGGGCUACGUUUAUAUGCAUACACGUCAGUCACUCUGUUUACGGCUGCUGAGCUCAUGGUGUCUCAAACAUCAGCUACGUGAAGUGGGUGGUGGAUUUGGCUCUUUAUUAUUUGUUUAUUUUUUUACCUCCUUUAUUGAGGUAGAAAUGACAGGUAAAAUUUGCAUAUUUUUAAGGUGUAUAACAUGAUUUUAUAUGUGGUAAUCUUCCGUUAUCCGCAGGGGAUAAAUUCCGAGACCCUCAGGGAAUGUCAGAAACCAAGGAUGGUACCGGACCCUCUGUAUACUAUGUCUUUUUCCUAUACAUACAUAUGUAUGAUGCAGUUUAAUUUAUAAAUGAGGCACAGUAAGAGAUGAACAACAAUAACUAAUAAUAAAAUAGAACAAAUAUAACAAUAUACUGUAAUACAAGUUAUAUGAACAUGGUCUCUCUCUUUAAUAUUGUACUGUACUUACCCUUCUUCUCAUGAUGAUGUGAGAUGAUGACAUGAGGUGAAUGACAGACUUCAUGAUGCAUUGUUAGGCUGCUCUUGACCUGAUGAUGUCAGAAAGAGGAUCAGCUGCUUCUGGACCACCAGUAACUGAAACUGCAGAAAGUGAAGCUAUGGAUAAGGGGAGAACUACUGUGCAUGUCCAUUGUGACAUGAUUCCCACAGUCAAAAUAAUCAACACAUCCAUCACCUCACAUAGUUUUUUAUUUUGUUUUGUUUUUUUUGGCGAAGAGUACAUAAGAUAUAUUCUCUUCGUGGAUUUCAAGUAUACAUACAGUAUUAACUAUAGUCACUAUGCUGUACAUUAGGUCCCCAGAGCUUAUUCAUUUUAUAACUAAAAGUUUAUACCCGUUAACCAACAUCUCUCCAUUUCCCCCAGCCCUCAAUCACUGGUGACCGCCAUUCCACUCUGCCUCUGUGAGUUUGACUUAUUCAUAUUCCACAUAUAACUGAGGUCAUACAGUUCUUAUCUUUGUGUGUGGCUUAUUAAACUUAGCAUAAUGUCCUCAGGGUCCACCCAUGUUGUCACAAAUGGCAGGACUUUCUUUUUAAGAAUUCUCUUGCAUACACACACACAUACAUACACAUACAUACAUACAUACAUACACAUACCACAUUUUAUAAUCUAUUCAUUUAUCAACAGAUACUUAGGUUGUUUCCAUAUUUUUGCUAUUGGGAAUAAUACUAUAAUGAACAUAGGGGUGCAGAUAUCUCUUCCGGAUACUGAUUUCGUUUCUUUUGUGUGUGUGUGUAUGUAUGUAUGUAUGUAUAUCCAGAAAUGGGAUUUCUGGGACAUAUGCAAGUGCUAUUUUUUUUUUUGAGGAACACCCAUAUUAUUUUCCAAAUGGCUAUGCCAGUUUACAUUCCCACCAACAGUGUGCAAGGUACUCUUAUCUCCACACCCUUACCAACACUAGUUAUCUCUUAACCUUUUGAUAAUAGCCUUCCUAACAGGUGUGAGAUGAUAGCUCAUGGUGAUUUUGAUUUUCAUUUCCCUGAUGAUUAGUGAUAUUUAGCACUUCUUCAUAUACCAAUUGAUCAUUUAUAUGUCGUCUUUGGAAAAAUGUCAAUUCAAGUCCUUUGCCCAUUUUAAAAUAGGGUUAUUUGGUUAUUGUUGAUUAUAUUGUUGUUGUUAGCUAUUGAGUUGUAUCAGUUAUUUUUAUUUUUUGGCUAUUAACCCCUUAUCAGAUACAUGAUUUACAAAGAAAUUCUCCCAUUCAUAUGUUACCUUUUCAUUUUGUUGAUUGUUUCCUUUGCUGUAUAGGAGCUUUUUCGUUCAGUGUAGUCCCAUUUGUUUAUUUUUGCAUUUGUUGCCUUUGCUUUUGGCUUCAUUUCCAUACACACAAAAAAUCAUUGUCAAGGAGCUUUUUCCUGUUUCCGUCCAGGAGUUUUAUGGUUUCUGGCAUAACAGUUAAGUCUUUAAUUUAUUUUAAGUUAAUACUUGUGUAUGGUGUAAGGUAAGGGUCUGUUGUUAUUCUUUGGUAUGUGGGUACCCAAUUUCCCCAACCCCAUUUAUUGGUAACACUAUCCUUUCCCCAUUCCGUAUUCUUGGCACCCUGGUCACAGAUUAGUUGAUUAUAUAUGAGUGGGUUUCUGGACUGUCCUGUUCCAUGGGUCUGUGCAUCUGUUUUCAUGCCAGUACCAUAUUAUUUUGAUUACUAUGGCUUUGUGAUAUAGUUUGAAAUCAGGACAUGUGAUUCCUCAAGCUUUUGUUGUUCUUAAAAUGUUUUAGUAUCUGGAUUUUUUCAGUUCUACAAAUUUUAGGAAUUUUUUUUCCUAUUUCUGUGAAAAACAGCACUGGAAUUUUGAUAGGAGUUGCAUUAAAUCUGUAGAUAAUUUUGGGUAGUGUGGACAUUUUAACAAUAUUAAUUCUUCCAGUCCAUGAGCAUGAGAUAUUUUUACAUUUAUUUGUGUUUUCUUCAGUUUCUUUCAUAAAUGUAUCACAGUGUUCAGUGCACCUAUCUUUCAUCUCCUUGGUUGAAUUAUUCUCAAGCAUUUUAUUCUUUUUGAUGCUAUCAUAAAUUGGAUUGUUGUCUUAGUUUUCUUUCCAGAUAGUUUGUUGUUACUGUAUAGAAAUGCAACCGAUUUCUGUAAGUUGAUGCUACAUUUUGUAAUUUUUGCUGAAUUGAUUUAUUAGUUUUAACAGUUUUUUUUAAGUAGAGUCUUUAGGCUUUUCUCUAAGAUCCUGUCACCUACAAACAGACAAUUUUACUUCUUCCUUUCUGAUUUCAAUGGCUUUCAUUUCUUUCUCUUGCCUAGUUGCUGUGGCUAGAAUUUCUAGCACUGUAUUGAGUAGAAGUGGCAAGAAUGGGCACACUUUUCUUGUUCCUGAUUUUAGAGGAAAAGCUUUUGGCUUUUCACCAUUGAUUAUAAUGUUAGCUAUUAUAAUCUUGUCAUGUAUGGCUUUUAUUUUAUUGAGGUACAUUCCUUAUAUACCUAAUUUUUUGUGAGUUUUUACCAUGAAAAGAUGUUGAAUUUUGUUAAAUGCUUUUUCUUCAUCUACUGAGAUAAUCAUAUGAUUUUUAUCCUUCAUUCUGUUAAUUCAGUUAUCACAUUUAUUGUUUUCUAUGUAUGUUCAUCCAUCCUUGCUUCCCAAGAAUAAAUUCCACUUGGUUAUGGUAUGUGAUUCUUUUAAUGUGCUGUUAAAUUCAGUUUGCUAGUAUUCCAUUGACCAUUUUUGCAUCUAUGUUCAUUAGUGAUAUUGGUCUAUAAUUUUGUUAUGGCAUCCUUAACUGGCUUUAGUAUGAGGCUAAUAUUGGCCUCUUAAAAAUGAAUUUGGAAGUAUUCUCUCCUCUUGAAUUUUUUGGAAGAGUUUGAGGAUUGGCAUUAAUUCUUUGCAUAUUUGGUAGAAUUCACCAGUAAAGGUAUCUGGUCCUGGACUUUUCUUUGUUGAAAGGUUUUUGAUUGCUGAUUCAAUCUCUUUACUAGUAAUUGGUCUGUUCAGAUUUUCUUUUUCAGCAUGAUUCAGCCUUGGUAGGUUGUAUGUUUCUAGGAAUUUGUCCAUUUCUUCUAGGUUGUCCAAUUAGUUGGUGUAUAAUUGUUCGUAGUAGUUUCUUAUGUAUUUCUGUGCCAUCAGUUUUCUCUUUAUCAAUUAUUAAUGACUCUUGAGACUCCUAGGCAUGUUUCUUUCACAAAAUAGUUGACCAAUCCUAUUAAAGCCUUUUAAAGAGAGGAAAGCAGAGUCAGAGAGGGGCCAGAUCUGUUUAAGGUCCCAUAAUUUUUCAGUGCUUGAGGUUAGACCUUCCUACCAGGACUUCUUCCUACCAUCACAUGGUACUUUCCAGGCUUGCAGGGUUCACCACUCUUUGUCACUCUCUCCAUCCUGGUAGUGGCCAUUAGUUAUGACUGUAAGUGCCCUGUGGUUGAAAUCUACAUCAUUAUAUUGUUUUCAUUAUUCCAGAGCAAUCAGAUGUACUAUACUCCUUUAAUAGAUCAAGGACUGUGCCUACAGAAUACACUGUAGAACUCCCAAAAUGGAAGUCUCAUCCAUUUAGGAGAUAUUCAUUGAGUGCCUACUCUGUACCAGACCCCUUUCAAGCAUUAUAAAUGAAGCAGGGUAUGAGACCAAAUCUCUACCCUCAUGGAACUUAUUUUAUCAUCAGGGAGACAGAAUCCCCAGCAGUCACUAGCUGGAGAUGGGCAGCUGCUCAUUUUAGGGAGGUGUGAAGCCCCUGUGGUGCACUGUUUUGAGAUAUCGGUAUCCUAAUACCUACCGACUAAUCUUGUUUCAGUUUCCUACCAAGCCUCUGAUUCUUCAAUCUCAGAUUUUAGUUUAAACCCCCUGAGUCACAACUUUACCACCAUAGAGUAAGAACCUGAUGACUUUCAACAGUAAGAACAAGCAUGAUUUCAAGUUCCCAAGUCCCAUCCAGCUGGGAUCAUUCUCUGAUAUUAGAGGACGAAAUAGAUCAGGCUUUGUGAUCAGGUCAGAUACAUGAGGAGACAAAUUUAGAAUAAGCAAGGGAUACCUUAAGUCACAACUGAGGGACGUUAGAGGUGUAGAAGUUGGUGGAGGAGGGAGGGCAACUUUAAUCAGAGAGAGUGAUUAUGGAAUCUAAUUAGCCUCUCAUUUUCAUUUGCAGAAGGAACAUUCAAUUCACUUAACACCACUCCACAGAUCCUUCUACUCUCAUCUGUACCCAGGGGAAAACAAAUUCCAAUGUAAUAGAGCAUUUGGACAGCAGUAGACUAUCACAGGGAGAGCAUGUAGCUAAAAAUGAGGAGGCUUGAGUUUCAGUCUUGGCUCUACCUCUACUAGCUUUGUGACCCUGAGCACAAUGCCUCACUCCUAGGGGAUCCAGUGCCCAUCUGCUCAGUGUGGAGAUUGGAUUAAAACAUUUUAAAGGUCUCUUAAGCUGCAAAAUGCUAUACUUAUUAUGUUUUUAUUGCAUAUCUCCAUACUAUGGCCUACUAGUGCAUAAAGUUACCAUUUUGGAAUUACUAUAGUUCUGUUGAUAAGAGUUUGAGAUUUGGAAUCAGGCAAACCUGAAUUCCAGUGGUGACCCUACCCACAUAUCUUUGGGCCAGUUACUUAAUCUUUCUAAUCCUCAGUUCAUAAAACAAGGACAGUGAUAAUACUUGUCUUAAAGAAUUGUUCUGUGGGUCAAAUUGUUCUGUACAAAGCCCUUUGUACAGUGCGUGGGACAUAGUAAGACUCAAUAAAUGUUUAGCUGUUACUAUUUAGUGGUCUGAUUAAAAUGUUCAGAAUAACUUGGGUAUUUUAUCUCUUUUUUUAAAAAUGUGGGGCAGGUCUCUUUUUGAAAAAAAUUCCUUGAUGACACGGCUGGGGAGGUUUAUUUGUGGGUAAGGUAAGUAAUGGGGCAAGACUGAAAUAGCUCUAUGGAAAUAAAGCAUUUAAUGUGGGAAUGAAUGAAGUUGCCACCCAGAACUAACAGCCAGAGUCCUGGCUGAGCUGUAAUUAAUUAAUACGAUGGCCAAGAUUUAUAAGGCUAUUUUAAGAAGUAGCUGCAUUGCACAGAGCCCUGGAUUUUAUGCCUGAGCUGAAGUAAGAUCAAUGGGAAAUCCAUUCAGUCCCAUGGUUUAAUGGGUGUGGAUGAGGAUUUGUCCCCAGAGUUGGGGCUUUGUGCAUCAUGGCUACCCGGGUGCUUUCCCUGGGGUGGAGGCUAAGGGAAGGUGAGAAAAGUUGAUCACUUGGAGCCAGAGGAGAAAGAAUGAUAGCCUGUUCCUCUUUCCCUGUUAGAAAAUGCAGAGAAGCGGCUCCCAACCCAAACUUUUCCAGAAGGCCUCUCUUUUAAUGCCUAGAUAUAUCCUAGCUAGAAGGUAGGAUGUUUACCUCUUCUCUUUAGGAAGACUUUGGAAAGACUACACUGAGCGCAGUGUACGUCCCACUGCCAGGAGCUUGGGUACCUGAGAUGACAGAUCAGCAAACCACAGGCUUCUGCAGAUGGCUUUGCUAUCAGCAGGGACACCUAGUGCUUGUCCAAAGUUCAUUCCAGGGGGCCAUUUGCAUCCUGGGGCCCUACGGUAAACUGGAAUUUUGUGACUUGCCUCAUUUCCCUUGGUGGCAGAAAUAAUGUCCUUCUAAGACCUCUACAACAGGAUUUGGGGAUGAAAUCCCCCUAAUAUAUUUGGGGAUAUAUGUUUUCAGUUCCUCUUUUACUUUGUGCUCAAGGAGGACUGAAGAACCAGAGUACAGCUAUCUAUGUCUCCCUGGACUUUACUUCUGAGUACGAGGCCAUAGAAACAUCUGAUUUAGGCUCACCCCUGGGGAAGGUGAUUUUCCAUUUUCCCUUGGUCCAUGUUGAACUUUUUUCUGCUAUGUCAGCUUUGUUCAUGUUCCUUCUGUCUGCAUGUCCUUCUCCCUGGAGCCCAGCUCAGCUUCUUUAAGGGUUCUCUCCUGGGCUAGCAGUGACCUUGGCUGAAUAUAAACCUGGCACAUUCUGUUCUCAUUGUUCAUGGAUUUAAUACCUGGCUCCCUGCAUGUGACUUGCUUGUAAUUUUUGUAGCUUCUUGGUCCUUUCUUUUUCAUAAUUUACCCAUUCUUUAAUCCUGCCUCUUAGAAAUACCGCCUAUGAAAUACUCAUAAACUAUUUGAGUUUCAAUUAUGAAUCUUGUUUUGUCUUCUGAAUGUGAUUCUUACAUUUCUUUCUCACUCCAUGGGCAAGGCACCUGGUGGUGAGAUCUAUCCCUCCUUCAGUCCCAAGGAGAUCCUCAAUGCACUUAUAUGAAAGUUUACAUUUUAUUAAUGAUUUAAAAUUGUAGCUCAUCUUCAAAAUCUAAUUGGAACCCCUUCAAUAAUACUAUAAAGUAACUAUCAUUAUCCUGGUUUUACAGAUAAAGAAAAACAGAGGCCCAAGAAAAUUAGGUGACUUGCCUAAGGCAAUCCAAUUAGAAAAUAGAAAAUGAAGACUUGAAUAUGGGUCUUUUUGAUUUUAAGUUCAGUUCCUAACCCACCACAUCAUCCACUGUAUAGAGAUUGGGGCUCCUGCGUGUUUUUUUCUCAUUUUCUGUGACCUAAAUCUCUAGCUUCAUAUCAAUUUCAGUCCCAUUUUUUCCUGUUGCUUCAUCCUCUUGCCAAGAUACCACAGUUUCAGGACACAGAGACUUUGCCUUUCCCAUGAAAAGUCAUGCAAAAAAGUGUGAACUUAUCCUAGACAUAGGGCGUUUAAAUGGCUUCUGCUCCAAUCAGUUUUCUGUACUUGGUACCAAAAAGACAACUGUGUAGAGUUGCCUCACUAGUAAAUGCAAGGCACAGGUAAUCUUUGUAAAAGAACAGAUAAGCUUUAUGUCUAAUAGGUUAGGAAAUUACACAGUGAGCCAAUCAUUUACUUUGAUGAACAGUAUUUAUUACAUAUCCACUGAACACCUAAGUAUUAUGUACCAUUGGACAAGGGCACAAAGAAAUAGCUGUAAAUAGUUGCUAAAGAUCCUGGAAUAAUCAAGACACAGACUUGGCUUACUGAAUCAUAAUCAGCAUUGGAGAAGGAGAUUAAGGGAGAUAAAUACCUGUUAAAUGUUAUUACAUAAUACGUGCAGUGUGACAUAUGUGACACCUUAAGAAGGUGUCAGAUCUGAAGGGCAAGUCUCUCUGUUCAUGCCUCUCUCCUCAAUGCCUCACAUGGUGCAUGUGAGACACUUGCCCCAGCUAUUUUGAGAGCAAAAGAAUGCAACCAUGAAAGUAGAGAAGAGAGUGGAUGACUUCCUUGGAGAGGUAUGGAGAAAGGGGUUCAGAAAAAGGCUUUGCACAUGAGGUGAUAUUUAAAGGGUCCCUACAAAUGAGUAGGAAUUUAUUUUAGGGAGAAGGGUGAGAAGAGGCAAAUGUGGGGUUCUGAAAGAAUAGGACUCAUGGGAGAUGUGGCUAGGGAGGGGCUGGGUGACGAAGGGCCUUGGGUGUCCUGCUAGAGGAUUUGAUUAUGCUUUGUAAGUGCUGGAAUUAAGGCUGGGAAGUGACAGGAUUUAGCCUGUAUUUAGAGUGGGGCAGGGACUGAGGCAGGUCUCCAUGAAGGCACCAUGGCAUUCUUCUCUGCAGCCUUGUGGGUGUUUUUAGGGCAGUAGAGGAUGAAGCCUGAUCGAUGAAGAUGCUGUUAACUGAGGUGGGGAAUUUGGAGUGCAGAAGAGUUGUGAGCAUGGGAGCAAGGGAAAGGGGAAUGGAGGUCAUGGAUUUCAAAUGUAUCCGAUGCUGAAUUCCAGAUGCCUUUGGGAAAUCCAAGGGGAUGUAGUCAGGAGGCAAGUUGUGACAAAAGACUGGCUCUGUGGAGAGAAGUGGGAUCUAGGAAUUUAUAUAUAGAAGUUAUCAGCAUGUAAAAAUUGUGCACUAUUGGUAUGAAUGAAAUCACCUUUGGGGAAGCAUUAAGCGGGCUUAGAAGAUGCUUCUUGGCAUUAAACCAUCUCUUAUACUGACGAAGCAGUCUAGAGUGUUGAGUCCCCUUUGCCUAGAGGCAUCUUUUCUUUUUUUUAAUUUAAAUACAAUUUUGCUAACGUAUAGCACAGUAUUGGUUUUAGGAGUAGAAUCCAGUGGUUUAUCACUUACAUACAACACCUAGUGCUCAUCACAACAGGUGUCCUCCUUAAUACCCAUUAUUCAUUUUAGUGCAUCCCCCACCCACCUCCCUCCAUCAACCCUGUUUGUUCUCUAUCAUUAAGAGUCUCUGGGGCGCCUGGGUGGCUCAGUCCGUUAAGUGUCUGACUUCAGUUCAGGUCAUGAUCUCACAGUCUGUGAGUUCGAGCCCCGCAUCAGGCUCUAUGCUGACAGCUCAGAGCCUGGAGCCUGCUUCAGAUUCUGUGUGUGUCUCCCUCCCUCCCUCCCUUUCUCUCUCUCUCUCUCUCUCUCUCUCUCUCUCUCUCUCUCCCUCCCCCCCUUCCCCCGCUCAUGCUGUGUCUUCCUCUCUUUCUCAAAAAACAAGCAUUAAAAAAAAGUCUCUUGUGGUUUGUUUCUCUUUCUCCUAUCCCUGCACCCCUUCCCAUAUAUUCAUCUGUUUUGUUUCAUAAAUUCCACAUAUUAGUGAAAUCAUAUGGUAUUUUUCUUUCUCUGAUUGACUUAUUUCGCUUAGCAUAAUACAGUCUAGCUCCAUCCAUGUCAUUGCAAAUGGCAAGACUUCAUUUUGAUGGCUAAGUAAUAUUCCAUUGUGUAUAUAUGGAUUCAGGUAGAAAGAUCUUGAGAUUAUUUUUAUGAUUCAGUUCUUCAUCUUCACCAAUACUAAUCAAGUUAAUUCAACACCAUGACCAGGCCUGAAGUGUAGGAAAGUCACUGUAUUAGGUACUGUAGGUUUUACAAAAGGAGUAAACCCUCCCUUCAAGGAACUUCUAACUUCUUAGAGAACAGUAAGCAAGUGACUGUAAGGCAAAGUAGAAGAAAUUACCAUUUAUGUUAACAAAUAGGAUGCUCUGAAUGUUCAAAGAUGAAGGGAUUAGUAUGUUUGCAGAGGACAAGGAAAUGUUUCAUAGAGAAGAUGGUCUUGAAGAAUGAACAGGUUAAUGAUCAUCAGUUGCUAGAGAUUAGUGAUAGAAGGAACAAUCAAAUCAAAGUGGCAGAGGAUUAAAUUCAGCUGGUUUGUAAGAAACACUGUGAGGCAAACCUGAGAAGGUGGGUCAAGGCCUUGAAUACUAGGGUGAAAAGAUUGUAUUUAAUUUCAUAGUUUGAAGAACUCCAACUCUCUUUCAACAACAUUUCAGAGGUCGAGCUAGGCCUUCCCCAGUUCAGAACAAAUGGGCGUUAGAACUGUGAUCCUUUCUCAAGGAGAAAGUUAAUUGAUUGACAUUACAAAGUCAUCAUAUAUAGUCAACUAAAAUUGAAAUCCACUUCUGAAGACAGAUGCUGUUUGUUCAGGACUAAGCCACAGCCCCCAUUCCCAUUCCCUUAGAUCCAGAUCUGUAUUUUCUUGGCACAAGAUUCCCUUGAGGGGACUGCUCUUGUUUUUCUCGUGAGUCAUUUGUUAUCUUAAAUAUUGGCAUCUGUGAGAUAAGAGUUUUCUAAAUCACAUUUACAGAAUGCUUGUAAACACUCCUCAUGUUUAGAACAGGUUUCUUCAUUGACCUUGUGCCAUUGAUGUGCUUGAAGCUAUUUCAGGGCAUUAAAUUCCCCAAAGCUUUACUAUGGAAACAUACUCCCAGGUCAUAACUCUUCCCUCUGCCUGGGCGUGGGCCCCAAACGUUUAUGUGGCGGCUGACAUAACCAAUCCAACAGGAUUUUCAGUAAAACCUGAGCUGCCAUAGGGAUACAAUAUUUCUUUUCCUAAUUGCUCAUCAUUUCAUACUAUUUCUUCUAACAGCAAUUGAGGAUGACAUUACACUCCCUUUUAUGUCAGUUGAUAAUGCAUAAUUCACUCGUGGAACAGCCAACGACUGUAUUUACUAACACAUUAAAAAACAUCAAUGUGUAUUCAGGCUACAGCCAUUUUUACACCAGUAUUUUAUGUGUGCAUCAAAUGGUGGAAUUGUGAAAAAGGGGCUUCAUUCUUAUAAAAUGCAUCUCCCACCCUUAUAGACAGAAUGUACAACUGAAGGCCUGUGAAUAAACAGAUGCACUGGUUAUUCUCUGUAGCAUACCCCAGUGACCCCCAUCCCAGCCCAAUUCCAUUUUCUGUCCUUCCCUGCCUUGCUUUGCUCUUGGGAGGCUGUCUACUGCAGAUUGCAUCACCUGGGCCCCUCUGCCACUGGCCCUUGAUUGAGUUUGGCCAGUGGGAGACACCAGUAAAAGACCAGAGGAGAGGAGAGAGAUUAUGGUAUUUCUUUCCUGCUCUUUCCGUGUUUUUCUCUCUCUCUUAGUGCUGUGUUUCUGGCAGUAGCUAUACCCUGCAAUCACUGUAGCCUUUUUUGGGUUCUGAGUACCCUAAUUCUUCCCCUUGUCCCUUCUACCCUGGAAGUGUAACAGCUUUUAUCAGAUUUUAGUCCCUAGGUGCCUCAGUAUCCCCACCCAUCACUCUAUAGGUAACCCCUUUACAGAGAUCUCUUCAUUAGAGCCAUUUGGGGUAUAUUGCAUUUUCCAUCGAGAUUCUGAGGGAAACACAAUAUAUUACAGUUUCCAAAUAAAUUAUUUGGCAAAUAAGCUCUCUGUUCACCUUGCCCAUAACCUGCCUGGACCUUUCUUUCAUGGCCAUCAAGGGGCUCACUAUGGAAAUAUCAAAAGCAAUUAAUUAUAGAAAAUUGAAGCUUACUUCUAAAAAAAUGGGGUCAGAAUAUUCUACUUUGAAUGAAGACACUAUAUUGUAGGUUUUAUAUGCAUAGCUUAUGGGAGCAUAUAAGAUGAUAAAGUUUUGAUGUGAAUAAUGUGUUCACUGAUGAAAAAAGGUCAGAGGAAGAGGUGUAGUGGAUCAAAUCCAUGUGAUUCAGCAGACAUAUAUUUUUAAGUGAGAAAAGAAAAGGUAGGAUAUUUAAGAAACACAACAGUUGAAUAUAGGGGAAGGGAAGGGAUGAUAAGAUAAAAAAAGAGGGAGGUAAACCAUUAGAGAGUCUUAAAUAGAACAAACUGAGGGUUGCUGGAGGGGAAGUGGGUGGGAGGGGGAUGGGCUAAAUGGGUGAUUAAGGACACUUGUGAUGAGCGCUGGGUGUUAUAUGUUAAGUGAUGAAUCACUGAGUUCUACUCCUGAAACCAGUGCUACACUGUAAACUAACUUGAAUUUAAACAAAGAAAGAAAAAGAAGGGUAAGUGUAAAAGGAAUAUUGAAAAAUACCUAAAGCUCUUCCUACAUACACUGGUUCUUGAAAAAGGUUUGCUAGUAGUGAUCUGUGUGAUUAGGGUAGGAUGGAAGGUUGUGAAAUUACAUCCAAUACCAAGUGCUCUUUUAUAGGAAAUGCAUAGAUUGCUCAGUAUGAGAAUUCUGGAGAUCUAGAUCCACUCUCAGUUCUGCUGAGAGAGCUUCACCACGUCACUGAGCCUCAAUUUUGCCAUGGACAAAUGGGGAUAAUUAUAGCCAUUUUAGGUGUUUCAUAGGAUCUCUAGGAUUAUAAAAUUUAAUUAUAGACAUGAAAGCACUGGGGUGCACACACAUGUUAUACACUACUAAAAUAAGAUCUUAAUGUAUUUUAUCUCAUUAGAAAUUAAGCCUAAAUGUUUUUUCCUCUUUCAAUGUGAAAAAUAUAUAUAUUUGGAAGCCAGACUUGUUGCUUGAGGACAUAUCUCAUGGGGCUCAGUAGGACCGAGAGUUCCAGAAAUAAACCCUGAAACCAUUUUGCCUGUUUGAUGUCUUAUACACAGAGGAGGCUCAAUACACAUUUGUGGACUAGAUUUAUUUUAUCUAAAAUUGGUCCAGGUAUCGUUAACAUUUUAAUGACUGCAAUGGCAUAGACCUAAGUGACUUUUUCUGUCAUGCCUCAGUUUUGAUUAGAUCACAGCUAAAUUAGUGGGCAAGUUCUCAUGUUCAGAAUAAGGACUGAAAGUGAUAGUUCUCACUGGGCUUUCAUAUGAUUAACAAUACAGAAAGUGCUGGAAACUCUAUUGUGUUUAGUGACUUUGUAGAGCAAGUAAUGAAGGAAUAUUCAGAAAAUUCUGAAUUUGGUAGAAAUAACAGUAGGCUUUUAAUAAAGAAGAGUGGAUAUAAUUGAGAUAGUCUCUUCCUACAAAAAAUGGGAAGAGAGAAUCUUUACCAUUGAAAUAGCAUAAUCUCAGCCAUCAGAAAAAUCUUUAUCGCCAACUGCUUGACCUUGGAGCAGCUUUUUGUAAAUCUCUCUGGGUCUCAGUCUCCCCAUUUGUAAAACAGAUGUAAAAUGGCAAGAAUGAUAUAUAUUUUAGUGCUUUCAUUGAUCAAAUGCUCAUCUCAGUGCCUGGCAUAGACUAGGUCCUUAAUAGCAGUUAUUAUCUGUGAAAACAAUAAUCUGACUUCAGUUUGCCAUCUUUUCUCCAGGGUGUAUUCAUCAAUAUAGGCUAUACUUUGUUAAAGUAAAACUUUGAAAUAUGUGUGGCUUAACACGAGAAAGGUGUAUUCAUUGCUCAUGUCAUAUUGUGACAUGGAUUAGGUGGUUCUCCUCCAGGAGGUGACUCAGGGAUCUGGGAUUCUUCCAUCAUGCAGUUAUGUCAGCUAAGACCCAUGGUUUCAGUGGAAAGAGAAGCAGUGGGAAAUACUGGCACGUAGCUUUUAAGAGCCAGGGCUAGAAGUGGCCUUACAUCGCUUCUAUCUACCUUUCAUUGGCCAAAACAGAGUUGCAUAGCCUCUGACCUAAUUGCGAGAAAGGCUGGAAAAUUUAGUUUUCAUAUGUCCUCAAGAAAAUAAAAAUGAUGUAUGUCUGUUACACAUGGGAGGUGGAAGACUCACUGAUCCUAAAACAAUAGACUGAUAAAAUGCUUGUUUGGUAUAUUUGGUAGUUUUCCCAAUUUUUUAUGUGACAGUGUAUCAGGACCUUGUUUUGUAAAACCCUCAGUCCUUGGAAAUGAUCAAGCAGAUUCUAGUCCACCAUGAAAGGUGCAGCAUGAAGGGACCUGAGGCUUGAGCUUCUUCCUGCCUCUGCCCUGGACAAGCAGAAGCAGAAAAAGGAGUGAAGGUUAUCAGCCUGGAAAAUGAGGAACAUGUGGUGAGGAGUCGUUUGGCUGCAGGGAUCUGCCAGGAAGCAGAGGUGAUGUAAAGCUGCUUUGGGCUUUAGCAGAUAAAGCAGGAGGCCAAGAAGAUCCUCCAGGAUUAAGAAGAAGAAAAGAUCUGGGGUUAUCAUGGUGGUUAGAGGAAGAGAAGCGGUCAGCUCCCCUUGUGGAGGGUGUAAUGGCAAGGCAGUGUCAGAAUCAGGACUAGUAGUAAAAAUCUCAGAAAAUAGUCACUCUAAAACCCAGGAGGAGCCUUUAACUUAGAAGAAAGGUUUUAAUUGUCCCAUACCUUUUUAAAAAAUCAUGUUGGCCCAACUAUAUUUUACAACCUUUUUUUUUCUACCAAUAACAUUUACAUUUGGUAAAUGUGGGGGUGGUGGUAGGAUCUAGACUUUAUAUUUGACAUUUUACUGAUGAUACAGUUUUAGUGUAAAAUGCAUGGAAAAUUUGGGCCUCAAACUCUUAAGCAUUGCUCACUUCUGUAUAUGCAUUUACUCUGAGUCUACUGUAAUUAAUUCUUUUCUUUCUUAAGCCUCUACUCAAGUAGUAUCUCUUCCAUAAAGCCUUCCCUGCGGAUUUUUGCCAGCAUGGUCUGUGGCUAAUGUAAUGUCCACAUUACAUUACCAGACAUGUAAUGUCCAUGUGGCAUUACCAGACAUGUAAUCACCGGCCACCUUAUAAAUUUCUUGGUUUGUUUCAUGUUGUUUAAUUCUAGGAUUAGUAUUGAACUUUUAUUGUGAUCAUCUCUGGGCUCUGCAACCUGAGCCCCAACACAAAGCAUCAUAGUCGAUGCUCCAUAAAUGCAUCUUGUGUUGAUGAAUACAUGCCAUAACCAGACAAAUUAGAGGUAGAAGCUGAAUUAUGUAACAGGAAAUGAAAACAUGCCCCCAAGCAGAGUUGCCUUUGUAAGAAUUCAGAUUUGGGAGUGUGGUGUUGGAGUUAUCUCUGUUGGUACUUUUAUGCAUCAUUGAGAGGAGAGAUGCUAUUCACGGAUGCAGCAUCCUUUCUUCUUAAGUGAAGUGACAGGGAAUUAAGCUGGAGCCUCAUCAAGCACAUCUAGAAAUACCCAUUUGUCAAUCUCCUGUUGGGAGAAUGAAUCAUACUCUGUGACUUUAAGAGGAAAUUAAUGCUAUAGAUGUAUAUAAUAUUUUCCCAGGAAUAUUGUUCCUGGGAUAACUAUAAAUAUAAAGGAAUUUCUACACUCAUGGGAAAUAGGAUUAUUCUGACGACCCCUGGAGAUGGGAGAAAGAGAGCUUGUGGAGUAGGCAGGCAUCUGUCUACCUAUGUGAAAGUCCAGUGUCUGCAGUGCCCACUGGAUUUAAAAUCCUGCAGUAGACUCUGUGUCAGGCCCCGUGCAGUCCCAGUGCUUACUCCUCAGAACACAGCUCUCUUUAGACUCUGAUCAGCACCAGAGGGAACAACCUGGCCAGUCACCCGCAACUUUCGACUCAUCUGCUUUUCCUUGGAUUGAAUAAAAAUAUAUUGGGCAUCAGCUGCUCAGGUACUGGGAAGAGAGAGCUAAUUUGGGCUCCCAGUGAAAAGGCACAUCAGAGAAUAUUAGUAAAAUCACAGUUUUUAGAGUCAGAUCUAAACCUCAGAAUCCCAGGACUUUGCAUUCUCUUUGCUGUUUAUAUUGAACUGUUCAUUUCUUGUAUACUAACUGUGCAUUAGGUAUUAUGCUAAGUUACACAUAUUAUUUCAUUUCAUCUGUAUAAUAUUCCUAUUCUCAUUUAUUCAACAAAUCUGUAUUGAACACCUGUUAUGUGCCUGGAAAUGUCCUAGGUCCAGAGAGUACAAUAAUGUAUAUUAUGGACAAAAAUACCACUCAUAUUGACCUUACCUUCUGGUAGUUGAAACAGAUAAUAAGCAAAAUAAAUAAGUAAAAUAAUCAGUGUGUGAAUUGGUGAUAAGGUUUAAGGGAAAAAACGGGGUAGGAAAGGACAGGAUGGCCGGGAAGGCUUCAGAGAGAAGGUGAAUGUUGAGUACAGACCUGAAAGGGGAAAGGAGUGAGCCAUGUAAGUACUUGGGAAAAGAAUAUUGCAGAGACAGGAAGCCUAAAGUGCAAAGCCCCAGAGAACAGCAAGGAGGCCCUUGGCUAUCAUGGGAAUGAGCAGAGAGUGGAUGCUGGGAGGUGAGAUCAUGAUGCCUUGUAGGUACCCCAUAAGGAAUCUGGCAUUUACAGUGAGUGAGAUGGGAAACCAUCCGAUAGUUUGAGCAAGUAAAAGAUGCAGUCUGACUCACUGGUUAAUGGCUUCACUGAAGGUGUGUGGGGCAGAGAGAGAAUUGGGAAACUCACAGUUGUCUGCAUGAGAUGAUGGUGGCUUGGACAAGGGUUCUAGAAUUGGACUUGGUAAAAAAGAGUUUAGGGGUGCCUGGGUGGCUCAGUCGGUUGAGCAUCUGACUUUGGCUCAGGUCAUGAUCUCACAGCUUGUGGGUUCAAGCCCCACGUUGGGUUCUGUGCUGACAGCUCAGAGCCUGGAGCCUACUUCAUAUUCUGUGUCUCCCUCUCUCUGCCCCUAACCCACCUGCAUUCUGUCUCUGUCUCUCUAAAAAAAAAAAAAAAGAGUUUAGGUUAAGGAUAUGUUUUAAAGGUAGAGCCAACAGGAUUUCCCUGCACAUUGGAUAUGGGGUAUAAAAGAAAGAUGAUGAUAAUAAGGGUUUAGACCUAAUCAGUUGGAAGAAUGAAGAUGCCAGGUAAUUAGCUCAGAAAAGAGGAUGGGAGAAACAGGUGUAGGGGAGAUAUUAGCAGCUCUAUUCUACAUAUGUUCAGUUCUAGGUGCUGGUGAGAUACUCAAGUUUAGAUGUGGAAUAGGAGAUGUACAAAUAUGGAGUUAGGGAAGAAGUUCACAUUAUAAAUCUACAUUUUAGUAUCAUCAGCAUAUGGAUGAUGUUUAAAGCCAUGAGCGUGGAUAAGAUAACCAAGGAAAUAAUAAUAAUAAUAAUAAUAAUAAUAAUAGUAAAGAAACUAAGACUUAGGGCAGUUAAACAACUUACCCUAUAUCGUGUAGCAAUGGCAGAUCAGUGACUUAAAUCCUGGUCUGUCUGACCACCAAGCCUGUCUUCUUCACCAGCAGAGUGUCCUGCCUUCUGUGAUGGCUGAUAAUGAAUAGUUUCCCUGGACUUGACCAACUGGAGAGUUGGAUCUGAUGGCAGAAAAGAAUGAUCCAUUGGAAUUUGGAAGAGUCCAACAUGGAGAAACCAAAAAGACUCCUGUUCCUUCCCUAGUUCUCCAGAACAUGUUGACGAUAAUGUCUUACAUUAAAAAAAAUACUUCUAGAAGAGUGUACUAACAAUCCUAACUCUUUACUCUUCCCUGCAUCCGUGCCCUUUGCCUUGGAACAUUCCAGUUUCACCCACCACAGAGGCAGAUCAUGCCCUUCACCCCUUACUUCAGGUUCACCAAUGUGACUUGUUUUGGCUGAUGGAAUGUUAGAAGGCAUCAAGUGAUCCAAGGCUUGAGAAGCUCUUGUGUGACUGGCUUGCCCUAUUAUGCCUAUCCCAUGGUCCUGGGAAGAACAUGCCUGGGCUAGCCUGCUGAUUUCAGGAGGAGGAUGAGGAACAGAUGGACCAGAGAUGGUCUGCCUCUCUGAGCCCUGCCUGGACCAGUCAACUCCAGUCUGACCACAAGACAUGUGAAAGGGGUUAGUAUCCAAAAUCUAUAAAGAAAUUAUCAAAUUCAACACCCAAAAAACAAAUAAUCCAGUGAAGAAAUGGGAAAAAGGCAUGAAUAGACACUUUUCCAAAGAAGAUAUCCAGAUGGCUAACAGACACAUGAAAAGAUGCUCACCAUCACUCAUCAUCAUUGAAAUACAAAUCAAAACCACAAUGAAAUACCCCCUCACACCUGUCAGAGUGGCUAAAAUGAACAACUCAGGAAACAACAGAUGUUGGCAAGGAUGCAGUGAAAGGGGAAGGAACACUUCUGCACUGUUGGUGAGAAUGCAAACUGGUGCAGCCACUCUGGAAAACAGUUCAGAGGUUCCUCAACCAAUUAAAAAUAGAAAUACCUUAUGACCCAGCAAUUGCACUACUAGAUAUUUAUCCAAAGAAUACAAAAAUGCUGAUUCAAAGGGGCACAUGCACCCCAAUAUUUAUGGCAGUAUUAGCAACAAUAGCCAAAUCAUGGAAAGAGCCCAAAUGUCCAUCAAAAAAUCAUAUAAAUCCAUCAUAUAAAUCCAUCAUAUAAAGAUGUGGUGUAUGUAUAUAUAUAUAUAUAUAUAUAUAUAUAUAUAUAUAUAUAUGUAUAUACACACACACACACACACACACACACAAAAUGGAAUACUACUUGGAGAUCUAAAAGAAUGAGAUCUUGCCAUUUGCAACAAUGUGGAUGGAACCAGAGUGUAUUAUGCUAAGCAAAAUAAGUCAGAGAAAGACAAAUACCAUAUCAUUUCACUCACAUGUGGAAUUUAAGCUACAAAACAGAUGAACAUAAGGGAAGGGAAGCAAAAAUAAGAUGAAAACAGAGAGGGAGACAAACCAUAAGAGAUUCUUAAAUACAGUGAACUGAGGGUUUCUGGAGGGGAGGUGGCUGAAGGGGAUGGGCUAAAUGGGCAAUGACCAUUUAGGAGGGCACUUGUUGGGUUGAGCACUAGGUGUUAUAUAUAAGUGAUGAAUCAUUAAGUUAUAUUCCUGAAAUCAUUAUUACACUAUAUGUUAACUAACUUGGAUUUAAAUGAUAAUAAAAAAAAAGACGUGUGAGUAAAGCCUGCUGAAAUUAGGAAAGCUGCUCAGAGAAGCCCCACUGGUUCAGACAACCCACACAUCAGGGAGGAGAAAUUAAUUCUUUAAGCCACUGAGUUUAGGGCUGUUUUUCUAGGCAGCACAAUUUUUUGUUUUUGGCAAUAACAAACUGAUAUAGCACCUUUCAAAGCACAUCCAUAGACACUGCCUCAUGUGAAUCUCAUGGUAAUUUUGUGAGGCUGAAACCACUACUACCCCCUUAUACCUCUGGUGGAAGGAAGCUUAAGCUCAGAGAUGUCUCCUGACUUGCCAUAUAGUAUGUAGCUAGUAAAUGAGAGAAUGAGAAUCCAAGCAAGGGACAGCUUCUGGUCAAGUCUCCUGCCCUCAUGAGUUCACUAUUUUGCCUUCUUCUUUGCCAAUCAGAGAGCCUGGGGCCAACCAUUUGGAAAGACAGUUUGCUCUCAUGAGAUCCUGGGAGCAGCAUCUUCCUUGUCAUUCUAGAGCUCCUGUUUUACAUAACUAGUUCUUGAUUUAUUUUAUUGGUGACUCACACAUACACAUGCGUAAACUCACUCACUGGGUGAACUGAAUCUUGCUUUUCUCAUAUGGCUUAAGUGAAUCUAUUCAGGCCAGUGACAGGGUGGAGAAGGCUCUGGCCCUAAGCUCAAGGAAGACUCCACCCCAUUCUCCAGACCCCAUGACUGAAAGCUUUCUCUCUCUUCCAUGGCCUCUGCAUCUACACAUCCAACAGACUGCAUCAAAGUCCAAAGACGUCUCUAUUUCCCACAGCAGUUCUCCUGGGGAGCAUGCUGAAUUCUGGGAAAACACUUACGUGAAUGGCACAGUGGUUUGUCUGUCUCAUGAUCCACUUCCUUAAAAUUAAAGCCAUUUUUAAAAAAUUUUUUAAAUUUUCUUUAUUUCUGAGAGGCAGAGAGAGACAGAGUGCGUGUGGGGGAGGGGCAGAGAGAGAGGGAGACACAGAAUCUGAGGCAGGCCCCAGGCUCUGAGCUAUUAGCACAGAGCCUGAUGCGGGGCCCAAAUUCGGGAACCAUGAGACCAUGACCUGAGCCGAAGUCGGAUGCUCAACCGACUGAGCCACCCAGGCUUCCCAUAAAGCCAUUUUUUAAUUUUCUGCCAACGAAGCAGGGGCUCAUAUGUUGUCCAGGGAAGCCUUCUUUGUUAUUUGUGUUCACAGGAUGUUCCAAGUUAGAACGUGACCUAAGACUUCAGAUAAAUGAAAAUGGUUCCUCCUGACAAAAAGGUUGGAGUUUUUAAUAGAUGUUAAGAGUAGCAUCAGCCUUCUGUGGCUGUGGCAGGGGGUGCUAGAUGGGGAUGGGAGUGUCCUCAUAGUCUAGAAGACAGGGCUCUCUCACCCUCACCUUUUCAGUUUCAAUCCCACUUUCCUGUAGGCAAAACCCCCCUCCUGCGAGGCGAGCCUCCCCACUCCCUCCCCUCCCACCACACCAGGUGGUUUCCCACCUUUGUGAUUUUAUUCACACCAUUCUCCUGCCCCAGUGUUCUUUCCCAGCCACGCCAGUUAUGUGGCAGGUACUGUUCUGGGUGCUGUGAAAUAUAUAAAAAUGUCUUCCUUUAUGCCCCUUUGCAUUUAAGUAAAUAGACACUACUAACAAGUAAGAUGUCACUGAUGACAACAAUAGGUGAUAAGAGUUACAGAGAAAGAUAACAGGUGGGUAUUAGAGAGUCAUGGGGGAGAGGGCUGCAAUGUUAAUUAGGAUGUUCUGGGAAUGUUUCACUGAGAAGAUGCCAUUUGAACGAUGACCUGAAGGAGGUAAGGGUGAGCCCGACAGUCAUCUGAGAAUUCAGUGAGUAUACCAGGUAUGUUUGGAGAAUAUUAAGAGCCUCUGUGUGAUUGAAAUGGAGUUGGGGGGGGGGGGUGUUGAAGGAAAGUAGUAGUAGAUGAAGGCAAUGAGACAAGAAGCCAGAAGAGUGACAUGUCUGACUUAAGUUUUAAUUGGACCUUCCUAACUACUGUGUGGAAAAUAGUCUGUAGUGGGGGCAAACCCGAAAGUGGGGAAACUAAUUAGGAGGCAAUUACAGUUAUCCAGGUGGGAGAUGAUGGGUUUGGCCAAGAGAUAGUGAUGGAUACAAGAAGUAGUAGUCAGGUUCUGUAUGUAUUUUGUAGGUACAGCUGAUAGAAUUUGGAUGGGAGUAUAAAAGAAUAAACAGGGAUGACUCCAAGAUUUAUAGAUCUGCAAGGUGAGUAUCUGUCCUCCUUCAAGGGCCAGCUCCAGCUGCCACUACUCUAGCAAGACUUCAUCGAACACUUCAGAAAUCUGUCUUCUAAACAAAUAUCAUUUAUGGGCCAUUUAUCAAGUACUGCUCUGAGCUAAGAGCUUUUCCUUUUUCAUGCUUUUAUGUCUCUUCUUCCCAACAAGUUUGUAAGCUGUUAAAGAGCUGAAGCUGUGUCUGAUGCUUCUCAGCAUCUCCCAAAGUUCAAGAAGUAGUGUCUAACACAAAAGGAAUACAAGUUGCCUUCUAAUUAUGAAUUGAUAUAGGAUUGUGGAGUCUUAGUAUUCCUAUCCAAUAGGCAUGUCACAGCCACAGGGUGUGUGUGUGUGUGUGUGUGCGUGCGCGUGCAGAAUCCAGGGACCAGACACAAGUGGAGUGGAGUCAGGGGAGUGCAGGUGCACUGGCUAGACCAGGCUCUCACAGUGGAAGGUAUGCUGUCCUCUUCAUACCAGACUGCACCCCGGUGUAAUCCACAUGGUGUGGUAUUAAUGAGAGAACUUUCCAGCCAUGGUAAAUGAAAAAUAUAAAAAUAAAAUGGCUCUAAGCAAGGGCUGGAGUGAUCUCUAGCUUCUCUUAGUUCUAAUAUUCAAAGUGGUUCAAAAGUUCUAUUUACACUAAAUGACUCCUCUAAAACUUUUGGUCCGAAACCAUUUUUUUAAGUUACUAUUUAUUAUCUUGAAACCUUGUGGAAUGUGUGUGUGUGUGUGUGUGUGUGUGUGUGUGUGUGUGUACACAUGCACACGCAUGUGUGUAGUUAGGCUUCAAGACUAAUUGGUCAUUCUGAAUUCUAAAUAGCCAGAAAAGGAGGCAGAUGGAUGAAGCUCCAGGAGGUGAGAGAUAUGUGACUGCUUAGUCAGUUUUUGUCAAUUGGUUGAUAAAUGACCCUCAGGACUAGGAAGUGAGAUCCCAGUCUCAGAGUCAGCUGAGAGGCCUAGAAAAAGGAGAGUCUCCUUGUGAGCUCUUGAGCUUCUAGACCAGUGUUUUUCAUCCUCUGGAUUGAGAUAUAGUAGUGGGUUAUGAGAUCAAUUUAGUGGGCUGCAACCAGCAUUUUUAAAAAUUGGAAUAAAAGAGACAAUAAAAUAUGAAAGUGUCUUCAUGAAUGAUGGUUUUAUUUUGGGAAACUUUGUUUUAGUGUUGUGUAUUUAUGGAUGUGUAUGUGUAUGUCCUAAAUAACAAUGUAGACUCUAUUUCAAAUAAGCUUAAAAUACAUUUUAAAAAAGGGAAACCACUAUUCAAGACAAUUUGGAGGCAAGUGAAAGAUCUAAUUUAGAGGGAGACCCUUCACUCUUUGAGCCCCUUCCCCCAGUGACCAGCACACUGAGUCCUGUGUUUUCCAGGAGGUAGCCAGCCACAUGGUCUACACUCACACAUGAAUCUCUUAAAGGGAAUUAGUGCUGUCUACAGUCACAGGUAACACACACACAUGUGCCAGCACAUAUGCACACCUUCACUUGGAAGAGCACCCCCGCCCAGCUCUGGGAGACAUCCCUAAGCCCUGGUAGAUUCUUAGAAUUCAGCAUUCAUCCAAGGAUGAAAUUCAGGAAAAGGGGGCUGUUGGUUUCUUGCCUGAAGCUGCCUCUAAAGCUUCAUUAAAGAGGUCUCUCCUCUUCCCUCCCUACACAUGCUACUGUUUGCUGGAGCCACACAUGAGCCCUUAUUUAGCAUGCACUUCUAAGCAAGGAGCAUUGACUUCCUCUUAAUUGAGGCAUAAUAAUUAGAGCAUUAGCACAUUAGGAGGGUGAGACAGCAUGUUUAGCUUUUGUGAUUAAUUAUCUGAGGAUUGUAAUAAGUUGUUAAGACAUUAAUUACGCUGGCAUGUUUACUGCGCUAGGUUGCACAGGCAAUGCUUUGCCGUGGCAAGUUGUAACAUGUCUAAGGAGGUAGCCGUGAUGGGAGGCACAAGUGGGUUGGGUCACCUACGUGUGUCUGUGGAGCACUGCAGCCCUGUCUGAGAGAGCUGGAGUCAAUGCCUGCUUUUCUUCCUGGUUGUGUGUGGACUCAAGAUGUAGAGGAAUUAGCUUUUCUUUUAAUGCUGACUCAGUGAAACGAAGUCACUUGAGCUCUCCAAGUUCAAAGCUUUUCAACCCUAGAGGUCAGUAAAAACAUAAAAUAUGUCCUACUCUAGACAAAUACAGACUUGUGGGUCUUCCCCUCAGGCACAAGAAUGCAUCUGUCUGUUGUGUUGGUGGGCAGCCUGUCCUAGGGAAGAAGAGAUACCAGGGGGGAGAACCCUGGGCUCCCGAGCUGGGCAGGAGCAAGGAGGGGGGUCCUGGAACCUCUGGACAGAAGCAUGAGAGAGAAGGCACUGUCCGUGGUCUUUCCGAUGUCACGGGGUGGGACCACCUGUGCUGGAAAGGCAUAACCAUAGGCUGGGUGUGCAGAGCAUGAUGGAGGCAGACAACGGUACUUCUAACUUAAAGAGGUAACAGAAACUUACUACCGGAGAGAUCAUUUACUAGUUGAUUGUUUCAGGCUCUUUAUGUAGACUUUCCUAGGAAGUCGUUACUUGUUCUUGCUGAGAGGCGAGGUCAGCGAGAGAAGCCCAGGAGGUGCGUAGAAUGCACAUGUUGAUCUAAUGUUAAAUGAAGCCACCACCAGGCUGUAUAACUACACUCAUGCUCAGCUUAGGUGGGUGGACUAGUGGGAAGUGUGCCUUUAAAGGUAAAGAGCUGAUACAUUUUUUCAAGAUUAUUUUGUUUAAUGUUAUAAAUGCCACAUUUGUAAAAAAUCAGCAAAGAUUAGAAAUAAGAUUUUAUUUAAUCUCUAUUACUCUGCCUUGAAUGGUUAUUUAUAUUGUAAUAAACAUGUGUAGUUGCCAAAGGAUGUGGUGCUCUUCCUAAAAUUGUCUACAUAACACACUCAUAUUAACUCCCCAUUAAUUUUCUCAUUUCCCCAUUUAUUUAGCAAUUUGAAAGUUCUAAAUAAUUAGUUUUGUUCUUAAAAUUAACAGCUUUCACAAUCACCAUUAAUUUUUGAGGCAUUUUAGCCUUGCAGUAAUAAAUGUAUAUUUAAACCAUAACCGACUGAUAGAGUUUCAACACAUAAAGCACAUAAGGAGAUGUUCAUUUCAAAGUCUGUGUGCAAUGCUUUCAUAUAUUUGAAAGUGAAUACCCAGAUAUUAACAAUAAAUUCAAAUGACAUGGCUUUUUUUUUUCUUUAAAGGAAUAAUCGUGAAUAGAAAAGCUGGUGAACUAGGUGAUCACACACUCAGUGAUCACACAUACUUUCAGGGGUCCUGGAAAUUAUGUUGAAGCGGGCCUUUGCCUAUUUAGCCUUCCAAUGGCCAUAAUCAAACAGAAGAAGAGAUUUUGGCCAAGCCCCAGGUCUGAAGGCUGACUUUGGUAUAUCCCAGUCUAAUUUAUGAAAAUGCAAAGGCAGCUUCUGCAUAGGGUAAAUUACCUUCAUCACGAGUUUGGGGCCGGUGUCUUUAGGGCAGGGUUGAGAAGGCGUCAUUUAAACAGAAAGACCUGAUGUCCAAGACCACAGCGGGAGUCAGGGUGGAACCUGGACAGGAGCUGCUCACCCCUGCCGCCAUCUUGUAUCUCUGUAUCCAGCCUAGUCGGGCCUGCGGAAGGAAGCAGGGGAGGGUGAUUUGUCAGCCUGAGCUGGAACUGGUGGGAAUCACCAGCUUUCAGAGCCCCAAGGAGGCCUGUGGCCUGGAAAUGUGGGGAGGUGUGAGCAGAGCCCUGGUACCCCCUCACACAGAGAGUUCCUUUCUCAGCUCCCUUUAAGAAUGUUCUAAAUUCAGAGCAAGUCUUUCUGAGCCUUUUUACCUUGGAGUUCUUAGGGUCUGCCCUGCCAGGCUGGGCCAGAGAGAGACCUUUUAGACUCCAGAACAUACCCCUGACCUGCAGGUGGAGGCCUAAUGGGUUUCAGAUGCUACAGAGCAUACAGUCUUUCUCAGCUCAGAGCUUUCCCCCUCACUUUCCUGCUCUUUCUCACUGCCUCAUUCUGCUCAGAGCAAGGUGUAGUUUGCUGAUAUCCCACUAGACUGUUACUAGAGCUUGGAAGAUGGAAGUUAUCAUGACUAAAUACAUUUCAAGUCUUCCACACAUAUCUGAGUACAGCAAACAUUAAAAAUUAAUGCCUCUAAUAAUAAAACCCAGAAUAAAAAUGCUGUUAUUACUAAUUGUAAUUUAUUGCAAACUGGUAGUGUGUUGAGUGCUCUGAAGACCAUAAAGGUGAAAAACAGCCUUCUUUGUACAGGUGAGUGGGAUGAAUGAUUUCCUCACUCCUGAGAUUCCUUGCGCAAGGAUACUUCCUUGCCCAGCUAUCUCAGGAACACCUUCUUCCUGGUUGUAGGCCAAGGCUGCCCCUCAACGGUGGGGGAAGAAGAAGGAAGUCUUUGAGCCAUUUAAAGGGGGUGAUGAUAGGGGCACCUGGGUGGCUCAGUUGGUUAAAGCAUCCCACUUCAGCUCAGGUCAUGUGAGUUUGAGCUCCGCAUCAGGCUCUGUGCUGACAGCUCAGAGCCUGNCCGUGGAGCCUGCUUCGGGUUUUGUUUCCCUCUCUCUCUGCCCCUCCCCAGCUGACUCUGUGAUAGAGACUCUGUGUCUCUAUCUCUCAAAAAUAAACAAACAUAAAAAUUAAAAAAUAAAAGGGGUGAUGAUAACCAUUCCCUUUUGUGGUUCUGGUGGCUAUGAUUCACAUGGCUGAUAGCAGCUAGCAUUCGGUACUAUUAGUUAUCUUUUCAUAUAUGCUGUAAGUCUCUCUGCCUAAGUAAUAUGUCACUUGAGAUUUAGACUGUUUUGAAUCUUACAGUGCCUAUUACAGAGUCUUAAAUUUUUUUUAAUGUUUGUUCAUUUUUGAGACAGAGACAGAGAAUGACAGGGGGAGGGGCAGAGAGAGAGGGAGACACAGAAUCUGAAGCAGGCUCCAGGCUGUCAGCACAGAGCCCGACGUGGGACUCGAACUCGUCAACCAUGAGAUGACCUGAGCCAAAGUCUCUCAGCCAACUGAGCCACCCAGGCGCUCUACAGUGUCUUAAUGUGCAUUAUUUUAAGAGAUCUGAAAAUGGAAUUGUGUAUGUGUGUGGGCAGGUCUUUUGCCCCUACUAAGUUAUAAUCUCUUUGAAGUUAAAGACAAUGUCUUAUUUAUCUUUGUAUCCACUGUUCUUAGCGGUGUCUUCUCUAUUAACAGUUUUUUUUAAUUAAAAAAAAAUGUUUUUAGUGUUUAUUUUUGACAGAGAGAGAGCGCGCGCGAGCCAGCAGGGUAGGGGCAGAGAGACAGAGACAGAAUCUGAAACAGGCUCCAGGCUCUGAGCUGUCAGCACAGAGCCUGAUGCCCAGCUCGAGCCCAUGGACUACCAUGAGAUUAUGACCUGAGCCGAAGUCAGACGCUUAACUUACUGAGCCACCCAGGUGCCCCCCCUCCUUUUUUAAAAUUUUACAUAGAGAGAAGGUGUGAGCAGCCGAGGGGCACAGCAGGGCAGUGGGGGGGGGGGAGAGAGAGAGAGAGAGAGAGAGCGAGAGCGAGCCUUAAACAGCCUCUACGCUCAGCAUGGAGCCUGACACAGACUCUACCUCACAACUGUGAGAUCAUGACCUAAGCUGAAAUUAAGAGCUGAAAGCUCAACCGACUAAGCCACCCCAAUGCCCCUCAACAAAUAUUAAUCAGUUACAUAUUAAGCUGUGUUAACUUUUCUCCUAGCUCUGAUACUCUUACACAUUAAUUAGAUAUGUGAUUUUCUACUCAUUCAUUUAUGAAACGUAAGUUUUGCAUUAUACUAAGGUCUGUGCUAAGUGCCAAGGAUACAGAGGCAAACCAGACAAGGUUGUACCCUCUUGGAACUUAUUUUCUAGCAGGACAGAUGAUAAUCGAAUAAGCAUGUGAACAGACAGGAUGACUUCCAGCCACGGUAAGUGCUGGCCGGUGAAUUGUGAGUGAAGAGCAAGUGGGGCGGGGGACAAGGCUACUGCAAAGAGAGCAGUUGCAGAAUGAGGGAACCCAGACUGUGGCUCCCUUGGUAUCUGCUCCACUCCUGGCCCCGGGCCACAUGUGCUCGACCCUCAGUGACCAUCUGUGGAACUGCUUCGAAUGGAAUGGUGGAAUGGAAGCCGCAGAGAGGACAGAAAGCGUGAGGACAGGCAGAGAGCCGAAGUCACUACAAACUUGAGCAGUUUAAUGCUUUAAAUAGGGUUCUGGUCAGGGGCUGUACGGCAGCCUCGUUCUUCAUUUGAAUUUACUCCCUGCAGAAUUAAUUGCAGAAGUCCUUCAGAAAGCAGCAGGGAAGUAUUACUUGCCCAGAAAACAUUCUGAUUUAGUGUGAGGUUUGUGCUUACGACAUAUUUCUGAGAGGAGGAACCCGAUUUUGUAGGCUUCAUAUUUCUUGCAGAGCCUAUUAGAGUACUUAAUUUAUACACACACACUGAUACAUAUGCGUAUGUAUGUAUAUAGGUGUGUAUGCAUGUGUUUCUGUGUGUUUGGUUGUUUGAUUGGCUUGAGGUCUAGAACCAAAGAAGGAAAAGGAUUUUCGGUUUCUAAAAGGCUGUACUCUUGUCCCGUAAAAGAAGAUGUGCCACAAGAAUGUCAAAAGACAGUUUAAAAGGAGAAACACAGGAUUAUGCGUUCCUCCUGGUUAUUGCGUAUAAAUUGCUUCUUUGCCUGAAAGAUCAUGUUCCAUGGGGACCAGCAAGUGACUGGCUUAAUAUUGUUGGUCCCUGUGCCACAGAGUGAAUUGAGUUCUUCUCCCCAGUAGUGGGGUGAUUGUGUCUAGAAUGCCAAGCACAGGAGGUGGGCAUUAAUUAGGGCUAACAGCCUAUAAUUGGAGUUGCCUUUAUUCCUCCUUCCAUUCUCCAAGCCUGAGACUGUCAGAAGGCUCGUUUUCACUGAAGCGUCAUAAUUAACGCAGAGUCUAAUGUGAAAGGCAGAUGAGGUUGAAGCCCAAAAUAGCUCAGAGCUCCCCAAGGGUGUAUGUGUGCAGAACUGUGGGGAACAGGCAUGGGGAAAGAGGAGACUGGCAUGUAGGUUGACCUCCAAAUGUUUCCCUUUUAGAGAGGGAGUUUGGGGGUCAACACUGCCAUCUCCCUUUUAUAUUCCUAAAAGAAGAACUCUAAACCCCUGAAAUGUUCACGGAUGGACUAACAUUUCAGAAUCCUGGGCUACAGAAGUGGCAGGAACCAUACCCAGUAAGUCUCAAAUCCUCUGCUUUGCUUUGUUCUUGUUUGUAAGGGAAGAUUUCCUCCCUCACGAGGCUGACAUAUUUUUGGGGUGGAAGCCCUGGGACCUGGGAAGCUGGGAAAUGUAAUAAUGUCCGCAAAGCUAUUGGAGUGCCUUGGAAGAAAAUUCACGAUAUUUCUCUUAUUAAUGCCAGUCUCCCAAUUCCCCUGAACUCUGAGAACCCAUUUAAGUGAUUACUUCGCGAGGAGCUAGUAGAAAAGCAAGGCUAAUAUAUUUCUUCACUUGGCAGCGCCCACACAGCAAAGGACCCUGAGUGCACUUACCAUCGCUGUCAUCUUCUCACUCUUUCCCCCUUGGUCCUGCUUAGAACAUAAUGAACUAAACACCUGCAGUUUCUCUCCUAAGAAGAUCAGAUUUCAUGAACUUUCCAGCAGGUAGCUUGUAGCCCCCCUGGCACACAUUUACACAUAUGUACUUAAUUCUAUGCCAUUGGAGAACUGGGAGAAAGGUGGGAUGGUGGGGGUGCCUCUGCCACACCGCUGUUCUGGGUCUCCAGUUAGGAGAGAAGGACAACAGCAAAAGAGAAGACUAUUGAAUGCUCUAGGUUCUCUGCACCAGGCUUUCUUGGAGUUUUCAGACAACAAACCAUUGGCUUAAUUUCCAUCCUGAGCCAUUUAUUGGAAGUGGAUCCCUAAAUAUAUGCAGUUUCCCUCUUCCCAUCAAGGGGAGGCACCAGAGGAGGGUCACAUGAUGCUAGGUACAAAGAGAAGAAAGAGCAGGUUUGCUAACUUGAGAUGGGGAUGAUUGGCAUGUUGGGGAUAUUGCCUUAUUGCAUUUGCUGCUACAGGGUGACUUUGGGAACCUCAAGCCAUACAGCUCUUCUGGUGAAGAUGGGAAAUGAAACCCAGAUUACUCACAGCCAGCUGCAGAUUCACAAAUGCUGGAGGCACCCACAUGCAGAAACCAGCUGCCUUGUUUCUGUUGUGUGCUCAUAUGCCCUCGGGGCCUUAAAAAACUCUUUUAGGCAGUAAUCUACUAAGUCAUUACAUUGCUUCAUCAAUAGAUUUCUCUGGAUUAUUAGGGUUUUUAUUCUCAUGCUUGGCCAUAUUGGAAAAAUCAGGGAUAAAUCGUUUUCCCCAUCUCAGAGUAAUCAGGCCCUGAAUUAUUAUACACAUUGUUUUCUGAUUUUUCAAACUUCUGCUGACAUUUACUAAUUUACCUGGGCUGAAAUGCUUGCAGGUGCAAAUAAUAGGAGCCGAAGCCAGCCAGUGUAUACUUCUUAAAGUUACUUGGGAAAAGUCACUGGGUAGCUGUGAGCGUGAGCUUUGGAGCGGACUGGGGAUCAUACAGCCAGGGGGAGGAGCAGUGUUUAGCGGGCACACACUGGCUGAUGUGGCCGUACUGAGCCUCUUCUGAUGGGUGGGUACCUCAUGUUCUGGUUGUUUCGUUGCUUGAGUGUCACAUCUGCAUGCAGCCUGCUCUUGUUUUGACAGUGGCACCGAGAUGUUUUGAAGGACGGAUGGUGCUGCUGUCCAUAUACUGAACCUUAAAAGCCUGGAGAUACAUACAUUAAAUACAUACAGUGUUUGUUUUUAAAGAGGCUGGAGGUAAAACUCCAGAUCUCUGCACUUUCUCCAUGAUAAAUCUUUAGUGGGCUAGCAUUCUUCACUACCCCCCCCCCAACUUUUCUAAAAUGUUUGAAAAGUUUUCCAAAAUGUUAGAAGCUAGAGAAGCCUAUUUAGGUUGUUUUCAGGAAACCCCGAGUUUAAGAACAACUAGACACUAGGAAAGACACAUGGGAAGAGAUUAGCGGUUAGGGCAGUAAGUGGGCCAGCUGUGAAGGGCACUGAAAAUUGUGCUGUAGUUGUACAGGAAGGAACACCAAGGACGUGAGUUAAAGCGUCAGCUCCAUUGUUGAACUCCCCACGUGACCCUGGAAAAGUCCCAUCAGCUGUUUCUUCUCAGUUUCUUAAUCUGUCAAAUGGGGAGAAGACCUCACUGAAAAGACUCAGGUUCUUCCCCCCUUUCCAUUCUGCAUCCUCAGACUGUCAGAUGGUCUCCUGUCAUGGAUGUAAGAGGGUUGCGGCAGUUCCUAGUCUCACAAAAUCAUACACAGGUGACUGAAGGAGUCCACAGAUUCUAAGUCGUCAUGGGCUGUGAGUUGCACCAUUACUUUAUACACCACUACAAAAGAAACAGCACUGCCAGUUAGAUUGUGACAAGCUGUUUAUUGUCAGAUGCAUCCUGAGUUGUCCAAUCAAUGAAAUACAGUAUACAGUAUGUUUUCCUAGUAUCUUUGUGCUGUUUCAAAGGGGCAUAUGCACCCCCAAUAUUUGUAGCAGCACUACUGACAACAGUCACAGUAUGGAAAGAGCCUAAAUGUCCAUCGACUGAUGAACGGAUAAAGAAGAUGUGUGUAUAUACAUGCACGCACACACAUACACAUACACAUACACAUACACAUACACAUACACAUACACAUACAAUGGAGUAUUACUCAGUGAUCAAAAAGAAUGUAAUCUUGCCAUUUGCAACAACAUGGAUGAAACUAGAGAGUAUUAUGGUAAGCAAAAUAAGUCAAAGAAAGACAAUUAGCUUGGGACUUCACUCAUAUGUAGAGUUUAAGAUACAAAACAGAUGAAUAUAAGGGACAGGAAGCAAAAAUAAUACAAAAACAGAGAGGGAGACAAACCAUAAGAGACUCUCAAGUACAGAGAACAAACUGAGGGUUGCUGGAGGGGAGGUGGGUGGAGGGAUGGGCUAAAUGGGUCAUGGGCAUUAAGGAGGGCACUUGGAAUGAGCACUGAGUGUUAUGUGUAAGUGAUGAAUCAGUAAAUUCUGUUCCUGAAAUCAUUAUUACACUAUAUGUUAACUAACUUAACUUGGAUUUACAUAAAAAAGAAAAGAAUGUCUCUAGAAACUUUUGCCAUGCCACUCCUCUUCUAGCAGCAGACUUGCUGCAUUCGAGCCCUGAAACUAAUCCCUGCAAGUACCACUGUAGCUGCCUUGUUUUGUGUUGGUCCUCCUAUUCUCUUGCCUCCUGGGCCCUUGGGUGUUCACAGCUACAGCAGCAGCCUGGCCAGUCCAUGUAAGCCCAUGCCAUUUUGCUGAGUCUCUGGCUUCUCCCACCAUGUGUGCGCUUCGGUGAAGCACCAUGCCAACACUUACUCCUUAUGGGCCAACCUCUUCGCGGUGGGAGACAGAGACUGGGAGAAUGUAGAUGAAUGCUUCUCUGUUCCGCCUGUGAGGGCAUGUUCUGGAAGUGCGGGUUUUUGAUGUAGCUUGUCUGGAGACAUCUGGAGUGCCUCAGUAACUCCGUGUCUCUUUGUGAAAUGGUGGCCACCAUGGAAAAGCAUCAACUUUUAGUUACUUCCCAUUCUUCCUUGCGUCCCUUCCCUCCUCCUUCACCCUUUAUGCCCUGGCAUCACACCUCCCACUGACGUGAUCACACGUAAGCCUUGCCUGACACCCUGUUUCUGGGGAAGCAGGCCGACACAACCACCACAGUCACCUCCCACUAGUCAGGAUUAGUCCUAGCUCCUUGGGAGAGGAGUGGACUUCAGAAGAAAACUGAGGCUUUCCCAAUGUGGAACAGAGAAGACGUGGCUCUAGAGUGAAUAAUCAACAGUGUUUGAUUAGUGCCUGCCCUGCUUUACUGAAUUGUUUAAAACCUCAGUGAGGUACUGAGUUUUGAAGGCACGUAGUCAACCAUAAAAUAACAUAAAAAUGCAGAGUUGUCCUUGGACUUAUGACUAUUCACAAGUUCUAGAGCAUCCCCAUUAAUUUACUCAUUUAACAAGAAUUAUUUAAGGAGCACCUGCUAUUUGCCAGUCAUGUGGCGGGCAUAGAGAAUACCAGAGUUUCUGCCCUACAGGAGCUUCUUGUCUAUAGGUGAAAUGAGCAAAUAAACUCCAUGUGAUUACAGUUUUCUAGAGGGAACUAGAGGGUGUGUUGUAAGUACCUAGCUUUGGGGAAUCAGAACUUCCUGGGCAAAAUGAUACAUUAGCUAAGAGCUGGAGGAUGAGUAGGGGGAAAUGUGGUUGGGGGUGGAGCGGUGUGACAAGUAGAAAGAAAAGCAUAUGCAAAGCAGAAGAGGUGAGAGAGGGCUUGCUGUUACUCCUUUUUGGCUAGCAUGCUAAGUGCUGGUUUACAAAAGCAUGGAUACCAGAAAGUGUGGUUUGAAUUGUGAAGGCAACGAAGAGCCGCUGAAAUUUUUAAGAAGGCUGGUCUAAAAAAAAUCUCUUCAGUGAUGGUAGAAUGAGUGGACUUUUGAUGGGGAGGGAAGCAGGGUAGGAAGCAAGGAAGCAGAGAUACCACUAUGUAAUGAGGUAUUUCCUUUUAUUUGCUUAAAUCAAUUUUGAGUUUUUCUUGUUGUGAGUAUUUUUCAUGAUUUAAGAUUUCAUGAAUAUUGCAGACUCCACAUAUGUCCUUAAUAUCCCCAUAUAUGUCUCCUAAAGGAGAGGUUAACAUUUUCAAGUAAAGGGAAGGGAUCUUCACGGCCUUUGCCCCACACAAUCAUCAGCUUAAUGGCUCUUUUUUGUCUGUGCUGUUAGUUCUGAUUAGAUCUCGGGGGCACUAAUGAGUGCAAGGUCAAUAAUGUGACUCCCCAGGAGAGCCAAUUACCCCUACAGAGACAAGAACCACAGACUGAAUUUCUACAUGUGGCUGGUCAUCGCAGCCGUGAGCCACCGGUUACAAAGUGUACAAGGGGCAUAUCCACUAGUUGACUCUGUUGUCCGUAUUUUUACUUAUUCAUUCAUUUGUUUAUUUAUUCUUUCCUUCCUCUCUGAGUGAGCUCAGGCUUCCAUAACAAAAUACCAUAGAUUGGGUGGCUUAGACAAUAUGCAUUCAUCAUCUCACCAUUCUGGAGGCUGGAAGAUCAAGAUCAGAGUACAGGCUGAUUCAGUUCUUGGUGAGGGUUGUCUUCAUGGUUUGUAGGUGGCUACCUGCCUCCUUUGUGCUCACAUGACCUUUCCUCAGUGCACAGGAAGAGGGCGAGCAAGCUCUGUGGUGUCUCUUCUUAUCAGGACACUCAUCCCAUCAUGAAGGCCUCACCCUCAUGAUCUUAUCUAAACCUCAUUCCCAAAGUACCCUCUCCAGAUACCAUCCCAUCUUGGUUAGGGUUCAACAUAUGAAUUUGGGGGGCAUAUAAGCAUUCAAUACAAAGCAUUCAAGUACAAUAUUUGAAAGAAUACAAAUUCUUUCUCCCUUCAGUCAUUUUUUUUUCCCCUUUUAACCUGCAUGUAUUAGAUGCCUUCUAUGGAUGAGCUACACUGUUAGGCACUACUGGUAAAAAAUUAAACUAGUAUAGACCUUGCUUUAAAGAGGUCUAGCGGAGAAAGAGGAGAGAAAAUAAAAGAUGCUGGUGUGGUGUGAGUGCUGAACAAGAGUUGUGCAUGAAGUGCUGUGAAAGUACAGAGCAGAAAUAUAAACCUACAUAAACCUAAUAACUUUGUGGUAGAAAGCAGAGAGAUGAAGGGAAAGGGGUGGGAGGUGGCAUAUUUUUGAGGAGAGAGUGUUAGGAAGGAAACUCUCCGAAGGAGAAGAGAUGCUUGAGCAGAGUGUUAAAGCAAAGGAGACAUCAGCCUGGCUGGGGCAUUGGAGAUGGGGUUGGGUUUCGUACUCCAGUGAGAGGGGCCCUUCAGGAAAAGUACUAAGGUAUGUGACAGCAUGGUGUGUGUAGGGAACAGCAAGCUUACCAUGAAAGGAGACACCUGGGUGGCUGUGGGGACAGUCAACAGAUGAGGCCAGGAAAGUGGGCAAAAAAGCAGAUCAUGAGAAUCCCUCUAUGGCAUGGUGUGAAGGUUAAAUUUAUUUUGAAGACAUUAAGAGGCUCUGAAGGUUUUAAACAGGAGAAUGACAUACAGAUUUGCAUUUUUGGAAUGUGAGUGGAUUUAGGCAUGUGGAGGGUAUUUGGGUAAAGUUAAUGGGGCGCCUGGUUGGCUCAGUCGGUUAAGCAUCUGACUCUUGAUUUCGGCUCUCAGGUCCUGAUCUCACGGUUUGUGGGUUCAAGCCCCACGUUGGGCUCUGUGCUGACAGCUCAGAGCCUGGAGCCUGCUUCGAAUUCUUUGUCUCCCUCUCUCUCCGCCCCUCCCUCCCUCCCUCUCUUCCUCCUUCUCUCUCUUUCAAAUAAAUAAAUGUUAAAAGCUUUAAAGAAAAAAAAAAAGGAAAGACAAUUACAAUGGUGUUUAUGUGUGAAUCUCCUCUCGGUGUUGCUUGUCCUGUUCAUGGAGGAUCAGUAGCAGUAUUGAUUUUGCCCAUACGGGAUGUCACAUACAGAUAGAGAAUUAAAACUACUGCGGUUUGGUUAAAGAAAGUAAUGAAUAUAGACAGUGUUCAAGAGAAGAUGCUCACCCUCUGUAGGGGAUAGUUUCUAAAGACUUGGUGACUAAGGAAAUUUUUGAAUUCUCUAGUAAAAUGUUCACCUCCUUUUAGCCCCUUAUUUAUCUAGCAUAUUUUUUUUCUUUAGUUGCCAGGAUGAAUAAUAUCAAGCAUUCUGAAAUAAUACUAUCUCUAGGUUUGGGAAAGAGCCUCAUUUCCCUAUGUCCGAGAGAGCCUGGCUUGUCACUGUAUAUGGUGACUAAUGUUAUACGGUCAGAACUGUGAGCAAUGGUGAUGGCAUGGUCUUAAAAGUUUUCUUCUGAUCUUGAAUUGUGGAAUCGAGAAAUAAAUGGGGAUAUUAUUAGAUUUUCUAAAAUUUCCCAAGAAGUUUCUAUUUUGGAUUCAUAAAAGUAAUGUGACAUAAUUCAAAGCUUCCUAUCUUUUUCAAGUGAACAUUUAUUCAACGGAAUUUACUACUGUGCAGAUAGUAUGGUAGUAAAUGAUAUUUCCUCAUGUUGUUCAAACAGAAAAAAAAAAUGUGCUGUUCACUCAUCCCACCCUCCCUGAAUAGAGGAAGAACAUUUAAUCUGCAUGUCACUUUCUUUUGCCAGAAGUCAGUAACCCCCAGUAUUUUUAGCUCCUUUUGAAAGUCCAUUAGAAACGUUGCUUUUUUUUUUUUUUUUUUGGAGACCUUUCCUGCCUUAUGUACUGACAUCAGCGUAUUUCUGGUUUUCCGCUUGGACCUGUGGAAGAGUGUCUGGGUCUGUUCCUCUUUCAUUUGCCUUCCUGUUCAUAAACCCUAACUAGAUUUUCUUAAAUCUCUUCCUGUCUUUCUACUUUUUAUUCAGUAAGUCUUGUUCUUGUUUAUAUCCUCUCUUAAUGGUAGAGUUGUUUCUAGAAGAUACAUCAUUCCAAAGAGCCGCCCACAUGUGUCUCAGAUUCAGGCUCCCACACCUGUUUUCUCUUCACCAAUUAUGUGACCACCUCUCAGAGGUGGGACGAGAGAGCUGUACUGAAACACAGAAUUUGUAGGCACAUAGUGAUGAAUGCUGUAUUCAAAAGAGCUAUAAUUCUACUUGCCAGUGUGAUUGCCUGAUUUUAAAUCCAGGCAGAUCAUAGGGUGAAAACAACUUCCAAUGGAAAUGUCUUAAUAGUUUGUUUAUUAAACAUUUAAGGGGAACCUAAAAACUUAACAUAGAAUGAAUGGUGGCACUUCUAUUUGAAAUUAGGGUUUAGUGUUUGUGGUGUGAGAUCAGAGAGAAGCAAAAACGGAGUGGCUCUCACUCCAAGCUGUUCACUUGCUGUGUCUUCUGCAAGAGAGGUGAUACUCGUUAGGUGCAGGCAUACCCCGUGUAUAUUGGCAUUACAGAGUUAAAAAGCAAAGCCCUACGCCUGUUGGGAUGAGCACCGGGUGUUGUAUGGAAACCAAUUUGACAAUAAAUGUCAUAUUAAAAAAAAAGGAUAAAAAAAUAAAACUCGCCCAUUCCAAUAAAAAAAAGCCCCAGUUAUACAUCAAUAAAGCGAAAGAAGACUACAUUUUAUCACACGCUAGCUCUUCAAUCUGUAGCUGAGGACAUUUAUUAUGUGAGGCAGGAAUAGCCACAGACGAUCAGGCAUUGCAGUAAUGAGAGUUUUUCCAGGCAGUCCAGAAAAUAUUUAUUCCUCAUCUAGAAUCGUGAAAGGCUUAGAGCAAAACAAAGCAAAACUACUCUCUUGUGGAGGAGGAGGGGGCAUUUGAUGAAUUAUACAGGCACAGUCACAUGGCCCCUUAGCCUGCAUUGCCAGUAUGUGUGCUGUGGCAAGUGAGAGGUGGAAUCAGGAGCAGAAGCGCAACGGAAGUGGGCGCAGUCUUCACGAGCUGAUGGGGGAGCUGCCUCCAGAUGGGGGGGAUUGUCAGCACAGUACAGUUUCAGUACUAGAGGGCUUCUUUUUUUUCCUUUUGAAAGACUGACUUCGUUAUCUCCUUCAAGAUAUAUGAUGAACUUUAGGUGAUCCGCUCAUAUACAAAUAUUAGGAUGAAAACACGUUCCAAAGAAAUGUUAAUUUUAAAGAAUUAUUUGCUUUGUAAAAUUUUUCUACCAUAGCUUGAUUCUAUUUGGUGAAGCAGAAUUUACAUCAUGUGACAUUUACAAAUUUUAAGCAUUCAUUUUCCUGAAUUUUGAUAAAUACACGUCACAUCGCUUUCAUCACCAACAGAAUUCUCCCAUGCUGAUUCUAGUCAGUUCCCACGUCCACCUUGUAAUCAGCAACCAGCAACCUGAUCCCAUCACACAGCCUAGUCAUGCCUGUUCUUGAGAAUUCUAUAAGUGGAAUCAUACACUAGGGCCACUGUUUUCUUUCUGGUUUUACACAAGGCAGUGUUUUAAUACUAAUCCAUGUUGUUGUGUGUUUCAGUAGUUUAUGCUUUUCAUAAUGGGUAAUAUUCCAUUAUGUGGAUAAAUUAAAAUAAACUUAUUUAUUCUCUUGCGUAGGGACAUUGAGAUUUUUCUAAUUUUGGGUUAUUGUUAAUAGAGCCCCUAUAAAUAUUCUUAUGCAAGUAUUUUUAUGGGCAUACAUUUUCAUUUAUUUUGGUUACAUAUAUAACAAUGGAAUUAUUAAAUACAGGUAUGUGCGUAUUUAAAUUUUUAAGAAAGUGGGGUGCCUGAGUGGUUUAGUCACUUAAGCAUUUGACUCUUGGUUUCUGCUCAGGUCAUGAUCUCACGAUUUGUGAGAUCAGUCCCCACAUCAGGCUCUGUACUGAGUGCAGAACCUACUUGGGAUUCUCUCUCUCUCUCCCUCUCCCUCUCCCUCUCCCUCUCCCUCUCCCUCUCCCUCCCUCCCUCCCUCCCUCCCUCUCUUCCCCCCUUUCCCCUGCUCACACUCACUCUCUUAAAAUAAAAUAAAAAUAAAUUUGUAAGGAACUGGCAAACACUUUUCUUGAAGUUACUAUUUUCUCCUUCUGCCAGCAACAGUGCAUGAGAAUUCCACUUGCUUCACAUUCUCAGCUCAGUAGGUAUUGUCUGUCAUUUUAAUUUUAGCUCUUUCAGUGGGUUUGAAAUAGUAAGUGGUAUUUCGUCCUUUUAACUUACAAUUCUCUGAUAAUGGUUUUGAACACCUAUUUACAUACUUCUAUGCUAUUUCUGUGUUAUAUUGUGUCCUCAUACCUUUGUGUGUAGGUGACAUGUCUGUUCAAGUCUACAGUCUACUUUGUAGUGGGGUUGUUUAUCUUUGUAUUAUUAGUUUAUAGGAAUUCUUUAUAUAUUCUGGAUACAAAUUCUUUGUCAGCUCUGUGUGUAGCAAAUAUUUUCUACCAGAUGGUGACAUGCCUUUCUUAUUUUCUUUGUAUUUUCUUAACAGUUCGUAUACAUGAUUCUUUUUUUUCCUAUAAUCUAUUUAUUUUUUAUAAAUUUUACAGCCAAGUUAGCACAUAGUGCAACAGUGUUUUCAGGAGUAGAUUCCUUAAACCCCUUGCCCAUUUUAGAUCAUCCCCUCUCGCACAACCUGUCCAGUCACCCUCUGUUUGUUCUCUAUAUUUUGAGUCUCUUAUGUUUUGUCCCCCUCCCUGUUUUUAUAUUAUUUUUGCUUCCCUUCCCUUAUGUUCAUCUGUUUUGUAUCUUCAAGUCCUCAUAUGAGUGAAGUCAUAUGAGGAUCUCUUUUGCACUGCUGGUGGAAAUGCAAGCUGGUGCAGCCACUCUGGAAAACAGUAUGGAGGUUCCUCAAAAAAUUAAAAAUAGAACUACCCUGUGACCCACUAAUUGCACUACUAGGUAUUUAUCCAAGUGAUACAGGUAUGCUGUUUCUAAGGGACACAUUCACCCCCAUGUUUCUAGCAGCACUAUCGACAAUAGCCAGAGUAUGGAAAGAGCCCAAAUGUCCAUCAACAGAUGAAUGGAUAAAGAAGAUGUGGUGUGUGUGUGUAUAUAUAUAUAUAUAUGCACACAUAUAUAUGUAUAUGUAUACAUACAUAUAUAUGUAUGUAUAUAUGUAUAUAUAGGUAUACACACACACACACACACGCACAAUAGAGUGUAACUUGGCAAUCAAAAAGAAUGAAAUCUUGCCAUUUGCAACUAUGUGGAUGGAACUAGAGGGUAUUAUGCUAAGUGAAAUUAGUCAGAGAAAGACAAAUAUCAUAUGACUUCACUCUUAUACAUAAUUCUUUUUUUUUGCUUAUACAUGAUUCUUAACAGUACUAGUGCUUUAUUUUGUCCCCUGUAAGAAAUACUUGGCAACCACAAGUUUGUGAAGAUAUUCUUCUGUCUUAACUUCUAGGAGUUUUUUAGCUUUUAUACAUACACACACAGACACACACACACACAUAUAUGUAUAUAUAAUUUUGUUGAAUUGUAUUUUUGUGUAUAGUGUGAAGCAGGGAUUGAAAUGUUAGUAUUUCUUAGAUGUUAUCCAGCUGGUCCAUUCAUAUGUGUCAAAAAGACUUUUCUUCUCACCUGUUGAAUUAUCUUGGCAUCCUUGUCAAAAAAUCAGUUGGAGUUACCACAGAGUUUCUUUGAGUUCUUCUCCAUCCUGAGACUUCAGCAGGCCCUUCUCACCUGCACCUCAGAGGGAGACUUGUCUCCUGUUCUGACCCCAGCCUUUCUCAUAUUCUACUGGAAAGGCCCAUAGAAAAGACUGAGAAGUGGGUACAGACUCCCCUGGAGCCUGAGGCUUCCAGGAAUCAUUACUUGCCAUACCCACCCUGAGCUUUAAAAAUUUGAAUUCAGCUCUUUGCUUCUUACUGUUUUGACAGCAGCUGCCUCCCCAUGCGACCACUUCAGCAAGAAUGCAAGCAACUCUGGGUCCCCUCUGAGGUCUUGGAACCUUUUGGAUUUUAUGUUACUAUUUUUUUUUAAUGACUUCGAUUUUGAUUUUGUGGAUUAAGUAGCAGAAGCCACAUGCCCAGUAAAUUAUUUAUUUCAGAUGUUGUAUGUUAUCUAGAUUUUCUAUUUGGUUUUCAUUUUAGUUUUCAUUGCUAUUCUGAGAUUUCCUCAUUGGUUCACAUAUUCCAUCUUUUCCUUAAUAUCAUUGUGCAUAAGGUUAGCAGCUGUUUUAAGGUCUUUUUAUACAGUUUCCAGCAUCUGUUUCUAUUGCUUUGUCUCUAGAUUAGUUAUGUUUUCCUGCUUAUUCAUAUGUCUAGUGAUUUUUACAUUUAAUGAAAAUUGAUAUAAUGGGGGUUAAGUCUUCUGUCUUGCUAUAUAUCCCAUCUGUUCUUUGGUCCCCUUUUCUUUUACUCAUUUCUUCUAGAUUAAUUCGGUAAUAUUUAUUUUUUUAAUGUUUAUUUGUAAGAGAGAGAGAGAGAGAGAGAGAACGAGAUCGAGUGGAGGAGGGGAGGAGAGAGAGGGAGACAGAGGAUCCAAAGCAGGCUCUGUGCUGACAACAGGGAGCCCGAUGGGGUGCUGGAACUCACAAAGCAUGAGAUCAUGACCUGAACCAAAGUCAGACACUGAGCCACCCAGGUGCCCGAGUUCAGUAAUAUUUACAAUUCCACGUUAGCUACUUAUUUUGUUUUCUUUGGUUUGCUUCGUUAGCUAUAACUCUUUUCUUUUGUAGUCAUUGCUUUAGGGUUAAUAAUAUGCAUUUUAAAGUACUUUCAAGUAAUAUUGUUUAUUAUCUCAUAUAGUGUAAGAGCCUUACAGUGCUAUACUUCCAUUUUCCCUCCCCUAUCCUUUUGAUACAAUUUUCAUACAUUUUAGUUCUACAUAUGUUAUAAACUCAACAUACUGCUCUUAUUUUUGCCUGUUAAAUAAUCCAUUAUCUUUUAAGGAAAUUUUAAAAUUAAGAAGUCUUUUUGUAUGUAUCUGUAUAUUUACCAUUUCUAGAAAUAUUUCUUUUGUGUAAUUGCUGAUUUCCAUCUGGUAUUUUCUUUCUUUCUUUUUUUCUUAAGUAUUCAUUAAUUUAUUUUGAGUGAGACAGAAAGAGAGAGAUUGAGAGAUUGUGCAAGCUGGGGAGGGGCAGAGAGAGAUGGAGAGAGAGAAUCCCAAGCAGGCUCUGGGCUGUCGGAGGCUCAGUCUCACAAACGAUGAGAUCAUGACCUGAGCCUAAAUCAAGAGUCGGAUGCUUAACCAACUGAGCCACCCAGGUACCCCUGGUAUUUUCUUUCUGAUUGAAGGGCUAUCAUUAACAGUUUCUGCAGUGUUGAUUUGCAUAAUAAAUUCUUUCAGCUAACGUUUGGCCGUUACAUAUGCAAAAAUUUUUUUCUGUACUAUGUGUCACUUCUUAAGGGACUCCUGUAAUAUGUAAAUUGGAUAAUUGAAGGUCAUUGAUGCUGUUUCUUUUUCUUCUGCUCUGUGUUUACCUUUGGUGAGAUUCUGUCACUGUGUCUUUAAGUUUACUAAUCUUUUCUUCUACUGAGUCUAAAUGACUUUUAAUACCUACCAGUGUACUUUGUCACCUCACACAUUGUAGUUUUAUCUCUAGAAGCACAGAUUUGGUCUUUUUAAUGCCUUCCUUGUCUCUAACAGUUGUAACCUUUAUUCUACAUAUUUGAACAAGUGAAAUAUAGUUAUAAUAACUGCUAAUGUUGUUGUCUACUAAUUGUCAUCAUGGCAUUUAUAUAUCUUUUUCUGUUGAUUUUAUUUUUCUCUUCAUUAUGGGCUUUAUUUUUUUAAACUUUUUUCAUGUGUUAUAAUUUAUGGUUCGAUGAUAGCCAUUUUGUAUAUUACCAUGUUGGACUGCAGGAUGAUUUUAUAUUUUUAUAAAUGUUCCUGAGCUAUGUUUUAAGACACAGUUAAGUUACUUGAAAACCAUUUAAUUUCUUUUAGGUACACUUAUCAGCUUUCUUAGGUGGCACCAUAGAAGCUUUUAUCUUGGCAUGCCUUUCAACCACUACUACAGUACCCUUGUGAAUUGUGCAGUUUUUCUACUCUGGCAGUGGGAACAUGGAUUUCUUCUGACCAUGUGUGAGCUCUGAUAUUUUUUUCAACUCUGUUUCUUUUGGGUGUUUCUUUCCCCAGCUUUGGGUAAUUUUUUUAUAUGCAUACUCUGAGAGUAUUCAGCUGAAGACUUAAGGCAGUUCUCCCUCUUUAAGUAAAGACUUUUCCUCUUCAGUACAUUGUCAGUGGAACUCUGGUCACAUUGGCCUUCCUGGUAUCCCAUCUGUAUCUCUUCAACUCAGGGAAACUCCCUUGCCCUGCAUUUUGGGAGCUAACUCCACGUAGUAAGGUGGGACGAUUGUAAUCCUCCCUCAUUUGUCUCCCUUUUCUCAUGCAUCAUUGUCUUCUACUGCCUGAUAUUCUGUGUUUUGAAAACCAUUGUUUUAUAUAUUUUGCACAUUUUAAAAAUUGUUUUAAGCGAGAAGGUGGAUCCAGUUCCUGUUACUCCAUGUUGGCUCAAAUGGAAGUAUAUUUUUUUUUUUCAACGUUUAUUUAUUUUUGGGACAGAGAGAGACAGAGCAUGAACGGGGGAGGGGCAGAGAGAGAGGGAGACACAGAAUCGGAAACAGGCUCCAGGCUCUGAGCCAUCAGCCCAGAGCCUGACGCGGGGCUCGAACUCACGGACCGCGAGAUCGUGACCUGGCUGAAGUCGGACGUUUAACCGACUGCGCCACCCAGGCGCCCCUCAAAUGGAAGUAUAUUUUGAUGUAAUUUCACGUGCACAGAAAAGUUUCAAAAAUACCUUAAGGUAUUCUCAUGUACCUUUUACUCAUUUCCACCAGUCGUUUACAUUUUGCCCAUUUGCUUGCUCUCUCUUGGUGUCUCUUUCUCUUUCUCUAUUUUUUCCUGAAAAAAAAAGUUUUUGAGAGCAAGAUCAAGACAUCAUGUCCCUUUAUACUUAAAUAUGUCAUUAAAUAUGUCAGUGUGCAUAUACUAAGGAAACAAGGGCAUCCUCUUAUGUAACUAGAUUAGAGUUAUAAAAACCAGGAAAUUUGAUAUUAAUACAAUAAUGUCAUCUCAUCCUUUUUAUCAAUUGUCCCAGUAAUGUCCUGAAUAGUAACUGAUUGUUCCAGUCCAGGAUCAAAUCCAGGAUCCUGAAUUAUAUUCAGUUGUCACAUCUCUUUAGUGUCUAAUUUGGAACAGUUCUUCAGCCUUUCUUUGUGCUUUUUGACCUUGAAAUUUUUGAAGACUUUCAGCCAUCUGCUUUGUAGAAUGUUCCUCAGUUUUGAUUUGUCUGAUGUUUCUUCAUGAUUAGAUUCAGGAUAUGCAUUUUUGGCAAGAAUACUACUGAAGUGAUAGUGUAUUCUCCUCAGUGAAUCUUAUUAGGAGGCACAUAAUGUCAGUUUGCUCCCAAAUUGGCUGUGUUAGCUUUGAUGGCUUGGAUAAAAUGGUAUUUUCUAAGUUUCUUUACUUAAAAAAUUUCCCCUUUGUAAUUAAUAAGUAACUUCAGUGAAAUAUUUUAAAAAUCUAUGAAUACACAACUAUCAUCAAACUUUUGCCUACCAGUUUUAGCAUCCAGUAAUAAUGUUCUAAUUCCACCAGUCUCCCUAUGUUAAUUAGUCGGAUUUUACUAUAAGGAAAACUUUCUUUGCUCUCCUAUUGAUAUGUUUUUAUGAUGGAAGUCUCUUCGAUUUUUAGAUUUUAUUAAUGUAUUAUAAUACAUAUGUAAUAAUAUAUAUUGUAACAUAUAGCACAUUAUAUUUAAUUAGAUAUAGCACUUUAUUUAAUUAGAUAUUCAUCCCAAGUUUGAUGAGUGGAGAAUCCCUCUGUCUUCUGUUGCAUUUUGAUAGAUCUUCAUGUUUUUUUUUGAGUAUUUUUUUAGUUUUUGUACCAAUGAGAUACUCCAGGCAUUGCUUGUAGUUUCUCUGCAUUAGCCCUGGAAUCAUCAUUUCUUUAUGAGCCUUUGGUUUAUGGUAAGGAUAAUAAUAUUUAGAAACCAAGAUAUGGGCACAGUGUGUAUUUAUUGUUACCAAAGUGCCAUCACUUGGAAACACACACACACACACACACACACACACACACACACACACAUUCUUAAUUCUACCUGCAUCUGUUUAUUAAAAAGCAUGAGUUUAGGGGCGCCUGGGUGGCUCAGUCGGUCACGCAGCCAACUUUGGCUCAGGUCAUGAUCUCGCCAUACGUGAGUUAGAGCCCUGUGUCGGGUUCACUGCUGACAGCUCAGAGCAUGGAGCCUGCUUUGGAUUCUGUGUCUCCCUCUCACUCUGCCCCUCCUUGGCUCAUGCUCUCUCUCUCUUUCAAAAGUAAAUAUUAAAAAAUUUUUAAAGAAAAGCAUCAGUUUAUUCUUACACCUUUAAUUCUCAUCAGAUACCAUGGGAUAUAUCUUACUUUUCCUUGUCCCCAUAUUUUAAAUCCAUUUUCCAACAAUGGGAAACCUGGCUUCAAUAUUCUCAAUAUAUUUGUUAAUAGUAUACUUGCAAAUGUUUAAUAAAUUGUUCUUCAAAAAACAAACUGAAACAAAAAUAUUUAUAACAUUUGCUUAUUUUUAUAGUGUGAAUACUUUCUCCAUGGCCAAAUUCAGUCUACCAACAUGACUCCAUCAGCGAACACAGAACUGUGAAGAGAUGUUCACACUUGAUGGGGUGAGUUAAUGGCAAGACCUACACACCAUAGCACGCAAUGCAAAGAAGUCGUAUCAUAAUUACAAACCCCUAUCUCUGUAAAAAGCAAAUAUAUUAACAAGGGUCCAAUAUUUAUAACUUUUUAAAGUAAAAUGUACAUAGUGAAUUAAAUCUUAUAUGUACAAUGUCAAUGAGUUUUGAUAUGUAACUAACACGUGUAUUAAGAUACAAAACAUUUUCAUCACUCUAAAUGUUCUCUGAUAGCUUUUUCUAGUCAGUGAGACACUCAGAGGAAAGCACUGUUGUAAUUUUUGUCAUCAGAGAUCAGCUUUGACUGUUCUAGAUCGUCACUCUAAGUAAAAUGAUAUGAUAUAAUUUUUUUUUUGAUCUGGCUUUUUUCACUCAGAAAAAUAUAUGUCAGAGUCAUCUUUAUUAAUGCAUAUGUAAGCAAUUUUUUUGUGUUGCUGGGUAGUAUUCAGUCCUUUAAAUCUACAAUAAUUUGUUUACCCAUUUUCCAGUGAGGAGCGUUUGCAUUGUUUUUACUUUUUUUGGUUAUUAUGAAAAAAACUAUAAACAUUUCCAUAUAAUUCACUUUGUAAAUAAAUGUUUUUAUUUCUCUUUGAUAUAUAUCUAAAAAUGAAAUUGCUGGUUUAUAGGGUAGAUGUUUGUUUAAUUUUACAUGAAAUAAACAUUUUUUUAAUUGUUUGUAUCAUUAACACUUUCAUCAGCAAUAUACAAAUUUUGGGCCAAAGUUCAGUCUUUGCAGGCUUCUUAUUUUAGCAACUCUAUUGGGUGAAUGGUAGUAUCUUAGGGAUUUAUUUUGCAUUUUACUAACUGGUGAUGCUGUGAACUUUAUAUGUGCUCAUUAACCGUUGCAUGUAUCAUUUAAGUUUUUAGAAAUGUAGUGUCAUAGUGUAUUUUUCAUAAUAUUCUCUUAAUUUCUUUUUAAAAUCUGUAGUAUGUAUAGUAACAUCUACUUUUUCAUUAUUUCUGUUGGUAAUAAAUUAUUUCAGCCUUUUUAUUUCUGAAAAGGAUAUUUUGUUAGUUUAUAAAAGAUAUUUUUGCUGGAUAUUGAGUUUCUAGGAUUACAGCAAUAUUGUUACACUUCAUGUUUACUGAUAUUUUCUUCUACAAUAUCUAAUGUGCCAUUUUCCAUAUCUAGUGUAUUUCUAUCUUACACAUGUUAGAAUUAAUUUCUAUAAUUUUGAUUGAGCUGUUAUAAAACAUCCUCUAAGCCUACAGUAAAUAUUUGAAUUUUUCCUCUAGCUUCUUGAAUAUGGAGAAUAGAAUUAUAGUAACUAUUUAAAAAACAUUGUCUCCUAAUUCUGUCAUCCAUGUCUUUUGGGGGGAUGGUUUGGAUUGAUUGACUUUUUUUUUAUUGCUAUAAGUCUUCUUUCUACCACUCAGCUUUUUUGCAUGCUUCUAAUAUUUAAUUGGUUGUCAUACACUGCAAAUUUUACCUUGUGGAUGGUAAGAUAUUUUUACUAUUGUAAGUACUAUUGAGGUGUUUCUCCUUUUUUUGACACGGUUAAUUUACCUGGAGACAGUUUGAUCCUUUUAGCUCUUCAGUCUCUGUGAUUCUGGGAGCAGGACAGUGUUUAGUCUUGGGCUAAUUUUGCUCCACUACUGAGGCAAAACCAUUCUUAUGAUUCUACCUGUUGCUCCCUAGAUUAUGAGGUAUUUCCACUUUGGCAAGUGAAACUGUCUUCAGACCUAGGUGAGCUCUGGGGACUGUUUUCCUGGUUGGUUCUUUCCCUAACCUUGGGUAGUUUCCUCACAUGAGUUUUAGGAUAAAUAAUCUGAAUAUUUGGGAGAGUCCUCCCACUCUUGUUUUCUCUCUUUCUCAGCAGCUCCCUCCUUUGUGUUAUUCUGACCUGUGUAUUCUAGCUGUCCUUGCCUCCCCAUUCUUCCAGCUCUGUCUCAUCAAUUCAGAAAGACCAAUAGGUUCUGUCUGGGUUCUUUUCCUUUUACAAUUAGGAACCUCUGUCCACACAAUUGGCUCAAGAUUUCAUAAGGUUUACUUCAUUUGUUUCCAUUAUCUUAAGGAUCUCUUUUAUUCACUGGCUUAUAGCCAGUGUCUUGAAAAACAUUGUUUCAUGUAUUUCCUCAGGUUUUUAGUUGUUUCAGGUGAGAUAGUAAAUCUGGUCCCUAUUCUUCUAUCUUGGGUGAAAGUAGAGACCCAUAUGUCUUUUAAAAAUUUACGUGAGGAGGGGGUGGCAGAGUAAGGAAGUCCAAAAGUCUAUGCUUCCAAAAAAAAAAUGAGAAAAAAAAACUGUUAAAAACUAUCUGGGUCAAGAGGAACCUGAGUGGCUUCGUGUUUAAGCAUCCAACUCUUGAUUUCAUUUCAGGUCCUGAUUUAAUGGUUCAUGGGUUCCACAUUGGGCUCUGCAGCUGGCAGCAUGAAGCCUGCUUGAUAUUCUCUCUCUCUCCCCCUCUCUCUCUGCCCCUCCCCCUCUAGUGCCUUCCCUCCCCCCCGCCUUCUCUCUCUCUCAGAAAUAAAUAAAAACGUUAAAAAAUUUUUUAAAAACCUUUCUGGGCCAACAUUUUACAGAAUCUGGAAACUAAUCAAAAGCUUGCAAAAACCAGGGAAUACUUACUCAGGAAAACCUAGCUUGAUCUAAAUAAUUACAGUGAGCUUUGUGGUAUUUUAAACUUUUUUGGAUCCUUCCCUACUCUGUAACACAGUGGUACCGUUGAAAAUUAAGUUUGUAUUCUGGCACUAACACCAGAGGGAGCAGAAUGAACUACAUUAGCAAAAAUUUGUGAUGGUGUUGACCUGUCUGGUGCCUCCUUAGUAGGUCAGUUCAAAAGGCUUGCCUUUAUCAUGCAUAACACAGAAUUAUCCCACUGCUCUAGCAGCUACCCAGGGUGCAUUUGUCAAAAAUGUUUAUAGCCAAAGAUACUUGUUGUUUCCAUAAGCAAUGGAUAACAGUUAAGGCAAACAGUAUGUCAUAAAAACAGUUGGGAGGAGAGAUUGAUGAAUGAAAUGUUUUGGGGAAUAAGAAAUCUGAAAAACUCUGACAUAUUCUUGGAAAUAUUCACCCCUAGACUGUGCAUAUACUCAAGAAAGCCCUGAGGAGGUUCUGACUCUCAUUUCUAUCUGUUUUCUGCCUUGUUCAAGCAGGUAGUGAAGGUUAAGGCAGAGAUGUAAAUUAUGUGGCUGAAUGUAGAAGGCAUACACACAUAGAGUUCAUCUACCAGACUGGGAGGUUUUUUGCAUUCCACACCAUUAGGGAAAUCCAUGUCCCAUCACUAUCUGGCCAUUAAGCAAAUGGAACGGAGACUUCAGGGGCCAUAAGUGACAAAACCUACAGAUGUUACAAAAUUAGCUCAAAAAGUCACUAAACAAGAAACCAGCAAUAAUUACAACAGACAGCAAUGGUAAACCUAUGGAGCAGGGAGGGGAAUGUGAUUUCCAGAGUUGCUGUAUCAUAUUAUUCAAAAUAUCCAGUUUUCAAUAAUUAGAAGUUAUGCAACGAAAUGAGAAAGUCUGACCCAUAUACAGGAAAAGCAAAUUAAUCAUCAGAAACUCUUUCUGAGGAAGCACUGACAUUGAACUUAUUAGACAAAUACUUUAAGUCAGAAGUUUAAAUAUGUUCAGUUAAGGAAACCAUGUGCAAGGAACCAAAAGGAAUUAUUGGGGCACCUGGGUGUCUCAGUCGGUUAAGCGUCCGACUUUGGCUCAGGUCAUGAUCUCACAAUUCAUGGGUUUGAGCCCCACAUCGGGCUCUGUGCUGACAGCCUGGAGCCUGCUUCUGAUUCUGUGUCUCGCUCUCUCUCUGCCCCUCCCCUGCUCACACUCUGUCUCUCUCUGUCUCUCAAAAAUAAAUAAAUGUAAAAAUUUUUUUUUAAAAAAAGGAACUAAAAGGAAUUAUGAAAAUGAUAUCUCAAAUACAGUACAUCAGUAGAGACAGAAAAUUUUUAAAGGAACCAAAUAUUUUGGUAUGGAUAAAAACAGUAACUGAAGUGAAAAACUCACUAGGGGAUCUCAAUAGCAGAUUUUAUCAAUAGAAGGAAGAAUCAGUUAACUUAAAGAUAGGUGAAUUGAAAUUGUCCAGUCUGAGGAAUAGAAAAAAAAGGAAGAAAAAUAAUCAGAGCCUCAAAGACUGAUGGGAUACUGUCAAGCAUAUAGUAGGAGGCCUAGAGGGAGAGGAGAGAAAGGUGAAGAAAGAAUAUUUGAAGAAAUAAUGAGUGAGGCCUCCUAGAAUUGAUGAAAAAUUUGAAUCUGAAUAUCUAAGAGUCUCAGUGAACUCCAAUUAGAUAAGUUCAAAUAGAUCCACACUGAGAUACAUUAUAAUCAAACUGUUGAAAGGCAAAGAAUACUGAAAACAGCAAGAGAAGUGACUUGUCAUAAGCAAAGGAUCCUUAAUAAGAUUAGCAGCUAAUCUUGCAUCAGAAACCAUAGAGGGUAGAAUACAUCUGUAUGAUAUAUUCAGAGUACUGAAAGAAAAAAGAAACUGCCAACCAAGAAUUCUAUCCAGCAAAACUAUCCCUCAAAGAUUGGCAAAUUGAGACAUUCCAAGACAAACAAAAACUGGGAGAGUUCAUUGCUAGCAUACAGUAACUUGAAGGGACACAAAGAAACAAAGAACACCAGUAAUGAUAACUACAAAUGAAAUUAUAAAAUUUGUAUUAAUGUUUUUUUUACUCCUUUUUUUCUAUUAUUUAAAGUAAGUUACAUCAAACUAUAAUUAUAAAUCUAUAUCAGUGGGCACAAAUGUAUAAAGACAUGAUUUGUGACAAUAACAUAAGAGGGGACAGUUUUUUUUAUAUGUAGGAGGAAGUUUUUGUAUGUGUAAAAAUAGGCACUGAAUUAUAAGUUAAGAUUGUAAUAAAUUAAUAUUAUUAUAAAUAAAGAUGUUAAGUAUAAUACCCGGGACGUCUACUAAGAAAAUAACUCAAAACUAUAUGAUAAAAGAAUAAAAAUAGAAUUAAAAUGAUAAACUAGAAAAUAUUUAACACAAAAUAAGAUAGUAAUAAGAGGAACUGAGGAACAAAACUGAUGUGACAUAUAGAAAACAAGUAGCAAAAUGGCAGAGCAAAUCCUUAUCAGUAAUAAUUAAAUGUAAAUGGAUUAAAUUCUCCAGUUAAAAGACAGAGAUGAAUAGAAUGGAUUAAAGAAUCAUGGUUCAACUACAUCUCUAUAAGAGAUUCACUUUAGAUUUAGAUAUUCAAAUAGGUUGAAAAAAAAAGUAUGGAAAAUAUACUCCUGAAAACAGUAUACAAAAGAGAUCUGAAGUGGCUAAACUAAUAUACAAAAUUACUUUAAUCUAGAAAUUAUUAUUUUUUUUUUAAUUUUUUUUUCAACGUUUUUAUUUAUUUUUGGGACAGAGAGAGACAGAGCAUGAACAGGGGAGGGGCAGAGAGAGAGGGAGACACAGAAUCGGAAACAGGCUCCAGGCUCCGAGCCAUCAGCCCAGAGCCUGACGCGGGGCUCGAACUCACGGACCGCGAGAUCGUGACCUGGCUGAAGUCGGACGCUUAACCGACUGCGCCACCCAGGCGCCCCUAAUCUAGAAAUUAUUAUGAGAGACAAAGGACAUUUAAAGGGUCAAUUCGUCAAGAAAAUAUAACAGUUAUAAACAAUAGAACUACAAAAUACAUGAAACCAAAGCUGACUUAAUUGCAGGGAGAGAUAGUUCAAAAAUAAUAGUUGGAAUCCUCAGUAUUCUGUUUCAAUAAUGGAUAGAACAACUUGACAGAAAGCAAGGAAGUAGAAAGGUAAAUGAACUACACUAUAAACCUACUAGAUCUAACAGACAUUCAGGCAUUCUUCUGAAGUACACGUGGAACUUUGUAUAUGCCAAAGAUAAUUGAAAACAUAUAUUCACACAAAAACUUGUACAUGAAUGUUCACAGCUAUAUUAUUCAGCAUAGCCAAAACAGUAGAACCACCCAAAUAUCCAUCAACUGAUUAGUGGAAAAGCAAAUAGUAGUUUUCUUAUAAAAUGGGAUAUUAUUUGUCCAUAAAAAGGAAAGAAGUACUAAUGCACGCUACAACAUGGAUGAAUCUUGAAAACAUUUUGCUCCGUGAAAGAAUCCAGACACAAAAAUCCACAAUAUAUGAUUCCAUUUAUAUGAAACAUCCUGAAUGGGAAAAUCCAUUGAGACAGAAAGUAGAUUAGCAGUUGUCAUAGGCUAGGGUAAGGAUGAAAUGGGGAUGGCAGCUUAAUAGAUGUGGAGCUUCUCUGGAGGGUGACAAAAAUAUAAAAAUGCACAUUAAUGAUGGUUGUAUAUCACUGUGAACAUACUAAAAACUCCAAAGAUUAUACUCUAAAAUGUUUAAAUGUGAAUAUUAUAUUCUUGGGAAUUUUAUCUCAGUAAAAAAUAAAUUUAAAAACUUAAGCAAAGAAAACAUAGUCUUUUAUAUUUGUGUUUUUUGAUUAUUAUUCCUUUCUGUAGAUCUGAGUUUCUGAUAUCAUUUCCCUUAAUUUAUUUAAGUCAAUAAAUUUUUACUUAAGGAGUUUUACAUGUGAAUCCUUCCACUCCCAAUCACUGUAGUUUUUCCAAAGUCAGAAUCAUUACCUUCAAAAUAACCCUUUUAAAAAGAACUUUUGGGGGUGUCUGGGUGGCUCAGUCAGUUAAGCAUCCAACUUCAGCUCAGGUCAUGAACUCCCAGUUCGUGAGUUUGAGUCCCACAUCAGGCUCUGUGCUGACCACUCAGAGACUGGAACCCGCCUCAGAUUCUGUGUCUCCCUCUCUUUCUGCCCCUUCCCCCCACUCAAGAAUAAAUAAAGAACUUUUGUUCAAUCUACAGUUGUCACUGUCAGUCCAGAAUUAUUUCAGUUGGGCUUCUUUGAACGCCAUUUGAACAUGGACAUACUUCAAAAAUUCCCCACCUGUAACCUUUGGGAUUCAGCAUAACAUGCAUCUCAGUAAACCACUCAUUUCCCUUUAUUCUAAAGAACUUUUUUGUUCUCUAGUACAGUUCUGCUGGAGAUGAAUUAUCUCAAUAAUUUUUUUUGAAUAUUUUGUCAUUUAAUUUAAAGGACAUUUUUGCUAGCUUUAAGAUUCUGGGAUGACAAUGUUUUCAACACUUUAAAGAUGUUAUAGGGGUUUAUUUCUGUGUGAAGCUAAAUGUAAUUUCUUUUGCUGUUUUUCUCGAUAUUAUGUUUCUUUUUUCCCCUAAGAUUACUUUUAAGAUUGUAUCUUUAUCUUUGGCCUUCAGUGGUAUGGUUAUGAUAUGCCUAGAUGAGUUUCUCUUUGUGUUUACCUUUAUUGAGAUUUUGGAGAUUCUUUGUUCUGUCACUUAUUUUUCCCUAAACUUGAGAAAUUUUUCAAGUACAUUUUCUUACAUUUUAUAUUUUUUCCUUCUGAGACUUUAAUGAAGAGAGUAUUACACAGAAGAAUAUUUUCCUACAUGUCACUUAAUAUGUUUAUUUAUGUCAAAUGUUUUCUUCCUGUUCUUCUACUAGCUUGUUUGUAUUGAUACAACUUCAAGUUAAAUGACUCUUUUUCUUCUUUCUCCAAUAUGCUGGUAAGAAUUUCCAUUAAAUUUUCAUUAUAGCAAUUAUGUACACUUUAAUUCUGGUGGUAUUUUUGUAUUAAUCUUUUUAAUGGUUUCCAUUUUUCUGCUGAGAUUUCCCACAUGAAAAAAUUCUUCACAGAUUCUUUUAAGUCCUGAACAUACUUUAUGCCACUGAUAUGAAGUCCUUAUGCUGUUUAUACCAUUUGAUUCUUUGGGGUAUCUGCUUCUAUUGAAUGCUUCCUCUCUUGACUCUAGGCAUAUUUUUCUGUUUCUUUGUAUCUCUAUUAAUAUUUUGUUCUUUUUUAAAUAUUUAUUUUUAUGGGGGGGGGGGGAUGGGCAGAGAGAGACUCUCACGCAGGCUUUCUCUGUCAGCACAGAGCCUUUCACAGGGCUUGAUCUUAGACUUUGUGAGAUCAUGACCUGAGCCGAAAUUAAGAGUUGAACUCUUAACCAAAUAAACCCACCCAGGUGCCUCUAGUAAUAUUUUGUUCUGAACUGGACUCUGGGUGUAUGGUGUUUUAGAGACUUUGAACUCUGCUAUUUUCCUCUGUUGAGUGUUGAUUUUUGUUCUAGCCUGAAGCUAAUUGGGCUGGAUUUAACCUCCAAACAGUAUCUUCCCUGUUGUGUUCAGCUAAUGAAAUACCCUCUUAGACUUUUUCAGUUCUGUUUUUAACUAAGUCCCUUGAAGUUUUCCCCAUGAAUGUGUAUUCUAGUGAUCAGCCAAGUGUUGGGCAGACUUUGUAUUCCAAUAUAGAGGCUUAUCCCACCCUGUGGCUCCACUCUUCAUAUAAUUUUCUCCCUAACCCACUAGCCACUUUGACAGCCCCAGUUUCUUCCUCUGAUUACUCAAGCUGUGAGACUACAACUUUAUUCUACUCUACACCAUAUAUACUGAGAAAUGGCCUUGGGUGAAGGGUCACAUAUAUAACUCUAACCUAAUGGACUUCACUCUCCAAGAGUCAAUUCCUGUAAAGUUUCUGCCUUAAUUACUCAAUUAGUUUUUCAGGCUUUCUGUAAUAAAGCACCACAAACAGGGAAGCUUAACCAAUAGAAAUUUAUUGUUUCAUAGUUCUAGAGGCUAGAAGUCUGAGAUCAGUGUAUUAGCAGGGUUGGUUCCUUCUGAGGGCUGUGAGGGAGAAUCUGCUCUAUGCCUUCCUCCAACCGUCUGGUUUGCUGGCAAUAUAUGGCACAGCUUGGCUUGUAGGUGCAUCAAACUCUGCUCUCAUCUUUACAUGGUGCUCUUCCUUUGUGUGUGUGUUUCUGUGUCCAAAUUUCCUGUUUUUAUAUGGACACCAGUCUUAUUGGAUCAGGGUCUAUUUUUAUGACCUCAUAUUAACUUGAUUACCUGUGUAAAGACCUCUUUCUGCAUAAGGUUGCAUCCUGAGAUAUUGGGGGUCAGGAUUUCAAAUAAUCGUUUUUGGGGGAAAUCACAGUUCCACUCAGAACAGUCACUCUCCAUUGCCUUCCAGUUGUUGUUUAUAAAAUACUUUGUCUAUAUUUAUAACUUUUUUCUGCCAUUUUGCCUCUCUAUGCCUCUUCUCUUUGGCAGUCAUGAGUCUGUUCUUUGUAUAUAUAGGAAUGUUUCUUCUUUUGUAUAUGGGUGGGUGUGUGUGUGUGUGUGUGUGUGUGUGUGUGUGUGCGUGCCACAUGCCACAUUUUUGUAUCCAUUGGGUUGCAUCCAUAUCUCAGCUAUUGUAAAUAAUGCUGCAAUAAACAUAGGGGUGAAAUAUAUCUUUUUGAAUUAGUGUUUUCAUUUUCUUUUGGCAAAUACCCAGUAAUAGAAUUACUAGAUCAUAUGGCAUUUCUAUUUUUAAUUUUCUGAACAACCUCCGUACUGGUUAGCAUAGUGGCUGCACCAGUUUGCAUUUCCAUCAACAGUAUACUUGUUGUUUCUUGUGUUUUUGUUUCUGAUAGAUUCUGACAGGUAUAGGGUGAUAUCUCAUUGUGGUUUUGGUUUGUACUUACGAUUAGUGAUGUUGAGCAUGUUUUCAUAUGUCUAUUGGCUAUUUAUAUAUCUUCUCUGGAAAAAUGUCUAAUCACAUUUUUUAAAUUGGGUUAUUGUUGUAGGAUUUUUUUCUUGGUGGUGAGUUUUAUAAAUUCUUCAUAUAUUUUGGAUAUUAAUCCCUUAUUGGGUAUAUCAUUUUCAAAUAUUCUUUCCCAUUCAGUAGGUUGCCUUUUCAUUUUGUUCAUGGUUUCUUUUACUAUCAGGUUUUAUAGUAGCUAUCUGUGGAUAUUCUGCCAUUAUUGGAAAUGGGAAUUAUCUGAAAAUUUUUGUUAGCAGAUAGACAUUGUGUAUAAUAUAUGCUAGACAGUUUGUUUUAUCUUGUCUUCCUUUAUACAAUGUUAGUUUUGUUUUGGCAGAGAGUUAAAUACUGACUCUCCUUAAAACUUUCAGAUUUGGUUUUAUACCUUUGCGUGUAGGAAUCCUCUCUAAAUUGUUCUUAUGCUAGGCUGUGGCCCUUAAUCUAGGCAAAGCGUCUGCAAAUUUUGGCUCAUGGAACUAAUCUGACCUGAAUUUUUUUUCCUAUGGCCCAUAGCUAAAAAUGUUUUUUUUUUUUCAUUUUUAAAGAGUUGAAGGAGGAGUAGAAGAAACAAAGAUGACUAUAUGUGGCUGUAAGUCUUAAAAUAUUUACUAUAUGAUUCUUUACAGAAGAUAUUUAUGACCCCUGCUCUGAACUAUAGACUUUUUAGUGUCACAAAUGAAUAAAGAAGUGCUCAGUGAGGUCUUUCCACCUAGGCUGGGUUGGACUAUAUCUCCUAGCACCACAUCACCUUUGGUGAUGGGAGCGGCACCACAAGCAUGAAGAAGGGACAGGAGCAGACCCCAGCACUCCAGGUACAAGGGGCCUGCACUUGGAAGACAAGUUCCCAUAACAUUUGGUUUUGGAAACCAGUGAGUCGUAACCUCAUGAGUUUUUACAGGUACUGGGACUUAACUCUGGGUACUUUAAAAAUCAGUGGACUUGUUUUGGGAGAGCCAGAGAGCAAUAGGAAAUUAAGCCUGUCCCUUUAGAGAGGCAGCAUAACAAACAAUCCCACGGAGAUACUGCACAGAAGUAGAAGUUUGAAAAACACCUGAGGUAUAUGUAAAGGAGGGUUAUUUACUAAUCUCAGAACAGGUUUUGGAGAGGCGAGGAUCUUUAGGAGACUUCUCCAAGAACAAAAGAGCUGGUAGGAGCCACUUCUAUCCCCCUUCUCCCAAGUCUGAACAGCUUGACACCUGUGGGAACCAGUGCAAAUACUGUCUACCCUCAUCCCACCCCUGUAUUCUCCUGCAGAUUCACCCAUUCGACCUGCCCCAUGUGGCAGGAGUCCCUUCAAAGCAGUUCCUGCCAUGUCUCAUCAUGCAGGCAGCCCCAGCAGUGAACAGCCCCACCUCCAAAGUGACUCCUUCCUUGGGUAGAGGGGAAGAUAACCAUACACACUAGUUCCACUGCAGUCCCAGAAGCUAAACCAUAUAACUGGCAGUGCAGAGAGAGUACCCUGCUGAUCCGUGCACCUGUAGCCCUAGCACAUGUCCUGGGGGUAGGUUCUGAUCUGACUGCCAGCCCUACCCACCAAUACCAGCCUCUCAGGGAACAGCACAGGAAAGCAGUCUAGCUCAGUGCAACUACAGCCCCAGCAAAUGGGUUGAGGGCAGACAUCUGAUCUGACUGCUUACACUGCCCAACUACAAGCCCAUGGUGUAGGCACAAUAGGCAAAGGGGGCUAUUGUAGCCAAAUGGACUGAAGGCAAACUAGGCCCAGCCACAACAGUAGAGCACAUUCAACCCACAUAGGAGACACUCCUGAAGCUCCUGAUUUUGGUGAGCAGGGGACAUUGUGCUAAAGUGCAUCAUAGGACCUCUUCUCCAUCAGGAUAGUACUUUCAAGAUCAGAAGACAUAACUGACUUUCCUAAUGCAUAGAAACAAACAGAGAGUUAAACAAAAUGAGGAUACAGAAGAAUAUGUCUCAAAUGAAAAAAAAAAAAAGAAACAGGACAAAACCACAGCAAAACACCUACGUGAAAUUGAGAUAAACAAUAUUCCUGAUAAAGAAUUCAAAGUAAUCAUUAUAAAGAUACUUACUGGACUUGAGAAAAAAGUGGAAGACUUCAGUGAGACCUUCAACAAAGUGAAAGACAAUAUAAAAAAAGAGAUGAAGAACUCAACUGAAAUUGAAAGUACACUAGAAGGAAUUGAUGGACUAGAGGAGGCAGAAGAAAGAACCAGUGAACUAGAAAACAGAGUAAUGAAAAGCAACCAAGGGGAACAGCAAAAAGAAAAAAAAAAUAAAAGAUGGGAAUAGGUUAAGGGAACUCAGUGACAUAAUCAAGCCAGGAGGCACAGAGAGCUCCCAACAAAAUCAACCCAAUCAGAUCCACACCAAGACACAUAAUAAUUAAAACAGAACAGUAGUGAUAAAGAGAGAAUUUUUAAAGCAUUAAGAGAAGAGAAAACAGUUGCAUGCAAGGGAAGCUCCAUAAGGUCCUCAGCUGAUUUUUAACAGAAAUUUUGCAGACCAGAAGGAAGUGGCAUGGUAUACUCAAAAUGCUAAAUGGAAGAAAACUUGAAAUCAAAGAUACUGUACCUGGCAAGACUAUCAUUCAAAAUAGGAGAGAUAGAAUUUCUCAGACAAACAAAAGUUAAAGAAGUUCAUCACCACUAAACCAGCCUUACAAGAAACAUUAAAAGGAAUUCUUUGAGUUGAAAGAAAAGGCCAUAAUGAAGAGUAGGAAAAUUGUGGAAGGGAAAAAUUUCACAGGUGAAUACAAAAUAAUAAAAGUAAUACAUUAAUAACUUAUAAACCAGGCAGAGGUUAAGCCACAAAAGCAGUAAUAUCAAUUAUAUCUGUAAAAAUCAGACAAGGGCUUCACAAAAUAAAAUGAUGUCACAUGUGAUGUCAUAUGCAUAAAAAAUGUCAUAGGGGAGUAAAAAGUUGGUGCUUUUAGAAUGGGUUCAAAUUUGAGCAACCAUCAACUUAAUACAGACCACUAUAUGCAUAAGAUGAUAUAUAUGAGCCUAAUGGUAACUAUAAAUAAAAAAUCCAUAAUAGGAUACUGGCACAAAUAUAGAUCAACGGAAUAGAAUAGAAAGCCCUGAAACAAACCCACAAUUAUAUGGUCAAUUAAUCUUCAACAAAGCAAGAAAAAAUAUCCAGUGGGGAAAAGUCUCUUCAACAAAUGGUGUUGGGAAAACUGGACAGCUACAUGCAAAAGAAAGAAACUGGAUCACUUCCUUGCACCAUACACAAAAAUAAACUCAAAAUGGUUUAAGCACAUAAAUGUGAGACCUGAAACCAUAAAAACUCCUAGAAGAGAGCACAGGCAAUAAUUUCUCUGAUACUGGCAGUAGCAGCAUCUUUCUAGAUAUGUCUCCUGAGGCAAGGUAAACAAAAGCAAAAAUAAACUAUGAGAAUAUACCAAAAUAAAAAUCUUCUUCAUAGUGAAGGAAACAGCCAACAAAACUAAAAGAUAACUUAUAGCAUGGGAGAAGAUAUUUGCAAAUGACAUACCAGAUAAAGGAUUAGUGUCCAAAAUAUGUAAAGAACUUACUAAACUCAACACCCAAAAAACCAAAUAAUCCAAUUAAAAAGGGGCAGAAGAUAUGAACAGACAUUUCUCCAAAGAAGACAUCCAGAUGGCCAACAGACACAUGAAAAGGUGCUCAGCAUCACUCAUAAUCAGAGGAAUACAAAUCACAACCACAAUGAGAUAUUCCCUCACACCAGUCAGAUGGCUAAAAUCAAGAACAGAAGAAACAAUAAAUGUUGGUGAGGAUGUGGAGAAAACAGAGCCCUCAUGCACUGUUGGUGGGAAUACAAACUGGUGCAGCAACUAUGGAAGACAAUAUGAAGGUCCUCAAAAAAAUAAAAACAGAACUACCCUAUGACCCAUUAGUUGAACAAUUGGGUAUUUACUCAAAGAAUACAAAAACACUAAUUUGAAGAAAUAUAUGCACCCCUGUGUUUAUAGCAGCAUUACUUAAAGUAGGCAAACUAUGGAAGCAACAGCUCGUGUCCAGUGAUGAAUGGAUAAAGAAAAUGGGAUGCAUAUAUGUGUGUGUUUGUGUGUAUCCCUGCAUACUCACACACAAUGGAAUAUUAUUCCACCAUUAAAAAAAGAAUGAAAUCUUGCCAUUUAACAACAUGGGUAGAUCUAGAGUGUAUAAUGCUAAGUGAAAUAAGCCAGUCAGAGAAAGACAAAUACCAUAUGAUCUCAUAUAUAUGUGGAGUUUAAGAAACAAAACAAAUGAACAAAGGGAAAAAAAGAGACAAACUAAAAAUCAGACUCUUAACUAUAGAGAAUAAACAAGAUGGUUACCAGAGGGGAGGUGAGUGGAGGGAUGGGUGAAAUAGGUGAAGGUGAUUAAGAGUACACUCAUUUUGGUGCCUGGGUGGCUCAGUCAGUUAAGCGUCCGACUUCAGCUCAGGUCAUGAUCUCACAGUUUGUGGGUUCGAGCCCUGCAUCGGGCUCUCUGCUGACAGCUCAGAGCCUGGAGCCUGGUUUGGAUUCUGUGUCUCCCUCUCUCUCUGCUCCUCCCCCACUCAUGCUCUGUCCUUUCAAAAAUAAGUAAAGAUUAAAAAAAAAGUUAAAAGAGUACACUCAUUUUGAUGAGCACUAAUAUAUGGAAGCAUUGAAUUACUAUACGGUAUGCCUGGAACUACUAUAACACUGUAUGUUAACUAUACUGGAAUUAAAAAAAAAAACUAAAAAAAAAAACCCCUAUUAUAUAUAUGCAAAAAAUAAAGAGAAAGGACUCCAAGCAUAUUACUAAAGAAAGCCAUCAAACCACAAUGUAAGAGAGCAGGAGAAGAAAUGAGCAGAGAAAUACAAAAACACCUGUAAAACAAAUAACAAAAUAACAAUAAGUACAUAGGUAUCAAUAAUUACUUUGAAUGUAAAUGGACUAAUUGCUCCAAUCAAAAGGCAUAGGGUAACUGAAUGGAUAGAAAAGCAAGAGCCAACUAUGUCUGCUUACAAGAGACUCACUUCAGACCUAAAGGCAGGUGCAAAUUGAAAGUAAAGGAGUUAAAAAACAUUUACCAUGCAAAUGGAUGCAGAAAGAAAUCUGGGGCAGCAAUACUUACAUCAGACAAAAUAGAUCUAAAAACCAAUUUUUGUAACGAGACAAAGAAGGACACUACACCAUGAUAAAGGGAACAGUCUGACAGGAGGAUAUAAAAAUUGUAAACAUUUAUGUACCCAGCAUGAGAGCACUCAAAGAGAUAAAGUAACUACUAACAGACAUAAAAGAAGAAAUUGACAGUAAUACAAUAAUAGUAGGGGGACUUAACACCCCACUUACAUCAAUGGAUAGAUCAUCCAGACAGAAAAUCAACAAAGAAAUAGUAGCUGAAUGACACAUUGGACCAGAUGGCCCUAACAAAUAUAUUCAGAACAUUCCAUCCCAAAAUAGCCCAGUAUACAUUUUUUAAGUACACAUGCAACAUUAUCCAGAAUAAUCACAUGGUAGGCCACAAAACAAGUCUCAAUAAAUUCAAAAAGACUAAAAUAAUAUCAUGUCUCUUUUCUUUUUUUACUUUUUUUAAUGUUUGUUUAUUUUUGAGAGGGAGAAACAGAGCAUGAGGGAGGGAGGGCCAGAGAGAGAGGGAGAUACAGAAUCUGAAACAGGCUCCAGGCUUGGAGCUCUCAGCACAGAGCCUGAUGCUGGGCUUGAACUUGGAACAGCGAGAUCAUGACCUAGGCCAAAGUUGGACGCUUAAUCGACUGAGUCACCUGGGAGGGAGCCCCUAUCAUGCCUCUUUUCUAACAACAAAAAUAUGAAACUAGAAAUCGGUCACAAGAAAAAGUCUGGAAAGAACACAAAUAAAUGGAGACUAAAUGACAUACUCCUAAACAAUGACUAGGUCAACCAAGGAAAUAAAAAGUAAGUUAAAAAAAACAUGGAGAAAUAUGAAAGUAAAAAUACAGUGGUCCAAAAUCUUCAGGAUGCAGCAAAAGUUGUUCUGAAAUAAGAUUAUAGCAACAUAGGCCUACUUCAAGAAGCAAUAAAAAUCUCAAAUAAACAACCUAACCUUACACCUAAAGAAGCUAGAAAAAGAACAAAGAAAGCCCAAAGCCAAUAGAAAGAAGGAAAUAGUAAAGAUUAGAGCAGAAAUAAAUGAAAUAGAAAUUAAAAAGAAAACCCAAUAGAACAGAUCAAUGAAACCAUGAGCUGGUUCUUUGAAAAGAUCAACAAAAUUGAUAAGCCAUUAGCCAGAUGAGAGAGAGAGAGAGAGGAAAGGAAAGGGGGGAGAGGGGAGGGAAAGGACUCAAAAUCAGAAAUGAAAGAGGAGUGGGGUGCUUGGGUGGCUCAGUUGGUUAAGCAUCUGGCUCUUGCUUUUGGCUCAGGUAAUGAUCUCAUCGUUCAUGAAUUCGAGCCCCACAUCAGCAUCUGCACUGACAGCAUGGAGCUUUCUUGGGAUUCUGUCUCCCCUACUCUCUCUCUCUCUCUGUGCCUGCCCAGCUUGUGCUUUCUCUCUCUCUUUCUCUCUCAAAAAUAAAUAAAUAAACAUUUUUUAAAAAUGAAAGAGGAGAAAUAACAGACACCACAGAAAUACAAAGGAUUAUAAGAGAUUAUGAUGAAAAAUUAAAUGCCAACAAAUUGGACAACCUACAAUAAAUAGAUAAAUUGGUAGAAACAUGUAACCUUCCAAAACUGAAUCAGGAAGAAAUAGAAAAUUUGAUAGACUAAUUACUAGCAAUGAAAUUGAGGCAGUAGUCAAAAAAUUCCCAAUAAACAAAAGUCCAGGAUCAGAUGGAUUCACAGGAAUCCAACCAAUAUUUAAAGAAGAAUUAAUAACUCUUCUUCUCAAACUAUUCCCAAAAAAAAGUAGAAGAGGAAGGAAUGGUUCUAAAGUCAUUCUAUGAGGCCAGUGUUACCCUGAUACCAAAAUUAGAUAAAGACACUUACAAAAAAAGAAAACUACAGGCCAAUAUCUCUGAUGAACAUAGGUGCAGUAUUCCUCAACAACAUAUUAGCAGACUGAAUUCAACAGUACAUUUUUUUAAAAAGUCAUUCACCACAGGUAAAAUUUGUUCUUGGCAUGCAAGAAUGAUUCAGUAUUUGCAAAUCAAUCACAGCACAUUAAUAACAGAAAGGAUAAAAACCACAUGAUCAUCUCCAGAGAUUCAUUUGACAAAGUACAACAUCCAUUCAUUAUAAAAACUCAAUAAAGUAGGUUUGGAGGGAAUGCACCUAACGUAAUAAGGCCAUAUAUGAAAAACCCAUAGCUAACAUCAUACUCAAGGGUGAAAAACUGAGAGCUUUUCAUGUAAGAUCAGGAAGAAGGCAAGGAUGUCCACUCUCACUACUUUUAUUUAACUAGCAUCAGAAGUCCUAUCCACAGCAAUUAAACAACAAAAAGAAAUAAAAGGCAUCCAUACCUGUAAGGAAGUAAAACUUUUACUAUUUGCAGAUGACAUGAUACUCUACAUAGAAAACCCUAAAGACUCCACCAAAAACCUACUAGAACUAAUAAAGAUACAAAAUUAAUAUACAGAAAUUAUAUUUCUACACACUAAUGAAGUAGCAGAACAAGAAAUUAAGAAAACAAUUACAUUUAUAAUUGCACCAAAAAGAGUAAAAUACCUAUGAAGAAACUUAAGGAGGUGAAAGACCUAUACUCUGAAAACUAUAAAACACUGAUGAAAGAAACCAAAGAUAACACAAAUAGAAAGUUAUUCCAUGUUUAUGGAUUUGAACCAAUACUGUUAAGAUGUCCAUACCACCUAAAGCAGUCUACAGAUUUAAUGCAAUCCCUAUCAAAACACCAGCAGCAUUUUUCACAGAACUAGAACAAUUAAUCCUAAAAUUUGUUUGAAAUCACAAAAGAAAAAAAUUCUUAAGGAAUAUAUCUUUAAUCUUGGCCACACUGAUUUCUACAGAUAAGAGUCAUUGAAAAUUAAAUAAAAAUUUAAAUUAUAUAAUACAGGGGAACAUUCCACCAUAUGCACAAGUCAGCAUAUACCACAAACAUCAGGGAAUUGGAUUGUUAUGAAUUUGAGAUUAUCAAACAACCUAAGAGAUAUAUCUGUAAAAUUAUUAAAUAAAUGAAAAAAAAGAUAACUUAGAGCAAGAUGCUAUUUAAAAAAGGCUAGGCAGUUUCAAAAAGGAAUUGAUUAAAACUUACAUAGAAAAAAAGUUACAUAAGGUAAAACAUCAUUAUUCUGUUAAGCAUAUCCUUCCCAGCUGAAAAGGGAAUUAGUGAAAUCAGAAAAAGCUUCUCAGUGGUAUAAAAAAGAUGAAAAAUAUGACAGAAAAGUCAAGAGAUGUAGCAAAGAGAAUAUUCUUUUAAAAAUCAUAGAACUGGGGCGCCUGGGUGGCUCAGUCCGUUAAGCGUCCGACUUCGGCUCAGGUCAUGGUCUUACGGUCCGUGAGUUCGAGCCCCGUGUCAGGCUCUGUGCUGACGGCUCAGAGCCUGGCCUGCUUCAGAUUCUGUGUCUCCCUCUCUCUCUGACCCUCCCCCAUUCAUGCUCUGUCUCUCUCUGUCUCAAAAAUAAAUAAACAUUAAAAAAUAAAAAAAAAUUAAAAAAAAUCAUAGAACUAACACUCCUGAAACAAAACAGUAAAAGUAAGUAAAUUUUUUAAAAUGUUAAAUCCAUAUUCCAGUGAAGAAGUGGGCAGAAGACAUGAAUAGAGAGUUUUCAAAAGAAGACAUCCACAUGGCUAACAGGCCCAUGAAAAAGAUGCUUAGCAUCACUCAUCGGAGAAAUACAAAACAAAACUACAGUGAUAUACCACCUCACACCUGUCAGAAUGGCUAAAGUGAACAACUCAGGAAACAACAGAUGGCAAGAUGCAGAGAUAGGGGAACCCUUUUGCACUGUUGGUGGGAAUGCAUACUGGUGAAGGCACUCUGGAAAACACUCAGAGAAUUAAAAAUAGAACUACCCUAUGACCCAGAAAUUGCACUACUAGGUAUUUAUCCAGAGGAUACAAAAAUUCUGUUUCACAGGGGCACAUGCACCCCAAUGUUUAUAGCAGCACUAUCAACAAUACACAAAGUAUGGCAAAAGCCCAAAUAUCCAUCGACUGACAAAUGGGUAAAGAAGAUACGGUGUGUUAUUCCACCAUUAAUUUCUACAACUCAUUAACAAAAGUAAAACAGCAAAUAAGAAACAGGCAAAAAGUCUGAGGAGACACAUCACAAAAGAAGAUGUACAAAAGGCCAAUAAACAUGAAAAAGUAUCCAGUAUCUUUAGUACUCAAGGAAAUGCAUACACAAUGGAAUGUUAUUCUGCGAUCAAAAUAAUGAAAUCUUGCCAUUUGCAACAACGUGGAUGGCCCCAGAGUGUAUUAUGCUAAGUGAGAUAAUUCAGUCAGAGAAAGACAAAUAUCGUAUGAUUUCACUGAUAUGUGGAAUUUAAAAAACACAAAAGAUGAACAUGGGGAGGGGAAGGAAAGAUAAGGUAAAAAUAUGGAGGCAAACCGCAAGAGACCCUUAAAUACAGAGAACAAACUGAGAGUUGCUAAGGGGAGGUAGUAGGGGGACGGACUAAAUGGGUGAUGAGUAUUAAGGAGGACACUUGGGAUGAGCACUGGGUGUCAUAUGUGAGUGAUGAAUCACUGGAUUCUACUUCUGAAACCAAUACUACAUUGUAUAUUAACUAACUUGAAUUUAAAUAAACUAAUUAAAAAUAAAAAUAAUGAUAAAAUGUUGAAUCCAAAAGAACAAACAGAAUUGGAGAGAAGAUUGUGAAGAGAAGUAGCAACAGAACUAGGAAGAAUAAAAAAGAUGAGUGAGUAUUAACUAAUAUAGAAUACUGGAGAAAGACAAUGUGUACUAAUGCAAUUGGAGUAAGUGAAAAAGGAGGAAGAUUAUCGACACUGUGGAACCUCAGAAAAUCUUUGGAAUUGGAGACAUAAAAUACAUCUGAAGACUAGUGUGAUAUGGAGCUGAAACCAGAAAGAGAUUGCAGUAUAGAAAGUCUAGACUCAGGAAUACAAAGUGCUCCUCAGAGUGUUAGUGCUAUACAGAAUACGUGGUUAUUAAGUGAAAGUUUACAUAGUGAAUGAUGAGGUUUCCACCUCAACUGCCAAAGCACUAGCUGUUGGGUAUUUAUACACUAUAUGGAAAUACCAUUCAUGAGCCUAGUACUGCCUUAUUCUCAGCUGUUUGGUCAGUGGAGACUUCUAGAUGUACAUCUGUGUGUCAUCUUUUAAUACUCUCAGCUAUUUUAGCUUCCCCUCAAUGAGUGCAGCUUAGACACCUUCUCCAACAUGGCAGGAGUCGCAGCAAUUCCAACACUCAGUUCCAGUACAACCAGACUCAAAGAAGCUCUCAACAAAGUUUCCACCAAGUCUCUGGCUCUUUCUUCUAUUUCCUGCCUGGUGAUGGUAGUAGAUCAGGGUGUUCAAGGGUGAGACAGUUGGGAAACCUACUAUGGUUGUGCUUAACUUAUAUGAUGAAUAGAAGUUGAGUCCUGGUGAACAGAAAGAAAAGGAAAAUAAGCUUUAUGAAUAAAACUGCAUUUUUUUGGAGGGACAUGUUUUUGUUCUUCUGCUCCUUUGUUCUUCCUAGGAGUAGAAUUUCUGGGUUAUAAGGUAGGUGUAUGUUUACUUUUAUAAUAGGCAGCCAGAUAUUUUCCCAAAGUGGUUGAACCAUUCAGUAUUUCCAAUGCAGUGUAUAAGAGCUCUGGGUUACCACCAUUGGAUGCUGUUUAUUUUUUAAGCAUUUUAACUAUUUUAACUGUAUGAUUUUAUUUCAUGGUGAAUUUCAAUUGCAUUUCUUUUUUUUUCUUUUCUGAAAUUGUUAUUUAAAUCCAAGUUAGUUAACAUGUAUUGUAAUAAUGAUUUUAGGAAUAGAUUUUAGUGAUUCAUCACUUACAUAUAACACCCAGUGCUCAUCCCAGCAAGUGCCGUCCUUAAUGCCCAUCACCCAUUUAGCCCAUUCCUCCACUUAACACCCCACCAGCAACUUUUAGUUUGUUCUCUGUAUUUAAGAGUCUCUCAGGGUUUGCCUCCCUCUCCAUUUUUAUCUUAUUUUUCCUUCCCUUCCCUUAUGUUCGUCUUUUGUGUUUCUUAAAUUCCACAUAUGAGUGAAAUCAUAUAUUUUUCUCUGACUUAUUUCACUUAGCAUAAUACACUCUAGUUCCAUCCAUGUUGCAAAUGGCAAGAUUUCAUUCUUUUUGAUUGCUGAGUAACAUUCCAUUGUAUAUGCAUUUCUUUGAGGACUAAAGAUACUGAGUACUUUUUCAUGUUUAUUGGCCUUUUUUACAUCUUCUUUUGUGGUGUGUCUCUUUAGCCUGUUUAUUAUUAGGUUGUUUUAUUUUUAAUAAUGUGUUGUAGGAAUUUUUUUAUAUUAACUAGAUGAUAACCCUUUGUGAAGGGUAAGUUUUGCAAGUAUUUUUUCCUAGCCUGUGACUUAACAAUGUUUUCUUAUUUUUUUUUUUUAUUUUUUGAAGACCAGAAUAUUUUUAUGUAUGUAUGUAUGUAUGUUUAUUUAUUUUUUUUUAAUUUUUUAAAAUUUACAUCCAAAUUAGUUAGCAUAUAGUGCAACAAUGAUUUCAGGAGUAGAUUCCUUAAUACCCCUUACCCAUUUAGCCCACCCCCCUCCCACAACCCCUCCAGUAACCCUCUGUUUGUUUUCCAUAUUUGAGUCUCUUGUGUUUUGUCCACCUCCCUGCUUUUAUAUUAUUUUUGCUUCCUUUCCCUUAUGUUCAUCUGUUUUGUAUACAAAAGUCCUCAUAUGGGUGAAGUCAUAUGAUAUUUGUCUUUGACUAAUUUCGCUUAGCAUAAUACCCUCUAGUUCCAUCCACAUAGUUGCACAUGGCAAGAUUUCAUUCUUUUUGAUUUCUGAGUAAUACCACAUCUUCUUUAUCCAUUCAUCUAUCAAUGGACAUUUGGGCUCUUUCCAUACUCUGGCUAUUGUUGACAGUGUUGCUAUAAACAUGGGGGUGCAUGUGCCCCUUCAAAACAGCAUACCUGUAUCCCUUGGAUAAAUGCCUAGUAGUGCACUUGCUGCGUCAUAGGGUAGUUCUAUUUUUAAUUUUUUGAGGAACCUCCAUACUGGUUUCCAGAGUGGCUGCACCAGCUUGCAUUCCUACCAGCAGUGCAAAAGAGAUCCUCUUUCUCUGCAUUCUCACCAACAUCUGUUGUUGCCUGAGUUAAUGUGAGCCAUUCUGACAGGUGUGAGGUGGUAUCUCAUUGUGGUUUUGAUUUGUAUUUCCCUGAUGAUGAGUGAUGUGGAGCAUUUUUUCAUGUGUCAGUUGGCCAUCUGGAUGUCUUCUUUGGAGAAGUGUCUAUUCAUGUCUUUUGCCCAUUUCUUCACUGGAUUAUUUGUUUUUUUGGGGGGUGUUGAGUUUGAUAAGUUCUUUAUAGAUUUUGGAUACUAACCCUUUAUCUGAUAGGUCAUUUGCAAAUAUUUUCUCCCAUUCCACCAGUUGGUUGCCUUUUAGUUUUGAUGAUUGUUUCCUUCACUGUGCAGAAGCUUUUUAUUAUGAUGAGGUCCCAAUAGUUCAUUUUUGCUUUGGUUUCCCUUGCUUCUGGAGAUGUAUUGAGUAAGAAGUUGCUGCGGCCAAGAUCAAAGAGGUUUUUGCCUGCUUUCUCCUCAAGGAUUUUGAUGGCUUCCUGUCUUAUAUUUAGGUCUUUCAUCCACUUUGAGUUUAUUUUUGUGUAUGGUGUAAGAAAGUGGUCCAGGUUCAUUCUUUUGCAUGUCACUGUCUAGUUUUCCCAGUACCACUUGCUGAAGAGAUUGUCUUUAUUACAUUGGAUGUUCUUUCCUGCUUUGUCAAAGAUUAGUUGGCCAUACAUUUGUGGGUCUAUUUCUGGAUUCUCUAUUCUGUUCCAUUGAUCUGAGUGUCUGUUUUCGUGCCAGUACCAUACUGUCUUGAUGAUUAUAGCUUUGUAGUGUAGCUUGAAGUCCAGGAUUGUGAUGCCUCCUGCUUUGGUUUUCUUUUUCAAGAUUGCUUUUGCUAAUCGGGGUCUUUUCUGGUUCCAUACAAAUUUUAGGAUUAUUUGUUCUAGCUCUGUGAAGAAUGCUGGUGUUUUUUUGAUAGGGAUUGCAUUGAAUAUGUAGAUUGCUUUGGGUAAUAUUGCCAUUUUAACAAUAUGUAUUCUUCCUAUCCAGGAGCAUGGAAUAUUUUUCCUUUUCUUGUGUGUUGUCUUCAAUUUCUUUCAUAAGCUUUCUAUAGUUUUCAGUGUAUAGAUUUCUACCUCUUUGGUUAGAUUUAUUCCUAGGUAUUUUAUAGUUUUUGGUGCAAUUGUAAAUAGAAUCGAUUCCUUGAUUUCUCUUUCUGUUGCUUCAUUGUUGUUGUAUAGGAAUUCAACCCAUUUCUGUGGAUUGAUUUUAUAUCCUGCAACUUUGCUGAACUCAUGAAUCAGUUCUAGCAUUUUUUUGGUGGAAUCUUUUUGGUUUUCCAUAUAGAGUGUCAUGUCAUCUGUGAAGAGUGGAUGACCAGAAUAUUUUAAUUUUGAUAAAACCAAUUUAUAAAUUCUUUUAUAGUUACUGAUUUUUGUAUUCAGCUUAUGAAAACUUUGCUUACCCCCCAGUUGGAAUGACAUUAAUAGUAUCAAAAGUAAUGAUGAUUAAUAUUAAUAGUUUUAGCUUUUACUUUUGGACUAGAAAUCACUGUAAAUUAAUGUUUCUGUAUUAUGUGAAGUAAGGAUCAAGGUUCAUUUUUUUCCAUAUAUGUGUAUUUAGUUGUUCAUAAUUCAUUAAUAAGAUAUUCCUUACCACAUUGGAUUGCUUUGAGAUUUUGCCAGAAAUUAAGUUACCAUGUAACUGUGGGUAUGUUUCUGAUCUUUAUUCUGUUCCUUUGCAUUAACUUAUUGACUUUUAUGUCAUUGCCAUGUUUCUUGAUUACACUAUCUCUAUUAAGUCUGAAAUCAUGUGGUGUAAAUCGUGUAACUUUAUUCUUUUUAAACAUUAUUUUGGAUAUUUAAGUCUUUUGCAUUUCAGUAUAUAUUUUUUCAUAUUAUCAAUUUCUACAGUAAGUUGGCUGAAAUUAUUUAAAUUGCAUUCAAGAAAUUUGUAGAGAAUUUUGGAGGUUAAAUUAUGGAUAAUUGACAGCUUUACAGUAUUUAGUCUUGCCAUCCAUGAACAUGGUAUAUCUUUCAACUUUUUAGGUCUCAAAUUUCUCUGCAGUGUUUUCUCAUUUUCACUUUACAGAUACUAAAUUUAUUUGUAAGUAUUUUUUGAUGAUAUUUGAUGAUUUUAGGAAUAGUUUUCACUAAAUUUUAUGAUUAUUGGUACAGUGUAAAAUAUUAUGGAUUUUUGUGUAUUAACUUUAUAUUAUGCAAUUUUGAUAAAUACACUUAUUGUUCCUAAUAGAUGUUUUACAAAUUCCUUACAAUUUUUUGUGUUAAGCUUCAUAUCAUUUGCAAAGAGACAGUUUUACUUAUAUUCUUUUUUUUUUUUUUUUUUAAUUUUUUUUUCAACGUUUAUUUAUUUUUGGGACAGAGAGAGACAGAGCAUGAACGGGGGAGGGGCAGAGAGAGAGGGAGACACAGAAUCGGAAACAGGCUCCAGGCUCUGAGCCAUCAGCCCAGAGCCCGACGCGGGGCUCGAACUCACGGACCGCGAGAUCGUGACCUGGCUGAAGUCGGACGCUUAACCGACUGCGCCACCCAGGCGCCCCUUAUAUUCUUAUUUUUAUGUGUUUUACAUCCUUUUCUUCACUUUUUUCUGUGGCCAUCACUUCCAGUAAAAUGUUGAAUAGGAAUGGUGAGAAUGGACAUCUUCUUCAUAAUCUUAUGGAAAAAAUGUUUAGUCCUUAUCACAAAAUAUUACAAUAUGUUUUUUUUAUAGAUGACUUUUAUCAGGUCAAUGAAUUUCUGUUUUACCUCUAGUUUGAUAAUACUCAUAAAAAUCAUGAGUUGACAUAAAAAUUUGUCAGUUUUUUUCCCUGCAUCAUGAUUAUAUAUCAAUGGAUCCAACGUAGUUACCAUUUCUGUUAAGUAUUUCUGCACUUUGUUCAUGAAGGAUAUUAGUAGUUCUUGUUCUCUUUGUCUCUCUUUUUGCAAUGUCUAUUUCACGUUCUGGUAGUAGCAUCAUUCUUGACAUAGAAAAUUAGUUGGGAAGUUUUUUCCUUUUUUCUUAAAGAACUUGUUUAUGUUUGAUUUUGUUUCUUCCUUAUAUGUCUGAUAGAAUUUACCAAUAAAAUCACCUGAGACUGGUGUUUUCUUUGUGGAAAAGAUUUUUUUAUGUAAUAAAUUGAUUUUCCUAAGCAGAUAUAGGAGUUUUCCAAUUUUCUGUUGUGUCUUAUAUCAGUUAAGUGUAUUUUUUGAGGAAUUUGUUCAUUUUUUUAAGCUGCAGAAUUUAUAAGCAUAAAGUUCCCUAUUAUCUUUUUAAAUGUGAGUACAUACUUUAGGGAGACUCUCCCCCUCCACCCCCACCCGCAGAUAGUUGUAAUUUGUAACGGACUUGUUUUACUGGAUGAGUAGUAUGUCCAGGUUUUAAUCAACUGUAUUUUUUUCCUGUUUUUUUUUUAACUUUCUGUUCUCAUUUUUAUUAUUUCCUUUUAUCUUCACCUUAUAACCAAGUUUCCUUAAUUUUACUGUUAUAAAUGUAGAAAUAGAUAUAGCUCAAAAAACUUUUUUAAAUAUUUAUUUACUUUUGAGACACAGGGGAAGAGAGAAUGAGACAGAGUGCGAAUGCACACACAGGGAAGGGGCAGAGAGAUAGGGAGACAUAGAACCUCAGGUAGACUCCAGGCUGCCAGUGCAGAGCCCGGGGGCUCAAACCCGUGAACCAUGAGAUCAUGACCUGAACUGAAAUCUAGUCAGACACCCAUACCUCAAAAAUUUUUUAUAAGAAUUAAAUGAGAAAAUGUUCUUUGACACAUAAUACUAAAUUAGUGGUAUUCAGCAUUUAGAUACCACCUCAUACCAGUCAGAGUGGCUAAAAUUAACAACUCAGGAAACAACAGAUGUUGGCGAGGCUGUGGAGAAAUGGGAACCCUCUUGCACCGUUAGUGGCAAUGAAAACUGGUGCAGCCACUCUGGAAAAUAGUAUGUAGGUUCCUCAAAAAAUUAAAAAUAGAAUUAACCUGUGACCCAGAAAGAGCACUGUUAGGUAUUUAUCCAAAGGAUACAGGAGUGUUGAUUCAUAGGGGCACAUGUACCCCAUUGUUCAUAGCAGCAGUAUCAACAAUAGUCAAAUUAUGGAAAGAGCCCAAAUGCCCAUCAACUGAUGAAUGGAUAAAGAAGAUGUGGUUUAUAUAUACAAUGGAAUACUACUUGGCAAUGAGAUAGAAUGAAAUCUUGCCAUUUGCAGCAACGUGGAUGGAACUAGAGGGUAUUAUGCUAAGUGAAAUAAGUCAGAGAAAGACAGACAUCAUGAUUUCACUCAUAUAUGGAAUUUGAGAAACUUAACAGAAGACCAUGGGGGAAGGGAAGGGGAAAAAAUAGUUUCAAACAGAGAGGGAGGCAAACCAUAAGAGACUCUUAAAUACAGAGAACAAACUGAGGGAUGAUGGAGGGAGCGGGGGAGAGGGGUAGAUGGGUGAUGGGCACUGAGGAGGGCACUUGUUGGAAAUGAGCACUGAGCGUGUAUGUAGGUGAUGAAUCAUGGGAAUCUACUCCCGAAACCCAGAGCACACUGUAUACACUGUUUGUUAGCCAACUUGACAAUAAAUUAUACAUACAUACAGACGUACAUACAUACAUACAUAAAGUGGUAUUCAUUAUAAUAAUUAUAGUGAUUUCCCUGGUACUUCAUUUGAGGUUUCUAGUUAAGAAUGAUUAAGUAUUUUCUUUCUGUAUGUAGACAGGAGAAAUUUCUUAAAUUUUUUUUAUUUGCAUAUAGUUGAUAGACAGGGAUACAUUAGUUUCAGGUGUAUAACGUAUUGAUUCAGUAUUUCUAUAUGUUACGAUGUGCUCACUACAAGUGUAGCUACCAUCUUCACCAUACAAUGCUAUUACAGUAUCAUUGACUGUAUUCCUUAUGCUGUGCCUUUUACUCCUAUAAUUAUUCAUUCCAUAACCACUAUCUUGUAUCUCCCAUACCCCUCUCUGCCCCUUUCCUCUGGUAACCAUCAGUUUGUUCUAUGUAUUUAUAGGUCUGAUUCUGUUUUUUGUUUGUUUAUUCAUUUGUUUUUUUCCAAUUCGACAUAUGAGUGAAAUCAUUUGGUAUCUGUCUUUAUCAGUCUGACUUAUUUUACUAAGUGUAAAAGCCUCUUUGUCCAUCCAUGUUGUUGCAAAUGGCAAGAUCUUAUCCUUUUUUGUGGCUAUGUGAUACUCCGUGUGUGUGUGUGUGUGUGUGUGUGUGUGUGUUUAUGUGUAUACGUACUGCAUCUUCCUUACCCAUUUGUCUAUCAGUGGACACUUGGGUUGCUUCCAUAUCUUGGCUAUUGUACAUAAUGCUGCAGUAAACAUAGGGUGCAUACAUCUUUUUGAAUUAGUGUUUUCAUUUUCUCUGGGUAAAUACUGAGUAGUGGAAUUGUUAGAUUAUAUGAUAUUUCUAUUUUUAGUCUUUGGAUGAACCUCCGUACUGUUUUCCAUAGCAGCUUUACCAAUCUCCCUUCCCACCAAUGGUGCCUGAGGAUUCCUUCCUCUUCACAUCCUCACCAGUGCUUAUUUCUUAUCUUUUUUAUUUUAGCCAUUCUGACAGAUUUAAGAUGACAUCUCAUUGUGGUUUUGAUUGGCAUUUGAUUAGUGAUGUUGGACAUUUUCCCAUGUGUCUAUUGGCCAUCUGUAUGUUUUUAGAAAAAUGUGUAUCCAAGUCCUCUGCCCAUUUUUUAAAUCAGAUAGUUUGGGUUUUUUGUUGUUGUUUGUUUUUUGUUUUGUUCUGGUGUUGAGUUGUGUAAGUUUUUUAUAUACUUUGGACAUUAACUUCUUAUCAGAUGUAUCAUUGGCAAAUAUCUUCUUCCAUUCUGUAGGUUGCCUCUUAGUUUUGUUGAUGGUUUCCUUUGCAAUGUAAAAGGUUUUUAUUUUGAUGUAGUUCCAGUAGUUUGUUUCUGCUUUUGCUUUUGUUUCUCUUGCUUGAAGAAACACGUAGAAAAAUGUGCCAUGGCCAGUGUCAGAGAAAUUACUGCCUGUGUUCUUUUCUAGGAUUUAUUUUGGUUUCAGGUCUCACACUUAGGUCUUUAAUCCAUUUCAAGUUUAUUUUAGAAUAUGGAGUAGAAAGUGACCCAGUUUCAUUCUUUUGCAUAGAGCUGUCCAGUUUUCCCAGCACCAGUUAUUGAGGAGGCUUUUUCCCAUUGUUUAUUCUUGCUUCCUUUGUCAUAGAUUUAUUGACCAUAUAAGUAUGGAUUUUAUUCUGGGCUUUCUAUUCUAUUCCAUUGAUCUAUGUGUUUGUUUUUGUGCCAGUAUCAUCAUACUGUUUUGAUUACUACAUUUUUGUAGUAUGUCUUGAAAUGUGGAAUUGUGAUACCUGCAGCUUUGUUUUCUUUCUCAACAUUGCUUUGGCUAUUUGGGGUCUUUCAUGGUUCCAUAAAAAUUUUAGUAUUAUUUGUUCUAUUUCUAUGAUAAAUGUUCUUGGUACUUUGAUAGGGAUUGCUUUGAAUCUGUAGAUUACUUUGGGUAGUAUAGACACUUUAACGAUAUUAAUUUUUCAGUCUAUGAGCAUGGAAUAUCUUUCCAAUUGUUUGCUUUGUCUUUAGUAUCUUUCAUCCAUGUUUUAUAGUUUUCAAAGUGUGCAUCUUUCACUUACUUGGUUAAGUUUAUUCCUAGGUAUUUUAUUCUUUAAUACAAUUAUAAAUGGAAUUGUUUUCUUAAUUUCUCUUUUUUCUCUUUUGUUGUUAGUGUAUAGAAAUGCUACUGAUUUCUGGGUAUUAAUUUUGUAUCUUGUAACUUUACUGAAUUCAUUUAUUCUAGUAGCUUUUUGGUAGAGUCUGUAGGGUUUUCUGUGUAUAGUAUCAUAUCAUCUAAACGUUUAUCUUCUUUACCAAUAUGAAUGCCUCUUUUUUCUUUUUGUUGUCUGAUUGCUAUGGCUAGGAUUUCUAGUACUAUGUUGAUAAAAGUGGUGAAAGUGGUCCUCUUUAGAAAGGAGAAAUUUUAACCAGGUGGAGUACAACAGCUUAAUAGUUUGAGGUCUUUACUGAACAAAGUCACUAAUAUUUAUAAGGCUGUAUGCCCUUCAAAAUGGAAACAAAACAGGGACCAUCCCUCCCUGAGUGAGACAAUCUUCUCUUAAGCUGUAGCUUCAAUUUCUCACUGUCUGAUGAGGACAUUUUUAUAGGACUGUACUGAGUCAGCAUGCCAGUUCCAUUUAUGUACCUUGAGUGAGAUUAGCCUUGUUUGAAAAGAGGUAGGGAUUCAUAGAACCUUACAUCUGUGGAAGCUUUGAAUAGAGGGGAAAAACUCAUAGAAGAUGGGAAAGUUGGAACAGAGAGUUGCAAUGGAACUGCUGCUCUUUGAAACCCAACUGUGUUGAUAGGCCCAUACUAGGCCCUUUAUGUAUUUAGCUGCUGAUAUUCCUGAUAUCAUGUGACAUAGAUUAUGGUAUCAUUUUAGAGAUGAGGACAUUCAAAGUUUUAUGAGCUAUGAGAUGGAGUUCAAAUUUAGGAUUUUAAGACUCAAAUGCCCAUUUAUUAACACUGCAUAAAAGCUUAUAUGUAGAUAGCCCUCCAAAGUAAAUGAAGAGCAAUGCACUUGUUCAAGUAUUGGUGUGGUGUCUAAUAGUGGUGUCACCUGGAGUACUGAUUAAGCACACUUGUUAAUGCUCAUCUGCAACCCCAGGCUUUAAAAUCUGCCAUGAUGCAAAGUGGGAGGCAAGUUUCUACAGAUCUGAAAAAAAAAAUUGGAGAGGGGUAGGAGUGGGUCUAUACAGUAAAACAACUGUAGAAUUCCCAAUUUAUGUUUUAUUGGGAGGUAAUGAGGGCUGAGGGGGUUUUAAAAGUCCCCAGGAAAAUACAAUGGAAUAUUAUUUAGCCAUAAAACAAGAAUGAAUUCUUGCCAUUUGCAACAAUGUGGAUGGAUCUAGAGAGUAUUAUGCUAAGCAAAAUAAGUCAGUGAGAGAAAGAUAAAUAUCAUAUUAUUUUACUCAUAUGGGGAAUUUAAGAAACAAAACAAAUGAGCAAAAGGGCAAAAAGAGAGAGAGAGGCAAACCAAGAAACAGACUCUUAACUAUAGAGAACAGACUGAUGAUUACCAGGGGGAAGGCUGUUGGAGGGAUGGGUUAAAUAGGUGAUGGGGAUUAAGGAGUGCACUUCUGAUGACAUCAGGUGUUCUAUGGAAGUGUCAAAUCACUAUAUUGUACACCAGAAACUAAUAUUACACUCUAUGUUAGCUAACUGGAAUUUAAAUGAAAACUUUUAAAAAAAAUUCCCCAGGAAAGUAAAAGUUGACCUUGUCUUACGCACUUGAUACAUUAAGUUGAACAUGAAGCUAAUAUUUGUCUAUCAAAUCUGUUUUGAUAUUAUUUUAAUGUUUUACUCCCAUUAGAAAACACACACACUGAAAUUCAAGGUCUUGAAUACAAGACCCAAUAAAAACAACUCUUAAGCAUCCUAACAUUUACCUCAGAGAAGCAUUUUGUUUCUGUCAAUAUGUAGUCUACAGUGCAUUUAAUUCUCUGAGGAAACUCCUGUGAGCAGUUGGCUAAACCAGUAAUCAGUCCACUUGAUCUUGCCCGGUCCCAUUAAAGUAUACCUACAAGAACACAGACCCUGCCUCUUACACUUGAGGUGAGGGAGACUAGCAAGUGGAAGUUCCUAGCCCAACUGGGGCAUGUCCUUGGACCCCACUUUCCUUCAUGAUAUGAAGGUCAGGAAGAUGGCAGAGGACAGCCCAUUUGCCCCUUUACAUGCUGAGUCUUCUGUUGCUCUAAAUCUGUGGCUCUCUUUCUCAUUGCACACUCAUUCCUUGGUGGUUUUGUCUCCUCAUUUCUCACUCACUCCCCUUCCCUCUUCCUCCUCUGUUUUUCUCCCCCCUAGGGCUACCUUUGGUUCUUUUGGUUAUAGUUCUUGAUAAGUGACAUCAGAUAUUUCUUGACUGUGUUGGUUGUAAUCUUACUCUAGAACCAAUUACUGAAGAGUUCGGAAACUGAAAAUUCUGCAGGAAGGUGCUGAUAAAGACUCCUUUUCAGAGAGAAUGAGCCAUAACUACUAUUCAUUCACUCAGCAAAUAAUUUAUUUUGAAUCAAUCCCUGAUCUACAUUCUUCAACAAGAUAGUAAAACAAAAGCAAAAGCAUAUACAUGCAGAGAUUUAUUCUUGGCAGGAUAUGGAAAGAUAAAUAAUUUUUUAAAUUACAUAGUAUAUUGAAGAUGCUAAGGGCUGUGGCAAAAAUGGGAGGAGGGCAAGAAGGAGGAAGUGCUGUAAAGUUACAGUUGUAAAAAAAGGGUUGUAGGAUUGGCCUUGCUGAGAAGAUAACAUUUGAACCAAACUUGAUGGAGGUGGAGGUGCAGGAGUAGACUGUGAUUCUCUCGAGGAAGAUUUGCAGAGAAAACAGCCAGUGAGAUGAGAGUACUUCUAGAGUAUUUGGUGGAAGACGAGGAUGUACAGUUGGAAUGCAGUGAGCGGGUCUGAAUUUCCCAGUAAAGUUGCCAUUGAACUUUUAUGUCUAAUUUCUCAGGUGUUCAAUAAGCGUUUGUUGGUACUAAAGACUGAUUAAUUGAUUUCAAAGAUGAGCUCUUACAACAUCAGAAAGAACAUAGUUUGCUAGAACCAACAGGGGCAUGUAACAGGUUGUUGGAAUAUCAUUUCAGGCUUCAGGAGGUGGAAAUCUCAGGCUGAUUACUGGCACUUUAGCAAAUGUUGGCACAUUAACUCAUUCGAACCAGGCUGCAUUACAAUACCACAUACCUCUAGUGGGUGAAAAGCAGGAAAACAACUAUACUUAUCAAAGUCAAGAACACAUUUCCUGUAUUUUAUACUAUCUUUAUUUUCUCCCUUCUCAGACUUUACUCCCAGCAAGUACCUCCAAGCUUAUUGAGAAGUUCUUGGCCAUAUGACCUUAGCUUCCUCACCUUCACCUCCACUUAGACCUGUUCCCCCACAGCCUUUUCUUCCUUCUCACAAGCUCAUUUUCUCUAACUUCCUCACCUCAGCCUUUUUUUGGUGUUGCUCCCAAACUUCUACUCUCCAUAGAAGCUGCAGAUUUUCCCAUUUGACGAAAUCCCUUCUUCUGCCUUCACAUGAUAGGAGUUUGUUUUGUUUGUGUUGCUUGCUCCUGGAUACUCAGAACCUGGUACUUCCUAGCAUCAAGUACGCAUUCCUUAAGUAUUUGUGAGUGAAAAGAAUGGUAGUUCUUUCUUGUCGUAAAGAAAAUCUUAAUCUCUUUCUGGAGGUAGUGGGAGACAUAUGUGCAUGUGGAUGAGAAGCUCCCCUUCCCUUUUCCAUCUCUCUCCUAACUCCCACUUUCCUCUUUUCCUAAAGAGCAAACCUUCCAGGGGGCACCUGGGUGGCUCACUCAGUUAAGCCUCCGACUCUUGAUUUUUGACUCCAUUCAUGAUCUCACGGUUUGUGAGAUUGAGCCCCAUGUCGGGCUCUGCACUAACAGCAUGGAGUCUCCUUGGGAUUCUACCCAUCUCUCUCUCUGUCCCUCUCCUGCUCUCCACCCCUCUUUCAAAGUAAAAAAUAAACAUUAAAAGAAACCCCAGCAAACCUCCCUGGUGCCCUAAGCCCUGAAACCCCAACAGACCUUCCUGUUGCCCUAAGCCUUGAAGUUGCACAUAUGUCAAAGUUACCCAUGUCUUGUCUUCUUCAACCCAAAGCCCUGUUCCCUCAAUGGAGGGCAUUUCCCUGAGAGGAAAGGAGGGAAAUAAUCUGAUUCAGGUAAUUUACUGUGGUGUUCCAAUAAUUACAUCAGAGCCUUCUUGGGAAUAUCUGGAUUUCCAAAAGAGGAGCCUUGUUAAUCUACAGGAUAUUUUUAUGUUGGAAAUGUUAUGAAAAACUACAAGUGAAUUUUAAGAGAUGUCGGUAGUUUGGGAAAAAAAUAUUGCCUGUUUCCCUUUAUGAGAGAUAUUUCCUUAGAAUUGUUUUGUUUGUUGGUUUCUUUGUGCACCUGCCUUUUUUUCCUUCAGAAAAUUUUAAGUGCUCUGUCUGUGGGUCUCAUCAUGGUUAUUUUCAAACAUCCAUUUACAGAUGUCUUUUUGCAGCUGAGGCAUUUCUGAGUGACAUUUCCCAUCAGGUCUGCAGGUGCAUCUAACCGACCUCUGUGAUUGUCCCACAUCAGUGCCAUGAAGGCCAAACAAGGCUCUGUGAUUGUGGGGUGGCAGGCAUUCCCAACCAAUAGGUUAGCUCUAUUUUACUCAGCAUGCUCUUCAGCUAAGAACUCGUAUUUUAAGGGCCACUCAUGGGGCAAAGGGUGCAGGAACAAAGUGUAGCUUGGAAAAUCAGUAGUUCUGUUAUUUGAUAGAGAACCAUUUCCAGUGGUUUUGGAAUCAGGGCAAGAUGUAUCUGUCCUGAAGGGUCUGACAUGUCUGAGGUAACCACAGUGGCUCUCUUAAAUAGUGGAAACACUCACAGGAUAAGGCCCUGUGUACAGGAAAUGUAGACACUUUCAAAUUACUUUAACUUCUCUGGUUUCUUGCCAGAUUGAUUUCUUUCAUUAGGGGAAGUUACUUCCAUCUACAUACAGUUCUAGCCUCAGGAGGUAGGAGACUGAUUUAGUGGUCUUAAUUUAGGAGUGUCCUGCAUUUUCAGGAAUUUAUUGUUUAAUAUUUGAAUGCCCGUAUGUGACAUUUGGAUUAAUCGGCUUGAUUUGGGUAUAAGUCUUUUGUGAGUUAUGCCCCAAGUUGAAUUUGAAACACAGUUUCCAAUUAGUGGUGCCACCAUCUUGGACAUCAAGCCUAGAGGUAACAGAUUUGAACACUAUUUUCAGCCCAGUCCCCAUUUAAGACCAAUAGUAGCUUUCUAUUUCCUAUUUUCUCUGCCUUAACUUUCUUAGUUUCACAUCAGAACCCUAGAACAAAGGUUUUUCUGACCUCAUCUCUCUUUACUCUGGGCUAGUGCCUUCAAUGGAGGCAUUACUGGUCCAUACUUACCCCCAGGGAGAGAUUUGGAAGUACGGGGUAAUUUUAAAAGUCUCUAUUACUCAGGGGCAGGACCAGCAUUUGAUGGGUGGAGUUUAGGGAUGCUAUAAGUCCUGUGUUGUGUGGCAGUCAUAUAAAUCAAGAAUUGUUCCCAAUAUUAAAAGGCACUCAUUGAUAAAUACUGCCUCCCUUCAGCAGCUGUACCAUGAUCUCUCUGCCCCUUGCUUAUGUUCUAGGUCCUCACUCCUUAUUUUUUAUCGGGAUUUACCCUCUCUCCUUUACACAUCUAUACCUAUCCCACUGAGACAUCUAUUCAUACUAUACUGUCUGCCUCUCUGAACCAUCCUUAAAGGCUCAGCGUUAUGUCCAUAUAUCCUCAAAACCUUUCCGAAUCAUGCCACCCUGAGCAACCUCUCAAUGCCAUGAGUCCCCUUUCACCUUUGAGUGCUUCACUUUCAGGAGAAUCAGGCACAUUCUUUUGUUUAUUUUUUAAACCUUCUGCCCUGAGCUCCUAGAGCGCAGUCUCAUGUCUUUCCCAUUUUGGGGUCAGUCUAGUUCUCUAGCCCUUUUUCCAGCUCAUGGGUUGACUUUCCUUCUCCCAAACACAAUGUGGCAGACUGCUGUGAGUUUACCACUGCUUACUUCCUUUUCCUCCCUUGCAGGUGGGUGUGGUGUUGGAAUUGAGGUCUAGUCAAAGGAAUGUGGGCAGAAAUGAAGCGUAUCACUUCUAGGCCUUCUUGUGAAAAAUUUCCACGUACAGUCAGUUCUCCUUACUCUUUCUUGGUCCUGCCCAACAGCUAAAGGGAGAGGACUCCACAGACCUAGAGGGGGAGAGAGCCAUAAGAUGAAAAGAAUUGCGUCCUUAAAUGGCCUACUCUCUGGGAACAUCUGAAUUGGACUAUCUAUGAACAAGAAAUAAACUUUAAUUUUAUUUAGCCAUUGGGGAUUGUUGCAUUUUUGUUAUAGUGGCAGGUGUUACUAACCUACAUGCCAUGUACUUUCUCAUCUCCAUGAACUUACGUGCAUUGUUCCCAUUGCCCUGAAAGGAUUUCCUCUUCACAGUGCUUACAUUUUAUGCUUCGUCUAAGUACCUGGAUCAAUUCCUACCUCUUCCAUGAAGAUUUCUAUGAUUUUACCAAUUCAGAGUGACUUACUCUCCCCAAAUUCUUGAAAAUGACAUGCACUGCUUUACCAUUCAAUCAUCAAAUAAUAUUAUGCUGCACAUAUUUUUAUUUAACUUUAAUGUGUAUAUUCUGUCUUUUCUGGUAAAAUUUAAGACCUUUCAAAGUAGUGUCUUUGUCUCAUGCUUUAUAAUAUUAAGGAUGUUGUUGGUGCUUAGGAAAUAAUUGUAAAAUUGUUAUUAUUUUACUCAGGCCCUUUUUUACAUCUUAUCCUUUUCUUUUGACACAGCUUAUACUGUAAUCUUUUGCUCCUUCCAUGGAUAGUUUUUGUUUUUUAAAGUUUUUAUUUACUUAUUUUGAGAGGGAGACAGAGCGAGUGGGGAAAAGGCAGAGAAAGAGAAUCCUAAGCAGGCUCCAUGCUGUCAGUGCAGGGUCCGAUCCCACGAACCAUGAGAUCAUGAUCUGAGGCAAGAUAAAGAGUCAGAUGCUUAACCAACUGAGCCACCCAGGCACCCCCACGGAUGGUUUUUAUGUCACUUCUUUUUUGUCUACUCAGAAAUACAGAUGGAAGAUUAUACCUUCCCAACAUCCCUUCUUUUUCAUCCUAUUUACUUUAGUGCUGCUUAUUUGUGUAAUGCAUGUUAGUUGAAGAAACAAGUCAAAUUAUUUCCUCUGAAUUUAGGAAAGAAUAUAGGUAAAGCAUCCUGAACCUCCUGUUUUUAGAGAUGUCAAAACACUGUAUCAUGUUUCUUUAUUUUCUUUGCUAUACAUACAGGCAACUGAUUAUUGUGAAUGAGGUCAAACAUUACCAUAUCGACUUCUGUCCAACAAAAGAAAAGAUUCUUAAGUCUUAUUGUAGUGUGAUCAUCACUUUUGCCGGAUUCAUCUUUUGAGUUAAUGUAUCCUCAUGGAUAUGUUCUCUUUCAAGUUGGUGAGGUAAUCUGGUGAGACUUUGCUUACAGGGAUUUGUCUGCAGGAAAGCCUACUGAGGCGAAGGCCUUGCCAAGAAAUCCAGUUAUUGGCUCUGCUCUUUCUUCUUCUCCACUGAACCUUGAGACCCCAUUCGUAUAUCAGUCGUGACCAUAAAGAGGAGACACAUGGGUCAAGUCGUGGAAGACCUGGCCCCUUAUUCCAACAGCUUGAUCCUCAGCAGCCCACUUCUUUCUGCAUCACUCUCUCCACAGGAAAAUGGGUCAAUAUAUUUCUCACUUCCUUUUUGGUGUCUUUUUAGAGUCAGCGUGGCAGUAUUAAGAACCAUAUAGGUAAAUUUUGACUAAUGGCCAGAUAGUAGGCAGAAAGUCCCAUAAUAUGUUGGUGUAGGAGAAUCUUUCUGAAUCAGUGUUAAACAGAGCGCUUAGUAUCUAGUCUCAGUUACUUGGAUGUACCAGGUUCUAAUAACAGGUCUGCUUCCUUGCGUACAUCCCUGAGUUUCUUUCAGCACUGAAGGGGGCAGAUGCUAGUCCAGAAGGGCUAAGGCCAGUGACUGGGACAUUCCUGAGUAGCAAAAUGAGAAGGCUGUUUCAGUGAGGAAGUGAGCAAGGAGUUAAGCCAGGGCUCCAGUGGUUGGUCCUAACAGGGAGAGUCAUGUAGGAAGGAGACAUUUAUGGCAGAGAUAGGAGAAGUGAUGGGAGUGGGAAACAUCCAGUGGCUCAGAGCAAAGCGAUACAGAUUUAUUAACUAAUUAGCUUUAAUUUAAAGACUUCCACUACUUUUCUAUAAAUGGUCUCAUUUACUAAUUAUUCACUAUGUCUGCUCAACUUCGCUGCCUGCUUAUUAUGAGAAAGGACAAAACUUGUUUAAGUUAACAUUGUGUCUAUCACAACAACACAGGGUGAAAUGUUUGGUACAUACCUGCCAGAGGACUGUAGUCUGGUUUUAGUUUCUGUUUAUUCCAUUCUAUUUUGGUUCAGAUUCUGGGAUGUAUUUUCAGCUGUUCAUUCCCUUAUUUCAUUCAAUGGACUUGUAUUAAAUGCCCGAUAAGAGCUAGAGAUACAGACAAAGUUCAUAGUCUCACAGAGCUUACAUUCUUGGGGGAGGAGAAAGUCUGCAUGUAUAUACUUAUGAUGUAAAUAUAUGAUAUUUAAGCAGAGUCCUGAAGGAAGUGAGGGAGGAAACCAUGCAAACUUCUAGAGGGAGAGAAUUCUAGGCAGAAUGAUUGCUUAGUGGCAGAGAUAGGGUAUGUACGUGCCAUGUUGGAGGAGCAGCAAAGAGGUUAGUAUCACCAAAGUGUUGUAGCACCGGAGAAAGGUAUAGGAAAUGAGAUCGAAGAGUUAGAUUAGGGCCAGAUUACUUAGCAUUCUUAGGCAGUGAUGAGGACUGGGAUUUAUUCCAGGUGAAAUGGGAAGACAUUGAAUGGCUUUGAGCAAGGGAGGGAGCUAAUCUGAUUCCCUCCUUGAAAGGAUUCUUCUGGUUGCAGUGUAGAAUACAGAUAUAAGGGGACAGAAUGCAAAGGAUUUUUUGCUUUGGUCCAGAGAGGAAUGAUGGUGACCUGGAAUAGAGGGUAGUGGCAGAGGUGGCCUUUUCCAUAAUCACUCCCAGUCACUGUCAGGGUAGAAGGAUGAUACUCUGUUUCACAAGUCUGAUUGUCUGGCAUACAGUACCAUACUGAAAUUAGAGCACCCCGGAAAUUGUGCUCUAAUUGUGAUCUUGUUACUGCUAGGGCCUCAGGUCCUGAUCACAGCUGGAUCUGGAAUCUAGGAGUACAAAGGAAGGAAGUCAGAAAAGUUAGAGGAGAAGCAGAAGGUGGAGAAAGAAGAGUAAUGGGAUCUUGUUUCUGGUUACAGGGACCCCUAACAAUGCCCUCCUCAGCCUGGAAGACAUAAUCCAAUAUGGAUUACUGGAAGCUGUGUUCUCAUAGCCCAUUUCCUUCUCAGCCCAUUGGCUUCCAUGCCCAUCAGUGUGUUAGAUGCCUGCUUUGCUGUGUCAGCAGUGAUGUCGACAUGGGCAUUCAACACUGCAUUUCAGUUAUCGCCCUCCUUGAUUUUGCAUCAUUGGGCACCAUGUCCUUUCCUGGUGUAGACACCACGCUCUACACAACACCUGCCUUCUACUUCCCCCUUUCUCCCUCUCCUUUGUAAGUUCUUUCUCUGUUAGCUUUUCCAGCAUUGGUGUUUCCCAGGAUUUUGUCCUCUGACCCUUUAUCUUCUCACUCUUUCCACUGCCCCUGGGGCUCCCACCCAGUUCUGGGGUUCAAACUGUCGUGUGUGUGCAGAUGCACCCUCUCUCCCCAUAUUUAUUCCUAGUCUAAAUUCUGAAUUUAGCCUCAGACUGCUAUAUCAGCUGCCAGCCAGUCACUGCUACCUGUUUGUCCCAGCAUCAUCUAAAAUUGACAAAUUAAUUGACUUUGCAGUCUCAACCUUCUCUAGGAUUAGUCUGCUUUUCUCUUUAUUUUGCCUCUAGGUUUGUCAUGCCAUCCUGUAUUCCUCCUCCAUUCUACCCAACCUCUGGUGCUAUCAGUCAUUCACCCAAUCUGGAUGAUUUUUGUUUCCUAAAUAUAUUUUAGUCCUUCUCCUUCCCCUUCCCCUUCCACUUCCCCUCUGCCUUCCCUUCCCUCCCUUCCCUCACUUCCUAGCUGAGGCUGUCAUUAUCUCUGUCCUGGGCUCCUACCUGAUCUCCUUGCCUCCCAUCCAUUGUCUUUACUGCCUCAGGGAUCUACCUAUCUUAAGACCUGAUCAUGUCAUUUCUUUGCCAUAAACUCCAAAGAGUUCCUAUCACACGUAGUGUCCUGUCUGGUUCCUCAGGAGACUAGGCAGGUUGUUCAUCAUCUGAUCCUUGCCCAUCCUCCAGCAGGAUGACCCGCACACCCGUCCCCAUCUUCCAUUAUCCUUCAUACUCUCCAUCAUUGUGUCAUGGCAGAACUUCCUACCAUUCUCCACUCAGAUCAGGGUUCUGGACGGUGCUUAUGCUGUGUCCUCUGCCCAGUAAGCCCUUCUUCCUUACUGCCUGGAUAAUUCUGAGUCUUUAAAACUCAGUUCAGUGACACACAUCCCCUGGGAUGCCGUCCUUAGUCUCCCCAGGAUAGGUUAGAUGCCCUUCCUCCCUGUCUCUGGUGCCCUCAUAGCAUCCUGUCCUCAUAAUUGUAGCAUCAGUAAUCUUAGUGAUAUGCGUAUAUGUCUGUUUCCCUUUCUGAGUCUUCAUUUCCCUAUCUGUAAAAUGGGGAUAAUAAUAGUACUUAUCUCAGAAUAACAUUUGGAGGAUUAGAUAAGGUAAUCCAUGCAAUGAAAUUAUAAUAGCACCUGAUGCAUACAAAACCUAUUUGUUAAUAGCCAUUAUAAUAAUAUCAACAAUAUUGUUAUUAUGCAAUAAUUAAAAUAAUUAUAUAAUUAACAUUAUUAAUAAUAAUAUUAACACAUUAUUGAGGGAAAGGACUCCCUCCUAAACAGUGCUUCUCUAACUAGCAGAGCACUAGGCAAUUUGAGAGUGAUAUCACAAAGUGGACAUACCUGAAAUAAUGUGAGCUGUUCUUUUUUCUAAUGUCAGCUGUGAAUAGUUUUAAUUAUAAGAAAACAUGGAUGGUAGUUUGAGAUGAAAACACAGCCCCUGGCUGCAACAAAAAGCUCUUGGCCCAGUAAGAGAAAGGCCAUCGUUUUUCAAAUCAUGUUUCCAGUUCCUGAGAACAACAUUACAACAAGUUAAACAGGUAUCAAAACCAUCUAAAUUGCUGACCCUGAAGGACUUGGUGUCCAAAGAACAAAGGCAUACCAGAAUAAAGUCUCAUGUUAGAAAAUAUGUUGGACCAGGAAAAUAUAGAGGAAGGGAACAGACCCUUAUUGAGCAGCUAUGAUGUACUGAGUAUUUUGCACAUACUUAUCCAUUCAGUAACCACAGUUCCAUGAAUUAACGGAUAUUACCCUGCUUACUGAUGAGGCACAGAGAGGCUUGUAAUUUGUCACUCAUUACAAAGCUAAUUUUGUGACGCUGAGUGAACCACUUGGCUUCAGUAGCCAGCUACUCUUUGCUUUCCUGCUUUGUUCAAAUUCUUCAAGACUCAGUUUAAGUCGUUCCUUAGGAAAUUUCCACACCUGGCCAUGUCCACUGCUGUCAUCGCAUUCUGGGCUUUUACCUCUUAUCAUUCUGCAAUUUAGUGUGACCAACCAUCCCCCUGCUCAGUUUGUACACCCAUGAGAGUAGGUAGGGGUGUGUCUCUCUGGUUCACACCUUUGGGACCAAGAACUAGUGCACGUCUUGGCUUGUAGUAGGUGCUCGGUGAAUGUUGUUUAAUUAGUGUUCUUAUCUUUAAAAAGAGACAUAUAGAGCAUGUGACCUGCAAAGUUCCCUCCAGUUCUUUGUUUCUGGUGCUAAUGUUUAGACCUAGCAAAGGCCCAGACCCGAAUAGGACUUCAUGUCCUCAGGCAGCUGAUGCUGUAGGAAGGGGCAUGCCUGCCGAUGGUGUGGGCUUCAGUUCUUGUCAAAAAUUCCACCCAGGUUUUUUUUUACUUCUUAGCAGGUGCCACAGGGGCUUUUCAUCUUCUUCUCCGCCCCCCCCCCCCUUUCCUGGAGAGCCUGGAGAUAGUCUGCAGUUGCUUUCCUCUUCAACACUGCUGCCACUCAUUCCACCCUUGAAGUCCUUCUCUCCCCAGAUCCGAGUAGGAAGUGGGGUGUAGUCUUCGUGCAGAGACACACACACACAGCUCAUUUCACCAUACAGAGUUUUACUAUGAGUCGGCACAAAGUCAGAGUUUGGGGAGCCAAAAUUGUAAAUAUAGGGAAGUUAUAAAGCUGAAAAUAACCUUUGCUAAUUAGCCGAGACAUGACUCUUGGUUUCUAGUUCCUGCCCAUGACUGGCCCCUUGGGAAACCAGAUAGGGCUGUUUGCCAUCUGGUCCUAGGGCUGCCUGGUUCCAAUCCUAGCUCUUGGAACCUCAAUUCCUAAUCUUUAAAAUGGGGACAAUGGUAUCUAUUAGGUUGCGACAUAAAAUUGCCAUUUUAGUAGGUCAAAGGGGUCAAAUACUGACAAUUUCAUAAAGCUCAGCUUAAGACAUCAUAGGAUUGUUGUCGGUGAAAUGAAUAAUGGAUGUAGAUUACUUAUCAUAAUGCCUAUCACAAAAGUACUCAAUACAUGCAACUAAGAUGAUCCCAGUGAUUUUUAUCUGAGACAGUGACUGAGGUCUUAUUGGACUUCUGCCCUCAGUUCAAUUUUUCUGAGUGGCACCAACCAAAUAAAUGCCUAGCUUUAUCUGACCAUUGCCAAAAAAGCAAGCAGACAGCCCCAGAAGGCACUUUUCCCUGUAUAUUGCCUUGAAGACGGUCCUGGAAAAGAAUGACAAGACUCUGAUGUCCCAGAUGGACACGUUCAAUCUUCAAAACCCUUGAUACUGAAAGAAAACUAUUCUCUGAGCAUCUCCAUACAAUGGAGGCAUUUUCUCACACUGCCCACUUAAUAUUACUGUGACCCCAAUUGGGUCAUUUAAUAUUUGAGUGGCAGAUCAUUCAUUUUCAUAUUCAAACAAAUAUAUAUUAAGUAUUUGCUGGGUUUUAGGUAAUGCCAUGCUGCUUUCACAAACAAAAGUCUAUCCUCAUAGUAAUAUUGUCCAUCAUUUUCAUCCAUUCCACAAAUAUUUGUUGAGCAUCUAUUAAAUGUCAAGGCUUAUGUCAGACAAUGGAUAAAGUGUGGAUGAAAUUAAAUAUAGCUCCUGGGAGCUUCUCGGAGAGAUACUGUACUAGGAGAGAUAGACACUAACCACAUAAUCUUAUGCAAGUAAGUGUAAAAUAGCAAUUGUGGGAAGUAUUAUGGAUGAGAAUAUAUGCUCUUAUGGCAGCAAGAAAUACAGAGCUUUGACCUAGUUUGGCGAUAUAGGACAGAGCUGCUAACUCACACCAUGCCUUUGAGAGAAUUAGAUAACGAUGUCAUAGGAGAUGCAGGUCUAUGUCAGAAUAAAGGGAUUGGCAGGUGGAAUAUGACUCACUUCUACCCAUCACUUGCUCCUUAGCCAAUGCUCUUGUGUGGGGUGAAGGCUGCACAAAUGUAUAUGGCAGCUUGAGUUGGGAGGGCUUCUUCAAGAAAUUGAUGUUGGAACUCUUGUUUUUGGAAAGGGGUAAAACUAAUUAUAAAUAAAGAAAGACGCAUUCUUGUAUUUGAUAGAGUUGAGAGUUGGAGUAAUGCUCCAGACAAAGAGAAUUGUGUAUGCAAAGGCCCUGUGGCAAGAAGAAACAGGAUCUACUUGAAAAACAGAAAAUAUCCAGUGAAACUACAGAUCAGAGUAAUAGCAAAAUGGAAAGGAAAUUUGGGGAUAAAAGAACAGAUUAGAACUUCUGGGCCUUGGAAGGGAUUUUGGUCUCCAUCAUGAGAACAAUGAAGGGUCACUUAACUGUUUGAGGUUGAUGACAAUGACAUAACUAAAUUUUUGUUGUAAGACCACUUUGGAUGUUAGGAAGAAAAUGGAUUUGGAGAGAGCUGGCGAUAAUGAAUACACAGAGACCUGUUAGGAGGAUGUUGAAAGUGAGAAAUGGUGAUAGUUUGUAAUAGUGUGGCAUCCAAGGAAAUGGAGAAAAUGGUACAUAUUCAAUAAAUAUUAGGAGCUAAACUUGAUAGAGUUGCUGAUGGAUUGAAUAUUGGGGACAAGGAGAAGCAGCAGUCAAGGAUAAUACCCAAGUUUUUGGCUUGUGGAACAGCAUGGAUGGUGACCCCACAGCCUGAGAUAGAGGGCUCUGGAAGAGGGCCAUGUGGGGCAGGGUAGGGGAGGGGCUGCGUUGGGGUUUCUUUGGCAUCAUCCAAGUGGAGUUGCCAGGUCCACAAAUGAGAGGAGAAAUCUGUGUCUGAGAUAGAAAUCUGUGAGGUGCCUGCACAAAGAGGAUGAAUGCAGCCAUCAGUGUGAUUGAGGCCAUCAAGGAAGAAAACAUAAGACAGGGGGGCUUAGAAAUGAGCCUUUAGGAAUCUCAAAUUUCCUGGCCUGAUACAGGAAGGGAAACCUUCAAAGUUCUUUUCAUAUCCAUUUUCCAGAAACCAAGGCUCAGAGGAGUCGAGUAAUCUGCCCAAGGCAAAUGGCUGGCAGAUGGUAAAGGUGGAAUUUAAAUCUCAAGCUUUUAUAUUCUAGAACUCUCACUCUCCCACCAUGUCAUAGUUUCCAGUUUUUAAAUACUUAGUUUUUAAAAAAACUUCAAAGGAUAUUGUCAUUAUUUCAUUUAGCAUUGAAUAACUCUAUAUUCUUCAAUAUAACUAAAAGAUUUUUUUUUAAAGCCUAAAAGAUCCACUUAGCCAAGGGUGAGGAGAGAAAGGCAAAGUAGGUGCUGUAAGGAAGGAUAAAACAAAGAAACUCAUCAUCCCCUGGGAGCCUGGAGUUCACCAACUUGACAUAAUUAGGUGUUCACUUAACACUCAGCAAUUAAAUGACUUUACACCAACUUCUUUAUGAGAGAAAAAAUUCGUGUGAGGUGCAGCAGACACCUUCAGGCUCUUUCACAAAAGCUGCAUCAUGGCUGGGUUUUGAGGCUGGCUCCUGCUGAGUUACUAACUGCACUGUCACACCUCCAUGGAACACACAGGCACUCCUCUCUCCCAGGCUCAGGUCUAAGAGCUGAGAAACUAGUCCCACCAAGUUCUGGAAAUAAGGUGCCGAGCCUCUGCUGGGUCUGUUUUGUAUAGUCACUUCUUUCACUAAAGGAUAUUCCCCUGGCAGUGGACAGCAUGCGAGUUAAGUCCAGGGUUCUGGGAAGUAAUCUGGGACUUAGAAGAUUUGGUGAGGAGCUUUCUAAGUUUACCCCAUCCUCAGAUGACUGGGUGGCAUUGGGUGUGUCUUCUAGAUUCCUUCAGAUUUUCUCCCUUUCUUUAUAAUUAAAGGUCAGAAGAGGAUUCUGACUUGGAAACAGCACCAAAAGGAAAACCGAAGAGAGGGGCUUAAGUGACAUGCUCCAUAUGAGCACAGACCCAGAAGGGCUGAAAAUUUCACUUUAAUUUCUUUAUGGCAGGAAAGUGAUUCAAGAAUUUAAAUGCUAGUCAAACCCAAAAAAGUAUUCUCACCUACUCACCCACUUCAAACAAACAAACAAACAAACAAACAAACAGCAGAUUUUAAAAUGUAUUACCCAGAAAUACAAUACUUGGAAAGAGUCCAAACUGGGCAGAAUUUGGGGCUGCACAGAAAUUGCAGACAAAGUUGUCCCCUCUGGAAUAGCCACUUUGUAUUCCUUGCUUUGGCUUUGCAGCAGUUCUAAUUAAUAUUCAAUUACCAUGGAAUGGGCCUCUUCUUCCAAGAGCUCAUUGGGAACCUGAAGCGGCUUCUUCCUAAAAUGACCAACUUUCAUUUGGUAAUGAUGACUUUGGUUGGCUUACCACAAAAGCAUUCAAUUGUGGACCUCAGACCAUGGAAGUGACUAGGAGCAUUGGGCUAUUUAUAGUCUUUAGAUUUUUUUUUGACAUCUGUGAGUGUCUGUGGGCGGGAUGAAGCAGUGAAGAAAAUGCUGGGCAUAGAGUCCAAGGACUUUACAUUUCAGCCCCUGUGCCACCAUUUGCCAGCUGCAUGACCUUGGCUAAGUCCUUCAAUUCAGUUUAACCAAACCUGUAUUGAGUGUGACUAGGGAGCUUGGCCACCGCUAAACAGUGAGGUAUUACAGGUUAUUAUGUCAAGGAAUUUGGAUUUUUUUUUAAGGAACCUGGGGAGCCAGAGGACCAUCUUGAGCCAGAGAAUGACAUGAUCAGAUGUGUGUACUACAAAGAUCUCCCUGGUGUUAGUGUAUAAGGCAGAUUGGACAAAGAUAAGGAUAGAUACAAGAAACCAUUCAAGAAACUUCUACAGUUGUCUAAGUAAAAAAUGUGAAUGCAAGAACUACUAGGGAAAUGAUAACAAACAUGCAAAGGAGGUGAUAGAUACGAGGUGUGUUAAGAAAGUAGAAAAGGGAAGACACUGUGAAGGUUGGAUAUGAACAUAAAGGAGAAGUUCAGGAUGACUUAUAGAUUUUUGGCAUGGGCUACCCAGUAGAUAUGGCUACAUCAUUGAGUUAAUAAAUAAAAGAAAAGGACCUGAUUUUAUGUUUGAUGAUGAUGAAUUUGGUUUGGAAAAUGCUCAGUUUGAAGUUUCUAUAGAGGAUUCUAGGUGGAAAUGUUUGGUGAACAGCUUUGGUACAAAUCAGGAGAAAGUCUGAGUAAGAGGUAAAGAUUUUGAAGCCAUGUAUUUAUACACAGUAGAUGAAAUUGUGAAUACAGGAAACCUCAUGCAGACAGGGUGUGCAAAAUGAAAAGAGAAGUUGACUGAGUAAAGAACCUUCUGGGAACAUUAAGCAUUUAAGAGGCAGAUGGUGGAAGAAGAGCUAUGAAGUAUAAUAAGAAGCUAUCAUAUUAGGUAAAGGAGACUAUAAGAGGUCAUAAAGAAUCCCAGAGAAGAAGGUGUUUCAAGGAGAGCCUGGCCAACAGUGUCAGUCAAAGAAAGUCACUGAGAAUUCAUGUAUGAUAGGAGCUCAAAAAUAGAUGCCUGAGAUGGGUUGACAAGAUGGAAUGAGAGGUAUUUUAUAAGUUCACUUGUGGGAAAAAGACAGAUUAUAUGGUGGUAAUUACUAAUGAAUGAAGGGAUAAGAUAUUUUUAUUCAGAGAGAAGAGACUUGAGGCUACUCAUAUCCUCAUAUGCUAGUAAGAAAUAGCCAGUGAAAGAGAAUUUGCACAGAAGAGUUUAUUGAUGGGGUUGGAGUUCUUAGGCUGGAACCUUCUUUAAGGAGGAAGGAUGAACUUUAGGCAGGUCUCUUUCUUCCUCUAAGACCAAGGAAAGAAAAUGAGAAUGGUUGUGGAUUUAAUCAUCUGUAACAGAGUGGGUAAGAAUUCAUGAGUGUUACCCAGUGAUCACUGUUGUCCUUACCGUGAGGAUGGGAAGCAAAGUCAGUUUCAGACUGUAUAGGGGAAAAGGGUAGAUUAGGAGUUCAAAGAAUGUUACAGUUUGUAAUAGCUGUAAAUUGGACAGUCUCAGAGCAAGGAAAUACACAAAGACUAUAGUUUAUCAAUGAAGAUUCAGCUGAAGUUGAACACCUUAGGGCAAGGGUGGCAUCAAUCCAGAAGAUAGUGGAUUUUCUCCAUUAGCACCAGUUGCUAGAGUGUAAGUAUACAAAAUGUGGAUGUUUAGAUUGACCUGUUCGGGGGACUUUCUUUAAGGUAGAUAGCUAAAGAACCAAGGUAGAAGGAGCUCGAGUUGCAAGCCAGAAAAAUGUUGAUUGAUGAACUAUAGAAUAUAGACUCCCUAUGAAAUUACAGAAGUUCACAGGCCUGGUAGACUGGAGAAAAGUGAUGUAUUAAGAGGUGGGCUAUAACCCAUGGGAUUGGAGGAUAAUGGGGAAAGGAAAUCAGAGAGCUGGACAUUUUGAAGGGUGAGCUUUAAAAAGAUGGAAUUUAAACUUUGGCAUGGAGCAGAUUGGGGUGUGUCGUGGCAGAGCAGUGGGAAUGGGUUUUUACCUAGAGUGAAGGACAGAGCUCUUGCAGUCAAAGGGAUCAAGGAAAUCUGGAGCUAGGUUAUUGAAUUGAUGGUCUAUAAAUAGAGGAAUACAGGAUCAUGGAGGGGCAUGGGGUGAAGAGAGAGAAUGCUAAGAUGCCACAUAGAGAUGGAGUAUUAUCUACAGAUAACUGAAUUAUAAUGUUAGGAGUUUUAUAGAACCCCAUAGAACAGUAGGUAUAGCCACCCAGGCUUAGGAAGCUGUCGACCCCUGAAGACUUCUGGGGAAUGAGAGACAGACCCUUUCCAGAUUAUCAGAAAAAGGAAAGAAGACAUGCUCUUUGAAGAGAAGUCAGCUUCUAAAAGGAGGACAGGAAGAGAUGGAUAUAUAUGUAUGCCUAGGUCCAUAGCCUCAUAAAUCAUUUAGAUAACCACACCUCAGGCAGGAGAAAAAAAGUGUAGGUGUUAAAGCUAGUGAUACUUUCUCUGCAUGAAAGAAAGUAUAAGGAUUAGAGACAAAGAUUUUUUUUCCCCUCUAAAGUCUUGAGUCAGAAAAACAGAAAUUGUUCUAGGUAUUCCAAGUAGACAGACUUUUUCUUUAAAUUGAGGCAUAUUUAUAUACAGUAGAUAUGCAGAAUAGGAAUAUUGGAAAUAAUCCAAACUUAUAAUAGCAAACCUCUGCCAUGUAAAAAGGUUUAACAAUGAUGAUGAGUUACAACAGAUCAAUUCAGCACAUGUCCCAUGCCCCAGCACACAACCUCUCUGGGCUUCAGUUUCCUUAUAUGUCAAAUGAUGGUGAGCUUGAUGAUUCUGAAGUCUUAUAAAGUCUUGUAAUAUAUACAAGAAAGUGAUGCAGACAGUGGUUGAUUUCUAAGUCAAAAGAAAGUUCUAUGGUGAGGUGGGACACUAAAGUGGUACAGGGGAGCUGGGCGAAUGAUGAUUCCCUCUCAUGGUGCCAUGGCACUUAUGGCAUGGAAGUGAAUACUUUCUCAUUUGAAUAAUCUGCGAGUGAAAACAUCCUUUCACAGACAACCUUAUUUCCAUUUAGUAAGAAAUGGAAUGGCUAAAAAAGUAGAAGUUUUAAUUUUCUACAAAAUACAGUUUCUAGCUCUAGUGAAAAGAGCUGGCUGGGAAGAAGGACAGUGGAGGGAAUGCGUGUCAGUGAAACAGUGGUGGAGGAUGGAAUGGAGAUGAUGACGUGGUUAACUUCUACCAGAAGACAGGCCGAUCAAGUCUGGUCCAGCUUGACCUACCCAACUAGUGGGUGCUUGCAGGGCAUCAGUGUGGCUCCACUGAAGGGGUAAUCUGCAUCUCUUUGUCAGGGAUAUCGUGGUUGUAAGAAACAGAAACAGUCUGAGACUACUUUAAAGAAAGGGAUUAGAGAAAAUUUAUAAAACACAGGGGAAAAAAGGAAAGCUACAUUCCAGGAACUAGAAAAAUUGAAUUCUAGGCUUCUCUGUAUAUUUCUCUGCAACAAGAAUUUCCACCCCCACUUCUGUCAGCACAUUUGCUCUGUUCUUUUCUCUAUGGAGGUAAGGUUUAUCUGUCUUGGCAUAUAUGAGGUAGGAAGUGGAUUCUGUGGUUAUAGUUUCUACUUGAUCUUGCAGAUCCUAUGCCCACCAUCUUUUAACUAGGUUCUCCAUGUCCCAGCUCCAAAUUCCUAGGAGAGAUAACAGCUCACUUUGAGUCAAUAAUCUAUUCAAGAUUUAGUCAGCUUUGUCCUAGGACAGAGGGUCACUUGACCCCAACAUGGAAGGUUGAUUCACACUUCAACCAGGUCCAUGGUUCAUAGACAAUUCUCAGAGAAAAAAGCAUGAGCUAGACAUGGGUCCAAGAAGUCUCUAUAAUGCAGACAAAGUCUGAAAGGAAAGUGUAGACCCUGGGACCUGAAGGACACAGGAAAAAGCAAGAGGUAAGGUCAUAGAACCUAUCUAUUUAGUUACCUCUAAAUUCUGUAAUGAAUGUAUAAAUCUUCUCUGUUUAGAAUUGUUAUAAGAAUUUGUUAAGAGAGGUAAUAUGAAAAUGGAACAUAAAUAUAAGAUUAUCUCUUGAAACUAGAUUAGGUGAUUCUCAAUCUAGAAAAUUUGAAAUCAUCUAGUUGUGUUGUAACCUGGGUUGUUCUUGAGUUUCUAUUCUCUUUCUUGGCCUCAAUUACUAGAAAUCUUGUGGAGUCACAUAUUUUACCUCCCAAUCAGUAUUUUUUGUCUUUAUGUACUUGAUAAAUACAUCUUUACCGUUCUACUGUAUCUUUGUGUGUGUGUUUCCAGGCUCAAAUCAGAUUCUUAUUUAGAGCCAUUAACCAAGACCUCUUCUGUACUCUGGGAACGGCAGGAUCCCUUCUUUCGCUGCUACCAGGUAGAAGAAGUGAUCGUUAAUAUCCCAUCGGCCUCAUGGUGGACCUUAUGCUUUGAGGGUCUUCUGCACAUAAUCUAUAGUCCUAACCAUGAGUGAUAGGGUGAAGACACUAAUGAUCACCAUGAUCCCUUGUCAGCCCCAUGCCUAACAGAACCCACAUGGUGGUCAGGGUCCUGCCCUAUUCCUGAACAUGACCAUCCCUGUCUUCUCACUGCACACAUUAGAACCCUGACAGAAGUUCAGGCAACCCUUUUCAUGAAGAAUGGGGAGGCUUCCCGAGAUAGGACAGAGUGAGAAGACCAAUAAUUGGUCAUUCCUCCUUUUCUCACUAACUCAUUCUUGUACCACACAAGGGCUUGGGGGACCUCUGCCUCAUAGGUUAGGACUUUGGAAAAGAUCCAUGUGCAUACACCCUCUCUCCUGACACUUCUCUAAUUCCUCAACCUCCUCUUGUCUUCCUUAUGCAUCACUCUUAGGUGUUUUCUCCCCAAAUGUGAGGUGGCCAAUCUGAGACCCAUGAGAAAGGAAUCUAGAGCCUCUGUGUCCACUUGUGUUUUGAAAACACUAAUAUUCCACGUUUCAAGUAGAUAAAAAGUAGAUUCUUCCCUCUGCCUUGGGGUUUGUUGACUCUAACUAGGGACAUACUGGCUCUUGAACAGAGUGAUGGUGACAAAGAUGCUUUGAUUCCAGUUCCAUAUCUUCCCUGCUGAGGACUGGGAUCAGUUUUUUCCUGAGUUUCCCAAAUUCAAACACUUCUUGGAUGGUAAGCUGAGGGCAAGCAGUUUAGUCCCUGAAAAGGGAUAACAUAUUUUUCCUAUCGACAUAACUUUAAAUCUAUAUCUCCAGAAAUAAGAACCCUGAUGGUAUUGUGUAAGGAGCAUUGUGUGCGACUCCUUUCAUAGCCUAUUUUUAUUACAAAGAAGAAUCACAUUGGUGGGAAGUGGCAUCUGAGUCCCAUACGCUGAAAAUGCUACUCCCAAGUAGAUUCUUUUCGAUCCCUAAAGUUUUUCUCUGAUAGAAGAAAGUUUGUUCUGACACAUCAAGAUUUAUUCUUCUGGAGUAUUGUAUAUCUCCUGUGCAUGUAUGAUUGUCAUCAAAUACCCCCAUGUGCAGGCAAUAGGUCAGUUUUCCUCUGUGGGGUCCUACUGUGUAGCUUUGUAGCACAAAAGGUAAAGUGACCUCUGUGAUAUCAUUACUAGCCCUCGUGAAUGAAAGUGUGGCUAGGUCCUGAAGAAAGCCCAGUCCUUCACUAUUACUGUAGAUAAUAUAGUUUCCCUCACAUCCUGCCCCUGUUCCUCCUACAGUUAAAUAGUAUAAAUGUGCUCUAUCUCAGUAGUGUCUGGAAUGCUCUUCUUCAGUCAUCUGUAGGAUCUAAUGGAUAGAUGGAAGAGACAAGGGAAGAAAAAAGAGGGAAGAGGAAAGAAGAUUAAAGAUCUCAAGGGUUUUUUUUUUGGCUAAUUUUCAGUAGAAAAUAGAAAGAAAUCCAGGGAAGUUUAAAGUAAUGAAUCAAAUGAAAGUUCUCUUCAGAAUACAAUGAUGAUCUGCCUCAUCAUAGAGAAAACAAAGUGUGUGUAUUAUUACCUGAACAGUUUAUGGGAAGGAACAGGUAUUUGAGGAGGGUCAAACUGCCCACAGCCACUUUAAAUAAUAUCAGGCUUGAAAAAUAAAAUGGGUAACUCAGUUCUGGUCCUAAAGGAAGGUAAUUCUUGAGAUUAGAUUUAUGAAGGGAAUAUAUAGAAAACAGCACAAGCGGGUCACGUUAGGCUUUAUGUGAGCAAGAGCCAAAAUGCAGACUAUAAACCCUGGAAUAACAGGAGACAGUAACCAAGGUAGGUGGCCCAUUGCUCUUUUUCCCUUAAGAUGAAGGAUGUCUCUUUGGAGAACUACACCUCUUGGUUCAGCUGUGAGUUUAUGGAUUCCUUCUGUGGGCCAGCAGUUUUGUUUUUGAUGUGUCAACGGCUGCUGCUGGUACAGAGACAGUAGCCCAGACCCAUGGGUAAUUUCUUCUCUGUAAGCUCCACUCAAGGCAAGAAUGCUAGAUUUCUGAUCCUUUUCUUUUUUACUAACGUGCUUCCUGUAUAUCGUCAGCCGUCUCAACUUCUUGUUCAUUUUGGUCUUGAGCUGUUCGCUCCAGGGCUUAUGAUCAGCAAGAUCAUACUGAAAGAAAGAAUAAGAAAGUGAAAGAAAGCUGAAGUUCAAAGCAUUUGAUUAUAAGCUCCUCCAUGGAGUUCCAGGGUGUUUAGAAUAUUCUGCACAGUGUGUAAUGGUAAUUGAUGAUGGUGUAGCUAUACAGUAGCUUUAAGUGGAUGUCAAUAGAAUAAGGAGAUACUAUCUGCUCCCUAUUCAGUUUCUAAUUCUCCAUCAAUCCUGCUCUCUUGGUUGCUCUGAAGCUGCCAUCUCCUCUAGGUGAUGUUUAGGCCUGUCCCACCCCUCCUCUCACAUACCUUAUGAAAAAUGGUUGUGCCAUCUGCAGCUGUCAUGAGGCUGUGGAAUAGGGAGUACGGCUCAAUGAAUAUACAAAUGUGCAGCUGGACCACAGCCCCUUCCAGAAGGCAGCUGCAAUAUAAAUCACAGUGAGCUCACACUUCUCAAGUAGCAGGCUGCCAUUGGGGGCUGCCAUGCAUAAGGGACUGGAGAGAAAUAGAAGAAUGUGAGAAAGGUCUCAGUGGAAAUCGGCCCUGCAGUAUGUGGAAAGGUUGGCUGGAAAGCCAAAGCCAAGAGUAGCAUGUUCUGAAAAACCUAAUUGCUUGGGCUCUUGCAGAUCAUGGAACAAAGCUAAGCACAACAUGGGGUUUAUUGAGUUUCAGUACAUUUGCUUCCCUUUGAGCUGAUGGGAGUCUCUCCCUCUCCCUCCAACUCCUGCCUCUCUCAGCACCUCCCAUUUUCCAGGCACCGGGCAAGGUUCUGGAGCCACAGUUGUAGUUUUUGAAUCAAACAAAAUCUCUGCCCUAAAUUUUAAGGGUGGAGAGACAUGGGGGUUGGCAGUGAUGAUGGGGAAACAGACUUUAUAAUAAUGAAAAAUAAAAUAAACUACAAUGCAAUGUGCUGAAUUGGAAUGGAAAUAGAUACCAGAAUCUGUGAGAUGUCAAGAGGCAGAAUGGGUAAGUCUGCUUUGGGGUGGUUUUUCAGAGGUGACAUUUGAAUGAAAAUCUUGCAGCAUGAGUGGGUGUUCCUUAGGAAGGUCAGGAUGAAGCAGGGUAAUAGCGGAUGUAAGGCUGGAGGCAGGAAAAGUGUGCAUUGAUCCUCUUUUGCUGCCAAAAUUUUAAUCAGCCCAAAUUAUUGAAUGUUUUCCUUCAAGCCUCUCUUAUUAAAGUCACUGCAAAUUCUACUGGUAUACUUGUCUUUCACACAUCUGGCUUUACCCCAAAUACAUCUGGCCCAUGCACUCCUGGGUCCCCAUGAAAAUAAAAAAAUAAAUAUAAAUGUAACUACUUUUCUUCAUAUUCUCUCUCUCUCUCUCUCUCUCUCUCAUGUACACAUGCAUAAGCACACACAGACAUACACACUAAAGAAUGUGGGCAGUUCCUAGGGAUGGAAAAAGCAGAAACUAAACAAAACGGAUUCUCCUUAGAGUCUUCAGAAAGGAACACAGCCCUGCUGACACUGAAACCUUGACUUUAAACCCAGUGAGACCCAUUUCAAACUUCAGACCUCCUGAACUGUAAGAUAAUAACCUUCUGUUGUUUUAAACCAUGAAGUUUGUGGUAAUACGUUGCAGCAGCAAUAGGAAAUUAAUAUAGACUCUAGUAUCUGGAAGUGAUGUGCUACGGUAACAAAUAAAAAUGGAGAACUGGCUUUUAAAUUAGGCAAUGGACAGAGGCUGGGAUAAUAAAGUUUUUGAUAAUAAAAAUGUGUAUGGUAAUGAUUCUGCUAAUGAGGACUCAGAAAGAAGUGAGGAGUAUGGUAGAAAAGGUAUGUAGUCUUAGAGAAUGCCUAAAUUGUUAUGAAAAGACUAUUGGUAGAAAUACGGGUGUUGAAGUCACUGCCAGGGGAAUGAGGACUCGAAAACAAAAUGUAUAAGCAGUGAACUUGGAUAUUUAACUAAGGAGAUAUCCAAGCAAAGCAUUGAAGGCAUGGUCUGGUUCUGUUGCUCUUUAUAGCAAAAUAUGAAGGCAAAGAGAUAGAUUGAGAGAAUCAUUGUUAAACAAGAAUGAGCCAGGCCUUCCUUGGUGAUUGGGGAAAUUUUCAGCCUAUCUGGAUUACAAAAGACAGUAAAAUUUGGUGAUUCACAGUCAGGAAAGUAUGCUCUGGAGAAAAAGCCAAGGACAUGGCUCAAUACUCUUUUGCUUGUGCCUCUGAAGGUUAGCGUAUCUAGUCACACAGAAGGCUUUUUGAAGAGAUUAGGUAUGUGAAUCCCCUCAGCCAUCUCAGGAGAAGCCAGGAAUAUAAAUGAAAUUAUCUAGGAAAGAUUUGUGAACGUCUUGUUUAAUAGAGUUCUCAUGACAUACACAGGAGACACAUGAAAUAUUUCAGAAUCUUAUAUCAUUAGAAGCGUGUACCUUUCAUGAAAUCGGAAGUAGGACUGAGAGGGCAGAGCCAUUAGGGCAAAGGGCAGAGCUGAGAAUCACCACGGGUUAUCCCCAGGUUUUGAAACCAAAUGGAGGUUUCCUGGAUGGAUUUUGAAAUUGCUUGGGAAUGACAGUUCCUUUUUUUUCUUCAUUUCCUCCCUGUUUUUUUCAAGUAAGUGUCUGUAACUGUUACCCUUUACCUUUCCCAAUAUUGUCUUUUUGGGAGAAGGUAACUUGUUACUUGCGUUUCACAAAUUGAUAAGAUGUAUGGAUUAUACCUAGGGUUUCCCCCAUAAUCUCGUUUUGAUGAAUUAGGAUCAGGUUUCGGUUUCAUUGGCUUUUUUGUUUUCAGUUUCCUUGGUUUCUGCUCUAGUUUUUGUUAUUUCAUUCUUCUGCUGGCUUUAGGGUUGAGUUGCUCUUCUUUCUCUAUUUUGCUAAGGUGGAAGCUCAGGCUGUUGGUUUUAGAUCUUGCUUCUUUUCUCAUAUACACAGUUAAUGCUACAAUUUUUCCUGGAAGUGCUACUUUCUCCACGUAUGACAAGUUUUGGUAUGUUGUAUUUUCAUUUAGCUAAAAAUAUUUUUGGUUUUAAUCUUGAGGUUUCUUCUUUGAGCCAUGUGUUAUGUAGGAAUGUGUGGUUAAAUUUCCAAAUAUUUGGAGAUUUUCCAGCUAUCUUUCUCUUUGGAUUUCUAGUUCAAUUUCAUUAUAAUCUGAGACUAUACUUUGUAUGAGUUCUCUUCUUUUAAAUUGUCUAAGUUAUGCUUUAUGACCCAGAAUGGGGUCUAUGUUGGUCUUUCCAUGUGAAUGUGUAUAAAAUGUGUAUUCUGGUAUUGUUGAUAGCAUAUUCUACAAAUGCCAAUUAUCAAGUUGAUUUAUAAUGUUGUUUAGGUCAACUAUAUCUUUGCUGACUACCUGCUUGCUUGAUUUCUCAACUGCUGAAAGAGGCAUAUUAAAGCCUCCAACUAUAAUAGUGGAUUUGCCUACUUUUUUUUUCAGGGAUACCAGCUUUUGACACUGUGUUGUUAAGUGCAUAUACCUUUAGGAUUGCUCUGUCUUCUUGGAGAAUUGACUCCUUUUUUUCAUUAUGAGAUGCUCUUCCUCAUGCCUGAUAAUUUUUCCUGUUCUAAGGACUCAUUUGACUGAUAUUAAAAUAGCUACUCCAGUUUCCUUGUGGUUAUUGCUAGCAUGGUAUAUCUUUUUUUCCAUUAAAGAAAGUCUAUUUGACUAUUUAUAUUGAAAUGUGUUUCUUGUAGACAACAUAUAGUUGUUUGAUUGGGUCUCUGUCUUUUAAAUCCCUCUGACAGUCUCUGUCUUUUCAUUAAUAAAUUUAAUUCAUUCACAUUUGAAAUCUUUUUUUUUUACUUUAAAAUUGUUUUAUUUUUAUUUGUUUUGAGGGAGAGAGAGAUAGAGCAGGGGAGGGGCAGAGAGACAGGGAGACAGAAUCCCAAGCAGGCUCUGUGCUAGCAACACAAUUGCUCAAUGCAGGGCUUGAACUCAUGAACCAUGAGAUCAUGACCUGAGCCGAAAUCAAGAGUUGGAUGCUUAACCGACUGAGACACCCAGGCACCCUCCCCUGAAAUCAUUAUUGAUGUAGUUGACUUAAUAUCUAUCACAUUUUUAACUAUUCUCUAUAAAGUUACAUUUGUUCUCCCCCCCCCCUUUUAUCUGCUUUCCUGGUUUUAAUUAAGUGUUUAAAAUGAUGAUCUCUGGGCAUAUCAAUUAUACUUAUGUAAAAAAAAUAGUGGUUGUCCUAGACUUUGAAGUAUGCAUUUUUAAUUAAUCUAAGUCCAUUUUCAAAUAGCACUAUGCUGUUUCACAUGUCGUAUAUCUUCCUUAUGACAGAGUAUUCUCAGUCCCUCCCAUCCACUAUGACACUGUUGUCAUUCCGUAUUUGCUAUAAUUACCCAAUAUGUUGUUAAUAUUACUUUGAACUGUUACCUUUUAGAUCAAUUAAGAACAAAAAAGGUAAGACUUUAACUCUAUUCCCUUCCUGCUGCUCUUCCCAUUGCUUUGUAUAUAUAUUUGUGUUUUGAUAUACAUCAUUUUUCUUCUCCCUGAAGACCUUUAAAAAUUUCUUUCAUGGAAAAUGUGCCCAAGAUGUAAUUCCUCAAUUUUUGUUUGUUUAAGGAGAUUUCUAUUUCUCCUUCACUUUUGAAGGGUAGUUUCACUGGCUAUUGGAUUUUAGGUUGGUAUCUUUUUCUUUUAACACUUUAAAUAUUUCAAUUCACUCCCUUCUUCACUUGCCUGAUUUCUGAUGAGAGUCCACUGUAGUUCUUAGGGAAGGUGAUAGUUCUCUGAUUUCUUUUGGGAUUUCCUCCUUGUCUUUGGUUUACAGAAGUUUGAAUAUGACAUGCUUUGCUGUAGUUCUUUGUUAUUAUUCUUGUCAUUAUUUAUCUUUCCUUUAUCUUCUCAGAUCACUGGAUCUGUCAUGUGGUGUUUUUAUUUAAUGUCACAAAGUUCAUUAUUUCUUUAAACAUUUCUUUUAUGCCCUUUUCUCUCUUUCCUCAUCUUCUGAUAUUCUUAUUACUCAUAUACUACGUCUUCUGAAAUUGUCCCACAUUUCCUGGAUGUUCUAUUAUAGGUCUGUUUUUGUUGUUCUUUUUUUUUUCUCUUUGCAUUGUAGUUUUAUUGAGCUAUUUUCAUCCGCACCGAUUCUUUCUUUAGUGUGUGUAGUCUACUGAUAGGCCCAUUAAAGGCAUUCUUUAUGUUACAUUGUUUUUAAUUUCUCACAUUUCCUUUGGAUUUUUCUUAGUGUUUCCAUCUCUCUGUUUAUAUUACCCAUCUAUUCUUGCAUACUGUUUACUUUUGCAUUUGAACCCUUCACAUAUUAAUCAUAGUUAUUUUAAAUUCCCUGAUACCUCUGACAUUUGUGUCAUAUCUGAGUCUGGUUCUGAAGCUUGCAUUGUUUGUUUCUUCUUUCUUCUUCUUCUUCUUCUUCUUCUUCUUCUUUUUUUUUUUUUUUUUUGGUUACAAGAUGGACAUGUAUCAAGUAACCCAAUACUGAAGUACCUAGGCCGUUAGUGAGAACAUUUAUAUUUAUCUGGCUAUGAGUUUGUCUAUGCUCAAUGUUUGUUGUAGCCAUAGGUGCCUUGAGACUUCAGAUUCCUCUAGUGUCUUUGUUACUAUUUAUCCUCUUGAUUUUGAAAUGCUCUAAGUACUCCUCUUAAGAGACAGCCCUACAUCUUGCAAUUCUUUCAGCUAUCAACUGCUUUUCUUUGGAUCCCUGUUGUGUGGUAGUCUGAUGUUGGGGAGAAGGAACAUACUAUAGUCCUGCCACUAAAUCUCUUUUACUAGGCUUGUGGCUCUGGAUUGUGACUCUCACAGUAUUUUUUUUUUUCUGGUGGCUUUGUUUUGUUUUGUUUUGUUUUGUUUUUCCUUCAUCCCUAAAGUGAGACAGUAAGGCUAGAGGGGACUAGAGUGGGAGGAACACUCUUCCUCAGCUGGAAUGGGGCUUUGGUAAAUGUUUUUCCCUGGAGUGUAGGUCUUCAUUAUAAAGAAUGCUCUGAGUGCAUUUCUGAGUGAUUUUCUCCCCUCCCCACCCUUGUGAGAGCCACAAGCAUAUUUUUCUUGGCUCUUUGCUGUGAGGACCUGGAGGGAUGCUUGGAAGUAAAACCCAUGAACAUAUGGUAUACCCCGUAGACUGUGAUCUCUAGGAUUUUCUCAUUCUCAUGCUAAUCCACACUCAACAGUCAACAAUUCAUCAAAAUUACCAUUUAAGUGUUCCUAUCAGUUGCUCCAACAGUUUCUGCUUCAGGUAAGGAGCUCUUGGAUGGAUCUCUGAAUGAGCCUGUGUGUGCACAUUGGAGGGUGGCAGCCCUACAGACUCAGUUCCCUGGUGGUUUUAAGAAGAGUCAUUGGUUUGUAGUUUGUCAAGCUUUUUCUUGUCAUAAGGACUAGUGUGACAACUCCUCAACUUCUUACAUGUUAGAGCUGAAACGGGAAGUUGUCAUUGUUAUUUUUGUUACUAUUGUUAUCCCAACUCUUUAAGGAGGCAUAUUAGUUUAAGGGAGAUAGAAGCUGCCGCUUUAUAUUUCUCAGUGGUCAAAUUCAUUUUUGCAUUUAGUGUGCCAAAAAGGAGAGAUCAGGUUUUGACCAUCCAUUUCCCCUCUAAGUAUCUAUUUGAACCUGAUUUAUCAUCAGAGUGACUAUACCCACACUGAAAAAAAAGUUAUAGCUUUGUUUUGCCUUUCUGGACGUCAGCUACCUUGCAAUCCCAUCUCUUUGGAGUGCAGCUGAAAACCAGAAAAUAAGCAAAAAAAGGUCUCCUGAAUAGUUAAUGUCACAAGUACAGGUGCUGAAUUUCUUAAAAUAUAAUUUUGGUAGAAGCAAAACUAUAUGCAAUCCAUAUAUAGGCUACGAAGUAUAAUGAUAUAAUCAGCACUGAUGAGUCCACCACCUGUCAUAAAAACUAGAGCAUCGCCAGUACCUCCAAAGCUAUCUCUCAUCUGGAGGACUGCUAGCCUCCUAGGGAGAACUACUUUCUGAAGGUUUAGGCCCAUAAUUCAUCUGUUCUUUGAAAAACGUUUUCUUCUAUAUAUAUUCCAAGACAAUAUAAUCUUGAGUAUUGUUUGGUUUUUAGCUUUACUGAAAUAACAUUAUCGUGCUAUAUGUUGUCUUCUGGACUUGCAUUUUUCAUUUAAUUAAUUACUUGUACUCUCUGUGCCCAGUGGCCCUCUCUGCAAAAUGGAGGUAAUAAUAGUACCUAUAUCACUGCAUUUUUAUAAGAAUUAAAUAAGUUAAUAUUUGUAAAUCACUUAGAAUAGUAACAGACAUACAGAUCGUGCUUUGUAUAUUUGUUAAAGAAAAUAUACAUAUAUUCAUUUACACUGUGGAUCUAUUUGGAGUUCAUCCAUUUUUACUGCUAUAUAAUAUUUCACAUAUACUAUAAUUUAUUAAUCCAGUCUCAUGUUGAUUGGCUUUUGGAUGAUAUCAAGCUUUCUGUUACUACAUAUAAUAUCAAUUUGAAUGAUUUUACUCACGUCUUGUCAUAUGCCUUUGUGAGAGUUUCUCUAGGGGUAUAUCCACAGUAAAAGUGCCAUAUCACAGGACUUGAGCAUAUUCAGCUUUAACACCAGAAUGAUUGUACACAUUUACACCUCUAUUAGUAGAACAUUAGAGGUCUUGGUGUUCCACAUAUUUGCUGUCAUUUGGUAUUAUAAAAUUUAGUGGGUUUUGCACUCUAGAUGGAGUAGAAUAUGGUUUAUUUUGUGCAUUUCCAGAAUUUCAAAUGAUAUUGAGCAUUUUUCAAACUCAUUAUCAAGUUCCUUCUAUUGUAAAAUAACCAUAUUGUUUGCCUACUUUUCUGUUUGGAGAUAUAUAUGUGAUUUUUUGUACUUUAUAUAUCUUCAUAUUUUUCUUUUGUCAAUUAAAUAUAUUGCAGUAAUCUCACACUCUGUACUUUGUCUUUUUGCUUACUUUGUGAUUUGGUUGAAAUAGAAGCCUUGAUUGUAAAGUGGUCAAAUUAAUAUUUUUUAUAUGCUUACUAUUCUUUAGAGCUUCUUUAGGAAACUCUUUUUAAAGCUCAAAUUACAAUUUUAUGUUUAAAAUUGGAGGUUUCACAAUGAAGUCUUUGUAAUUAAUGUUAUAUAUGGUAUGAGGUAUAGAUCAAAUUGUAUUUUUCUCUAGGUGAAUUGCAUGUAUCCUAAUAUCUCUAAUCCCUAUAUAUUAAGCCAUUCAGUUUUUACAUUGAUUUGCAGUGAUACCUAAAUCAUAUAUAAAACAUUCAUAUUUGCAAAGGUCUAUUUUUGAGUCUUGUAUUCUGUUCCUUUGUUUAAAUUAUCAAUUUAUUUUUUUAAAAAAAUAGUUUAUAUUUUUGAGUAAUCUUUACACCCAAACUUGGGGCUUCAGUUUACAACCUUGAGAUAGAGAGUCUCAUGCUCUACUGACUGAGCCAGCCAGGCACCCAUAAAAUUUUAAUUUUCAACACCAAUACCACAUUAACUUAAUUACACAGAUUUUAAACACAUCUUGAUAUUUGUAUGUUUCUCUUCUACAGGAGAGCCCUGGCUAUUCGUCACUAUCCCAUAUUUGUUCUUCCAUAUAGGUUUUAGAAUAGGCUUUCUGUGAACCUUAAUAUUUUAUUGGAAUUACAUUCAAUAUAAAGAUUAAUUUGGCUAAAUUUGAUAUAGUAUUGAACUACUAUCUGUGGACAUGGCAUAUAUAUCUAUUUUUUUGGUCUUCUUUAAUAUCUUUAAAUAAAAUGAAAAAUUUUUUACCAUAAAUACUGAUAUUUUACAAAUCCUUGAUAAGUACCUUCUUUUUCCUUUUCUUUUUUUCUUUUUGUUUCUCUUUUAAUUUUUGAUUUUGUUUUUUGCUACUGUAAAGAAUCUCUUUAAAUGGUUUUUAAAAACAAUUGCUGCUAGCAUAUAGAAAUCAUGUUAUUUUGUGUAUCAAUUACACAUUUAGCAAAUUUGUUAAACUUCUAAAAAGAAUUCUAACAAUUUGUCUGUAAACUAUCAUGGAUUUCUCUAUGAAUAGUUACAUCAUCUGUAAAAGUGGUUAUUUUUCUCCUUUUCCAGUUCUUCUUUUUAUUGCACUGGGUAGAACAUUCAGUAAAAUGUUGAAUAGUCAGGUAUAGUUCUAUCCUUUUCCUGGUUUAAAAUGGACUUCUUCUAAAUAUUUCAUAUGUAAGAAUGAUAUAUCUGUAGACUUGGGGUAGGUAACCUCUUUCAGAUUAAAAAGGUCACUUUGUAGUUCCAGUUUGUUGUUGUAGUUAGAUACCGAAUAUUAUCAAAUGCUUAUUUCUGCUUCUAUUAAACUAAUAAUGUAGUUGUACUGCUUUAGUAUGUUAAUAAGUGAAUUUGCUUUUAGAUUUUCUGAAGUUAAACUACAUUGCACUCCUGAAAUGAAGCCAAGCUGUUUAUGACAUCAUAUUUUUUAUAUACUCCUGGAUUAAUUUUUUCACUAUUUGUAGAAGUAUUUUAACUACUGAUUUGAGUUCUUUAAUGGUUACAGGCCUUCUAAGGUAGGUUUUCACAAGUUUGUUUUUCUAUGAUUUUGCCUAAUUCACAUACUUUUUCAGUUUUUGUCAUUAAGCUAGUCACACCACUUUCUUAUUGCUUUUAAUUGUCUGGGUUUUUAGGUAGUUAUCCUCCAUCAUCCAGCUUAGUAUUUUUUUUUUUAAUUAAUCUCACCAGGAGUUUGUCUCCUCAUUGGUCUCUUCAAAGAGCCAUUAUUUGAUUUUCUUAAAUCUUACCCAUUAUUCUUGUUUUCUGUUUUUAUCUUUAUUACCUCCCUCCUUUUACUUCCUAAAUAUUUAUUUUGAAGUGCUUUUCCUAUUCUCACCACUAUUUCUUGUAUCUCAGACCUUCCUACUGAUGCCAUUUUCCCUAUUCUUAAUAUCUAUCUUUUGGAAGUCUUUUUAAUGAAAGCCUACUUGUGGUAAACUUGCUUAAGUUUUUUGUGCCUGAGAGUGUCUAUAUUUUUUUUCUCAGUCCUUCAAAUAUUAUUAUAUGUCUUCUAGCUUUCAUUAUAGCUCUUGAGAAGACUGCAUUAAGUCUUUCAUUCUUACAUAGGUGAUCUGUCAUUUCUCCCUGACAUCUUCUAGUAUAUCCUUUUGCCUUUGGUGUUCAUGUUUUACUACAGAAUAGUUACCUGAGGGUUUCUUUGUGUUUUUCUGGCUUGUGUGUGUUUUUAUCUCUGGAUUCUUGAUGUUCAUAAAUUCUAGAAAACUGUCAUUAAUUAUUGUUUCAAAUAUUUCCUCUCUUGUUUUCUCUGAUCUUCUGAUGAAAAAUUAGGCCUUUUCAUUCUAUCCUUCUUGCUGCUUGUUUUCUCUUUCACUGGUUUCCUUUUUGUUGUCUUUCUGUUGCUUUCUGGGUAAGUCUUUCUUCAUCUGUAAUCAGCCUGUCCAGGGUGCUUUUAAUUUCACUGAUUAUAGUUUUUACCUCUAAAAAUUCUAUUUAUUUUGUUUUAUAGGUUUUCCUGGUAACUUCUUUCUUUCUUUCUUUCUUUCUUUCUUUCUUUCUUUCUUUCUUUCUUUCUUUCUUUCUUUCUAUUUUUUAUUUAAAUCCAAGUUAGCUAACAUAAAGCGUAAUAAUGAUUUCAGGAAUAGAGUUUAGUGAUUCGUCACUUACAUACAACACCCAGUGCUCAUCCCAACAAGUGCCCUCAUUAAUGCCCAUCACCCAUUUAGUCCAUCCCCCCACCCAACACCCCUCCAGCAACCCGCAGUUUAUUCUCUGUAUAUGGUUUGCCUCCCUCUCUGGUUUGCCUAUGGUUUGCCUCCCUCUCUGUUUUUAUCUUAUUUUUAUUUCCCUUCCCUUAUGUUCAUCUGUUUUAUUUCUUAAAUUCCACAUAUGAGUGAAAUCAUAUGAUAUUUGUCUUUCUCUGACUUAUUUCACUUAGCAUAAUAUACUCUAGUUCCAUCCAUGUUGUUGCAAAUGGCAAGAUUUCAUUCUUUUUGAUCACUGAGUAAUAUUCCAUCAUGUAUAUAUACCAUAUCAUCUUUAGCCAUUCAACAGUGGAUGGACAUUUGGGCUCUGUUCAUACUUUGACUGUUGUCAGUAGUGCUGCUAUAAACAUUGGGGUGCAUAUGCCCCUUUGAAUCAGCAUUUUUGUAUCCUUUGUACAAAUAAAUACCUAGUAGUGCAAUUGCUGGGUUGUAGGCUAGUUCUAUUUUUAAUUCUCUGAGGAACCUCUGAUCUAUUUUCCAGAGUGUCUGCACUAGUCUGCAUUCCCACCAGCAGUGCGAAAGCAUUCCCCUUUCUCUGCAUCCUCACCAACAUCUGUUGUUUCCUGCAUUCAUGUUAGCCAUUCUGACAGGUUUGAGGUGGUGGUAUCUCAUUGUGGUUUUGAUUUGUAUUUCUCAGAUGAUAAGUGAUGUUGAGCAUCUUUUCAUGUGUCUGUAAGCCAUCUGGAUGUCUUCUUUGGAAAAGUAUCUAUUCAUGUCUGUUGCCCAUAUCUUCACUGGAUUAUUUGUUUUUUGAUUGUUGAGUUUGAUAAGUUCUUUAUAGGUUUUGAAUAGUAACCCUUUAUCUGAUAUGUCAUUUGCAAAUAUCUUCUUCCAUUCUUUCAGUUGCCGUUUAGUUUUGCUGAUUGUUUCCUUCACUGUGCAGAUUUUUUUUUAUCUUGAUGAUGACCCAGUAGUUCGUUUUUGCCUUAAUAUCCCUUGCCUCCAGAGACAUGUCAAGUAAGAGGUUGCUGUGACCAAGGUCAUAGUGGUUGCUGCCUGUUUUCUCCUCUAGGAUUUUGAUGGCUUCUUACAUUUAGGCCUUUCAUCCGUUUUGAGUUUAUUUUUGUGUAUGGUGUAAGAAAGUGGUCCCAGUUCAUUCUUCUGCAUGUUGGUGUCCAGUUUUUCCACCACCAUUUGCUGAAGAGACUGUCUUUUUUUCCCCACUGGAUAUUCUUUCCUGCUUUGUCAAAGAUUAGUUUGCCAUAUGUUUGUGGGUCCAUUUCUGGGAUCUCUAUUCUGUUCCAUUGAUCUAUGUGUCUGUUUUUGUGCCAGUACCAUACUAUCUUGAUGCCUCCAGCUUUGCUUUCUUCUUCUUCUUCUUCUUCUUCUUUUUCUUCUUCUUCUUCUUCUUCUGCUGCUUCUUUUAUUAUUAUUAUUAUUAUUAUUAUUACUAUUAUUAUUGUUUUAAUUUUUAAUGUGUAUUUAUUUUUGAGAGAGAGAUACAGAACAUGAGCAGGGGAGAGGCAGAGAGAGAGAGGAAGAUGCAGAAUCUGAAGCAGGUUCAAGGUUCUGAGCUGUCAGCACAGAGCCCAAUGAGGGGCUUGAACCCACAAACCUCAGAUCAUGACCUGAGCCGAAGUCGGUCACUUAACCAGCCAAGCCACCCAGGUGCCCCUGGUUUUCUUUUUUAACAUUACUUUGGCUAUUCAGGGUCUUUUCUGGUUUCAUACAGAUUUCAGAAUUGUUUGUUCUAGUUCUGUGAAGAAUACUGGUGUUAUUUUGAUAGGGAUUGCACUGAAAAUGUAGAUUGCUUUGGGUAAUAAUGACAUUUUAACAAUACUUGUUCUUCCAAUCCAUGGGCAUGGAAGUUGUUCCAUUUCUUUGUGUCUUCUUCAGUUUCUUUCAUAAGCUUUCUAUAGUUUUCAGAGUACAGAUCUUUUACCUCUUUGGUCAGGAUUUUUAGUGCAAUUGUAAUUGGUAUCGAUUCCUUCAUUUCUCUUUCUGUUGCUUCGUUAUUGGUGUAUAGAAAUGCAACCGAUUUCUGUAUGUUGAUUUUGUAUCCUCUUUGCUGAAUUCAUGUAACAGUUCUAGCAGUUUUUUGGUGGAGUCUUUUGGGUUUUCCACGUAGAGUAUUAUGUCAUACUCUGUGUGACAAGUGAAAGUUUGGUUUCCUCCUUGCUGAUUUGGAUGUUUUUUAUUUCUUUUUGUUAUUUGAUUGCUGAGGCUAGGACUUCCAACACUAUGUUGAAUAACAGUGGUGAGAGUGGACAUCCUGUGAGGAAUAAGACCCAGUUCUGUCCUCUUUUUCUACUCCACAUGUGGUAUAUGCAAGAGUGUAUGUGUAUGUGUGUGUGUUCACGUGCACCCCCACACACAGGUGUGAAUGUAAGUCACUUAGUAAAAUGUCAAGUGUGAUCUAGCCACUCAUUAAUAACACCUAACUCUGCAUUUCUGGGUAAAUAACUAAAUUGCUACUUUUCUUGUGUCAUCUCUUUCUUCCUCAAUUCUUCCUUGUCUAGUUCCUGACUGUAGGGGGAAAGCUCUUAGUGUUUCCCCAUUGAGGAUGAUAUUAGCUGUGGAUCUUUCAUAUAUAGCCUUUAUUACCUUCAGGUAUGAUUCUUCUAUCCCUACUUUCUUGAGGGUUUUUAUCAAGAAAGGAUGCUGUAUUUUGUCAAAUGCUUUUUCUGCAUCUGUUGAGAGGUUCAUGUGGUUCUUAUUCUUUCUUUCAUUAAUGUAAUGUAUGACAUUGAUUGAUUUUUAGAUAUUGAAUCAGCCCUGCAUCCCAGGAAUAAAUCCCACUUGAUCAUGGUGAAUAAUUCUUUUAAUGUAUUGUUGGAUCUGGUUGGCUAGUAUCUUGUUGAAAAUUUUUGCAUGUAUGUUCAUCAGGGAAAUUGCUUUGUAGUUCUUCUGAUUUUUAGUGGGGUCUUUGUCUGGUUUUGGAAUCAAGAUAAUGCUGGCCUCAUAGAAUGAGUUUGGAAGUUUUCCUUCCAUUUCCAUUUCUUGGAACAGCUUCAAAUGAAUAGGUGUUAACUCUUCUUUAAAUGUUUGGUAUAAUUCCCCUGGAAGCCAUCCGGCCCUGGACUCUUGUUUGUUGGGAGAUUUUUAAUUACUGAUUCAGUUUCUUUACUGGUAUGGGUCUGUUCAAAUUUUAUUUUUCUUCCUGUUUUAGUUUUAGUAGUUUAUAUGUUUCUAGGAAUUUGUCCAUUUCUUCCAAAUUGUCCAAUUUGUUGGCAUAUAAUUGCUCAUAAUAUUCUCUUAUUAUUCUUUGUAUUUUUGUGGUGUCAGUUGUGAUCUCUCCUCUUUCAUUCAUGAUUUUAUUUAUUUGGGGCCUUUUCUUUUUUUGAUCAGUCUGGCUAGGGGUUUAUCAAUUUUGUUAAGUUUUUCAAAGAACCAGCUCCUGAUUCCACUGAUUUGUUCUAUUGUUUUUUUUUUUUUUAUUUUGUUAUCAUUGAUUUCUGCUCUAAUCUUUAUUAUUUCCCUUCUUCUGUUGUUUUUGGGCUUUAUUUGUUCUUUUUCAAGCUCCUUUAGGAUUGUAUAUUUGAGGUUGUAUAGUUGAGACCUUUCUUCCUUCUUUAGGAAAGCCUGGAUUGUUAUAUACUUCCCCCUUAUGAACCCCCUUUGCUGCAUCCCAGAGGUUUUAGACUGUUCUAUUUUCAAUUUUCAUUGGCUUCCAUGUACUUUUUAAUUUCAUCUUUAAUUUCUUGGUUAACCCAUUCAUUCUUUAGUCAGGUGUUCUUUAAUUUCCAAAUAUUCAUGGUCUUUCCAAAUUUUUUCUUGUAGCUGAUUUUAAGUUUCAUAGCAUUGUGGUCUGAAAAUAUGCAUAGUAUGAUAUCAAUUUUUUUUUACUUGUUGAGGGCUUUUCUGGCAAUUUGAUUGGAUUUUGUUUCAUGUUUAUUUUUACUUUAUAUUUUUGAAAAAUACCUGAUUUGGUACUUAUUUUAUAUUCUUAAUCUGCUGAUUCUGGUACCUAAAGUCCUUGAGGUUCUAAAAUCUUUGAUUCCCUCCCCUCCCCACCCCCAAGCUUUUUGUUUCUAAUAGUUUAUUUCCAUGGGUGAUUGGUGACUUUAUAAAAAUUGCGAGUCCACACUUGAUUUCCUUUAAUCUGUUUUAAUCCUGAGGGUCUAAUUUUGGUUUACUUUUAACUCAAAACCUUGGUUUCCAGACAGGAUUUGUAUUAACUUCUUCAGAAGCUGGGGACACUAGUGAGUGGGAUGUCUUUAACCCCCUUAUAGGGUCCUGUCUUAAUGCUGGUAUUUCAGGUUGAGCUCCAUCCCUACCCAACCCCCACACCUUGCAGCACACCCUGGCUGUAAUGUCAUAGUUUCAGGCUGUUAUUGGCAUUUGUCCCCAUGGUACAUCUGAAUUUGCCAUAGGGUAUUGUUCUCUCAUAGUGGAAAGGCUUUCAGAGUGUCUAGUCCACCAUAACAUUAUUACAGUCAUUACAUUUGAUUUGCUUCACUCAUAGCAGAGUCCUUACACCUUAUUUUGCACUCAUUUUUUUAUAUUUUAUGCUUAAUUAUAUGAUUUUCUGAACAGCAAUGCAUUAAUAGGAAGGGAGGAAGAAAGGUUUCUAGAAGCAGGCUUACAGAGAGAAAGGAGAUUUAAUGCCUAAACUUGAAUAGCAAGAGAAAACAAAAAAUAGGAAAAACAACAAAACAUUGGAAUAAGAACUCAAAAAUGACAAAGAUUUGGGGCUAUUUGGUAAGAGCAUAAAUAACCCACAAGCAUAAAUACAGAAGCAAGAUGGCAUGGGUUGGGGCACACCUGGGCAGGGCCCAUACUCUACCUUAACAUGCCCCUUUGUCCAGCCCCUAACCAGAAUUUUCCUGAAAUAAAAAAGGAGAAAAAUUGUACUUCUUGGAAAUAUGAUAGAACAUCAGUGAUAUAAAUUGUUAAACAUAGGUGAUGAUUCUUUCUUUAUGGAAUUGUUAAAAAUUGCAACAUUUUUAUGAAGGUAAAAAGCAAAAUUCUGGAUGUCAUUUUUGGGGAGAACAACAGCGCAUGUCACUCUGGCUUCUCUCUAUAGACCCCACUACUGCGUUGAAGUCUUCAUGUGACUAUAGCACAGUGUGAUCAUUUUAUGUCUGCUUCAUGAUCCUGAAGAAAGGUUAAAUCAUGUUCUGUACAUUAUGUUAAAGGAAUGGGAAAGUACAUAAUGCCUUUUAGAAAAAUUUCUGCUCAAGAUAGCAAAACAGGAAACUCAUUAAUUUUUUUCUGGAAAAUUCAGAAAAGGAGUUUUUUUUUUUUUUUCUGGAUGAUACUUCCUGUAAGAAUUUAAAUAAUGAUUUUGUACACUUUUUUUCAACCACCUUUCUAUCAGUUUUUGCAGGAUAACAUGCUACCUUAAAAUUUAGUGGCUUUAAACAGCUGUUUUUUUCAGCUCACAACUUGGGGGUUUCUGCUGGUCUCAACCAGCUUCAGUCCUGCACUUCAGCUGACAGGCAGUGUCUCACUCAUGUUGUCUGGUCGUUGGCUCGUGGGUAGACUGUCCCUUGUCCAGCAGGUUAGCAGACCUGGUUCAUGUGGUAAUGAUUUCAGGGUUCCCAAGGGCUCUAGAAGCUCAGGUUUGGAACUCCGACAGUGUCACUUUUAGUCAAAGCAAGUCACAAGGCCAGCCAGAUCCAAGUGUUAGAGAAAUAGACUUCUCUUCAUGGGAGGAGUCACAAAGCACUGUGGCCGGUUUUGCAACCUAGCAAUGCCUCUUCGGUGUAGCAGAGCAGAUCAGUCUAACCCCAGGCUUUGCAGUCUACCAUGGGUCCUUCAUCAGGAACCUGUCACCCUGCCUCUGCCUCUGCACUCCCCCCCCCCCCCCCCCCCGCCCCCUUAUAAACCCUGGGUCAUGUUGAGACUUGAGAUUAACUCAGAUGGUAGUUCAAGAUGAGUUAAAGGGGGAGUUCAGACAGCAGGACCUGUUGGCUCUUCAGAAUUUACUCUUGAUCUGGAGAUGCUGAUUUGAGACCACUUACUUCCUCUGUAGGUUGUGAGUGUUGGGGGUUCCAGGGGGCUCCUAAGCGCGGGGUGGGGAGUAUAGUGCUGUGUGUAAGUUCAUUUGUCUGAACAGGUGCAGCAUGCCGCAGAGGUGAGGGGUGGUGAGGGGGGAGUGUGAGGACAUAACCUCCCCACUUGCAGGCCUGCUUGCGUUCUGCCUCUUCAGAUUGCUCUCCCUCCUUCCCCGCUCCGGCUCUCUGCGUAGCACCACAUGGUGGGAAAUCGCAACUUGUCACUUCUUUGGGUGUGAUGGCAAAAUCUUGGUUCCUUGAAUAGAACAGUUUAAUGUUAAUUUGCAGUCAGAGAAGAACUGUGGAAGUGUGUGUGUGUGUGUGAGCACGUGCAUGUGCGCAAAUGUUUGUGGGGGUGGGGGCUGAUGUUCCCAAGACUGGAUUCAAACUAAAUCAUGCUGCAUCUGUGCUAGAAGAGACAUCUACCUAAAAUCUUCCCACAUCCUCUUCCCACACUGUAAGCGCCAUCAUACUGUUAUCCCCCUUUGCUCAUCACUGGCCUUGAAUUUCUUCCCUCUCCAGCUGAAAUCGAGAGAGAUUCUCUUAACGUUUCCUCAGGCAAAUCCACCCCCAGAAUGUAACUCUAAUUUUCUCUAGUUACAGUUAGCAAACUCUGCCCUCAGUUUCUUUAUUUCUCCCCUUUUCCUACCACCUUGAAUCUCAGCUUCCUUUUUCUUAUUCUGUGUACACUGUGAUAGUUUUCUUUCUUCUGUAACACACUUCUAAAUAAACAAACAACAAAGGGAGAUGGAGGAAAUAGCAAAAUACUAAGCAAUUUUUUUGACAGGUUUUUGUUCCUUAUCAGAGCAUUAAGAAUCUAGCUAUAGGCAAUUCUGUUGUAGGUAAUGUACAAAGCAAGUUACACAGACAUGAUCCUUGGUGCUAGAAAUUUAAUUCUUCUAAGGUAUGUUCUUCUUGUAUCUUCCCUAAAUUCAGAGUAGCUUAUGGGCAGUCAUUUUGUAUUAGAUUGAAUUGUGUGAAAUUGCUGGCGCUCAACAAUUAUUGAUGUACAAAAAUGGCAGUUUCAUAUGGUUCAAGCUGUUUUGUAAGUCCACUAAUAUUUUUAAUCAGUUAUUUGGUGAGGCAUUCUUCUGCUCAGUCUACAUUGAACCAGAAAAGAAAUCACCCCUUUUCCCAUCUUGCCUCUACUAUUGCAGUUGUUUCCUAUAGGGUCUCUUUGCUUCUGUCUGAACCCCCGCCCACCUGCUAAUCAAGUCACUACCUUCCUUAAGAGCAUCGGUGAUGCCUAGGAAUAAGGACUAAAUAACUUAACCUGGCAUUACAGGUAUUUUCUUGUAUGAGGCCCCAGUUGACCUCUGCAGCCUCUUAUGCUUUCGCUGUGUCCCAUAUACCUUUGGUUUUAGCCACGUUGCUCCAAGAACUGAACAGGUGGAAUAAAUCAGGGCUGUCCCGUAUCUGUGAGUUUGUUUGUGGUUCCUCCUCCCAGAAUCCCUGUUCACUACUUGUCUUCUUGAGAAACCCCUGCAUACCCUGGGAAGCCUCACUUCUAACGUUACGUACUUUUCUCUGCUUCCUUAACCCACCCCAGAGUGGAUUAAUUGUUCCUUUUCUUGGAUUCCCAUUAUAUGGUACUCCUAAAACUGCUAUACCAUUUCCCCAUGAUAUUAGACAUAUUUGCACAUAUGUAUGCUUUGCUGGUUUUGAAUCCUCUAAAGACUUGGCCUGUAUUUUAAUCCUCUUUGUAUCCCUCGUGUUGCCUGGCCCAUAGCAAAUGACCCAUCAGUGUUGGUGAAACGGAUUCCCUGUCUGCAAAAUUCAUCAGCACUUUCAUUUCCUAUUCAGAAUGGAGAAGGGAACUUGGAGGCAAGCAAGUUGCUAAUAUUAAAGUUAAUGAGCUUGCAAACAUUCCAUUUAAGUUUGGAUAGAGAGAAAAUACUCAGGGCAGUUUUGUUUUCCCCAAACCCUUUACCUGUCCCAGCUGUGAUUAGUUAUUUAAGAAAAGAUUAAUAUAUCUUUAAUCCAACUACAUCACCUGUUUCUCACUUAUUUUAAGCAGCAGAGAACACCUUUCAGAUUUAAUGUUGGAACACACAAUAAUUUCUAUUUAAACAUCACUUUAUAAACAAUGAAUUUUUGUUUUUUCCAUUAAUCCAGUUUAACUUAAUCCUCACAGUACCUCAAGGGAAUGCAGCUGGCCAAGAAUAUAGUGGUUCCUCUGGGUGAUGAAACUCCCUGCUUAGUUCUGAGAGACUGAGAUGUUCAAAUUCAGAUUCAAAUUCAGUUUGCUUUAGAGCUAGCCCCAGAUGCUAACCCCUGAAUUAUAGGGCUUUUUUUGCUAGUUCUUUGACUCCUGGGUCUUAGCAAGUACCCGAGGAAGCUCUCUGUUUCGAAGUUGGGAGAGUUCAGCCACAGAAGGGGCCUAAACCGGUGACAUUGUGGCUAAGCUUCCUAGGGCCCUGCCAAGGGCAGUUAGAAGCCCCAGCACCUGGGGUGCAGAAAGCAUGGGUCUGACCCAGUGGGAGGCUGCAGCCUGAUUGCACACCUUUUUCUGAAAAGGCGAGGAUAGGUUGGGGGCGUGGGCACACAGUGGGAAAGGAGAGCUGCCGCAGGCAGAGCCACCAACGGCAGCAGCCACAGCAGCAGGACUGGCUGGGGGAGCACCAUUGCCAGCAGCUCUGUGCUAACGAUGCCCUCUUCUCCCCACUCAGCAGAAGCUCUGAGGCAGACAGCAACACAAAUGUCCCGAAAGGGAUCUGUGUGACUGCUCAUUUGUGCAGUGGUUUUCCAUUCUUCCCAUUCUAUACUCUUAAAGGAGUACAGAAACUACUAUUCAGGCUUUGGCUCUGGGGCCAUUUGGGGGGGACUCUGCCCCACCCUACCCAGUAUUCACUCUCAUUUCUCACUUCACGUCAUCUGGAUGAUCUCUUGGGGAAGGAGAGGUGGGGAAGAGUGAGUGUUAGAAGUUAGGUUGAUGGUAGUGUUUCUAAAGCUUGGAGAUUUAGACCAAUUGUUAUGUUGGGCUUGCCCAAGGGACCUGGACAUCACUGUAUUUUUUAAAAAUUGACUUAAGCCAAAAACAUGUAGGAUUUACAAACUCUAAAUCCACAAAUUCAAAUAUCUGUUUUUAUAAUUCAGAUUAACUAUAUCAUAUUUCCACAGAUAAAUUUAAUAUUGAGCAAUUCAAGAUAAACUCAGUCAAUCCAGAGUUUCUCCCCUUCCUACUUCUCUCCUCGAGGGCUUGUAAAUUGCCAGGAUCCUAUGUAUCAUCAGUGUGAUUGAGGUCCUAUCUGGUCUUUGGUCUCUGCUACAUUUUCUUGGCACCCACUGAGAUGUUUGCAAGUUCACGUGAUCCGGAGUGAGUUGAAUAUUCUACUCAGAUCAUUCUGUCCCUUUCUUAAGAAACUGGGAGGCCACUGAAAUUCACCAGUCCUAUGUAGUCUACUUCCUCAGGUCUCUUGGGUACCUGAAAAAAUUCCAUAUGCUUUCCUAAAGGUGCUUCAAGGAUGGGGAAACCAGGGUGUGGUGGGGGGCAGUGCGGUGCUACUUUAGGGCCUUCCUUUCUGUGCACUCACACUCAUUUUUACCCUGAAGCUGCUGCUUCAUGCAGACAUGGGGAUUUCUGGUGCCUUGACACUUUCCUGGGUUCUAUUUGGCCUGUAAAGCACAGAUCCUCACUGAUCUUAGACUCUCAAACUCUUUUGGAUUUUCUAACCUCCCCUUCACUAAUGUGAAGGCUUAGGGUGUGGCUUAGGGUACAGGCCAGGACUUUUUCUUAGAGAACUCUUGGCAUCUAAGCUCAUUUCUUCUCCCUUUUGAGUAUCGUCUCUCCCUCCCAGGGAUGGACUCUUGACUGAGUUGGGAUAGGAUGGUCUGAUCUUUCAUCUUUUCUACCUAAGCCUGUGUUUACAUGGAACAAACUUUACCCUCGGAAUCUUUGAAGACUUUGGUUUUGAUACUCAAAAGCCAAGAUUUUGGAACAUAAAAGUCUUUUUUUUUUUCUCAAAAAAUUGUCUCUGGUAAUCAUUUCAAAACACUUUUGAGACUCAAAAACUAUACUCUCCUUUAGUAUUUCUGUUCUAACUGAAAUACUUAAUAUAGAUGUGUAUUUCUACUAAAUGCAGGAAAGAGCCCUGGGAGAUGCCAAGGGAGGGAAUUGGCAAUAAGAUCAUUGGAAGUGUCAGGGGAACCACAGCUAAUACCUCACAUUGUUCUUUUGUCACACUUGUGAUAAGGUCUUUCUGUGUGUUUAUGAGACCCACAAUGAUAGAUCAUUUUUCUAGAUUCAACAUAUGGGAUAGUCUAGGAAGCAUUAUACAUUGUUGUAGCAAUCACGGAGAGCAAGGUCAUGAAGAAUCAGGUCUCUCACAAGAAGAUUGAGUCCCUAUUUCAAGCUUUGGGAUAUGGAUAGUACUCGUUUAGAUGAAUUUCACAUUGCAUUGGACCCCCUAACUUGCUCUCAAAGUAGGCACCAGAAGAAGCCAAAGUAUGCUUCAAGAAGAGCCAUUAUCAUCCCACCCAUCAUUAGAGCUUCAUGAGACAGACCAUGGUCAGAAACCUAUCACUGGGGAUGGGUGUUUAGGCCACUACUUCGGUUUUCACUUCCUUGUAAUAAACACGUAGUUCUCAGAGAACUUUACAUUAAAAGAGAUUGAUCAGUUAGGAAGAAUUGUGAAAAACCAUUUCCUAUAUGCAUGCAUUUUGCCUCCUGUCCUAGGAACUAAUGAGAAGGAAGUUGGUGAAUGGAACAAAUGACCAGAGAAGAGUAUACAGAAUGAGAGGAGAGCAGGGCCAAGGAUGGAAUGCCAGCACCAAUAAUAUUUAAAAGGAAGAAAGAUCUAAAAGUGUAUGGGGUAUAAUCCAAAAAUGGAAAAAGAGAGCCAGAACAAAAAACAAUCUGCUACAAAUAUCAGAGAAUACAUCUCAAGAAGGGGAAAGUGACCCAAAGUGUUAAAUGCCCCAAAGGAGUCAAGCAAGAGGACUGCAGGUCAAUUACUGGUCUUUAAAAGGUCAACAGCCAUAGAGUGGGGAAACUGGGAAUCAAACUACUGAGGAGUGAAGAUGAGGGAAUGAUGAAUGUGAACCAGUAUGUCCCAAAGGAUGUACUUUGCUAUUAUUGUGCCAAGGAACACGCCAUGAGAAGAGAGGUCCUGUUUGGUUUUCAGUGUCUUUGAUUAUAGCAGAUAUUCAAAUGUUGGCUUCCUUAUAAGUUCUUCAGAGACUGCUGUCCCAGUGUCCCAUUGCUGGGGCCUCCCUAAAUGUUCCCAAUGUGAGUGAUGACUCCUCUGGCUCGUCACUUUCAAUUCUUUCUCAGCCUUGAUGACAAAUCUAACUUCUGAUAAUCCACCCCACAACGCUUGUACUUACUGAGGUCAUAUCAUUAUCCUAAUUUGAAUGAACUCGUAGGUGAAGUCUCAAGUUCAGCUUCUUUCUACACGUGCAGAUGUGGUCCUUGAACAACAUACAUCUUUCUCUGCUGACAGUGGCUCCCUUGGGAGGACUUUCUCCUUGCCCCAUGGUCGGAGGAAGUUCCAGCUAACCUUCAGGCUUUUCCAGGAAAGUGCUAAUCAGGGUUAAGGCUGUAGUUAAAUGGUUUGAGCAAUCAAGCAGGGCCCUGGGACUCAGAAGACUGAGUGCUUGAUGGGAAACCAGAAGCAGAUUCCCAGUCACCUUGGUUGGUUUCAUGACACAUGUGUGUAGGUGUGUAUGUAUCUUGAUCAAAUCGUUAAUCCUGACACGUAAACAUAACAGAAGAUGUGUGUGUGUGUAACUCAGAUUACUUACCAAGACAUUUGUGGUGCCAACAUCUUUUGGUAGUUUUCUUUAUAUUCCCAGUCAGCCAAAUAAUUUAUUCCAGCCAUAUGCAAAAGAUGCUGUCUUUUUGUGGUCAUGUUUCCAAAGUGAGAGAAGUCUAAACCUAGAAUUUAGAUGUAGACUCUUGUAUUGGUGGCUGUCCAUAAUAAUUUUGCAGUCCAUUCUCCAUCUUUGGAUUUUGAAUCACCUUCAGUAUUAAUUGUGACAUUUAUUUGCUUGUUGCUGUUGUGCCCUCAACAUUUCACUUCUCUAGAUCAUCAUGAUGUGAUGUUUCUUCCUCAAAUCAAAAUAGAGAGAUACAAAUCUAUGAGAAGUGUGUGCUACUGGCAUUUAUAGAAUUUUUUCUAGUCCAGAUACUCACCAAAAUAUGCCUUUUAUUGGCCACAAAGCAUUUGAAAAGUGUUUUAUGUUUUAUCGCCACACACUAACUACUUUUUCAAAGUCUGACAUCUCCUUAUCUCUCACUUUUACCUCCAUGUAUGUAUGUGUAUUCACCCACCUGUACUUUUAUUCCCCGUUUUGAAUUUCAGGAGAGUUUUCUGGGCUCAGGAGGUUAGAAGCUGUGGGAGAGUAUCACUCACCUGUGCCUACAGUGUGCACAGGGCUCUUUCCUGCAAAGUUCUUCUGUGUUCAGUCCCUCCUCUUCUCCUCUCCUUUCCCAACAACCUGGACAUACCGCAAAGGAGGUGCUUCUCACCAUGUACCUCAUGACCUGGUGAUAUGUUUACACAUCCCCUCACCCUGACUGUAGUCUUCAUGAGAACAGUGACCUUGUCUUGUUAAGUUUGUAUUUCCUGAGUCAUACACAGUGCCUGACACAUAGUAGGCAUUCACUGCAUGCUUACUCUAGGGCUGGAUUUCACUUUGGUGGCCCAGUGUCAGGGCUUAGACUGAGAAUACUCCUAUAGUGAAGGACCUCCUGGAGUUUCCACUUACAUAUUGUUACAUAGAAUGGUAUGAUGUGUGUCUCUCCCUGUGUGUGUUCAGGGGAGUGUUGUAUUUGAGAAGGGACUAAAGAGAGAAUUGAAAAGAGAAUAAAAUUCUUUGGCCUUCCUGAUAAAUUGAACUGAGAAGGACAUGAACUUUCUCUCUGCUCUGAACUCCUUUUGCACCUGCUGCCUGUACCACUCAUCUUAGUACUUAAUUAGCACAUUGCCUUAAAUUAAAGUCGCCCAGGAUCAUAGAGGGGUCUAAUCUGCAUAGUUACCUCAGGAAUUCUGUUAUGCCAUAGCAGGUUACACGGGGUUCUGUCUUCACCAAGGCUCCUCAGUCACUGGGGAAGAACUGUGAUAGGAACUUUGGGGAACCCAGGAAAGGAGCUGAGAACAAAGCCUGCCCUGCAUUCCCUUGGGAAGGUGUCCUAGGAAGUCAGAGAAUUUAUCCUGAUGUGGGAAAAGUCAGAGGACUGUGCUGGACCUCGGCUCUCAGGGUGAGGAGCAAAUGAGCAAGGUUUCCAGUGGAUUUCUCUGGGAUUACACCAACUCUUCCUGCCUGGCCAAUCUCAGAGAUCAAUGGAGUUUCAAACAUUUGGCAAUUGAAAAAUGCCACAAAAACUGUUCUCUUGGGUGGGCAAACCUCCUUUUCACUUGGGGAAGAGGGCACAGGUACCUUCAGCAGAAACCGUUGGAGGGGGUUCCUAGGGGAGAAGGGCAGAGAUGUGUGGGCAGGCCCCAGGGCCUUGGUAAAAGGGAGCUGAAGCCUGGAGACCAGCACUCUUCUCUUACUUCUUUCAUUAAGCUUCUCUGACACAAAGAAAGAGGUGGAUACACUGAGGUCCUUUUCACCUGAAGGACACCAGUGGCGAUACUAAGUACAUUGCGAGCCAAGGGGAUUCUUGGUGCAGGCUUGAGUCAACGCCCUUGGUCUGAAAUGGACUGAGAAAUUAAGGUGACAGUUCUUAUUUAACCAGUUCUUUUAAUAAAUCUACAAACCAUAAAAUAAUAAGGAACAGAGCCUUUUAGUGAAAUCAUCACAGGGCUAAUUCCAAGCCUGAGCUUUAUUUGUUGUUCUGUUGUUGUUGUGAUUAUUACCAUCAUUAUCUUCCCUGGGCUUUCUCUGAGCAAGUGACUCUACCACCUGAAUUUUUAAAAACGCCAGUAUAACUGAUGUAUAUUAAACAGUUAUAUCUUUUAGCCAACACAUAUAAUUAAACAUACAAAACAUCCUGUCACACCCAUUUGCCAAGGCAGUUGCUAUGUUGCAAAUUAUGGCCCAACACAUCCUCUGGUUCUCUCCAGCAGCUUGUCUUCCUUGGGUUGCCUGGUGCUGGAUUUUCUUCUUCCUUUUGCUUCCCACAGCCAUGGUAGGAGCAGGGCACUUAGACUUUCCAGAUGAUCCACUACUUCUGGCUACCUGCACCAUUGCUUCCCAACAUUAUUAGCCUCUGUAAUCAAACAUUGACUGUAUAUGUGUCCAUCAUGCAUCCUCACUUAAGUUCUGAGGGCGGAGGCGCUGUUUGAUCUGUUGAGUGCCUAGCACGGUGCUGAGCAAAUCGCGGGUGCCCUGGACACACUAACUGGAUGCCAGGCUCCAUGCCAGAUGCCGGCUCUUUGAUUUGGCGCCUCUCAGGUCUGUUUAGCCACAGUUCACAUCCACUGAGAUUUAGACCCUGUUUUAUAACCCACAUUCUUCUGAUCUUGGUGUGAAGAAUGUGCUGGAACAGCUCUUGGCUAUGACCCACAUUAAUAUUAAGAGCCUCUAACAGUGGACAGAGACCAGAGGUGAGCUAGGACUUUCCGUCCUAGGCAUGAGGACAAUUCAAGUGUAUUAGUCCAUUUCCCCUGUCACCUGUGACUGUAAUGCCUAAUCUCCCCGCCCACCUCCAUCAGAGUGCCAUUCUUUUUAUUUCUCUUUCUCUCUGGAAUGGUGUAUUUUUUAAAUGUAAAUACACCCAGAUAGGUAACCUAGUAAGUAGUUACUAGCUUCUUAGUGUAAAUAGGCUUAAGUACCAAAUUCAAAUGGGAUUUUUAAGAUGGGAAUCAGGUAGAGAUUAAAUGUUUGUUUAAAUAUCUAUGGCUAAAGGACCCAUUCUACAUGAAGUGGAGACCAGGAUAAAUGAAGGCCACACAGUUUGAAAGGCCUUUAAGGAUGAACACGGUUCCUAAUUUGGCUUUAACUGAAGGGCAAUCAAUGUGUAAGUAGAGGUGGUGGGAGGUUAGUAUGUCCAACCUCAAAAAUAAAAACGAGGAACAGAAAUCAAAUGUAGUUUUCAGCUACCAUCUGAAGGGGAAUCAUAAUUAUAGCCUAGAGACUAAUGCUGUAGAAACUUUGAAGGUUUUCUUAAGAUUUGUAACUUCACUGUCUUUAUUGUCAGUGUUAGUUUUUUUGGUGUCGUUAUUUUUUUUUUUCAGUAGUUAUUAAAAGUAAACCCUUAAAACCAAAAGGGCCUUUAUGGUUAUUGUGGGGAAAACAAGGAAGAGGAAAGAGCCGAGCAGACCAUUUUCCACACCAGUGCCAGAUCUUUGGGAGAAAAACGACAUAGAUGAUUCAUAAAAUGAAAAGAACUGAAAAGGGGCCUGAGGAAGCAGACAUAAGUCUAAGAAAAGACUCUGGGCUUAAUAAUAGAAGGGCCCAUUUGGGGGCAGAAACCAAGGCUUUCUACAUCCUCCAGAAGGUAAAACAAAGCCAUAUUGAAGAACAGGUACUGAACUGAAGAGCAGGGGAAGUCUAGACUAGCAGAAAAAAGAGCUAGCCAGGAAGUAGGGGAGGUACUCUUUCCGUGCUGUUUUGUCUAAGGCUGGCCUCCAAUAAAGCUCAAGGGAGUAACUUCCCAUGAGGUCCAAGGGCCUCCAGAGUGGAAAGAAAGCUCUUGGUUUCAAUUCCAGGCAUGUACGCUUCUUCUUGAAGUGAGUUUAGAUCACGUUUCAGCAAGUGUCCUCCUGCAGAGAAAGGUCUUCAUGUUAAAAAUAAAGUUCACUGGAGACACACUUGAUAUUUCCAGUGGCAUUUCUACCUGUCCAGCCUGGGGAGGUCUUAGCUCCAUUGUCCAUCACUGCCUCACCACACUCCCUCAUGCAAUUCAAGUUGCUGGGUUUAAUCUAUAAAGUUUUAACAGUGUGGAGCCUAAUUGUUUCCAAGGUCACCCCUGACACUGUGCAUCCCCCGCUGGAUGGAACCACAUUCCCAGUGCUGAUCUGAACUUGAGAAGAAUAGAGGUAGAGUGUUUUUGAUGUGGGGUGAAAGGAUGAUGGGUGGGGGGGUGAAAAGGUAUCUUUCAACACCCUUUUCUUCCCCAUGGGUUCAAAUCCCUGAUGUGCUACAAACACAUCGCUUGUUCUUAGGCAGUGAGGUCAGAAGCUUGCCAUCUCAAUUUAUCUGCUUUGCUAUAGGAUUCAUGACAAGUUUUCUUCAAAAAGAAAAACGAACAGAGUGAAAAUAUGGUUUGGUUGCCUCAUAUCAGACAUAUAUAUAGCUUAUUGGAUAUGCAUUUUUCAUUUAUCUGUUUGUUGGCACGAAUGUUCCGUGACAAAUUUGAUAAAUAUAAUUCCCCUUUAACCUGGGUUGGGUAGAUAUUUCAGGCUUCCAUGUUGAAACAAAACAAUGAGAACUUUAAAUAUGCAUACUUCCCAAAUUUUGCAGUGAACUUUGGAUUUUUAUAAUGUGAUAUAUUAGCAGAGAUUGUAAAAAUAAAUGGGAGUGUAGUGAAUGUCAUUCAUAGAAUGCCAUCCUUUUAAAACCGAAUGGUACUACAACAUUCUACCUUAAUUCUUCCUGAAGUCAUAUUUUUUUAAUGUUUAUUUAUUUUGAGAGAGAGAGUGAGCAAGAGAACACAAGAGAGGUAGGAGCAGAGAGACAGGGAGAGAGAGAAUUCCAAGUAGACUCUACACUAUCAGCACAGAGCUCAACUUGGGGCUCUAACUCAGGAACCAAACCUGUGAGAUCAAGUCCUGAGCUGAGAUCAAGGGUCCGAGACUUUACCAGCUGAGCCACCAGGCGCCCCUGGAGGCAUCUUUUGAAAGUGUCUUGGAGAUGACUGUCCCUGAUUGGAUUGAGGGCAGAUUUGGGCACGUGUGAACCCUGUGAAGGAUACAGAUGCUCAACUGCUCCACCCCUUGGAAUGGGAACAGAAAUCUUGUGAGAUCUGCCUAAAUUGGUAGCAAACUAAUUAAAUGGAGAGGCAGAGUUACACAAUAAAUCUUGCCUGGUAUAAAGCAGGCUAUGUGUAGGAGGAAGCGGGGGCGCCCUGUGGAGGGUGGAGAGACAGGCCAGUUUAGCAGAGAUGGCACCACGGCAGAUUUGAUGAAGAUGCUCUCAGAAGUAAUUGUCGCUGUCGCUUUUGAACCCUCUGGAAAAAUAACCUGAAGCACCAAGAGAAACGAAUUUUCCCUCAAGUCACAAGGGAAGAAAUCCUCAAAAUGACGAUUUUAUUCCCCACAGCAGAAGAGAGAGAAAAAGAAAGAACCGGAAAGAAAGAAGUAUUUUGCUUUCUUCUGCUUGGAAGUUUGAAGAAUGAAGCCCACGGGCAGGAAGAGAGAGUCACCGGGUGGAGGGGAUGGACGCAAGAAGGAACUCAGACGGGCCGGUAUCUGGAGUGAUCUCACUCUCAUUUUCUACAUGAGUGCGAAUGCAGCACGGGACCAUCAAUCACAGUCACAGCCAGCUCAGAACGUCACCUUUCGCUGCUGCUCCUCUCACCUCCUCCUUCCCAGCCUCCUCCCCCUUUGAAAAGCAGAUGUAUUAUGUGUGACUAGAAAUUUGACUUGCUACUUUGAUAUGCUAUGUAAUUUAUUUUUUGUUGUCGGGCUGUUUUCUUUAAACUAGUCUUACAUUUCAGCUCCUCUGGGUGUUACUCCUUCUUUCUCGUGAAUUUCAACACACAAUUCGUGCAGACUCCCUUAGCAAACAUGUAUUGAGCAGGAACUAUACUGCUCUGUUAAAACCUGCUUAUAAAUCCUUCUUAUUGGAGUCUAAGUGGCCACUUGCUUAAAAUGCCACUUGUUCUUGGAGAUACCUGUAUUUUCAAAGAAUUUGAGGACUUAUGGCUGGGAAGUUAUGUCAGAGAAGAGAGACUUCCAGGGAUGAUUUUUGCUGGGGAGAGUAUUUGAGACCAGAAUUCUCCCUCACCUCCCAUAGUGCCAGGAGGGGGAAUGAUAGGGGGCCCCCAUCCUUCGGAAAGAUGGCCUUUGGCUGCUUCCUAGGGGGAGGAGCUGGGGGAUAAUGAGGCUACACUGUGGCAGGAAAGCAAAUUCCUUGUCUAAAACGGACUGUUUGGGGUUUUUCUUUUUAAGGCGUUGCUUCAUUAGUACAUCCCUGUCCGUCUCUCUGAUCUUAUACUUCUGGCAGGCUAAUCAGGAGGCUGUAGCUGAAUCAUCUAUUGUCCGUGGGGCACUGGCCACGCUCAGAUGCAUCGCCUUGUAUGAGAGCUCUUUGGCGAAACUGGUUGCGUUCUGCCCCGGUUGCCAUCUCCCAGAGCCCCGCAGCUGCUGGUUACCAUGAACACCUCCUUUUGGUUUUGUUCUCAGAAUGUCACAGUGACCGGCUUGCAGGUGGCAUCCUGCUGUAGAUGCUGGCACAGAUUUUAAACCAGUAUGCUGCCUGUACUGAUUUUUCCCUAUUAUUUGUUGCCAAUGAGUCAUUUUGAUCUACCUCUCCCUCCUCCUUUUUCCUUUCCCCAUGCAUUGGGCUUCUUUGGAAUCACUCAGGCUCAGUAAUUAGAGAAAGAAACACCUCCUUUAUGCUAAUCCCAAAAUUUCUAGGUUUCCUUGCACUCAGAUUCCGCCAUGAGCAGCCUGGGCCUUCUGCAUCUUGCUGACUCCCUCUAUCCCCGAGCCCAUAUGGCCCCGAGGCCAGCCAGUCUUCCCGGCUUUAUGCCCAGCAUAAACAUGAUUUUCUAGUCCUUCUCUUCUGCUGAAUCUGCUGAAUGUGAAAAUCACAUGGAUCCCACUGACGUCAGACUUUGGGUUGUAAUACUCCAGGAGCUACCAACCCCUGAACAGUCCCAUGGCCCUUACCUCUCUUGCCGCCAUUCAUCAGGAGCAAGUUGACUUCAUGUUGAAAUAAAUGAGUUUUUCAGGUGCUGCAAAUAACAUUUGUUUUCCGUCCGUGGGAAUAUGAGUGUGGGAUGGAGUUGAGAAGGACUGGGUUAAAUUUGGGGGGCCAUGAUGCUUAGUAAGGAGUGAAUAUGAUUUCCUAGGAAAAGUAACACAACAAAAUGAACUCUUUGGAAGUCCCAAGAAACCCUUCUGGAGCCAUGUAGAAAGGGUGUGACUUCUGUUGCAAGAGGGAAAUGUCAGUGGAGCAGUGAGGAGGCAGUGGGUAAGCAGAUAAGAGAGACAGCCUUAUAUUCAACAGUUGAGACUUACUUUGCACAGUACUCAUUCUAGCACCCAGAGAGCAGGAAUACAGCCAACAUUUACUCUAAGACAGUGUUCUAAGUUAAUUUUUACAUGCUUUGUUUCAUUUAAUCCUAUAGCCAUGCUACAGUGGAAUACAGUAAUAUCUCCACUUAAAGAAACUCCUUAUCUAAAAUGACACAGCUAGUGAGUGUUGAAACCAACCUUUGAACCCAGACAGUCUGUUUCCAGAGUUUCGCUUUUAACCUAUGCUAAUUCUAUGUAAUGACAAUACUUCUGCCUCAGUGCCUUUUCUAAUACUAGCAUAAAGUAUGCUCAAUGCUUAUUUGCUGAAAGAAAAUCUCUUCUCAAGAAAGAAAAUAAACCCAAUUAAAUCUUAUCAGAGGAGGGAGUGAAGGAUAUGGGAUGCUGUCAACAGUGACUUUUUCUCCUGAGGACUGUAGUCUCAGCUGGGUGGGGUGUUCAGGGUGGGGACUACAUAGCACUGUGGAAGGGACCAAGAUGUCUGCUCUAUGUUUCAAAGGACGUGAGUUAGGACAGAGUUGGGACACAGCUUCUCCACUCUAGCCACUUCAAACCUUUUAGUGUUAUUCCUUGGUCAUACCAUGCAGAGUUGCCCCUCCAUGUACUGGCUCUUAUCUCCUAUUGCUUGCAGUGCACUCUCCUUUUUACCCCACAGGACAAACAAUAAUUGUCUAAAGAUCACCAGUCCUAUAUUUUUUUUCUCCACUUCACCUUCUCGAUUCAGAAGUAGCUAUCUUUUCACAUUUCAGUUUAUAUCCAACUUUACCAUUUUGCCGUGUAACUGUUUACGAUCUUUUUUCCCCCACUCAAGUGAGCAUUUUGGAGGCAGGGUCAUAUUGCAUUCAUCAGUAUAUCCACAAUACCAAGAAUGUCUGUAAUACCAAGCAUAGUGCUGGAUGCAUACUAGAUGCUUAUUAAUACAUAUUACACUGAAUUUGGUUUCUCAUUUGCUGGACUUUUCUUAGUGCUCCAGAAGCUCAGCAGGCAUGCAUGGGUGCUCAUUGCCAGAACAAUUGCAGGAACCUCUCAUCUUAACUGGCCAUCAGCCACAGCCACCUACUGCAUGGGAAGGUCAAGUUGAUCUAAAGAUACAAGAUUGAGUGGAGAAUAGGCAUAUGAAAAGGUACUCAACAUUACUAACCAUUAGGGAAAUGCAAAUAAAAAGAACAAUGAGAGGUCUCCUCAUACCUGUUAGAAUGGCUAUCAUCAAGAAGACAAGGGGCGCCUGCGUGGCUCAGUUGGUUAAGCGGCCGGCUUCGGCUCAGGUCAUGGUCUUACGGUCCGUGAGUUCGAGCCCCGCGUCAGGCUCUGUGCUGACAGCUCAGAGCCUGGAGCCUACUUCAGAUUCUGUGUCUCCCUCUCUCUGACCCUCCCCUGUUCAUGCUCUGUCUCUCUCUGUCUCAAAAAUAAACGUUAAAAAAAAAAAAAAAGACAAGACACAACAAGUACUAGCAAAGAUGCGGUGGAAAGAAAACCCUUAUAUACGGUUGAUAGGAAUGUCAGUUAGUCCAACCACUAUAGAAAACAAUAUGGAGAGUUCUCAAAAAAUUAAAAAUAGAUCUACCAUAGGAUUCAGCAAUUCCACUUCUAAGGGUGCACCCAAAGGAAAUAAAAACAGAAUUUCACUAAGGUAUAGCCACACCCCUGUUUAUCACAGCACUAGCCAAGAUAUGGAAGCACCCCAGAUGCCCAUCAAUGAUGAAUGGAUGAAAGAGAUGUGAUAUAUAUACAUAGUGGAAUAUUAUUCAGUAAUGAGAAAGGAGGAUAGCCUGCCAUUUGUGACUACGUGGAUGGGCCUUGAGCACAUUUUGGUAAAUGAACUUAGGCAGAGAAAGACAAAUACUUUGUGUGUCACAUGUGGAAUAUAAAAAAAGUCAAACCUAUAUUAAAAAAAAACACAUUAAAAUUGUGGUUACCAGGGGAUGCAGGAUGGGAGGUGGUAAGAUUGAUGGUGUUUAAGGGUAUAAACCUGUAACAAGUAUUAAAUAAGCUGUAGAGAUCUAAUAUACGUUAUAAUAAAUAUAGACAAUAGUAUUGUAGCAUAAUGAUGUGAUAAAUAUUGCUUCAGUGGUAAUUAUAUUAUAAUAUGUGAAUGUAUCAAAGUAACACACUGUACACCUUAAAUUUACAAAGUGUAACACAUCAAAUUUAUUAAAUACAAAAAAAAAAUAAAGGUGCAGGAUUGAGGAAGAAUAUGUCAUGAACUUGACUAAAUGAUUUUCUUAACCAGUGUCAGCCCAUUGAACUGUCCCUUCAGUUUUAACUGUUCCAUCCAUCCAGCCAGCUUACUCAGCUUUUCCGGGGCCUAUUACUUGAUCUGAAAACAUUGGCAACAUUUUGACCUCCCAUCCAACUUUAAGCCUGUUAUAGAUAAUGCGUUUUCUCUGGCUUAGGUGACGCGUCUUGGUUAUAUCGGAGAAACAUUCGUUAUGUCUAUGUCUUGGCUAGUAUCAGCCAGAAUUGGGAAUGUGCCAGCUUUCACUUCAUUGCUAACAGACUCCCUAAUUAACCUGCUAAAUCUAGUGUACGAUUCACUGUUGUUUUAGAAACGACAUGCAUAAUAUGUACACUUUUUCUUCGUCUACGCUUUUUUUUUAUAUGUUCAGGUUAUUAGAUAGUCAAAUUCUCUUGGGUUGUGUACUGAACCUUCUCAAAAGAAGUGAAGAUUUGAGAAACACCCAGUGGAGUUUGGUUUCUUUUGACAAGACUCACUUUUGCUACAUCUUCCCCUUGAUAAUUGAGUUCUUCUUUGCCCUACUAUUUAAGUACAUCAACUCACUUCAUCUAAAGUGUCUCCUUGUAAUGUCUCCAUUCUUAUAAACCACUAUUUGUAAAAUAAAAGGCUGGAGAAGCCCCUUGGAGGAGUUUUUAAAAGAGGUCUGUAUAGUGAGAGUAGAGGCCAUGCCUUUUCAUGGUGCUUGGGCUAUGCAUAUGCAUGCCUCCCCUUUGUCAUGCUUGAAAUAAAUUUGCUACCUGUGUUUUUACUUCAUGCUUUGCACAUAGUGCCCCAAAUUGCCACUCUUUGGGAGGCUAAGCCAAGGACGUUGUGUUCCAUUUUCAUGAUGAAAUGCAGAUUUCCCAUUGAACCUAAUCAACCUUCAUUUCAAAAGGUUGACAAGGCAGAUACUUAAAGAAUUCAGUUGGUUAAAUUUAUGGUACUGAAAAGAGUCCAUUCCAAGAAUAUUCUCUGAUUCCUAAGCUGUGGAGUUUUAUUUGAUUGUGAAUUAAAUUACAUUUUUAUUCACUUCAAGUCCUUGCUUUGCAAUUUUGUGUCCCUCAAAGAGAGACAAACUUGUUGACAGUGUUGGUCUCUGUAACAUUCUGUCCUAGAUUGAAAAGAUCUACAGUCUGGCAGUCGUGCUUCCACUGGUUGAUUUUUAUACCAGCUAAUAGAUUUGAGAUUUUUACACGAGAGAGCAUGAUAUCUUUGUGGUCGGGAAGGAGAACUAAUGUACUUUGAAAUAUUAACCAUGUGCCAGGAACUGUGCUGGGUUUUAUUAUGUGAUAAAUUAUUUUCUAGAAAUUUUGUGGGUGGGUGCUAUUACCCUGGUUUCACAAAUAAGGGUAUCUGGACUCAGAGAGUCUUUUAAGUUCUUUGCCUAAAGCAGAUACUUAGCAGAAGAGUCAGCAUUUGAACCUAGACUUGUCUUUCUACAAAGCAGGCUUUUUUAUAUUUUUCAUUCUACCAAACGCUUCCUUGAAAAUCUGUGUUCCCUGGGGCAGCCCAACAGCACUGAGAGUAACGAAGGAGACAAAACUUUUGCCUGUUUACCCUCAACGUGACCUCAGAAUUCUUCUCAAUACAACGUGUAAGUAGGCACCACCAAUCAAUUAGUGUUAGUUAUGCACGUUGAGAGUUAUUUGGCAUUCCUGUGUCUAAAGUUAUCUCCACAGCAUGCAGGUGUGAACUUUAUUGGUAGACCAUAGGAUCAUAACCCUAACCUACUCUACCAGAGAAGCAACUCUAAUGAAAAGGGGAUGUUAAUACAGAGCUGCAAGAUAUGAAGCCAUUGACGUGGAGAAGCAGGGUGGGUGUUAACAAGAGGCAUUAAUGACAUAAAUAAGUGACACACAGAGAAAUCAUGUUGUUUGUCAUUCAUCCAAUUUUGAGUUCCUUCUGCUUAGAGGCUUAUUAACUUUGGAACUAUCUCAGAAAGGUAUAUAAAACCAGACUUCUCUCCCAUUCUAAUUUAUUCUUUUAGGUUAAAUAUGGUGUAUCAUCAUGCACCUGCAUGAAUCCUACAUGAUUGCUUGCUCCCUCUCACAUAGUUUGCACAUGCUCCUUUUUUUUAAGGUUUCAUUUUUAAGUAAUCUCUACACCCAACAUGGGGUUUGAACUCAAAACCCUGAGGUCAAGAGCCAUUUGCUGUACCAACUGAGCUAGCCAGGUGCCUCUGCCCACGCUCCUUAACAUCAUUGUAUCUUUGGUUACCCAUCCAGGAUCCAUCUUCUGCCUUCUAGAUCACAUCAGUAUCCCUUGCUCACCUCUUCCUCUAGCAACAUCAGCAUCCUAGUCAUACACUUUGAACAUUCAGGCCUUCGCUAGCAUGGGAGAUUUGUUCAGGAGUCAGGAUAUCCUAGACUACGGGUGGCACAUAUGGCUUGAGUCCCAAGGUCAAACAACAUGGCUUGUGGAUAACAUUAACAGUAAAAAUAUGCAUGCCUUUCUCCCCACACUCACAAUUUUGGAACACUUGACACACUAUGUCUGUGCCACAAGAAGGUUUAUUUUCCACAUAUAACUCAGCCUGCUUCCAAGCAGGGUUAAUAUUGUCAACAGCAAGGUCUUCAUUUUUCUGAAGUGCAGAAUAGGCUUGGUUAUGUGAAGUUGAGGGUACAGCCCUGGAGCCAAGAAGAAUUGCUUUGCAUAAUGAAGGGGAAAGAAAGUUGAAGUUUCUGGGGCAAGGAAAGAUCCAGGAGUAGUGACAAGCAAAAGGGCAGUUGUACAGUCAUAUGCACAGAGACCCUCAGGAUUGACAUGGCUGAGAGGGGAAUUUGAGGUACAGACAUGUUCCAGAGGGAACAUUUAAGAGGUCUGCAGUGAGAGAUUGUAUGUAAAACUUCUCUUUCAUCAUUUGUUGACGCCAGCCCCUAUUUUAGGAUGAUUGGAUUUUUGAUGGGAUUUAGAAAGGUGCUAAGUUCUAUAUCUAGGAUAAGGCAAAAACAGGGAGUAGGUUUGUGUGAAGGAGCUGCAGGAAUUGUGGAAGGGGGACUCAAUCCAAGAUAUUUUAUUUUAUUUUUUAUUUUAUUUUAUUUUACUUUUUUUUUAAGAGAGAGAGAAUGUGUGGGUGAGCAGGGAAGGUGUGUGGGGAUGUGGGGAGGGAGAGAGAGAAUCCCAAGCAGGCUCCACACCUAGUGGAGCUUUGCCUUUCCAGCACUAGGUGUGGAGCCUGAUGUGGGGCUGGAUAUCACGACCGUGAGAUCGUGACCUGAGCCAAAAUCAAGAAUUGGAUGCUUCACCAACUGGGCCACCCAGGUGCUCCUAAGAGAGACAAUUUAGAGUUUGUAUGGGAUUGUUUGAAUCAUCAAGGUAUCAACAUUAUCAAGUUCAGCCUUUCCCAGUAUGGUUCCUUGCCUAAAGCAUAGAAACACAGAAAAAUGAUUUUAGGAACUGUUUUCUCAAGAUUGAUAUGACUAAUAUUAUUCUAGAUGCACUGAAGAGCAGCCAAAUUAUUACAUACCUUGUGGAUGCUUUAGGCAACAUUUGUCAAAGUAGUACUGGGACCACAUUCAACCCACUGCCUGUUCUUGCAUUUAUGUAUCGUCUGUGGCAGCACUCAUGCUACAGCAGGAGAGUUGAGUAGUUGGAACAGAGAACGUAUGCCCACUGUUCUGUGUUCUUUUACGAGGUGAUCAGGUGCUGCCACCAGAGGAGCCACAUGAGAAAGACACCAGAGUGCUCAAGAGGCAGAAGACAGGAGUGGGUGAAGUGCUUAGGUCACUGCCUUACUAGGUUUCUGCUGGAAAGGCAAAGCAGAAUGAACAGUUUAGGAUUGGUUAGUUUGAUGGCUCUAGAGUGCGUAGUUUACAUAUCAGAAGAAUGUUUCCAGUUGGGCCCUUCGUUUUCUCUAAGAAUUGGCUAGUUCCGGGAUUGGCAUCCAGAAAAUACAUCCAGAAAAGUUUUUUUAAGGUGUCAAAACAUUGAAAUAUGCAUAAAAUUAAAAAUAUAUACAAUAUACCGACAAAGUCUAAAAUAUGUUCUGUCUGGCUCUGUAAUAAAGUUUGCCACUGCAUGCUUUAGGGCAGUAGAUCUUCAUUAGGUCUUCAUUUUUUAGUGAACCCCUGUUGAAAAAGGCUGACCUAGUACAUCUGGGUCACCAGAUGACCAACUUAGAAUGAAAUCGCCAACUUAGAAUUGAGCUGGGAUUGUGUCCCUUCCAAGAAUGCCAAGUUCUCAGAUAUGUACAGCCAGCGAGUAGUUAUUUAUUACAUAGAGGAUGCUAGCCUUCACCGAAGACUAUAAUUGAGAUUAAACAUAUCUGAAAGAAUCUAGAGCAAAAGGAAGGAAAUGUGGUUGCAACUUCUCCAGAAUGCCGCUCAGUUGAUGCCCUGACCUAUGAAUUUGAAUCCAGCUCAGAAUAGAGUUCCCUUGAAGGAACCCCUCAUGGCCAUGGGUUUGUCAGAGCUGAGGGGAAACUCAAAUAUACACGCAAUCCCCUUUCUCAGAAAGAGAGGGUUCAUUCUCCAAAUGAACGCUAAUGCGGUGAUGGUAGUCCCAACCAUCAGUAUUUGAGACCCCCUUUGACCCACCCUGCAUAUACAGAACCCCUUAUUUUGCCUUUUCCCAUUGGAGCCUGUGUACCUGGCACCAUGGACAAAGUUGAUGUGGGCUGUUUAGAGAUACAAUCUCAACUGGGGCUUCGUGUGCAGAUAUUUACCAGUCCUGUGCCUCAGUGGCCCCACCAUUGCCUUUCUCUGGGGCAUUGUUUAAUCAUAAGAAACUAUCCUUUGAGAAAGCUUUUACCCUUGCCCUGACAUCCCUUUUAGCUAGAGCAUUACCCUUGGAAAGUUCCUAAACUUAAAGUUGUGGUUGUCAUUUCUGAAGUCUGUGCCCCUAAGCACAUCUGCUAUGUGAUUCUUAUUUUUCCUGUGCAUUUGGAUGUUACAGGCCUUAAGUAACGUUUCUUUCUCUCAUAAUUUUUUUCUGUAAUAAUGGGAUAUGCCUCUGGUGCUUCCUUUUCCUUGCUAGUUCCCCUGUGCCUUAGAAAGUCCUAGCUAAGGCUUUGACAGUUUAACCUUCUUCUUUAGUUAGUUCCUUUCCUUCUCUACCCCAUGGAAGGCUGGCGAUGUUUACUGGACUGAGUGCUCUCUUUUCUCCUUUUUGAUUUCUGGCCUAGACAGGAGUGAUACUCAAUAUUUAACCUUCAGUAUAGCACAGGCACCAACCAAUCAAAAGAGAUUCUAACUAAUUGAUGCAUAAGGGUGUGUUGUUAUGAACCAGUGCAUUGUUGCUGAAUAUCAGUCCAGCCCUAGACACUGGCUUUUAAAAAAUUUAUGCUUAUAUAUAUAUUUUUUCUUCUGGGAGCCCUUACAGUGAAACAUGAAAAGUCCGUGUGUUCUAGUCAAUAAGAUCAUCUAUUUUCAAGCAAAUCCCCAUCCAACUUCUUAACCCUGAGUUGGUUAACCUCAUCUAGGAAAUAUUAUCUCAGCUGACCAAUAUCUAAAGUAGUCCAGGAUUCCGUCUUUUGUUGUCUUUUCCAGGUCCCUGUUAAUAUGUUUUAUUUGUUCCUCUCAUUUCCUUAGAGGCCAGAUUUAACACAAUUUUGAGCCUACUCCAAUAAAUACCUGCCCUCAGUGGUGUGCUGGAGCUGGCUCACGUAGGCUCACAAGAAGCUUCAUUGUGCACAUCUCUUCCCAAGUCCAUGUUCAGUGAUAUUGGCUUCAAAUCAGCCAUGGAGGGAGUAUUCAGAAAUCGGCAAACACUACAAAUAAGGCUAUUACUUUUUUUUUCUUUCUGGAGAGUGGGUUGUUACACAUUAACCAUCACAAUACUGCAUCCCCAACUAUAAUAACUAAGUGACCUUGAAACUCACCCCCAGUUAAUGCUGUGAGUAUUUAUGUUGGUCUUUAUUAAAGUUGUCUAUUUUUAUUCUGAAACCCUUUAUAUAACUGUCCCCACGCUCAAGAGUUUUUCCCUAAUUCCUCUUACAAGCAGAGACCAUCUUCAUCUGAGCAUUGGCAUUGAGCAUUUUGUAUAUCUAGGCUCCCUUUAGGGAAACACUACUGGUCAGACUAGGCCCUUGCUCUCUUGUUCUGUGGAAUUUCUUUGGACUAGAACGAUCCUUUUGCGCAUAGAACAAGUAAAACAUCCCUUCACCUUUCUGAAUCCUGUCUUUUGGAGCCACUUGACCCUGGAACAUCUGUUUUUCCCUUUUAUAUCUGUCCAUUGGCCCCAAGAUUUUCUUUUCUUAUUUGGUUUGGUUUAUGUAUUCCUCUUAGAUCUCCUAAGGAAAGCUUUUCUUCCUUUCUCUGAGAGCUCCUGAUAUGAUAAUAAAAUAAUGUGUAUUUUUAAAGCAAAUUAGGGGUCCCUGGGUGGCUGAGUCAGUUAAGCAUCUGACUCUUAAUUUUGGCUCAGGUCAUGAUCUCACAACAGUAAGAUCAAGCCCUGCAUCGGGCUCCACGCUGGGCAUGGGGCCUGCUUGGGAUUCUCUCCCUCCCUUUCCCUUUGUCUCACUCCUGCUCUCUUUCUCUCAAAAAAUAAAACAAAAUUAAAAAUUAAAAACAACAACAACUUAAGUUUCUUUUCUGCUCAAACUUGAUUCUUUGGGACUAUUCAGAUAUAGGCCUUUUUUUGAGGCUUUUUUUCAAUUCCUUAAUCCAAGAAGAUACUGUGUCUUUCAUGAAAUAAAAAUGUCCAUUGAUAAAAUCUACCAUCUUGGGAAUCUAAUGUAUAACAUGGUGAUUAUGGUUAAUAAUACUGUGUCAUACAUUUGACAGUUGCUAAGAAAGUAGAUCUUAAAUGUUCUUAUUAUGAAAAAGAAACGGUAAUUAUGUGACAUGUCAGAGGUGUUAGCUAGCAGUAUAGUGGUAAACAUUUUGCAGUAUAUCUAGUAUACCAAAUCAAGGCAUCAUACACCUUCAACUUGCACAAUGUUGUAUGUCAAUUUUGUGUCAGUAAACCUGGAACAAAGUAAACUCCACUGUCCCUCUGUAGAUGAAGGCAAAGUCUGGGUCUUUAAAACCUGAAGCCAUGGUCAAAACUUAUAUAAUUAAUAAAUCUAGAGCCAACCAGUAUUAUGACCCAGAGGACAACCAUUGGAAACAUAUAACAUGCUGCAUAAUCUCGGAAGUCGCCCCUCCACUUCUCACACUUGGCUCUGAACACAAUUCAAAAUAGCAUAAAAGAGCUAAUUCCUAGAAUGCAAUUCACCUCUUUUCUCCUAGUCAUCUUUCAAGCGUAAACUUAAAUAUCACCUCUAUAAAGACUUCUCUGACUCCCAGUGGCAGAGUCUUCCUUGUGUACUUUCUCCAUUCUGUUUUAUUACACUUGUAUUGUGUAAUAACUCUUGUUCUUCCACAAUACUAGUAAGUCAUCUUAGAUCAGACACCUUUUAUUCUUCUUUAUAUUCCCAGAACUUAGGACAAGACAUAGCUGGAACUUCAUAAUGUUUGAUUAGUGAUAGAAUGCAGCAUUUUUUUCUAGCAUUUACAAGUUUACUUAAAAAAUUAAGAAGUGUCAUGGAGAAACUAAUGUCAUUGGAUUCAGUGUUCCAUUUGAGAGCUGUUGAUCUUUUCUCUCUGGUCCAGAGUAGAACAAACUAACGGUAGUUAUGCUAUCAUCGAGAGGAGUCUUGGUUUUCUUGUCCCUCUCUAGUGGGCCAAAAAUGUGCUUUGAGUUUUACAACCCGAUGGUGAUGGGAGAUAGAUGCGGAGUAGCAUCUUGCUUCGGUGAUGCAGUGACUUAGCCUAAUCGAUUAGCACACCCAUUCUUUUAUGGCCUAUUGAAAUGAAUUUACGACUUCAGAAAAUCUGGAUUUCACUCUUGGCUGUGCCAUUUAACGCUUAUGUGUCAUCUAAUCUUGGUGGGGUCUGGAUCCAUAUCCAAGAGUUAACUUGAGGAUCAUACAGGAGAUGUUGUAAACAUUUAUUCUCUAGAAAUCAGUGUUUUUGUGUGACUGACUAUUGCUAGAGUCAGGGGGAACUAACUGUAGAUGUGGACCCUGAAUAAUGCAGAAACUCCAUGUAAUUAUGAGACAUGUGCCAUUUCUCCUCUGACAUUUCAGGAUAUUCAUCUUUCUCAACACAAAAACAGUUAACCUGGAAAUGGCCAUGCUUCAUGGCUCAUCCUGAAGUGAGUUUUUUUUUUUUUCUUUUUCAAAAGUUUGAUACAAUUUCACAAGCUUCUCUGCGUCUAAGAACACACAGGCUUUUUUUCCCCCCUCCAAGUUCCCCUCUCAAAUAAAAUACUUCAAUCUCUUUCUUGUGAUUGUGUAACUCAGAAAUGUCUAAAGCUAUAAGCUUCAAACUUUGCAAGGUUGUCAUCUUUACUGUGAAAGAAAAAAACAAGGAAAAUUUGAAGGAGAAAACUUCCACUGUUUUUUUUUCUUUUAAGUUAAAUAUAAAAAAUAACAUGGAGUUGUUAUUUACAUGUUUUCAUUCUCCUUGCUAAUAACAUCAUUGUAUUGCCUGAGGAGAUCCCAUAUCACCAUCCUAUUGACAUACAGGAUAAAGACAUACUCCUAUUCUAAUCAAGGAUGAUACAUAAAGUUUGUUCUAGUCUUGCAAGCCAUAAAUGUUUCCCAUCUUCUGUUAGACUAAUUUGUAUCCAGGUCUAAUAUCAAAGUCAAUUAUGGUAAGUAAGAGAGGUGGUUGUCUUCAGGGUACCUUGCCACCCCAGAAUCCUCCCCUAUUUUAGCACAAAUGAAAUUCUAACUUCAGAUUUUCCUUUAUCUAAGCAGCUAUACUUUUUGCAAAAAGACAAAUAGUGGGUAUUACCUGUGGACCACUCUGAGCUAAUAAAGAAUCUGAAAAUAUAUUUAAAAUUUUUUUUAAUGUUUGUUUAUUUUCAUGAGAGAGAGAGAGUACAAGUGAAAGAGGGACAGAGAGAGAGAGAGGGAGGAAGACAAAGAAUCUGAGCUGUCAGCUCAGAGCCCAAUGUAGGGCUCGAACCCAUGAACUGUAAGAUCAUGACCUGAGCUGAAGUCAACACUUAACUGACUGAGCCACCCAGGUGCCCCUGAAAAGAAUUUUUGAAGCGAGUUGGAGCAGGUUGUAUAUAUAUGUAGACUGUGUGUAUAAAGAUUAGCAAAAAGGGGGCUUAGAAGGUAGAACGAAGAGGAUGAAGAGGUUACCAUUUAAUUGACCUAUUUUAUAUAUGAAGGAAGGGACAUACAUGAAAACCUUUGUGAGUAACUUGUUCUGUGAGUGUUCUACAAGAUGAACAAACAUUUAUAAUAAAUUUUAACUUGAUAAACAAGUGAUAUCUUACAAUAUGAGUAGUACAUGAUACAGAAUAUCACAUGAUCACCACUGAGCCAAUCGUUCUUCUCUCUCUCUCUCACUGUGGGAUUGUGGGUGAUCAUCUCACAUGCUUGGAUGCUUGGUCUCAGGCCUCAGUGUUUGGUGAUUUUUCAGAACGUUGGAAGUUGCCGACAACUGGUUACUAGUGUAUUUUUUGUCACUUCAAAGCACCUAUGGACAGUCCUAUGCUUUUCUGUACAAGAGUAAGCUUAGGAAUGCUUUGCUUCAUUCUAGGUAAGGCUUCCUGCAGACCUUUCUUCUGCUGCCUUAUUGCCAGUCAUAUUAAAUACAGUAUGUGACAGAAAUUUAUUUUUUUAUUUUAUUUUUUAUUUUUUAAAAGUUACAUCCAAAUUAGCAUAUAGUGCAACAAUGAUUUCAGGAGUAGAUUCUUUAAUGCCCCUUACCCAUUUAGCUCAUCCCCUCCUCCCACAACCCCUCCAGCAAUCCUCAGUUUUUUCUCCAUAUUUAUGAGUCUCUUCUGUUUUGUCCCCCUCCCUGUUUUUAUAUUAUUUUUGUUUCCCUUCCCUUAUGUUCAUCUGUUUUGUAUGACAAGAGUUUAUUAAUACCGUACUGUUGUCAACAUCCAUGUGAGUGUAUACAGUAGCCCCCACGCAAAAAAAGAUUCCAUUGAGCCAAUAGAUAGCAGUGAUUCCAUUAGUGAUAGUGAAAGUCGUCGUAUACAGUAUGCCUCCCUCACACCAGCCACAAAGGUUUUUAAAGGUCAGUGCAGGUUAAUUUAUUUUUCAUUAUAUUUUGUAUUUUCUUUAUUUUGUAUUAUAUUACACUAUUGUAAUCAUUUUUAUAUGAAUAUUUUUGCAUUGUGGAACGAAUCAUCUGAGUUUCGAUUGCUUCUUAUGGGGCAAUUCACUUUGAUAGACAAGUGCUUUGGAUUACAGCAUGUUUCCAGAACGAAUUAUGCUCACAAACUAAGGUUUUACUGAACUUAGCUGCAGUUCACUUAUAAGGAAUGAGAACUUCAGAGGGCAGUCUCAGAGUAUAGGGAAGAGCCUGGAAUAGACAAAGCAACAUGGAAUGUGAGAUGAAGAACAGAGAGAUACCCGGAAGACUUACAUCUUUGUCUUUGUCCAAGAGUGACAAACAUGUGAGGCAUGGCAAGUUUGACUAGCUGAGGUUUCCUAUGGAAUGAUGCCCAGUGUCCUUACCAGAUUUAGUUAGCAGCCACAUCUCCAUGUACCAAAGACAGAGGAGAUAGAGGUCCAGGUGGCCAGUGAACCUCCAGGUACUCUUUUGCCUAGAUUUCCUCACCAAGAGCAAUUCACAGUUUGUAUUGGCUAGAAAAAAAAAAACAAGAAAGAAAUUUAAAAACAAAAGAUCUAGUGUUGUUGCAAAAGACGUGACUUACAAAUUCUGCAAUUUGACAAUAAGUUUCAUAUAUUAAAAUAAAUAAACAAAAAAAAUUUUUAAUAGAAUUCUAUGUAUGGGGAACUCAGAGUUGAAAAAGAAUGUUGGGUAUUUGGGCUGCAGGAAACUUGCUCAAGUCAUAUUAGUAGUGGACGUUUCUUGAAAGGGCACAUGUGACAGUAGAGAAGACAGUAUGCUCAUGGGAAUCCACAUUCCUAGGUAGUGCUAAGAACUAGAGUCCUCUCUAGUGUUCCCCUGGGAGUAAGAAUCUACAGUUCUGCCCUAACACCGUUAACAAGUGUCCGGUACUUUCUGUUUAUGCUUCUCCUUGUGUCUUUUCUCAUUGCCCAUCAACUCUUGGGAUAUCCAAAGUGACUAGACAGAUUCUGGAGCUAAAAUACCUAGUUAAAAUACCUAAUUCUAUUCCUUACUAAUUGUGCAUGUUACCCAACCUCAGUCUUCUCAUCUGUAAAAUGGAGGCAAUAGUGAUACCUCAUUGGUUGUUUUAAGAACUAAUGAGUUUAUAUUCUAAAGCCCUAUUGCUAAUAUAUUCUAUCUAUUUUCCCCUCUUCUAACUCUGGAGAAAGAUACUAGAUUUCCUAGAAAAUUGUAUUACCUCUAUUAUGUAGGGUUUUUUUUUUUUUUUUCUGAGAGUAUCAGAUGGGUGGUGACCAGUGACUGGCCACACUUGGGUCAGGUUUCUGUGAUGUCCAGUCCAUGGCCAACCCUUGUUUAUAAAACACCCUAUGACCAUUUUCAUUAGGAAAAGGCUGUGGGUAGACAAUUUUCCUUAGAAGGGAUUGUGAGUGUGGCAAGCUCUGACUGGCAAGCCCAUUUUGGGAAGAAUUAGUGUAAAAAGGAUGCUUUAUCUAAUUAACUAAAUCUGUCCAUCAUGGUGCUAUUAAAGUCUCUGACCCUUCUUUCUUUCUCAUUUAACUCAUGUAAUUAGUUCAAUUAUGUGUUUCUUCAAUUAUUAUAAUUAUGUAUUUUUUAUUGAAGACAUUCUUAGAUGGUAUGAUGUUGACAAAAUGAUCUUUAAGCUUCCUUUCCAUCUUGAUAAUUCAGUUAGGAUGUCUUUACAAUGAUUCCUGUUAGUUUGGAGGGCAAGGGCCUUGUCUUCUUCUUUAUGGCUACAUUCCCAGCAUUAGAAUAGUGCCUGACAUGUGAUAAGUGCUCAAUAAAUAUUAGUUGAAUGAAUGUAUAAAAAAGAUUUGGAAGAGGGAAAAUGGUCAGGCAGAGUGAUACUGGGCAUACAUUUUAUGGUCUUUCUCUAAUGUUUAAUGUCUAAUGUUUUUCUAUUAUAAGAUAGAAAAUUAUCCAUCAUUCAUUUUUUACUGGUGUAUUUUCCUUACUGGACCAAAAUAAACCUUCUGGAGGUCAGUUCAAUAAGCUAAGCCAGGCACUGAACAGGCAGGAAUAGAGGAUGGAGAUGUUUACACCCAGAAGUUGAACUGGUGUAUUGCUGAUAACUAGAAAAAGCAUCACCGAAGUCACUCUGCUGUUGCCAUGGAUACUAUCUUGGGUGCUCUGAGAUGUCAUUACACAGUGGAAAGAGUCAUGCAGAGUUGGGCUCAAAUCCCAGGUCUGCUCUUCUUUGGCUGUAUGUCCUUGAACAAGUUAUUUAAACUCUAGAGCCUCAAUUUUCUUAUUUGUAAUAAAAUGCAGAGUUGGAUUGAAGAUGAUAAUGGUGGUUACCAUGUAGUAAACAUUUUCCAUUACCCAGCACUAAUCCUUCUCAAUUAUUCUAUAAGGUAGGUGUUGUUAUUCCUAUUGAUAGAUGAGACACCCAAGGUACAGAGAGGCAAACUAAUUCGUCAAGGUCAUAACAACUGAUAAUAGGUGGAGCUAAGAUUUAAACCUGGGUUUGGCUUUUGCCUCAUACGUUGAAUAGAGAUAAUUUAUGUAAUGUACCUGGCCCAUACGGGCAUUUAAUAAGUGGGAAUGUUAAGAUUACUUCUCAGUAUAUACUGCCCUCGGGACUUUCUCAUCCUCAGUGUUUCUUCCCAUGUCAGAUUUAAACACCCUCCUUUCCACCUCACCCCAUUUGUUUACACAAACUCAUGAACUUCAAAGACCUUGUAAAUGAAGUAGACAAGAAGUGUCUACUUUUUAGACACUGCCGGGAAAGGACAGUCCAUUUCCUUGGUUUAAGAAUCAUUUAGGGGUUCACAUGUAUCUUAUAGUGGUGUGCUCAGAUCCCCAACAACUGGGUAAAAAUGGGUCAAGUAGGCCUUUAUCCCUAAGUAAACACAGAAAAGUGGGUGUUCAAACCUUUCUCCCACUCACCAUCGUGCAUCAGCAUUGCCUUUUCAAGUGUUCUGUGCUAUAGCCAGGAAAGAUUCUUUAUAAAACCAAAUUUGAUUCUGUUCUCUGGAUCAAAGAAAUGAUUACACCCUGGAGGGCUAAAACUAUUAUACAUGAGGAAAGAGAAGAAGAGGGUAAACGCUGAGAUGGGGAAUAAUUACUGCCAAAGGUGAAGGAGAUUGACUGGGAGCAUGAUACCUGUAUAAUUGAGGCAAAGUGAAUAUAAAAUCUAUGCUUGUUUCCAGCAUGCACAUUCAGAGGUCCUUGGCGACUGGCGUGUACAGCAGGUGGGGUGCUUAAAUGUUUGCUUCUCUUGGAUGUUUGCUUUUAUAAUCUGCUUUUAUAAGGCCUAUUUAAGGAGUCCACUUUACUGCUGGCAGGGGAGUGGAGCACAAUAAAGCUAUAUUUAAGAAACAAUCCCAGUUAUCUUAAGUUUCUUAUGGCAUUCUUUGAGUGUUAAAUCUGCAGACGAAGGUAAUGUGCAACUCUCUCCCGACCUUAAAAAGAAUUUCUGGUUAUGGUUGGGUUUCCCAACAGAAGCUCAGAUGGUGGGGUGAGCGGCAUGGGACACCAGAGAACCUGACCUGGAUCUAUCUACAUGCGUAAUUUUCUGCCUCUGUGCUUUCUGUUCUUUAUUGGGAGCUGGAGUUUGUUUUCUGACUGCUCUAGGAACUUAUUUCAGGGUCUCCUUCUGGACUCUGGGGAGAACUGUGUAUCCCAGCCAACAAACUGUAUUUGACAACUAAAGGGCAUAUCAGGGUUCUAGUUGAAGAAAUUCUGUCUCAGAUCUUGGCUUCUUUACCUACCUUCACUUUCUAGAUUGUCAGUUUCAUUUCCAUGAUGAGACUAUGCUCAGUCUGUGUGUGAUAUGGCUUAUCAAAGGGAGUAUGCCGUUCUCUGUGAAGUUUAGAGCUCAGCCUGGUGUUCCUGAUCCCCUUUCCUCCCUCUUCUCUUUUUCCUCUUCCUGGAAGUCCUGUUUCUCCCCCUCUCCAUCCGCUUCCUCCUCUUUCUCUUCUUCCGCUUCUUUCCUUGGUGUCCUUGCCCACACUUUUAUUUCUUAUCUAUUCUACUUUCUUCACUUCGUUUGUUACUUCACCUUGAUUUUUUCCUCCAUAUCUCAAGCCUAACUCAUCUUCUGUAGUUUUGUCCUGCAUGUCUGUUCCUUCCCCCUCUAUGAUAUUUUCCAUUUUCUCAAAGUAAUAUUAUUUAUCACAUUUUCAAAAGAACAUGCAUCAUUCAUGGUCAUGAAACCCCCAGGGGACAGAAGCAGAAGUGAAAAGCUCUGUUCCUCAACACACAGAUGGACUGACAAGAGGGGAGGACUAGCUCCGGUACCCCAGACAAACUAGCCUGGGCUGAGUGCUCCCCAGUCUCCUCUGGAUGCUUCUGUGGGUCCCACUCAACAGGAGACAUUCACCUGUCUGACCCUUUAGAGCAAAACUUUGAAUUGAUUUGUCUGCUGGUUUUUGUUCCCACCCCCAGUAAGUCUGUAAUUAUUUGCUCUUGAGGACAAGCAUUAAUAUUGUUAAAAGUGCUUGCCCACUCACCAUGCUCAGAAACAUAACGGGAGUGGCAGCAGAGACAACACUGCAAAUCGUUGUUGAGGAAAGCUUUUAUUCUGAGAAAAGCAGAAAAUCGGUGGUGGGAGCCAGACAGAAUGAGCACUGGUCAGCAAAAGAAGAAAAAAAAAAACCAUGGGGUGCAGACCUCAUGAAAGGUACCAUGAAAAGUACUGCAGCCAGAAUGAGUAAAGAGGUAGGAGCAAAGCCCGUGUGGCUGGUGAGGGACUGACACAGAUGGGCAGAGCAGGAAGGGGAAGAUUGGUGGGCAAGAGGGCCAAGUUUGGAGACCUAUGAUAUACUUAGAAGUGCACUUCCCAGUCCUCCUUCAAAGAAGAAAUUGUUGCCCCCGCUGCAGGGAACGCUCUCUGCAGACAGCUUUCAGCUCUCAGUCCAUUAAGGGAUUGGAUUAGCUGCAGAGAGCCUCUUGUCAAAGGCCACAUCUUCCUGAAGUGACCUACAUCUAAAGACUGAUAGAAGUGGGAGGAAAAAGGCUCAGCCACUUCAGGCCAAUGCAGGACAACUCUGUUGGGGCAUUUUAGCACCAGAGUUCUUCAUGAGAUUGGCCAAGGCUGUCUUUUGGGUUUGUGUUGUAGCUCAGCUUCUCCCUCUACCCAGUCUUCUUUCUUUUUUUCUCCCACAGGUACUUCCCUAAUCAGUAUCCUCCAUACUGACCUCCAUCCUAGUCUGCUUCCCAGAGAACUC
rnacentral:lncRNA from 1 species